rnacentral:lncRNA from 1 species
GCUAGCAGAGCCACAACCAUAAUCUCCUGUUCUGGACCAUCCUUUACUACCAUUGGAUUGAGAAUUUUAAAUAAGGAAUUCUCCUGCAUUGAAUGCAAAAAAUAAGAUACCAAGCUUCUCACUGGCUCUGAUUGGUUUGCAGAGAUGGGUUUUUGUCCUGUUAAAAGCUCAAUGAGAACAACUCCAAAGCUAUAAACAUCACUCUUCUCUGUAAAUUGAUUUGUUCGAAAAUAUUCAGGAUCCAUGUAUCCAAAAGUUCCUUCCACCCGGGUGGUUAGAUGUGUUUGCUCAAGUGCAACUGAUCUUGAAGUUCCAAAAUCAGAUACUUUUGCCCUAUAUUUAUCAUCCAAAAGUAUGUUACUAGAUUUGAUGUCUCGAUGAUAAAUAGGAGCAGAAGCAGCUGAAUGCAAAUAGAACAACGCAUUGGCAAUUUCGAUUGCAAUUCGUAAACGCAUUUCCCAUGUCAAUGGUAAUUCUUCAUUUUGUUUACGAAUGAGAUCGUAUAAUGUACCAUUUGGGAUGAACUCAUACACCAAUAGAGGAACUUCAGCUUCUAAGCAACACCCUAAAAGCUUAACCACAUUCCUGUGAUUAAUUUGAGAUAAAAUUAUCACCUCGUUAAUGAAUUGUUCAACCUUCUUUUCGUCAAAUUUCUUUCCUUCCACCAUUUUGGACUUCUUAAUAGCCACAAUGCUUCCAUCUAUUAGCAUCCCUUUAUAAACAGUCCCUUGACCUCCUUGACCAAGGAUUCGGUUCUCAUUAUAAUGAUCGGUCGCCUUUUCCAUCUCUUUCGAAGUAAACAACUUAAUUUUUUUAACAUUACCUUCAGACGAAUGUUGUUGCAGUAACAAACCUCCAUUCCUUUUGAAGUAUUUCUGCUUCAGCAUGAUUUUUUUUUUCUUUUGAGGACUUUGUACAUACUCCAUGUUGCGAGUAGUAGAAAUAGUGUCCCAAUACUAGUGCUGCAACCUAUAUAGAUAUAAGUAACAUUGUUAAAAGUUAAAUUUGAAAAUUCAAAUACAUUCUAAAAAACCAUGAGAAUGUUUCAAUAAAGUUUUAUUCAUAUUUGAAAAAAUGAGAGAACCUUAUUGCACCAUCCAUUGUUCUGAUAUUGAACUUUUACAAAUUUAAUGAUAAAUAAUUGUUAUUGCAUCACUCAUUCAAAAAGUAAAUAAAUCAUUGCUUGAAUUUACAUAAUCCAAUAAUCAUAAUGAUUUCACUUUAAAAACAAAAAAGUAUAAAUUAGCACGUACCUAUAAUAAUGCUUGUCAAGCUACGAGUUGUUUGAUUUUGUAUAUUGCGCUCACAACGAAAUCCUGUACUAUUAUAUUUAUAAUGAGGAGGGCAAGACUCUGGCGAGCAAUAGUUGCUAGGCAUAUUCAAACAAAGUAUGCGGCAAUACUGAUAAUCCCCACAAUUCCAAUCUGUCAUUUAUGAGUUGAAUAAAAAAAAGUUAUAAUCGUAUUAUUCAAACUUGAAUAGAAACAGGUUAUCUUUAAAAUUAAAAUUUAAAGAUUAGAAAGAGACUGAGAAGUAGGUUAUCUUUAAAUUUUGUUAUCUUUUUUUAUUUUUAAAGAAAUUCAAUCAUUGAAUUUGUACGAUUUAUUUGCCACUUCAAACCUAGUAGCUAUAUACGUUUAGAGCUCUAUGGAUGUUUAAGAGUUUUGUACCAAGAAAAAUAUGCAAAAUUAUCUUCAAAAGUAUAAAUUUUCUUCUUCUUUUUUUUUUUUUGAGAAAUUCACUGUAAAACUAAAUACAUUAGUGUAAAAAGCUAAAAUUGUUUUACUCUCUUUUGCAUCUCUUUAUAUUAUUAAUAUUUUGACAAUUCAAUUGUUGAAUUUAAUAUUUUAUUCAUAUAAAUCAUUCAUGUCAAAUUUGAUAUAAAUUAAAAAUUAAACAAUUAGAUUGUUAAAAUAUUAAUCGUAUAGAGAGAUACAAAAGAGUGUAAAAAAACUUUCAUUUUAUAUUGAUGUAAGUGGAUUACUCUCCAUAUUUUUUUACACACUUAUAUAUAUAUACAAAUUUUACAUACUUUAUAAAAGAUGAUUUUGUAUGUUGAAUCUUCAACUGAUUAGUAUAAUUUAGUCAUGAUAUACCUCAACUAAUAAUAACUAGAUUAUGAUACACUAACGACGUAAGUGAAAAAAAUUAUAUAAUAAUUUAUUUAUAAAAAAUAUUGAUAUAAAAAAAAGAGUUGAUUGAAAUAGUAAAGUUAAGUAUUAGCUAUCAUGGUGCCUUUGUUCAAAUUUUAUUAUACUUAUUUUUUAAAAUUUUACAUGAAAUAUAAAAUGACAAAAAUACUCUCAUAAUAAUAUUUGUUCUUUUAUAAAAGUAAUGGAUUUUCAUAAUUUCUCAACUAUGUAAAGAUUGAGUUGAGGGGUGGCACCAACUCAAAUAGCCCUUUAAAAAAUAAUACUAAUUUACGAUACACCCAUUAUGUGAAUGGAAAAAAAAUAUGUAAUAAGCAUAUUUAUUUAAUGCUUAUAUAAGAAUCAAAUGAAUCAUUGGUUGAAAUGGUAAAGUUAAAGUCUAAAAUUUAUUGUGUGAAAAGUUCAAAUUUUACCAUGUUAAAUUUAUUAUGAAUUUUAUAUAAAAAUAUAAAAAAAUGAAAAUACCCUUAAAAUAAUAUAACUUAAUAUAUAUAUAAAAAUAUGUUAAUAAUUUUUUCAAUUAUGGUAUACCUAUAAGUAAAGAUAUAAUAAAAAAGUUUCCUAAAAUAAGGUUAAUUCAUACCUUUGCAUGACGUUAAAAAAACUCCAAUAUCCUUGUCGCACACACAUAAAUAAUUAGAGCUCAUCCUUGACCAACAAUAUUUACCCUCGAGUGUACAAGAAGCGCCCAAACUAUCAUUCAACUUGCACUCUCCAGAUAUUGGUGUGCCCCAUUGCAGUUGUGUUGGAACAUGCGUUAUAUUACUUAUAUUAAAGGUCAGAUCAUAGUCAUAAGAAACCAUGGAAGCAAAUCCGCAUGAUUUUUUCCUCCAAUAAUCACUAGAAUCAAACCUACUACUCAUGUUUACGUAGAAUGGACUGAGACCCCAAGGAAUAUUAACAAGACAACCAUCAAUAGAGGAAGCCUCGUUAUUAAUCCUACAACUUGGUUGCAAACAUCCUCCAAUAAGAUUAUCUAGUUUGCUGCUGAAAACAGUAACCAAAUUACCGCAACCUAAAGACCAGAAGGUGUUGUCUGAAUUUGAGUAGUAAAAGCGAGUGCCUGUUAAGUUGAGACUCGUCCCGUUGUGAUGGUUUUUCUGACAGUUGAAGUAAGUUAUUGGAUGGUUGACUUUGACUGUACCAUACAAAAAAUCAAUUUCUAGUAUUUGCAAAUUCAUGCCAUUUAUAUUUAAAAAAGGCACUUUUUGCCCAUGGUCGCUUUUGUUGCAAACUACUUUAAACCACUCUUUAAGAUCAACUUGGUCCUUCAUUGUAAAGGGAUAGUGAACAGUAACAUUCCCACAGGGCUCUACCUUGUAGGUGCGGAAGUUAAUAGAUCCCAGUCCUGGUCUUCCGCAUCCUGCGAGUUUAGCAAAAAAGGAGUAAAUUGCAAAAUUUACGAACAUCUAACGUAUAUAGGAAAUAAAAGCAAUGCGUUAUUCAAUAUAUAUAUAUAUAUAUAUAUAUAUAUAAAGAAGGUACUCUUUAACUAAUAUAUUUAACUAAAUUUUCUGUUAUUUGUGACAUUAAAUUCAAUAAAGACUUUCCUAUUGAAUUUGAUGUGAUACAAUAUUUCUAAUUAAAAUACUUGCAUUUCAAAAAAAAAAAUCAAUUCCACUUUCAUACCUAUCCUCUCUUUACGUAAUACUUUGUUAAUUUUAUUCUAAAAUAUUAAAUUCUUAAUUGAAUAUGAUACUUGUGCUAAUUUCUAAUUUAACUACUGAGUUCAAAUCUUUUUAUGGAACUAAUGAUUUCAUUUCAAGAACAAAUCAACUUAGGCUACAUUUAUUCACUCAAAAUAAUUUUCGAAAAAUAAUUUAUAUUUUUGGAAAAGUUAAUAUUUUCUAGUAUUUAGAUGAAUCUGUGUAAAAUAAUUUCUGAUAUUUAGAUUAAUCUUGUAAAAUAUUUUCUAUUAUUUAGUAGAUUUCUUAAAAAAAUUUCAUAAAAGUUGUUUUCAAUUAAACAAACAUAUAUUUGAGAUGUUUUUCAUUGUUUAAUUGAAUUUAUUUUUAUCUAGAAUUUUAUAUUUUACAUUUUUUUUGCAUAUAUUAAAAAUAUUAUAUUAAAUUUAGGUUCAUUACAACGUCAUUUUUUUAACUACAUGACUACCGAGUGAGUAUUUUUUAUUUAAAAAUGUGACAUCAAAUUUGACUUGAUUUUUAAAUUUGAAAAGUAAAAGGACUAAAUUCUUGAAAAUAAAAAUACAAAGACUAAAUUGAAAAUUUGUGAAGUGUGCAUAGACUUAUGACAUAUUUAACAUUAUACUACAAACAUUUAUUAUUAAUAUAUUUUAAUAUAAUAUUAUUUAUAUUAAAAUAUUAAUAUUGAAUAUUUUAAUAUAUGUGAAUAAUACUAUUUAAAUUUAUUUUUUUAAAAUUUAUUAUUAAAAUAAAUUAAACUAUUACAUCAUUUUUAUUUUAAUACCUUUAUUUAUUCUAUUAUUAUACUCUCUAUUUAUGACUAACAUCUCAUACUUAAAUCUGUCUGUUUACUCUAUGAAAACUAUCCUAUUUUAUAUUUUCCCUAUUUUUAAAAAAUAAAUUUAUUCUAAAUCUAAUACUAGCUUGAUUAGUUUAAUUUUUAUCUAAACAUAAAAUCUUCUCUAGAGCUCUUUUUUCGAAAGUGACUUACACUUUUCAACUGGUAUGUCUUUUACAGAAAAGAGCUUAUUUUAGUUGAUCUAUACGUUUUUUUCAUUGAUCAUGCUGUUUUAUGUGAAACAAACACAGGAAAAUGUAUAAAACAUUUUCCGUGAAACUUUUUACAUGUAAACAAACUGACCCUAGAUUUAAAACAGAAUCAUUAUAAACAAAAUUAUGUAAAUUAUGAAAUGAAUGGAAACAUAAUACAGAAAUAUUAAAAAUAUAUAUAUUAUGUUAUAACAGAAUAUAUAUAUAUACACAUAACCAACAUGAAGCCAACGAAAAAAAAUAUAAAAAUUACAAUUUUAACUCCUCUAAAAAAUAAUAAUUUAAUUUAAUUUAAUUUCAUCUCAUUUAAGUAUUAGUUCAGGUUUUUGAAUACAAAACUUUUAGGUAUAGCCAUUUUUUGUCCUAAAAAUCUUUUAGGUAUAAAUUUUUGAAAGCCAAAAUUAUUAAUAUACAAAAUGAAUGAUCCUAAAAACCUUUUUUAGAACUUAUAUGAUUCUAAAGGCUGGUUUUAAACAAUUAGCAAAAUCUAUAUAUUAACCGAAUUAAAAGAAGAAGAAUAAAAGCCAAGCAAUUGAAGUGACAGCGCGUGACUGACCUCCGUCACCGCAAUAGGUAGAAUUCCAGUUGAGCACGGCGGGAACAUGCGUAGUUCCAUUAUUGAUGCCAGUGGGUAAUGGGUAAGCACUACGGAAAGAGUACUUGCUAAAGAUGAAAGCAGAUGCGCAUCUUUUGCUGUCAGGAUACAUGGCUCUCAUGUUUACGGUAUAGGAAGUAAGAUUUGCAGUAAUUUGAGUAAAGCAGCCAGAUUCAGAAGCACCAUCGUCACACCUUGGUUGAAUGCAGCCGCCAAGUGAAACAGCUUCGUUACUUAAAAUAGUAGCCAAAUUUCCGCAACCUACUGACCCGAAAUAAUUCCUCGUACUUGAGAAGAAAAAGGGAGUGCCUAAGAGAUUGACCCUCCCACUAACCUCGUUUAUACGAUCACAAUUAAUGUAAGUAACUGGAUUGUUGAUGAGAAUGGCGUUUGAAUAUAAGGCUUUUCCAAGUACCUCCAGAUCGAUGCCAUUUACGUUUAUGAAAGGCUUGUCCCCACUGGGGGUUUGCUUGCAAGUUACGCGAAACGAAGGAUGAGUAUAGCAGGUGAUAUUGAUUAACCCAAAAGGGGAUGGAAUUGUAAUAUUUCCACAUACUUCUUUACGACAGGCAGGUUCUUGAGAUUCUGCUGCUUGUAAAAUUGAGCACAACAGGAAGAGGAAGAGGAGUAAGGGGAUGAAGUAAAGCGCUAAGUGAAAACCCAUUUGCGUUGUUAUUUUGUUUGAGGGAAAUGAAUGAAGAUUUAAAGAAACAAACGAUGUUUGAGGGAGAAGCAAAUGAAAAGUAUUUGCUCGCACUUUCCUUGAAGUUCCAGUAUAAGUGCAUUUGAUUUGAGAAUAAUUCAUUAAUUUGUAAAGACUGUUGGAUACAAUUUUCCAGCUACACGUAAGAGGUCUCCAUUCAAAGAGUAGGUUACAAAUAAAGAGUUAAGAGACAACUAAAAGGGAGAGUCGAGCCUUGACCCCUAAUUUGUUUUAUAUUCCUUCAAAUAUUUUUACAAUGGCAUUAAGAAAUAAGGAUAAUUUAUGUUCCUUCCUUCAAAACUUUUAAACAUUUCAAAUCAUAUUGUAAAAUAGAAAGCUUGAAAUUAUAGAUUAAAUAAAAUUAUUUUUAAAAUUUUAUUAGUUAAUAUUAAUUUAAUUAUAUUGAUAAGUGGAUGAAAGAAGUGAUAAAAAAACUUAAUUUAAACUAUACAUCAAAUGAAGAUAUAUGUGAUUAUAAUAAAUUUUAAUUAAUUUUGUACUUUAUUUUUGUAUAGAUAUAUUUAUAUUAAUUAUUAAGUUUAUUCAAUCCUAGUUGUCGAUAAAGCUAGAAGGGAGGAGAUAACAAAGAGUGAGCAGUAUCCUUAAUGAGUGAUAGUAAAGGUGAUUGUUCUUUACAACAACUUGAGAAGAAAUUCCGAGGAAUGUCACUUUUGAUGCUGGUCCUAUGAUUAGAGGUUUCACAUUUUUAUUUACAGCCAUUCAACAUAGUUAAUAUCGUAAGUCUAACAAUUAUUUAUGUUUUCGAUAUACAUGAGUAUUUUUAGACAUUUAAGUGAAAUACUAAAUAAAACUCUCAAGUCAAGUUAUAUUUUAUAAUGUUUUUCAAAAUUUUUAAUAAUUAUUAAUAUUUUAUUUUUUAUAUUUUUUUAUAAACUUGGGUAACUUUUACAUUUUUUAAAAAUAUUUUUAAUAAUUUAGUAUGUCACAUCAACAUGCUUUCACAUAGCAUACCAUAUGCUAACUUCUCAUGACUUCCGUAAAUCAUAUAAACAACGUAUAAUAUUCAAAGUAAUCAAGAAUUUUGAUUUUUUAUUGAGUGUUUUUUAACAUUUAAUUGUAUAUUAAUAUUUAUUACUUUAUUAAGAAUUGGUUUUUAUGUAACUGUCCUGACAAAAUUGGUAUUGAGCUCAAUAAAAUAUAUUAUAUAAGCUUAGAUAUAACUUCAUUAAAAUCUGCAAAGAGAGAAAACAUUAUCAAUUUGUUUCAAGUCCGUUUUUGAGCAUAUGAGAAAUUUUGUAGAUAGAAGUUGAAUACGAUUUUCUUUCUAGUGAAUUACAAGAAAAGGGUAGAGUUUUAAUAGCAACGCGACUUAAACUUAAACUACAUUUGGGGGAUGAAUACCUUAACCAUUAAAUUAAUAUAUGAAAUUUUAAUACGAUAUUUUGAAAUAAAGAGCCAACUCUUUGGAAAAUAAAUUUCCAAAAAUUUCCGAGUCAUAAUCUUUUGUGGAAUGGAAAAGUAUAUCCACAAAAUGAUCGAAAAGGCUUUGGGCCACAAUUAAAUCAACAUCUUUAAAUUGUUAUACCAAAUUAAAGAGGGAAUGGUCUUUGUCUUAAAUUCAACCUCUGAAAUUAUCAUAAUUUCAUAAAUUUUGUUUGCAAUUGUUUGGAAAUAAAAACAAGAAGGUGAUUGGCUCAUCUUGUUUUUGGUGAGAAAGUAAAAUAGCAGCCAACAUGCAUGCAUUUGUUUUGUGGAAACUAAAUUAAAACCAAGGAGGUAUCAUUAUCAAGAAAUAUGGACCAUAAGAAGAUUCAUUCCUUUUAUUAUAUAUUAUUCAUACUAACAACAUAGAAAUUUUCAUGAAAAAGUAAGUUCCAUGACAUCCACUGAAGCAAUGACAACAAUUGGCCCCUAUAACUGUCGAAACCCUUUUUUUUUAUUUUGAAAGCAAUGGGGAUCGACUUGUGAAAACAAAAAUGUGGAGUCGCCACCAAUCUCUCGAUUUAGGUGUGAUUGGACCACCUACUAAAACGCUUUAUUCGUGUAAAAUAAAAAAAGUGGGUUCGGGAGUCAGUUACGUAUGAGGAAGGGUUAGCACCCUCAUUACGCCCAAAAAUUGGUACCAAAUUGAUUUGAUGCUAUCCUUAUAUCAAAAGUUUUAAAAGAAAAGAUUUUCUCAAAAUACGAUUCUUUUUUUUUUAAAUGUUCGAAUAGUUUAAAUUAGUGGUCAAAAAUCCUUCGUUUCAAAGAUAUGCAGUUUCAUACCCAGUACGAUUAGAUGCGAUCCUUAUACCUUUAAAACGCAAUUGGUUUUCGACUUCUUUAAAAAACAUACAUUAAAAUUAUAAAAAGGUUAUCCAAAUAUUUGGUUCUCCGUAAAAGUCAUACCCAGUACGAUUGAGCAUGAUUUUCCGAAUUCCCCAAAUAUUAGAUAUCGCCUUAUUUCAGAAUAACGGAAAUUUAGAAAUUUGCUUAAACAUGUUUAUUGAAAAUAAUUAUGAUAAAAAAUACAAAGUUCAAAUCAAAUUAUGCAUGAAGUAUUUAAAACACAAAUUCAUUCAAAAAUUGAUAAUUCACAUGAUAACUUUAAAUAAUGUAUUAAAUAUGUAGGAAUGACAAUGCAUGAUAUAAAAUAAUAUAAUAAAUUUAUGAAACAUGUAUAUACAAGUAAAAUUAAGUAUAAUUGUUUGUAAAAAAAUGUAAGAAAGAAACAAAGUAAAUAUAUAAGGUAUAUGGGUAACAAAAGUUUCUAAAAAACAAGGUUAUAUACAAAACGUAAAAUUAUAUUUACACGUAAAUUUAGUAAUAUAUAUAUUAUUAAGAUUAUAUUUAUAAAGGGCAUUUGGAAACUAAUAAUAUAUAAUUUUACAUGUAACAAACUGAGUUAAAGUGAUGGAACAUAUAGAUAGUACAUACAUAAGGAUAAUAAAAUAAUUUAUACAAUAUAUAAAUCGUAUGAUAAAACAAAUGGUCUUUAGAAAGAAUAUAUUAUACAUAUAAAUGACUUUAAAGGAUAAUAUAUACAUUGAAAGAAAAAAUAUUUACAUAGAUUUACAUGAAAGUAAUAACAUGUACUAUGGUAAAAAUAAUUUAGCAUGGGUAAUGUACAAAUGAAGAAAUUUUAAUGACAAUUGUAUGUCCAAAAUAAUAUUGAAUAAAAUAUGAAUUAUAAGAUUAACUUAAUUUUAUCAUAACUUAUAUACAUAAUAAUUUUAAAAACAAUUUUAAAAACAUAAUUAUACAAAAAUAUAUAUAUGUAUAAGACUAUCUUGGUUUUAAUAAUGGAUGCAAAUUAAAUAUAAGUUCUAAAUAUAUGUUUAAUAAUAACUUAAAUAACACACAAAAUAUGAAGAAAUAAUAAUACAUGGCAAGGUAUUACACGCAUGAUAGAUUUUUUACAUUUAAAAACUUAUGUAUAAAAUAAACACAUGUGAAAUUAGAAAAUUAUAUGCAUAUCAUUUUGCUCAAAAAUACUUAAAAGAAAUAUUAAAUAACAUACUAGGAUAACAUAAUAAGGAGACAUAUUUCAAAAAUAACAAUUUUAUAAAUACCAAGAUGAAUUUUCAAAACACAUAAAGACAUGUAAAUUAAACAUAAGUUAAGAAAUACUUCAAGUAAUUUAGGUAUAUAAAUAUAUUAACAACACUUAUUAAUAAGAUAUUAAAACAAUGUAAUAUAAAAUGAAUUUUACAACAUGCAAAACAAUAGUUAUUAUAAAAAACUAAAAAAAGAAUGAUUAAUAUACAAAUAUAUGCGAAAUAUUUAAAGAAAUAAGAUACAUGAUGUAAACAAUCUAAAAUAAUUGUACAAAUGUACAAACAAAAUUAUUAACAUGGAUUAAAGCAUACAAAUAUUGAAUGUAUUCUAAAUUAACCGAUUAUACAAAUAUAAGACUCAAUUAAAACUGCAUCAAGAUAAGAAGGACAAUUUGUAAAUAAAAUGACCAUAAAAUAGAUCAAUGCAUAACAUGCAUAAAUAUAUAGGGACUAAUAUUGUAAAUCCUCCCAGGCCUGAAUCACAUCACUGUAUCAUGGAUUAAAAUGAAAAUGCGCUCAAAUCAGCGAGCCAAAUUGAAAAAGAAAAAAAAAACAAAGCAAAGCAAAAAGGAAGCAGUUGAAGCCCCAUGCGAAUGCAAAGGACUUAGCGCGCAAAUUAACCAUUUGAAGCACCAAAGUGUGGAUCCAGCCUAAUGGCACCGUUUUCAAUUCUGCACAAUCAAUUCUAAAAAACUAAAAUCCAAUAAAAAAAAACAAAGACCUAUUCCCUCUUUUAUUUGCCGUUUCAACUUCACAUAAUGCUCUCAAUUUGGGAGGUUCCUUUCAACCUUGAAAUCUCCUUUGAUUUGAUUUCAACAAAACAAAGAGAAGAAAGCAAUGGCCUCUUCACACGGUAAGUUUUUCUUCUUUUAUUUCUUUCUUUCGGUUUUUGAAUGUGAAAAAUAAACUAAAAAAUAAAUAAAUCGAAAAGAAAAUCAAGAAUCUCAAGAACUUUCAAUCACUUUUUAAUUUCAGUAACUUUUUUUAUUUUGGUAUGCAUGUGUAUUUCUGAAAAAAAAGAAGAAGAUCCCCCAUUUACAUCGUUUACAUUCGGUUUUAUAGCCAAAAAAUGAGUAAAUAAAAAUACAAAAAAUCCUUGCUGUAAUCUGUUAUUAUUUGCUGUCAUUUGCUGUUGUGGUUUUCGUUUGUUGCAGGUGUGCAUGGCGUGGAGGAGUUAUUUGCGGAACAUGGCACGAGUGGAAGAAUCAACUAAAGGCUGCGGUGGCUGAAGCUUCUAAGGUUUCUGUUGAAAAUUCCCUAGGUGUUUUGGACUUGGGGUAUUUUGGGUUAAAUAGGCUAGUUGGAUUAAGUUUAAUAAUUUGAACCCAUUAUUUUGGUUGCUGACUAUUAUUUAUAUAUUUUUUAGUUUUUUUUUUGUUUGUUUUGGUUUUGGUGUAAGCCCGGGCACAAAUUGAGUCUUACAAUAACAAUUGCAAAAACACCUUGACUCUUCUAGAAAUCCAUCAGUUUGGAAACUAGACCGUUUAUGCUACAACGAGAUAAACACUUUAGAAAUAUCUGCUCUCCAAAGUCAUCUUUGUUCAUCUUCAAUUUCGUCCUUAUAUAAACAAAACUCCAACAUAUAGAAAAAGAAAUGAUAACCCUUGAAAUCCUUAAUGUCCAAACCAUAUUUAUGCAUAAGAAAUUUGCAUAGGAGACGAGAAAAUGGAAUCUGAACUUAAUGGGCAAUUUCGUCACAGUCAAUCUAAAGUUUAACAAUUUAGGAUCUUUUUAUCCAUAUGGUGUUCCAGUUUUUCAAUAUGAAUUCGGUUCAAAGAAAAGGAAAUUACUUUAAAUUUGUAUAAUUAAUUUGGAUUUAAAAAUAUUUUUUAAUAAUUUGGUAUAUGCCACAUUAGUAUACUUUCACGUAAUUUCUUAUGAAUCUCACACAACACAUUAUAUGUUAAUUUCUCAUUAAUUUUGUAAACCAUGUUAACAAAUAAUAUUGUUCAAAUCACUCCAGAACAAUUCUAAAAAUGAAUUUAUUGAGAAUAUUGAAUUACAAGUCGGAACUUAAACACGUAUGAUUCAGUUUUAUCUAUGAUGCAACUCGAUUGAUUAGCCUUACAACUCGGGAAAUGUUUUAAAAAUGAUUGGAAUAUGUCCACCACUUGCUUAAAUUGAAUUAUUAUAUAACUUACCCAUUGCUUAGCAAAGGUUGCAUUGCCUACACUUUGGUUCAUCAUGUGCCCACCCCACCCAUUUUAGAUGUUCAUUUUACUAUUUACUUUGAAAAAGAAUCGUCAUCCCAUGUAUUUCUUGAUGAUGCAUAAAAAUAAUUCCUUAAAAUUUUACUAAUAUAUUUUAAAAAUAAUUCUUUUUGUAAAUAUUAUAAAUGUGAAAGGGUUUGAUACUCAUGUUUGAAGUCAUGUUAACUCAAUCACUUACUAAAACCAAAUUAAAACAAUUAAUUUUACAAGAGUGGCCAUAUGGCACUUUUUAAUUUCACUUCUAAAGUAUUUUCUUUCUAUAAUAAAAAAUGAAAAUGUGAGAUAAUAAAAUAAUAUCAUCUAGAUUUAAAUUAAACGUAACAAAUAUUUCACCCAUAAUAUAUAAAAGGUAUUUAUAUUGACCAGCAAAAUUAAAUUUCUUUAUUAAAAUAUUUUUAUCUAAAUUUUAGGUCUAAUUCGAACAAAAUUAAAUUUAAAUUGUACAAUAGAUGAAGAUACUUGUUAAUUUAAAUUAAUUAAUUUUUAAUUAAUCAAAUAGGUAUAUAGGUAUAUUUAUAUUAAUUGCCAAGUAUAUACAAUCUUGAUUGUGGAUAAAGCUAGAAGGUAGGAGAUAGCAAAGAGUGUUAGCCUCUUGCCCAAAAUAAAAGGCAUUAUCCCUAAUGAGUGAUAGCAAAGGUGAUUGUUCUUUGAGAAGAAAUUUUCAAGAAUGUCACUCUUGACCCUGUCCGAUGACAAGAGGUUCCACAUUUUUAUUUAUAGCCAUUCAACGUGUAAGGAGAACUAGUAUCACAAGUACAAGAAGAAAUUCCAUCACAACUGAACAAAAAAUUUCCAAGUAAUAUUCUUUUAUGGAAAGGUAUUCUCAAUAGAAAAAUAUAUCCACGAAAUGAUAGAAAAGGCUUUGGGCCACAACUAAAUCAACAUAUUUAAAAUGUUAUACCAAAUUAAAGAUGGAAUCGUCAUUGUCAAGACAUCAACAUCUUAUUACUUUAUACUCUAAAGGAAUUUUGUUAAUUAAUUACUACUUUAAUUAUGGAUAAUUUUGCUAAUUAUUUUUAAAUUAGUACUUAGUACCCCCUGCACCAUGUUCGGGGUGUUCUGUUUCUACGACUAAUGAUUUUCCAAUGAUUCUUGAAUGAAAAUUUUGAUUCAACGACAAAUUGCAAUUUCAGAUUAAAAUUAUAUAUAAAAAAAAAAAAAAUCCCCCAUCUGUUGCAACAUUGAACAGUGAAAUGGUUGCCUGAGAUUUUCUAUGUAAGCAAAGAAGCAAGAAAGAAAUUAGUAAGGCAGGUACUCAAGUAUAUAUCUUUAGCAAGAAAAACUAACAAAGGAAUUCUCCAAUUUGAUCCACUAUUGUGUUUUCUUUCUAUGGGAAGAACAUUAAUCAAUGUCCCCUGGUUCCAUGAAUUUUCUGCUUCUUUAAAAAUAAGAAGAAGAAAGAAAGAAAAACAUCAACUUUAGCCCUACAAUCAACUUGUAUAAAUUCGUUAGUCCUGAAACUAUGGCCUUAUUCUUAACCAUUUCCCUUAUUCUAGGGAUACUGCAGGCUACCAUCCUUCUAAUUUCCUUUGAUACAACUGUGUCAAUAGCAGAUCCAUCGCCAUUGGAGUCCAAAGCCAUAUCGCUGCUAGAAAGCGGGUGGUGGAGUAACCAUAGCAGCAAUACUUCACAACGUUGCCAGUGUCCUGCUAUAACCUGCAACACUGCUGAAAGCAUUACCAAAAUUGACUUAUCUGAUGCGCCCAACAUUGAGGUUGCAUAUAGAUUUGGGAACCAGAACCAGCAAAACAAAACAACAUUGAGGUUGCGCCCAACAUUGCUGAAUGAGCUACAAUUUUGUACUCCAUUUUGUUUUCCAUAUUGCAUCAGAAAUGUAAGAAUAACCAUAUAUGAACCGGAACCAUAAAUUUAAGGGGAAAUUUUAGAAAAAAAUCUGCUCUUCAAAUUCCUUUGGUCUAGCAAACAUUAGGUCCUUCUGCAACGUAAUGUUGGUAAAACAACCAAGAAAGAAGGCUCAGAGAAGAGUAAAUGACAGAAUAAAAAAUUCACUGUUUAUUUCUCAAUGAAAAAUAACAGAGUACAUGGUUUAAAUAGUGCUAGUGGUAACUAAAAAAAGCUAAAAAUUACGAACACUAACCCAUGAUCACAACCAAAUCAGAAUAAGAUUUUCUUAAUACCCACUAACUGAUAAAGAUAAAAACAUGUAUUAAUUAUAGCAGUAAAUAACAUUUUGAAUCAUUAUUUUUUCAACAGUGAAUGACAAAGUCAGUCGGCCAUGGUGUUGGUCCUCCUUUCCCUUUCUUGAUGUAAUUUUGUUGCAAUAUGUGGACACUUCGUUGGGACGAAAAACCAUAAUUUACUAAGGUGAGAGGAUAUGCAAUUUAACGUGAUUAAACUAUUAGUAAAUUUAUAUUUUGGUCAUUCAACUUAAAAAAAUUUAUAAAAUGAUUAUUGAGCUAUUCUAAAGUUUUAAUUUAAAUGGUUAAUAUUAGUAAAUUUAUAUCUUCAUUUAACUAAAUUGGGUUCAUUGACUCUCAUUAUAUCUCUUCAAAUCCACUAUAUGCUUAGAAAUUUCGAAGAAAGAUGAAAACAAUGUUAUGGACAAUUUCAUCGAAAUUGAGCCAAAGUUUUCCAAUUAAGAACCUUUGGUGGGAAAAUUGACAUUUGAAUAAUCAUCACAUACAAUCUUUAUUUACAAGGUGUUCCACAAUUGCAUAUAAUACAUUUCCAAUUUGGUCCAAAGAAAAAGGAGGAUACUUUAAAAGUGCGUAAUUUUGAAUUCAAAGCUUAAUAUAUGUAAUUUAUGCUUAAUACAUUCAAUAUUUAUGUGUGAAGUAAACUUAUCAAAUAUUAAAACAAUGUCUCAUUCAUCAAUUUGCAUAAAGAAAGCACUAAGCCAAACCAUUUAGAAAGGAGGGACUGAUGCUCAUGGCCUGAGUUUUAUUCUGGGUGUUUAAAACUCUUCAAUUGUCUUUAAUAAUUUCAUUCGUUUUGGUUUUUUAUUUUUAUACUAAGGUUAAGUUUGGCACUUAUUUUAAGUUUAUGAAUUUUAAAUAUUCUUUGAAAAAAUUUCAAAUUAUUUUUUAUAAAUAUUUUUAAAAUUAAAAAUAUUCAAUAACUUUUUUAAAUAUAUAUAAUUUUUAAGUUAUUUACAUUAUUUUAAAAAUAAAAUAUUAUUUUUUAUAUCAUAAAAAUUAAAUUAAUUAAUAUAAAUUAAAAGUAUAAAUCACUUUUUAACCCUUAAACUUAAUUGUUUUUCUUAAGUUGAUACCUAAUAUUUUUGGAUCUAAGUUGGGACUUGAACUUAUAUUUUAGGUUACAUUUUACUCAUUUUUAGUAUCAAUGUUAAAUUAUGUUGACAUACAUUGUGCCAUGUUAUCACUUUAAAAUUUAUUUAAAUUUUAAAAUAUUGAAAAAAAUUUAUUUAAAACUAUAAAAAAAUAUCAAUUUUUAUUAAAAAUUAUAAUAAAUCUAUUUGAAAAUCUUUUUAAUUAUUUUUCUUUUUUACUUAGAAUUUUUUAUUCCUUUAUAAUUAGUUAUACAACAAUUAUAACAAAUCUUCUAUAUUUUUUUGUUUUUUUUCCUUUUUACUCGAGAUUUUUUUUUUCCUUCAAAACUCUAAAAUGUUUCUUCCCUAUCUCUUUUCUUCGUCACCAUCCCGCUUGCCACCCCCAUCUGGCACCACCCCCAACCUAGAAAUGGCACAAAUUUGUUCUUCUCUUUCUCCUAACUUGUAUCAAAUCUUAGUUAAUUCAGAAGCUUCCUCAAAAAUCGCAAUUAUGAGCCAAUCGAUCAAAUUGCUUGAGUUUUGAGCAAUGAAGCACCGACACGGGAAAACCCCCUCGUACUAGUGUCGUAUUAGUAUCCGACUUGGACACACUGCCGACGCUGCCGGAUACGUAUCAGAUACACCUCGAUGCGUGUCAAAAAAGGGACAUUGCUGGAUUUUCUUUUGGCCUGAAUCAGAAACGAAAAAAAAAACAUAUACAAGGACAACUUUAGUAAACCAAUAAAAACGAAAACUUUAGCAUUUAAUUGUGAUAAUUUAUGGAACUUUUAACAUACUUGUCUUUUUUGGAGUCGUGGUAUAAUUUCUUAGACCUUCGUGUAUUCGCUUAUAUGAAGAUGAUGAUGAUGGAGACUUUGUAGAUAUGGUUUUGUAGAGAAGAAAGGCAAAGACAAAGGUAAAGGCAGUAAAUGAAGAAAAAAAAAGGGGUCAAUGAAGAAGAAAAGAAGGGGUAAAUGAGUGUAUGAAAAAAAAAUAGUUAAUGUACUUGUCUAGUUAUAAUGGGAUAAGAAAGUCCAAAAAAAAUUAAAGUAAUAUAAAAAUAGUGAAAGUAAAGUAUAAUAAAAAUAUGUGAGACCCAUUAUAAUAAGAAUAUAUAUAUAUAUAAUAUUUGUCUAGUUAAUGUAUUUAUUAGAUUAAAAAUAUUUUUUAAAAAAUUAAUUUUAAUUAUAAAUUAAUAAAUAUAUGUGUGGCUUAAAUUUAGAUUUGAUAUGACAUGUUUUGUGUAAUAAACUUGAAAAAUGUAUUACUAUGUUUUGUUAUAUUUUAUGUAAUGAUAAAAGAGUUUAAUGGAAAAGAAUUGAUUAUAUAUAGAGGCGAAGCGAGGGGGAUAGCAUAGGCCCCAGCCCCCUAAAAUAUAAAUUUACUCUUUUGGCCUUAAAAUUUUUUAAAAAUUUUAAAUUAGUAAAGUUAAAAUUACACUUUGUCUCCCCUAAAAUUAUAAAAAUUCGAUUUAAUCCUUUACAAAUUAUAAACAUAUAAACUAUAAAAUUAAAAUUUUAUCCGGCCCCCCUAAAUAUUUAUUCUGGCUUCGCCCUUGGUACUCACACCAACCAAAUCCAAUACCCAAUAGCAAACUAACAAAAUACCAAGCUCUUCGCUUGCUUCUUUGCAACUGAUUCUUGUGUGCUUAUAGGAUCUCCACUAGUUUGACGUUUCCUAUUUGGUGAUUUCAACUUCACUGAAGAGCUUGCAGUUAAUGUCCAACCUGACUGUGUUGUAAUUGACCUCAAUCCAGACUGAAAAUUGUAAAAUUAUAGCGAGGUAAGUAGUUAUAAAUUAGCAAAAAUUGAAAUAUUGCUAAACUAAAAACUUACAUAGAAUGUUUGCUCUCCAAUUUUCAUAUUUGUGUAGAGGCCUAACCCAGUGACAGACCACCUUCGAGUUUUCAUACUCAUGAAAUGCUUAGUUGUGGAAACUAACCUAACUUUUUUUGGUUGAUUCUUCCUCUCCAAUAAGCAAAAACAAAUUGACAUAUUGUUAGAUAAGCUUAUAUCUACUUAAUAUUAAAAAUAUAUAUAGAUUUGUAAAUUACCAAAAUAUUUGCCGCUUCAACUUGGGAAUUUUCUAGGUCAUUAAUACUCUACAGCAAAUAAAAAAUGGCAACAAGCGUCCACAAGUCAAUUUUAAAUGGCAGCAUAUGAAAUAAAAUAAAAUAAAAAAAAUCAUACUCAAAUCAACUUUAAAUUUUAGAUACAUGUUGCGGACAUCCUCGUUGGUUAUGAAAUUUGUUGAGACAAGAUGAAUACUGAGUGGCACUCGAUUAUGUUAACUGUAGAUUGUAAUUGAGGUGGUUAAAUAUUUGUUUUAUUUUAUUUUACAAUUUAAUGAAGAAAAUUUUUAGAAUUAAUGUAAUUUUUAUUGAAGAUAAUAUGAUUCAUUUGUAAUAGCUUAAAUUUUAGUGGUGUCAGAACAGUGAUUCGAGAUCACUAAAUCUGAAAAAUGAGUAGAAAAUAUUAAUAAUUUGGUGAAUAUAAGUUAAAUAUGAAGUUAGGAAAAAUUUUUGAAAUAGCGAAUAGUGUACUAGAAAUAAAUAUUACCAAGUGAAUGAAAGAAGUGAUAAAAAAAUUUAAUUUAAACUGUACAUCGAAUGAAGAUAUAUGUGAUUAUAAUCAAUUUUAAUUAAUUUUGUACUUUAUUUUUAUAUAGAUAUAUUUAUAUUAAUUAUUAAGUUUAUACAAUCCUAGUUGUCUAUAAAACUAGAAGGGAGGAGAUAACAAAGAGUGAGCACUAUCAUUAAUGAGUGAUAGCAAAGGUGAUUGUUCUUUACAACAACUUGAGAAGAAAUUCCGAGGAAUGUCACUUUUGAUGCUGGUCCUAUGAUUAGAGGUUUCACAUUUUUAUUUAUAGCCAUUCAACAUACAUGUCUAAGAAUUAUUUAUGUUACCGAUAUAUGUGGGGUUUUUUAGACAUUUAAAUUAAAUACUCAAUAAAACUCUCAAGUCAAGUUAUAUUUUAUAAUUUUUUUUAAUUUUUUAAUAAUCAUUAAUAUUUUAUUUUUAUAUUUUUUUAUAAACUUGAGUAAAUUUUACAUUUUUUUAAAAUAUUUUAAAUAAUUUGGCAUGUCACGUCAACAUGCUUUCACAUGGCAUACCAUAUGCCAACUUGUCAUGACUUCCAUAAAUCAUGUAAACAACGUAUAAUAUUCAAACUAAUUAAUCAAGAAUUUUGAUUUUUUUACUGAGUUUUUUUUACCAUUUAAUUGUAUAUUAAUAUUUAUUACUUUAUUAAGAAUUGGUUUUUAUGUAAUUUCCCUGACAAAAUUGGUAUUGAGCUCAAUAAAAUAUAUUAUACAAGUAUAGAUAUAACUUUAUUAAAAUCUGCAAAGAGAGAAAACAUUAUUAAUUUGUCUCAAGUCCCUUUUUGAGCAGAUGAGAAAUUUUGUAGAUAGAAGUUGAAUACGGUUUUCUUUUUAGUGAAUUACAAAAAGAGAGUAGAGUCUUAACAGUAAUGUGACUUAAACCUAGAAUCCAUUUGGGGUGAUGAAUACUUUAACCAUUAAACCAAUAUAUAGAAUUUGAAUACAAUAUUUUGAAGUAAAGGCAAACUCUUUGGAAAAUAAAAUUCCAAAAAUUUCCGAGUCAUAAUCUCUUGUGGAAUGGAAAAGUAUAUCCACAAAAUGAUCGAAAAGGCUCUGGGCCACAAUUAAAUCAACAUCUUUAAAUUGUUAUACCAAAAUAAAGAGGGAAUCGUAUUUGCCUUAAAUUAAACCUCUGAAAUUAUCAUAAUUUCAUAUAUUUUGUUUGCAAUUGUUUGGAAAUAAAAAAAAGAAGGUGAUUGGCUCAUCUUGUUUUUGGUGAGAAAGUAAAAUAGCAGCCAAUGCAUUUGUUUUGUGGAAAUUAAAUUAAAACCAAGGAAGUAUCAUUAUCAAGAAAUAUGGACCAUAAGAUUCAUUCCUUUUAUUAUAUAUUAUUCAUACUAACACCAUAGAAAUUUCCAUGAAAAAGUAAGUUCCAUGACAUCCAUUGAAGCAAUGACAACAAUUGGCACCUAUGAUAAUGCUCUAGAAUAACGUAUUUUUAUGUAUUAAUCAUGUGUUUAUUCUGAGCUUGAUCCUACUAAUUUGAGCUAUUUAUAUCUUUUUAUCUUUUAGGGACUGAUUUAGAGGCAAAAGAAAAAUUAAGGGACAAAAGUGCGAAUUUGGAGACAAAAUGGGCUGACAUGCAACACAGGAAAAAAAUUGUGUCAAAAGUGCGAGCAUGGAAGACACAAGGACUAAAAAUGCAAAAAGAAGAGAUUUUAUUUUAUAAGACUACAUUUUAUUUAUAUUAGGAUAAUUAAUAUUAAGAUAAUUAUUAGGAUUAUUUAAUUUUAGGAUUUUAUUUUAAUUAUCUUUAAUUAUCUUUAAUUAAAUGUAUUUAUCUUUUUAGAAUUUAAGUUAAAUUAGAUUAUCUCUCAAGCACUAUAAAUAGGGAGUGAAGUGACUCUAUUUGGUGUUCGUCUUUUUCUGUAAAUAUUCUCUCCCUGAAAGUCUAGGCUUUUGUUUCUUCAUAUUUUCUUUCAAUAAAAUUCCUUUUUCCAUUUUUAUAUUUAUUUUCUUUUCCACCAUUAUCAUGAACCACUAAAAUCUAUCUUGCCGAAAGUUGUCAAUAUUCGCCAAAAAGGGUUCUUGAGGCCUAGAAUCCGUACUUAGCCUUCUCGCCAAGUAUUCAUCGUUUCUCCGCACUACGGGCUGACGCUUCCGUCCAUGGCCCUUAAGAAGUAAGCUUUUCAGCAUAUGCAAAGGCGGCCGCUUUGUAUGUUUUGGAAGGAUUGCACAGUCGGUUCGUUAACUUAUUGCGUCAGAGGUUGGCGAGCCAAAGAGACAAAAUAGCGUGGGAUUCGCCAUUAAGAAGCGUUGAUCUAGCAUAAAUUACUGGCUAGAGUCAGGUUCCCUAAAAAUCGUAAGUCUAAUCUUUGGAGCUGGUGGUCGUAGGCGUCCUCUUCCACUAUAACUGGCUUACUUGAGUUGAGAAGGGUUACUUAAAAGCCAAGGAUUGAAUCCAAUGCAAAAUGAGACAAUCGGAGGCUGGAAUUUCGCCACAUAAGAAACUUUCUCUUUUCCCAACUCUAUUUAUUUUUCCUCAUUUCAAUUGCUGCAAUUCAUUUAAUUUCGCAAAUUCAAUUCACUUUAAAUUCUAUUUUUAUUUUUCCAGAUUCUUAAUUUUAUUUUUUUAUUUUUUAGGAACGCAGGUUUUCUUGGCCAAGAAAUUGUCCAGGAUUUCAAGAACGAGCAUUCGUACAAUCCGAUCCUUGAGGAUUCGACCCUACCUCCCCUUUACUAUUAUUUUUACUAUUUUACAUGGAAUAGGAUAUUUUUGGUGCUCUCAAUGAUACAUCAAAUUUUGGCACCGUUUUUGAAGCAAUGAUAACAAUUGGCACCUAUAACAAUUGCAAAAACACCUUGACUCCUCUAGAAAUCCAUCAGUUUGGAAACUAGAACGUUUAUGCUACAACCAGAUAAACAUUUUAGAAAUAUCUGCUCUCCAAAGUCAUCUUUGUUCAUCUUCAAUUUCGUCCUUGUAUAAACAAAACUCCAACAUAUAGAAAAAGAAAUGAUAACCCUUGAAAUCCUUAAUAUCCAAAUCAUAUUUAUGCAUAAGAAAUUUGCAUAGGAGACGAGAAAAUGGAAUCUGAACUUAAUGGGCAAUUUUGUCACAGUCAAGCUAAAGUUUAACAAUUUAGGAUCUUUUAUCUAUAUGGUGUUCCACUUUUAUGUAUAUUUCCUGGUUUUUCAAUAUGAAUUCGGUUCAAAGAAAAGGAAAUUACUUUAAAUUUGUAUAAUUAAUUUGGAUUCAAAAAUAUUUUUUAAUAAUUUGGUAUGCCACAUUAGUAUACGUUCACAUAACUUCUUAUGAAUCUCACAUACAUAUUAUAUGUCAAUUUCUCAAGAAUUUCGUAAACCAUGUUAACAAUUAAUAUUGUUCUGUAAAAAUAGAACGUCGAUUAUGACAAUAUAUAGUAAAGAAAAGAGAAAUAAAAAAAAUAAAGCACACAAAUUUUUACGUGGAAACUCUUUCAAGAAAAAACUACGGGCAGAGGAGAAGAAAAUUCACUAUGUCGAAUUCGAACAAUUACAAGAGGAAUAGACUAUGUCUAUUUAUAGGCUUGUAAAACCAUAUUCUAAUAGGAGUGUAGUAAGGUUGAAAUACCUUAUUCUAAUCAAUAUCAAAUAGAUGGAGUUUAAUAAGGUUUAAAAAACCUUAUUCUAGAAUAAAAUAAAAGAAGUGUAGUUCUAUAUGGAUUUUACUUUUAUUUUAUUUUACCAUUGUACUUUAUUUAAAUAACGAUUCGGGUCACUCAAUUCUAACAAUCUCCACCUUGACAUGAAUUUUCAAUAAACAAGUUCUUCAUUGCGAACUCUCAAUGAACAAGUUCUCCACCUCUUCCAUAAAACCCCUUAAGGGUUUAACUUCAACAAUGAACACCAACCAAGUCUAAACAAUGCUCAAACUUGGUUAUAGGAAGUGACUUAGUCAUCAUAUCUGCAGGAUUUUCAUGAGUACUAAUUUUGCUCACAACAAUAUCACCACGAGCAAUAAUUUCAUGAACAAAAUGAUACCAAACAUCAUUGUGUUUUGUUCUCUCAUGAAACAUUUGAUCUUUUGUAAGGAAGAUGGCACUCUGACUGUCACUAAAUAUUGUAUUGAUUUGAAGGUCUUUAUUGAGUUCACUAAAGAGUCCCUUCAACAAAUAGCUUCUUUACGAGACACAGUAAUCGCCAUGUACUCAACUUCAAUGGUAGACAAAGCAACUGUAGUUUGCAAAGUGGCUUUCCAACUAAUUGCACAACCUCCGAUUGUAAAGACAUAACCUGUGAGAGAUCUUCUAUCAAGGUCUCUAGUAAAAUCAGCAUCAACAUACCCAAUGACUCCAUCUCUAGUUCUUCCAAAUUGUAAGCAAACAUCAGUAGUACCUCGUAAGUAUCUUAAAAUCCAUUGAAUUGCUUUCCAAUGUUCUUUACCUAGAUUUGCCAUGUAUCUACUAACUGCAUUGACUGCAUAUGAUAAAUCUGGACAUGAACAAACCAUAGUAUACAUGAGAGAUCUCACUACACUAGAGUAUGAAACAUUUAACAUGUACUCAAUCUCAUCAUCUGAUUGUGGAGACAAAGCUGAUGAAAGUCUGAAAUGGGCUGCUAAAGGAGUACUAACAGGCUUAGCACUCUGUAUAUAGAACCUGCAAAGAACUUUUUCAAUGUACCCUUUUUGACUUAGGUACAAUUUACUUACUUUUCUAUCUCUGAGAAUCUCCAUACCAAGUAUCUUCUUUGCUGGUCCCAAAUCUUUCAUCUCAAAUUCUUCACUUAGUUGGGCUUUGACCUUCUUAUCUCAUCAACAUAAAGGAGUAGAUACACAAAAGAACCAUCACUAUUUUUCUUAAAGUAAACACAACAAUCAAAACUACUUCUUUUGAAAUCAUGAGAAGUCAUAAAGGAAUCAAACCUCUUGUACCACUGUCUUGGUGACUAUUUCAAACCGUAAAAGGGACUUUCUCAACAAGCAAACAUAGUCCUUUUUUUCUGAUACUGUAAAACCCUUUGGUUGUUGCAUGUAAACAUCCUUCUCAAGUUCUCCAUGCAAAAAUGCAAUUUUUACAUCUAACUACUCAAACUCCAAAUCAUGCACGGCCACAAUACCAAGCAAAGCUCAAAUCGAACUAUGCUUCACAAUUGGGGAGAACACAUCUGUGAAGUCCACUCUCAGAAUUUGACUAUAACCUUUUGCAACAAGUCUUGCUUUAUAUUUGGGUUCUUCAACUCAUGGAGUCUAUUCUUUCUUUUUAAACACCCAUUUACAACGAACAACCUUUUAACCUUUAGGAAGUUUCAAAAUAUCCCAUGUUUUAUUUUUAUGGAGUGAUUUCAUCUCCCAUUUCAUCUCCCAUUUCAUCCACUUUUCUGAGUCUUCACAGCUAACCGCCUCAGAAUAAUUAGAUGGCUAUUGGUUUACAUCUAUAUCUUCAGUCAAAUUUAAGUAUAAGUAACUAAAUCAGUCUCGGCAUACUUCUUUGGAGGUUUAAUUUCUCUUCUAGUUCUAUUUUUGGUGAUAGAGCAUUAUGGUAAAGAAGCAACUCUAUUCUGAAUUUUUGUAUUAGCUUGAGGAGUCAACUCUGUUGUAGAUUUUGGAUUAAUCUGAUGCUCCACCUACUUUUGAUUUUCUUUAUUAGAAGAGUUUUUGAGAGAUAAGUUAGGUAGCAUAGCAGUUUCAUAAAAAACAACAUCUAUGCUAAUCACAACUUUUCAAUUUUUAGGACACCAUAACUUAUACCUUUUACACCAGUUUUAUAACUAAGAAAAACACAUUUAAUGGAUCUCAGUUCCAAUUUUCCAUUAUCAACAUGAGCAUAUGCAAGACACCCAAAGAUCUUUGAAUCAGAAUAGUCAGCAGGAUUGCCAGACCAUAGCUCUUGUGGAGUCUUUUUCUCAAUGGAAACGGAUGAAGAUCGAUUGAUAAAAAAAUAUGUAGUAGAAGCUGCUUCGGGCCAAAACAACUUUGGUAAGUUGGCAUUUGACAACAUACAUUGAACUUUCUCCAUGAUCGUUCUGUUCAUUCAUUCUACAAUGCCGUUUUACUGUUGAGUAUGACGAACUGUCAAGUGCUCGCGAUCCCUUCUGACUUGCAUAGUUUAUAAAACUCAUCAGAAUAGAAAUCUAAGCCAUUUUCUGUACGGAAGUAUUUUAUUUGUUUUCCUAUAUGUUUUUUAGUCAUAGUUUUCCAAGACUUAAAUGCGAAAAAUGCAUCUCUUUUCUGCUUCAGGAAGAACGCCUAAACUUUUCUGGAAAAAUCAUCAAUAAAAGUUAGCAUAUAAUUAGCUCCACCUCUCAAAGGCACUCUGGAUGGUCCCUAUAGAUCAGAAUGAAUAUACUCCAACGUUCUUUUCGAGUUAUGGAUCACUCUAGUGAAUUGUACUCUCUUUUGCUUCCCAAAAAUGCAGUGCUCACAGAACUUUAGUUUGCAAAUUCCUUGCCCAUCAAGAAGUCCUCUUUUGCUCAAUUCUGUCAUGCCAUUCUCACUCAUAUGCCUUAGGCGCAUAUGAAAAAUUUUAGUAAUAUCAUCAUCUAAAAAGGAAGAGGAAGCGACAACUGCAUCACUAAUAACAGUAAAACCUUGCAAAACAUAUAACUUGACAGUCUUUCUUUGCCCUUUCAUCACAACGAGGGAACCCUUGGAAAUUUUCAAAACCCUACUUUUAGGUGUGCAUGUGUACCCUUUUAAAUCAAGAGUACUCAAUGAAAUUAAAUUUCUCUUUAAUUCUAGAACAUGUCGCACAUCACUAAGUGUUUUAACAACUCUGUCAAACAUCUUAACUUUAAUCGUUCCAACACUUGCAGUUUUACACGAAGCAUUAUUUCCCAUCAAAACAACACCUUCAGACAUUGUUUUGUAAGUUGUAAACCAAUCUCGAUUGGGACUCCUAUGGAAGGUGCAGCCCGAAUUAAGGAUCCACUCUUCGCUCACUUUAGAAUUGUUGACAGAAGCUACUAGAAGUUCACCAUCAUUGUAUUCUUCUACAACAUCAGCUUCAACGGAAUUUUUUGGUUGUUUUCCCUUUUCAUUUGCAGCCUUUCUUUUGAUCUUGUUCUGUAUCUUAUAGCACUCAGAUUUAGCAUGUCCUUUCUUCUUGCAGAAGUUACAAGUUUUACCUUUUUUUGAAGACUUCGAUCUACCCUUAGAUUUACCACGAGGAUUCCGUUCCUGUGUCCUUCCACAAUCAUUAUCAGCAUUCCGUUCUUGUCUCCCAUGAACAAUGAGAACCUUUCUGAGAGUUAAUUUUAACCAUAAGAUGCUUCAUCUUAUCAUACGAGGUUAAAGAACCAUAAACCUCAUCAACUGUGAAAGACUCGUGGCUAUAUAAAAUCGUGUCUCUAGAGGUUGAAUAAGAUGGAGGCAAUGAACAAAAUAGAAUCAACCCUAGAUCUUCCUUGUCAUACUGAACCUCCAUGGCCUCCAACAUUGAGAGAAUUUCUUUAAACACAGUUAAGUGUUCGUGCACAGAAACACCUUCCUCCAAACGAUGAGCAUAAAGACGCUGCUUUAUAUGCAACUUGCUGGUUAGAGUUUUCGACAUACAUAUUUGUUCCAACCUCUUCUAUAAUGCAGCGGUGGUCUUCUCCUUCAUCACAUCCUGCAAAUUUUUGCUAGACAAAUGCAGAUGUAAUUGUGUUAACGCCUUUCGAUCCUUACGCUUCUUCUCUUCAUUUGUUAAUGUCGAAGGCAUCUUAUCUAUCCCUAGCAGGGCAUCCUCCAAAUCCAUCUGCGCAAGAACUGCUUGCAUCUUAAUCUACCACAACGCAAAUCUGGUGUUGCGAUCCAACAGCGGAAUUUCAUACUUCAAAAACGUCAUUACCGUGAUCAAGAUGAAAAACCCAGAAGCUUUGAUACUAAUUUGUAAAAACAGAACAUCGGUAAUGACAAUAUAUCACGAAUAAAAGAGAAAUAAAAAAAUAAAGAACAUACAUAUUUUUAUGUGGAAACCCUUUCAGAAAAAACCAUGAGCAGAGGAGAAGAAAAUUCACUAUGUCGAAUUCGAAUAAUUACAAGAGGAGUAGACUAUGUCUAUUUAUAGGCUUGUAAAACCAUAUUCUAAUAAGAGUGUACUAAGAUUGAAAUACCUUAUUCUAAUUAAUAUCAAAUAGAUGGAGUUUAAUAAGGUUUAGAAAACCUUAUUCUACAAUAAAAUAAAAGAAGUGUAGUUCUAUAGGUAUUUUACUUUUAUUUUAUUUUACUAUUGUACUUUAUUUAAAUAAUGAUUCGGGUCACUCAAUUCUAACAUGUUCAAAUCACUCCAGAAUAAUUGCAAAAAUGAAUUUAUUGAGAAUAUUGAAUUACAAGUCGGAACCGUAAACUAUGAAAAAGUGAAUCGAAUACGUAUGACUUUGUUUUAUCUAUUGUGUAGCCUUACAACUCGGGCGAUGUUUUAAAAAUGAUUGGAAUAUGUCCGCCACCUGCUUAAAUUGAAUUAUUAUAUAACUUAUCCAUUGCUUAGCAAAGAUUGUAUUGGCUACCCUUUGGUUCAUCAUGUGCCCACCCGACCCAUUUUAGAUGUUCAUUUUACUAUUUACUUUGAAAAAGAAUAAUCAUCCCAUAUAUUUAUUAAUGUUUUGAAAGAAAAUUCUGUCUAUCCAAUUUAUUGAUGAUGCAUAAAAAUAAUUCCUUAAAAUUUUACUAAUAUAUUUUAAAAAUAAUUCUUUUUGAACAUUUAUAAAUGUGAAAGGGUAUGAUACUCAUGUUUGAAGUCAUGCUAACUCAAUCACUUACUAAAACGAAAUUAAAACAAUUAAUUUUACAAGAGUGGCCAUAUGGCACUUUUUAAUUUCACUUCUAAUAUAUAAAAGUGAUGUCUUUUCUUUCUAUAAUAAAAAAAUGAAAAUGUGAUAAUAAAAUAAUAUCAUCUAGACUUAAAUUAAACGUAACAAAUAUUUCACCCUUAAUAUAUAAAAGGUAUUUAUAUUGACCUGCAAAAUUAAAUUUCUUUAUUAAAAAUUUUUUAUCUAAAUUUUAGGUCUAAUUCGAACCAAAUUAAAUUUAAAUUGUACAAUAGAUGAAGAUACUUGUUAAUUUAAAUUAAUUUUUUUAAUCAAUCAAAUAGGUAUAUAGGUAUAUUUAUAUUAAUUGCUAAGUAUAUACAAUCUUGAUUGUGGAUAAAGCUAGAAGGUAGGAGAUAGCAAAGGGUGUUAGCCUCUUGCCCAAAAUAAAAGGCAUUAUCCCUAAUGAGUGAUAGCAAAGGUGAUUGUUCUUUGAGAAGAAAUUUUCAAGAAUGUCACUCUUGACCCUGUCCGAUGACAAGAGGUUCCACAUUUUUAUUUAUAGCCAUUCAACGUGUAAGGAGGAUUAGUAUCACAAGUACAAGAAGAAAUUCCAACACAACUGAACAAAAAAUUUCCAAGUAUUAUUCUUUUGUGGAAAGAUAUUCUCAAUAGAAAAAUAUAUCCACGAAAUGAUAGAAAAGGCUUUGGGCCACAACUAAAACAACAUAUUUAAAAUGUUAUACCAAAUUAAAGAUGGAAUCGUCAUUGUCAAGACAUCAACAUCUUAUUAUUUUAUACUCUAAAGGAAUUUUGUUAAUUAAUUACUACUCUAAUUAUGGAUAAUUUUGCUAAUUAUUUUUAAAUUAGUACUUAGUACCCCCUACACCAUGUUCGGGGUGUUCCGUUUCUACGACUAAUGAUUUUCCAAUGAUUCUUGAAUGAAAGUUUUGAUUUAACGACAAAUUGCAAUUUCAGAUUAAAAUUAUAUAUAAAAAAAAUCCCCCAUCUGUUGCAACAUUGAACAGUGAGAUGGUUGCCUGACAUUUUCUAUGUAUUAAAAGAAACAAGCAAGAAAUUAGCAAGGCAGGUACUCAAGUAUAUAUCUUUAGCAAGAAAAACUAACACAGGAAUUUCCAAUUUGAUCCACUAUUGUGUUUUCUUUCUAUGGAAGAACAUUAAUCAAUGUGCCCUGGUUACUUCCAUGAAUUUUCUGCUUCUUUAAAAAUAAGAACAAGAAAGAAAGAAAAACAUCAACUUUAGUCCUACAAUCAACUUGUAUAAAUUCGUUAGUCCUGAAACUAUGGCCUCAUCCUUAACCAUUUCCCUUAUUCUAGGGAUACUGCAGGCUACCAUCCUUCUAAUUUCCUUUGAUACAACUGUGUCAAUAGCAGAUCCAUCGCCAUUGGAGUCCAAAGCCAUAUCGCUGCUAGAAAGCGGGUGGUGGAGUAACCAUAGCAGCAAUACUUCACAACGUUGCCAGUGUCCUGCUAUAACCUGCAACACUGCUGAAAGCAUUACCAAAAUUAACUUAUCUGAUGGGCCCGAUAUUGAGGUUGCAUAUAGAUUUGGGAACCAGAACCAGCAAAACAAAACAACAUUGAGGUUGCGCCCAACAUUGUUGAAUGAGCUACAAUUUUGAACUCCAUUUUGUUUUCCAUAUUGCAUCAGAAAUGUAAGAAUAAUCAUAUAUGAACCAGAACCAUAAAUUUAAGGGGAAAUUUUAGAAAAAAAUCUGCUCUUCAAAUUCCUUUGGUCUAGCAAACAUUAGGUCCUUCUGCAACGUGAAUGACAAAGUCAGUCAGCCAUGGUGUCGGUCCUCCUUUCCCUUUCUUGAUGUAAUUUUGUUGCAAUAUGCGGACACUAGGUUGGGACGAAAAACCAUAAUUUAUUAAGGUGGGAGGAUUUGCAAUUCGUGAUUAAACUAUUGGUAAAUUUAUAUUUUGGUCAAUUAACUUUAAAAAAUUACAAAAUAAUUUUUAAACUAUUCUAAAGUUUUAAUUUAAAUAGUUAAUAUUAGUAAAUUUAUAUCUUCAUUUAAUUAAAUUGGGUUCACUGACUCUCAUUAUAUCUCUUCAAAUCCACUAUAUGCUUAGAAAUUUCGAAGAAAGAAGAAAAAAAUGUUAUGGACAAUUUCAGAGCCUAAGUUUUCCAAUUAAGAACCUUUCGUGGAAAAAUUGACAUUUGAAUAAUCAUCACAUACAAUCAUUAUUUACAAGGUGUUCCACAUUUGCAUAUAAUAUAUUUCCAAUUUGGUCCAAAGAAAAAGGAAGAUAUUUUAGAAGUGCGUAAUUUUGAAUUCAAAGCUUAAUAUAUGUAAUUUAUGCUUAAUACAUUCAAUAUUUAUGUGUGAAGUAAACUUAUCAAAUAUUAAAACAAUGUCUCAUUCAUCAAUUUGCAUAAAGAAAGCACUAAGCCAAACCAUUUAGAAAGGAGGGACUGAUGCUCAUGGCCUGAGUUUUAUUCUGGGUGUUUAAAACUCUUCAAUUGUCUUUAAUAAUUUCAUUCGUUUUGGUUUUUUAUUUUUAUACUAAGGUUAAGUUUGGCACUUAUUUUAAUUUUAUGAAUUUUAAAUAUUAUUUAACAAAAUUUCAAAUUAUUUUUUAUAAAUAUUUUUAAAAUAAAAAAUAUUCAAUAAUUUUUUUAAAUAUAUAUAAUUUUUAAGUUAUUUACAUUAUUUUAAAAAUAAAAUAUUAUUUUUUAUAUUAUAACAAUUAAAUUAAUUAAUAUAAAUUAAAAGUAUAAAUCACUUUUUAACCCUUAAACUUAGUUGUUUUUCUUAAGUUGAUACCUAAUGUUUUUGGAUCUAAGUUGGUACUUGAACUUAUAUUUUAGGUAACAUUUUACUCAUUUUUAGUAUCAAUAUUAAAUUAUGUUGACAUACAUUUUAAGAUUUGUGCCAUGUUAUCACUUUAAAAUUUAUUUAAAUUUAAAAAUAUUUAAAAAUAAAAAACAAUUAUUUAAAACUAUAAAAAAUUAUAAACUUUUAUUAAAAAUUAUAAUAAAUCUAUUUGAAAAUCUUUUUAAUUAAUUUUCUUUUUACUUAGGAUUUUUUAUUCCUUUAUAAUUAGUUAUACAACAAUUAUAACCAAUCUUCUAUAUUUUUGUUUUCUUUUUCUUUUUACUCGAGAUUUUAUUUAUUUAUUUUUCCUUCAAAACUCUAAAAUGCUUCUUCCCUAUUUCUUUUCUUCGUCACUAUCCCACUUGUCACUGCCAUCUGGCACCACCCCUAACCUAGAAAUGGCACAAAUUUGUUCUUCUCUUUCUCUUAAACUUUCCACUAGAGGAAAAUAGAUUUUUAAUGGCACUUUUUUUUUUGGCUCUAUAAGCAUCGCAAAAAACACCGUUAUAAAUAACUCAACUAAAUUUCGCAUCGUUUAUUUGGGAAAACGCCGCUAUAAAACAUUAUAUUUAACUUUUGGAAAAUAUUGACAUCACAUAUAUAAUAAGGGUAAUUACAUGUUAUUAUUUACUAUCAUAAUAGGUUAGCCUAAAUUAAAAGUGAUCUAAUUUGGUUAAAAUUUUAUUGGAUUUAAUUAUUAAAUAAAGUAUGGGUCAAAUAUGUGCAGAUACUCUAGUAAUUAAAUUCUAAUCAAAUUCUGAUUAAUGAUGAGCUAAUUAGAAUUUGAUUAGAACUAAUAUGCCAAUGUUAUAAAUAUUAGGGUUAUGGUCCCCAAAUUAUACGUAAGAUAUCUUUUCUAAUAUCCCAUCAUUAGGAAAGAGAGAGCAGAUAUUCUCUGAAUUUCUUGUGUGCUAAUUUGGAAGAUCAAAUCUCCAAGAUCUGGUAAAACUUCAAGAAAUUCAUGGAUUCAGGUAUGCUUCCUCAUCUAGUUUUGUUCUUAAUGAUAUGACAUGAUAGAUCCUAGUUUAUUAAAUUUUAUUUCAGAUUUAUUUUACAAAUCUAACAAGUGGUAACAGAGCCAGGUUAUGUUAAGUCAUUAGGAAUUGAUUAAAGUUUCUUAUUUAAACGAUUGAUUCAUAAAUUUUUAUGGGUUUUAUAUUUCAGAUAUAUAUUGAUCUUUGAAGGCUUAUAUUAAAGUAUUUCUUUUUUGAAUUUAAAAAAAAGUUAACAGUAAAUAGACAUAACUUAAUUCAUAUAUAUAUUGAUUAUAUACAUAUAUAAUAAAUGCAUGUUGUUUUGGAAAUUUAUAUAAAUAUAUAUAAUUAUCUUUUAAUUUGAUUGAAAGAUGAAAUUAAGGUAAAUAUUUUGAAACAAAUAAAUUCAGAUUUUGGCUCUUAAUUAAGGAUAUCUAAUAUUUUAAAUAAAUUAGUUGAAACAAAAUGCCGUCAAAAUGACUUUUUUUGUGUAGAUUAGUUUAUUUGAAAUAUUAAGAUAAUUAUAUGUUUUUGUGAUUCAUGCAUUUAUUAAUUGACCCAAAGGUAAGUUAAUAUUUGGCAGAAUUUCAAUGACAUCUGUGGUGAUAAAUGUGUGACAAUUAUAAGGUAUUUUAUGUGAGCAAUAAGUUAGUCCAAAGAUUAAUUCAUUGUUUAACAUAAUUUAUUGUCAAUAUUUGAUUGCUACAACAAGAGUACCGCUUACGGUUAAUAUUAUUGUCCAAAGACUUGAUAUUAAUGUUGUGUUUGGUAUCUUGAGAUGGGAUUAGCUGUUAUCUUGAAUUUAUUAUUUACUUAUGAAUAUUAAUUUAAACUUGUUUUUGUUCUAUAUUCAGCUAAUUCAUCUUUGGCUGUCACAAUAUCUGCUACUAUAAUUCUAUACCCAUGCUUGAUGGGACUAAUUUUAAGGAAUGGAAAAGGCACUUACUUAUAGUGCUUGGCUAUUUGGACAUAGACCUUACACUAAGGGAAGAACAACUUGCACCUCUCAUUGUGGAAAACACCCCUGAUGUUAAAAGGGAUUUUGAGAGGUGGGAUCGUUCAAAUCGCAUGAGUCUAAUGAUCAUGAAACACAGCAUUCCAGAAGCCUUUAGGGGCACAGAAUCUGAAGAGAUUACUUAGGCUAAGGGUUUCCUUGAUGAAAUUGAAAAAUGUUUUGCUAAAAACGAUAAGGUUGAGAUGACAUCACUUCUGGCUUCUUUGAUGUCUAUGAUGUAUAAAGGUCAAGGAAACGUAAGGGAGUACAUUAUGGAGAUGUUUCAUAUUGCUUCAAGACUUAAGGUACUUAAGAUCGAGCUUUUUUCCAAUUCUUAUGGUUUUGGCAUCGCUUCCUGCACAGUUUAAUCAAUUUAAAAUUAGUUAUAACUAUCAAAAGAAGAAAUAGACCCUAAAUGAGCUCAUUUCUCAUUGUGUGCAAGAGGAAGAAAGGUUGAAGCGUGGUAAGCCUGGACGUGCUCAUUUGGCCAAUGCCCCUGAAGAUAAGAGCGAGAAAAGAAAAUAUCAGAAUGAAUCUGCUAAGGGUCCAACUCAAAAGAAACAUCAACAAGCUACAGAGUUGUUUCUUUUGUAACAAGUCUGGACACGUAAAGAAAGAUUGUACCAAAUGUCAUGCUUGGCGUCAAAGAAAGGUAUAAUUCUUAAUUUGGUCUGUUCUGAUAUUAAUUUAGCUUCAGUACCUAGAAAGACUUAGUGAAUAGAUUCUAGUGCUACUACUCCAUAAGUGUUUCUAUGCAGGAUUGCCUGAGUUACCGAAAGCUAAGUGAUGGUGAAAGACACAUCUUUGUGGGCAAUGGAAAAUCGGUAAAAGUGGAAGUGAUUGGGCAUUUUAGAUUGUUAUUAGGAACUGGUUUUUAUUUGGAUUUAAAAAAACUUUUAUUGUACCGUCAUUUAGAUGGACUUUAGUUUCUGUUUCUUCAUUAGACAAAUUUGGAUAUUAUUGUUCAUUCGGAAACAAUCAAUUUAAUUUUUCUUUAAAUUCAAAUGUUAUUGGAACUGGUUAUUUAAAUACUUAUGACAACCUUUAUUUGCUAGAAGCAGUUACAUCCUAUAAUGAAACCUUGCAUGUGGAAUCACAUGGUAUUAAAUGCAAAUUAAAUAAAGAAAAUUCAGCAUCAUUAUGGCAUAGGCGCUUAGGUCAUAUUUCAAAAGUUAGAGUUGAACGUCUUAUGACUGAUGGUAUUUUAAAGUCCCUUAACUUCACAGAAUUUGAUGUCUGUGUCAAUUGCAUUAAGGGGAAACAGACCAAAACCAAGAGAUUGGGUGCCAACAGAUCUUCAGACAUCUGAUAAUGCUCUAAAAUAACGUAUUUUUAUGUAUUAAUCAUGUGUUUAUUCUGAGCUUGAUCCUACUAAUUUGAGCUAUUUAUGUCUUUUUAUCUUUUAGGGAUUGAUUUGGAGGCAAAAGCAAAAUUAAGGGACAAAAGUACGAAUUUAGAGACACAAUGGGCUGAUAUGCGACACAAGAAAAAGAUUGUGCCAAAAGUGCGAGCAUGGAAGACACAAGGACUAAAACGCAAAAAGAAGAGAUUUUAUUUUAUAAGACUCUAUUUUAUUUAUAUUAGGAUAAUUAAUAUUAGGAUAAUUAUUAGGAUUAUAUAAAUUUUAGGAUUUUAUUUUAAUUAUCUUUAUUUAUCUUUAAUUAAUUGUAUUUAUCUUUUUAGAAUUUAAGUUCAAUUAGACUAUCUCCCUAGCACUAUAAAUAAGGGGUGAAGUCACUCUAUUUGGGGUGCUCAUCUUUUUCUGUAAACACUCUCCCCUUGAUAGUCUAGGUUUUUGUUUCUUCAUAUUUUCUUUCAAUAAAAUUCCCUUAUCCAUUUUUAUAUUUAUUUUCUUUUCCACCAUUAUCAUGAGCCACUAAAACCUAUCUAGCUGAAAGUUGUCAAUAUUCCCCAAAAAGGGUUCUUGAGGCCUAGAACCCGCACUUAGCCUCCUCGCUAAGUAUUCAUCGUUUCUCUGCACUAUGGGCUGACGCUUCCGUCCAUGCCCCUUAAGAAGUAAGCUUUUCAGCAUAUGCAAAGGCGGCCGCUUUGUAUGUUUUGGAAGGAUUGCAUAGUCGGUUCAUUAACUUACUGCGUCAGAGGUUGGCGAGCCAAAGAGUCAAAAUGGCGUGGGAUUCGCCAUUGAAAAGCAUUGAUCUAGCAUAGAUUACUAGCUAAAGUUAGGUUCUCUAAAAAUCGUAAGUCUAAUCUUUGGAGCUGGUGGUCAUAGGCGUCCUUUUCCACUAUAACUGGCUUACUUGAGUUGAGAAGGGUUACUUAAAAGCCAAGGAUUGAACCCAAGGCGGAACGAGACAACCGGAGGCUGGAAUCUCGCCACAUAAGAAACUUUCUCUUUUCCCAACUCUAUUUAUUUUUCCUCAUUUCAAUUUCUGCAAUUUAUUUUCUCAAAUCCAAUUCACUUUAAAUUCUGUUUUUAUUUUCCCAAAUUCUUAAUUUUAUUUUUUUAUUUUUCAGGAACGCAGGUUUUCUUAGCCAAGAAAUUAUCGAAGAUUACAAGAAACGAGCAUUCGUACAAUCCGAUCCCUGAGGAUUCGACCCUACUUCCUAUUUACUGUUAUUUUUACUAUUUUACAGGAAAUAGGAUAUUUUUGGUGCUCUAAACGACGCAUCAAAUUUUGGCACCGUUGCCGGGGAUCGGUAACGUACUAAUCUUGUUUUUUUUUUGUUUCUUAUGACCAGAUCUGCUCCAGGAACUCUUGCGUUUGAUUCAGAGAUUGAAAAGACUGCGAGAGCUAAUUUCAAGGAAACAAAGCUAAGGAAAAAGCAGUCAGCGGUGGUUGGAACUCAAAGCAAUCCACCGCCAGAAAUCAUAAUCGACGACGAAGCAGAGUCUAGGGUUAACGAAAACCCUAAUCAAACUUUUGAAGGUGAAAAAGUAGAAGUCGAUUCCCCAGAAGAAGUGCUUAACGCUAGGGUUGACGUAAACCCUAAUUUAGCACCUCAACCUAUGGCUUAGACAAUUCGGCAACUGGCCGAAGCGUCGAUAGCAAUUGCCACUAUGCAUCGCAUAUCCUAUUAUGGAUACUGAUUUUGAAUUAAAGUCAGGCUUGAUCCAGCUACUGCCAACCUUUCGGGGUUAUAGAACGAAAAUCCCCACAAGCAUUUAAAAGAAUUCCAUAUGGUUUGUUUGCGUAUGAAACCUCAGAGGGUAACUGAGGAUCAAGUUAAACUACGUUGUCCCUUUUUCCUUAGCAAAUUCUGCUAGGGAAUGGUUAUUUUAUUUACCUCCUGGAUCUGUAAUGACUUGGGCUGAUCUGUCUCGUUUAUUUCUCAACAAGUUUUUUCCAGCGUCGCAUGCAGCCGAGUUAAGAAGAGAAAUCAUAGGCAUAAGGCAAAAAGACACGGAGUCUCUGUAUGACUACUGGGAGUGAUUUAAAAAGUUAUGUGCAAGUUGCCCACAAUACAGUGUAACGGAACAGUCUUUACUCCAAUACUUUUAUGAAGGCCUAAAACCCAUGAAGAUGAAUAUGGUAGAUGCCGCUACUAGAGGAUUGUUGGUCAACAUGACUCCACAACAAGCAAGAGACUUGAUCUCCACAAUGGCUGCAAAUACUCAGCAAUUUCGAGCCAAUCAUGAACCCCCUAGAAGGGUUCACCAGCUAAGUAAUUCGACCUUAGAAGAUAAGGUUGAUAGAAUUACUAAUAUUCUGAAUUCUCUUGUUGCAGAAAAAGUAAAGACAGCCCGAGUAUGUGGAAUAUGUGCUACCCCUGAACAUACAACUGAUGCAUAUCCCAGUUUGAAUGAUGAUACUAUGGCCCAUUUAGAUGCUAUAGGAUAUUUUCCUAGGCCACCACAAAGGCGAUACGACCCUUACGCCAAUACCUACAACCCAGGAUGGAGGGACCACCCUAACUUUAGUUAUGGGGCUAAUCCACAAUAUAACCAGCCAUACCAAAAUGGGGUCCCACAACAGCCAUAAGAUUCAGGUAAUUCUCUGGAAACUUUGGUCAAAAAUUACCAGCUAAUGUCAUUGAUUUUCAAUAGAAAACUCUUAAUUUCCAAAAAGAAACGAAGGCAUCUAUAAGAGAAUUGACCACGUUAAUUGAGAAAUUAAGUUCUCAAGGGAAGCUACCGUCGUAAACAGAACUAAACUCGAGACAGAAUACAAAUGCAAUUACGUUGCGAAGUGGAAAGGUGCUGGAACCAAUUCCUAGCAAGAAUCUUGGUCAAGAAAUCACCUAGGAAACUCUAGAAAAUGACGAACAGAUCUGAGCGAAACUCCCACUGCCGAAAAUCCAACCUCCAUUCCCAGGAUGAUUAAAUCAGUGUCGAAAAAAUAAGGAAGACAAGGAGAUACUCGAAACAUUCAGAAAUGUCGAGAUCAACAUGCCACUGUUGGAUGCCAUCAGACAAAUUUCAAGGUAUGCCAAAUUCCUUAAAGAGAUCUGCACCAAAAACGAAAGUUAACAAGCAAUAAAAAGGUAAGUGUUGAUGAAAAUGUUUCCGCAGUGCUACAGCGAAAAAUGCCGGUUAAAUGCAAAGAUAGGGGUAUGUUCACUAUUCUAUGCAAAAUUGGUCAUUUAGGAAUUAAAAAGGCUAUGUGCGAUUUAGGGGCGUCCAUAAAUGUAAUGCCUUAUUUUAUUUAUGAAUCACUUAACGCGGGUUUUUUAACAAAGACAGGUGUUACCAUUCAGUUGGCAGACAGGUCCAUUGUGCAUCCCGAAGGGGUCCUCGAGGACGUAUUAGUCAAACUACAAAUUUUUAUGUGAUAAAAAUGGAGGAGGAUAACACUCCUGGGUCUUUAGACAUCUUGUUGGGAUGACCUUUCCUUAGUACUGCGAAUACUAAGAUUGAUGUACGAAGCAGAACCCUCACGAUAGAGUUUGAUGGGGAGAUCGUGAAGUUUAAUGUUUAUGGCACUAUUAGUCACCCAAGUGAAGUCUUGGAUGUAAACCGUGUCGACAUAAUUGACUCAUCAGUAGAACAAACUUUUGAGUCAUCUUAUGGAGAUAAACCUAAAAUGAUGUUUGAUGAUUUUGAAUCUGUUAAUAAAUUAUUAGCUCCCAUGAAUACUAAACUUCUACCUCCUGUUGUGCAGGCACCAGAUCUAAAAUUAAAACCACUUCCCGAGCAUCUCAAAUGCACAUUUUUGGAGAAUGAUGAGACCAUUGCUGACUUAAAAGGGAUCAACCCCUUGGUGGAAAAUACGAAACCAAAGAAAGAGGCGGAAGGACGAUUAAACCCAAAUAUGGUGGACGUGUUAAAAAAUGAGAAUUUCCAAGCUCAUAAGAAUGAAAGAAUUCAGCUGGAACAGCCACAAUACUAGUUGGGGCGUCAAGCUAGCGACGUUAAACAAGCGCUUGUUGGGAGGCAACCCAAUUUUUUAUUUUUAUUUUAUUUAUUUUAUCUUAUUAUUUAUUAUUUUCAGAUAUUAAUAAAAUUCUCUUCUUUUGUCUAGGUAAACCGAAGCAACAAUAGGGAGAACUUAUUACCAUAAUGCGCGAAUGAUAGUAACUACACGGGGAGUUCUUCUAAACUUUUCUUCUACCUAUUUAUUUAUUUAUUCCACAUCGAGGACUAUGUGGUUUAAAUAGGGGGAGGCAUUCCUUAUUAUUUCUAUCAUUUUAGAUGCUAAAUCUUUGUUGUUGUUGCUGCUGAUUCGGUUGUUGCUGCCCAUAUAAUUUUUUUUAAGAAUAUUUUGCCUCUUUUCAUGCCCAAGAAUUUGACCACCACUUGCCCACUGUUUGACCCACAUGCAUGAUUCUUAUCUACUGAGUUAAUUAUGAUUUUGCUUGAUAGAUUUCAUCUCCACUGUUUUAUUUCUUUUAGUUUAAAUAACUAUGAUUAAUAGAGUUAACCCUAUCUUGAUUUUGGUAAAUUUGAUUAAGUCUAAAUACGAAGAGGACACUUAAUUGCAUGCUUAAAAUAUGUUCAUGACUAUUAAGGUAGUUACCGAAACUUGUUUUUGACACUUGAUUGUUUUUCCUAAGUCCUCCAAAAUUAAAAUUUGAUUUAAUAAUAAUAAUGUUUCCGUGGUUAUGAGUGCAGCUUAAGACGUGACUAGCUGAGUAACCGGGGUAGGGUGCUUGGGUUGUCAUCCUAUUUCGCGUCAAAAGGUUGUGUGACGUGUUAGGUAAAAUUCCGCUAACCGGAAUUAAUUUCUAAGAGUAACCAGGGUGGGUGCUUGGGUUGUCAUGUCUCUUCGCGUCAAAAGGUAUAGUAUAUUCCUAAGUAAAAAUAAAUAAAUUAAAUUAAAAUUCUAUAACAAAAAGAAAAAAAGAAAAAAAAAGUCAUAUUAAUAAAAUGUGAGGACUAAAGGUAAAAUUGAAUAGGGUGUCUUGAUAGGUUUGGUAAAUUAUCUAAUUUUCAUGAAAUAAUCCAAGUCGAUCUUAAUUUUGUUUGUGUUAAUUAGAACACUUUUUCAAAUUUUACUUAAAUCAAGCUAAGGGUUCUCUUUAUUUUUCGUAUGCAUUUUGACUAAUUUUUAUAAAACUUUGGAGUAGAAUUUCUUUCAUGGCAGGAUUUAAUUUUCACAGUGGAUAGGAACCAUACUUGAGGGUAAGCAUGGACUAAAUAGGGGGAAUUUGAUAAUGCUCUAGAAUAACGUAUUUUUAUGUAUUAAUCAUGCGUUUAUUCUGAGCUUGAUCCUACUAAUUUGAGCUAUUUAUGUCUUUAUAUCUUUUAGGGACUGAUUUGGAGGCAAAAGCAAAAUUAAGGGACAAAAGUACAAAUUUAGAGACACAAUGGGCUGAUAUGCAACACAGGAAAAAGUUUGUGCUAAAAGUGCGAGCAUGGAAGACACAAGGACUAAAAAUGCAAAAAGAAGAGAUUUUAUUUUAUAAGACUCCAUUUUAUUUAUAUUAGGAUAAUUAAUAUUAAGAUAAUUAUUAGGAUUAUUUAAAUUUUAGGAUUUUAUUUUAAUUAUCUUUAUUUAUAUUUAAUUAAUUGUAUUUAUCUUUUUAGAAUUUAAGUUCAAUUAGACUAUCUCCCUAGCACUAUAAAUAGGGGGUGAAGUGACUCUAUUUGGGGUGUUCAUCUUUUUUUGUAAACACUCUCCCCCUGAAAGUCUAGGCUUUUGUUUCUUCAUAUUUUCUUUCAAUAAAAUUCCCUUUUCCAUUUUUAUAUUUUUUUUCUUUUCCACCAUUAUCAUGAGCCACUAAAACCUAUCUAGCCGAAAGUUGUCAAUAUUCCCCAAAAAGGGUUCUUAAGGCCUAGAACCCGCACUUAGCCUCCUCGCCAAGUAUUCAUCGUUUCUCUGCACUAUGGGCUGACGCUUCCGUCCAUGCCCCUUAAGAAGUAAGCUUUUCAGCAUAUGCAAAGGCGGCCGCUUUGUAUGUUUUGGAAGGAUUGCAUAGUCGGUUUGUUAACUUACUGCGUCAGAGGUUGGCGAGCCAAAGAGACAAAACGGCGUGGGAUUCGCCAUUGAGAAGCGUUGAUCUAGCAUAAAUUACUAGGUAGAGUAAGGUUCCCUAAAAAUCGUAAGUCUAAUCUUUGGAGCUGGUGGUCGUAGGCGUCCUCUUCCACUAUAACUAGCUUACUUGAGUUGAGAAGGGUUACUUAAAAGCCAAGGAUUGAAUCCAAUGCAAAAUGAGACAAUCAGAGGCUGUAAUUUCGCCUCAUAAGAAACUUUCUCUUUUCCCAACUCUAUUUAUUUUUCCUCAUUUCAAUUGCUGCAGUUCAUUUAAUUUCGCAAAUUCAAUUCACUUUAAAUUUUGUUUUUAUUUUUCCAAAUUCUUAAUUUUAUUUUUUUAUUUUUUAGGAACGCAGGUUUUCUUCACCAAGAAAUUGUCCAGGAUUACAAGAAACGAGCAUUCGUACAAUCCGAUCCCUAAGUAUUCGACCCUACUUCCCCUUUACUGUUAUUUUUACUAUUUUACAGGGAAUAGGAUAUUUUUGGUGCUCUUAACGACGUAUCAAUAUCUUAGAAUUAAUUCAUACAGAUAUUUGUGGGCCAUUUCCUACGGCAUCCUGGAAUGGUCUACAAUAUUUCAUAACAUUCAUAGAUGAUUACUCAUGUUAUGGGUACCUAUAUCUCAUUAAUGAGAAAUCUCAGUCUUUGGGCAUGUUCAAAACUUAUAAAGCUGAAGUUGAGAAUCAACUCAACAAAAGGAUUAAAAAGUCAAAUCUGAUCCUGGUGGUGAGUACUACGGUAGAUUUGAUGGCUCAGGUGAACAAUGUUCAGGACCAUUUGCGAAAUUCCUAGAGGAAUAUGGUAUUGUCCCAUAACACAUCAUGCCAGGAUCACCUAGUAUGAAUGGUGUAGCUGAAAGAUGAAAUAGAACUCUUAAGGAUAUGGUAAGGAGCAUGAUUACUCAUUCUACCUUACUUGAGUCCCUCUGGGGAGAAGCAUUAAAGACAACAACUUACAUUCUGAAUAGAGUACCCAAUAAAGCAGUUGCAAAAACACCUUAUGAGCUUUGGACAGGUCAAAAGCCUAGUUUAAAGCACUUUCACAUUUGGGGAUGUCCAGUUGAGGCAAGGCCUUAUAGGUCACAUGAAAAGAAAUUGGACUCCAAAACAGUAAGUAACUACUUUAUUGGUUAUUCUGAACGAUCUAGGGGCUAUAAAUUUUAUGAUCCCAUAAUAAGGAAUAUUUUUGAGAUGGGAACUGCACAUUUUUAAUGAUGUUGAGUUUGGAGGGAGAAAUAAGGUUAGAGACAUUACUUUUGAGGAUGAAUUGGAUUCUAACUAAAUUCCUACUAUCACUUUUGAUGAUGUUUAGGUUCUUAUACCUAUCAUUGAUUAGGAAGUGAAUCCAGAACCUCUACAAGACAAUGUUGAACAACUCUCAAUUCAAAAUGAGAUAAUUUUUCUAGAAGAACAAACUCAACAACCUCAAGAACAAGUGUCAUUAAGGAGGUCCACAAGAGAAAGGAGAAAUGCUAUUCCAGAUGAUUAUAUUGUAUUUCUCCAAGAACAUGAGGAUGAUAAUGGAAUGAUGGAAGAUGAUCCAAUCAACUUUCAUCAAGACAUAAAAAGUUCUAAUUCUUAAAAGUGGAUUGAUGCCAUGAAAGAUGAGUAUAAAUCUAUGCAACAGAAUAAAGUUUGGGAACUUGCCCCAUUACCUGAAAGUGCAAAACCAAUUGGUUUUAAAUGGAUAUUUAAAACCAAGAGGGAUGCAAAUGGUAAUAUGGAGAGGUAUAAGGCGCGUCCUAUAGCUAAAGGAUAUACUCAAAAAGAAGGUAGUUAUUUUACAGAGACUUUCUCUCCAGUUUCAUCGAAAGACUCCUUCAGGAUAAUCAUGACGCUUGUUGCUCAUUUUGAUCUUCAGUUACAUUAGAUGGAUGUCAAGACUGCGUUUCUUAAUGAUGAUAUUGAAAAAACAAUUUAUAUGGUGCAACCAAAAAAUUUUGAGUCGGAAGACUCAAAGAAUAUGGUUUACAAAUUGACAAAAUCUAUCUAUGGACUCAAACAAGCUUCUCGUCAAUGGUAACACAAGUUUCAUCAAAUAAUUAUUUCGUUUGGUUUUGAGAUGAAUAUUGUUGAUGAUUGUGUGUAUAACAAAUUCAAUGGGAGUAAGUACAUAUUUCUGGUUCUAUAUGUUGAUGACAUUUUGCUUACCGCUAAUGAUAUAGGCUUAUUAGACGAAAAUAAUAGAUUUUUAUCUAAGCAUUUUGAGAUGAAAUAUCUUGGGGAUGCCUCUUUUGUUUUAGGAAUUUAGAUACAUCAAGAUUGACCUCGAGGUAUUCUUGGAUUAUCACAAAAUAGCUAUAUCGAUAAAGUACUCAAAAGGUUUGGCAUGCAGAGUUAUAGACCAGGUGACACCCCUAUCGUUAAAGGAGACAAAUUUAGUCUUACUCAAUGCCCUAAAAGUAACCUUGAAAUUCAAGAAAUGCAAAAGAUUCCCUAUGCGUCAGCUUUUGGGAGUUUAAUAUAUGUUCAAGUUUGUACACGUCCGGACAUUGCGUACAUUGUUGGGAUGUUAGGCAAAUAUUUAAGCAACCCUAGUAUAGACCAUUGGAAAGCAGCCUAAAGGGUUAUGAGAUAUCUUCAGAGAAUAAAAGAUUACAUGCUUACUUAUAAGAGAUCAGAUCUUUUAGAGGUCAUAGGGUAUUCUGAUUCUAAUUUUUCUGGAUGCAAAGAUAGUAGAAACUCUACAUCAGGCUAUAUUUACAUGUUAGCUAAAGGAGCUAUAUAUUAGAAAAGUGUCAAACAGACACUUGUAGCUUCGUCCACUAUGGCAGUAGAGUUUGUAACAUGCUAUGAGGCAUCAAACCAUGGAAUAUGGUUGCAGAACUUUGUUAUAGGGCUGCGCAUUUUGAAAAAUGUAGAAAGACCACUCAAAUUAUUUUGUGACAAUUAGUUAGCAGUGCUAUAUUCCAAUAACAAUAGGAGUUCAUCUAAGUCAAGGCAUAUUGACAUAAAAUUCUUAGUUGUAAAAGAAAGAGUGCAAAAUAGUCAAAUAUCCAUAGAGCACAUUGGGACAAACUCCAUGAUAACGGAUCUGCUCACAAAAGGUUUACCACCCAAUGUCUUUCAUGAGCACACUGCUCAUAUAGGUGUUACAUUGUUUGGGGAUAUCAUGAUUUUGUGGGAGUUUAUAUUUUAUUUGUUUUAUAUUUGUUUUUAGACAUUUAUGUAUUUGGUUAUUUUCUGGUCAGAAAUAAAGUAUUUAGUUUAUUCAUUAUGUUUAUUAUUUUGGUACUGACCUCACUUAAGUUUAAAAAGGACCAGUUGGAAAUAGACAUGUUUAUAUCAUAUUGCAUGUAAUUUCCAUGCUACACAUCCAUACUUGGUCUAUGUCAUUUGGUUGUGUUAAUAUACGUGAUCAUGGAUGGAUUUAGUUACGAUAUAUGUAAAAUCGCCUUGGUUCUAUGUUAACAUAAUUAAUGGACAAGAUUGUUUGGAAUACCUUUUGGAUAUGAUAGUUAAAUUUUGAGCUCAUAAGGUUAUAUAAUGACAUAUAAUUAUAGAGUAAUUAGUAUUUAUAUAUGGUCCAAGUGGGAGAUUGUUGGAAAAUAUGGACAUCACAUAUAUAAUAAGGGUAAUUACAUGUUAUUAUUUACUAUCAUAAUAGGUUAGCCCAAAUUAAAAGUGAUCUAAUUUGGUUAAAAUUUUAUCGGGCUUUAAUUAUUAAAUAAAGUAUGGGUCAAAUAUGUGUAGAUACUCUAGUAAUUGAAUUCUAAUCAAAUUUUGAUUAAUGAUGGGCUAAUUAGAAUUUGAUUAGAACUAAUAUGCCAAGGUUAUAAAUAUUAGGGUUAUGGUCCCCAAAUUAUACACAAGAUAUCUUUUCUAAUAUUCCAUCAUUAGUAAAGAGAGAGCAAAUAUUCUCUAAAUUUCUUGUGUGCUAAUUUGGAAGAUCAAAUCCCCAAGAUCUGGUAAAACUUUAAGAAAUUCAUGGAUUCAGGUACAUUUCCACAUCAAGUUUUAUUCUUGAUUUGUUCUUAAUUUAUUCCUGAUGGUUUGACAUGAUAGAUCCUGGUUUAUUAAGUUUUAUUUAAGAUUUAUUUUACAAAUCUAACAUUAGCAGCGCUUAUCAUAAAAAUGCCACUAAAGGUCAUGUUCUUUAGCUGCGUUUAUGUGUAAAGCACCACUAAAGGUCAUGUUCUAUAGCGGCAUUUGUGUGUAAAACGCCACUAAAGGUCAUGUUCUAUAGCGGCGUUUGUGGGAAAUCACCAUUAACUUUAACAGAUUUUACUAAAUUGUUUUAAUUCAUAUAGAACCCGAAUUUUCAACAUAAUUUCUUGUAACAUCAAAUCCAACCAAAAAAAUUCAAAUCUAAAUGAUUCUAUCAUGAAAGAAAUAUGUAUAUGAACUAAAUUAAUAAAUGAAAUAACAAAAUAUAUUUUAUUCGAAAGUUAUAUUGUUAAGAUAUUCUCACAAUAAGAAAACAAAAUUCUAAGAUGCGAAUUUUGCGACUGCUGAAACAUCUUCAUCAUAUUCUGAAGCUGUAGCUGAUGUUCAUCAUAUUUUCUUUGAGCCUCUAUUUGUUUCAAUGAUACCUCCUCUUUAAGUUGAGCAAUUUGCUCAACUGUGCUCGCUUGCAUCUGAGCCAUCUGGUCUCUUAACCUCUGAACUUCAGCUUGAGCCUGAUUGCUGAAGGCGUGUAUUGUUGCGAGCUGGAUUCAAAAUAUUGGGUUGGGCUAACAAAAGAUCCUUAAAAUCAAACCUGACCAUACCUUUUAGGACCCAAAAAUUCAGUAAUAAUUCAGUUAUCAAUGUUGUCCAGAUUAACAGAACUAUCACUUGAAGCGAUCGCUUCAUACUCCACCCUUUUAUCCUUUAGUUUCUCCUAAUAUCAAUGAAGGAGCUAGAAACAAAAUAUAUAAUCAAACAAAUGCAACAUAACUUGGCAUUAUUUGCAUUACAAACGACGAAUUUAACGAUAACUUUUUUUUCAUAUUAGGUAGCCCUUCAUUUUAUAUGAACAAUGAGAGAACUUUAUUGCACCAUCAUUUGUUUUGAUAUUGAACUUUUACAAAUUUAACGAUAAAUAAUUAUUAUUGCUUCAUGCAUUUAAAAGUAAAUAUAUCACUAAUUAAAUUUUCAUAAUCCUAUAACCAUAAUGAAUCUACUUUUUUUAAAAAAAGGUAUAAAUUUAACAUGUACCUAUAAUAAUGCUUGCCAGGAUACUACUACUAAUCUUUUGAGUCUGCAUUUUAUGCUCGCAAUGGAAUCCUGUACUACUGUAUUCAUAAUGAAGAGGACAAGACUCUGAUGAGCAAUAGUUGCUAGGUAUAUUCAAACAAAGCAUGCAGCAAUUUUGAUAAUUCUCACAGUUCCCAUCUGUCAUUUAUGAAAUGAAUAAAAAAAAGCUUAUAAUCAUAUUAUUCGGUUAAAGUAUCUAAGAGGUCCUUAUACUAUAUGGAUCGGAUCAAAUUAGCCCUUCUAUUAUUAAACGGAUCAAUUUAGUACUUAUACUAUUAAAAAUAAUCAAAUAAGUUUAAAUUAUAAAAGCAUUAACAUUUACAGUAUAAAAAAUGUCUUGAAUUAUUUUCAAAAUAAAUUCUAUUUCAAAAAUAAAAUAUUUCAUUUAUAGAACUAUAAAAACUUUAAAUAUAAUUAACUCUAUUAAAUAGUAAGUGUUAAUUAGAUAUUUUAAUAAUGUAAUUUAAAUUAUGUAAUUUAAUUUGUUAAAUAAAAAAUAUUUUAAUAUUUUUUCUAAGAUAAUAUAUAUAUCAGAAAAAAAGUUCCCUAAGAAAAUGCUAAUUCGUACCUUUGCAUAACGUCGAAUAAACGUGAAUAUCCCUAUCGCGCACACAAAGAUGAUUAGGGCUCAACCUCGACCAACAAUAUUCACCAUCAGAUCUACAAGAAGUGUCCAAACUAUCGUUUAAAUGGCAUUCUCCAAAUAUUAGUGUGCCCCAUUGCAAUUGUGUUGGGACAUACGUCCUACUACUUAUAUCAGAAUCUUCUAAAUUAUAGUCAUCAGAAAUCAAGGAAGCAAAUCCGCAUGAUCUUUUCUUCUUACUCAUGAUUACGUAGAGUGAACUAAUACCCUGAGGAAAAUAAGCAAGACAACUAGCAACAUAGGAAUUCUCGUUAUUAAUCCUAAAACUUGGUUGCAAACAUCCGCCUAUAAAAUUAACUGUUUCAUUGCUGAAAAUGUGAAAAUAAAAUAAAAUAAAAUAAAAAUAAAAAUAAAAUAAAGAACACAGAUUUUUACGUGGAAACCCUUUCGGGAAAAAAACCAUGGGCAGAGGAGAAGAAAAUUCACUAUGUCAAAUUCGAAUUAAUUACAAGAGGAAUAGACUAUGUCUAUUUAUAGGCUUAUAAAGCCAUAUUCUAGUAAGACUGAAACACCUUAUUCUAAUCAAUAUCAAAUAGAUUGAAUUUAAUAAGGUUUAAAAAACCCUAUUCUAAAAUAAAAUAAAAGAAGUGUAAUUCUAUAUGGAUUCUUCUUUUAUUUUAUUUUACCACUGUAUUUUAUUUAAAUAAGGAUUCGGGUCACUUAAUUCUAACAAUCUCCACCUUGACACGAAUUCUCAAUGAACAAGUUCUUCAUUGCGAACUCUCAACGAACAAGUUCUUCAUCUCUUCCAUAAAACCCCUUAAGGGUUUAACUUUAACAAUGAACACUAACCAAGUCUAAGCAAUGCUCAAACUUGGUUAUAGGAAGUGACUUAGUCAUCAUAUCUGCAGGAUUUUCAUGAGUACUAAUUUUGCUCACAACUAUAUCACCACGAGCAAUAAUAUCACGAACAAAAUGAUACCGAACAUCAAUGUGUUUUGUUCUCUCAUGAAACAUUUGAUCUUUUGUAAGAAUGAUGGCACUCAGACUGUCACAAAAUACUGCGCUGAUUUGAAGGUCUUCAUUGAGUUCGCUAAAGAGUCUCUUCAACCAAAUAGCUUCUUUACAAGCCUCAGUAAUCGCCAUAUACUCAGCUUCAGUGGUAGAAAAAACGACUGUAGUUUGCAAAGUGGCUUUCCAACUAAUUGCACAACCUCCGAUUGUAAAGACAUAACCUGUGAGAGAUCUUCUUCUAUCAAGGUCUCCAGCAAAAUCAGCAUCAACAUACCCAAUGACUCCAUCUCUAGUUCUUCCAAACUGUAAUCAAACAUCAGUAGUACCUAGUAAGUAUCUUAAAAUCCACUGAACUAUUUUCCAAUGUUCUUUACCGGGAUUCGCCAUGUAUCUGCUAACUGCACUGACUGCAUAUGAUAAAUCUGGACAUGAACAAACCAUAGCAUACAUGAGAGAUCUCACUGCACUAGAGUAUGAAACAUUUGACAUGUACAUAAUCUCAUCAUCUGAUUGUGGAGACAAAGCUGAUGAAAGUCUGAAAUGGGCUGCUAAAGGAGUACUAACAGGCUUAGCACUCUGCAUAUAGAACCUGCAAAGAACUUUCUCAAUGUACCCUUUCUCACUUAGGUACAAUUUACUUGCUUUUCUAUCUCUGAGAAUCUCCAUACCAAGUAUCUUCUUUACUGGUCCCAAAUCUUUCAUCUCAAAUUCUUCACUUAGUUGGGCUUUAACCUUUCUUAUCUCUCAUUUAUCUUUUGCUGCUAUCAACAUGUCAUCAACAUAAAGAAUUAGAUACACGAAAGAACCAUCACUAUUUUUCUUAAAGUAAACACAACUGUCAAAACUACUUCUUUUGAAAUUAUGAGAAGUCAUAAAGGAAUCAAACCUCUUGUACCACUGCCUUGGCGACUAUUUCAAACCGUAAAGGGAAUUUUUCAGCAAACAAACAUAGUUCUCUUUUUCAGAGACUGUAAAACCCUCUGGUUUUUGCAUGUAAAUAUCUUCCUCAAGUUCUCCAUGCAAAAAUACAGAUUUUACAUCUAACAGGUCAAGCUCCAAAUCAUACAUGGCCACAACACCAAGCAAAACUUGAAUCGAACUAUGCUUCACAACUGGGGAGAACACAUCUGUUAAGUCCACUCCUGGAAUUUGACUAUAACCCUUUGCAACAAGCCUUGCUUUAUAUCUGGGUUCUUCAACUCCUGGAGUCCCUUAUUUCUUUUUAAACACCCAUUUACAACAAACAACCUUUUUACCCUUAGGAAGUUUUACAAGAUCCCAUGUUCUAUUUUUGUGGAGUGAUUCCAUCUCCUCUUGCAUAGCAAACAUCCACUUUUCUGAGUCUUCACAACUAAUCGCCUCAGAAUAAUUAGAUGGUUCUUGAUUCCCAUAUAUAUCUUCAGCCACAUUUAAAGCAUAAGUAACUAGAUCAGCCUCGGCAUAUUUCUUUGGAGGUUUAAUUUCUCUUCUAGUUCUGUUUUUAGUGAUAGAGUAUUGCGGUGAUGAAGCAACUCUAUUCUCAAUUUUUGUACUGGCUUGAGGAGUCAACUCUGUAUUAAUCUGAUACUCCACCUACUUUUGAUUUUCUUUAUUUGAAAAGUUGGUAGCAUAGCAAUUUCGUCAAAAACAACAUCUCUGCUAAUCACAACUUUUCUAUUUUCCGGACACUAUAACUUAUACCCUUUUACACCAGCUUUAUAACCAAGAAAAACGCAUUUAAUGGAUAUCGGUUCCAAUUUUCCAUUAUCAACACGAGCAUAUGCAGGACACCUAAAGAUCUUUAAAUCAGAAUAAUUAGCAGGAUUACCAGACCAUACCUCUUGUGGAGUCUUUUUCUCAAUGGCAAAGGAUGGAGAUCGAUUGAUCAAAAAACAUGCAGUAGAGGCUGCUUCUGCCCAAAACGACUUUGGUUAGUUGGCAUCUGACAACAUACAUCGAACCUUCUCCAUGAUCAUUCUGUUCAUUCGUUCUGCAACACCGUUUUUGCUGUGGAGUAUGACGAACUGUCAAGUGUCUCACGAUCCCUUCUGACUUACACAAUCUAUUAAACUCAUCAGAAUAGAAUUCUAAACUAUUGUCUGUGCGGAGGUAUUUUAUUUGUUUUCCCGUCUAUUUUUCAAUCAUAAUUUUUCAAGACUUAAAUGCGAAAAACACAUCGCUUUUCUGCUUCAGGAAGAACGCCCAAAAUUUUCUAGAAAAAUCAUCAAUAAAGGUUAGCAUUUAAUUAGCUCCACCUCUCGAAGGCACUCUAGAUGGCCCCUACAGAUCAGAAUGAAUAUAGUCUAACGUUCCUUUCGUGUUAUGGAUUCUUCUGGUGAAUCGAACUCUUUUUUGCUUCCCAAAAACACAAUACUCACAGAAAUUUAGUUUGCAAAUUCCUUGCCCAUCAAAAAGACUUCUUUUGCUCAAUUCUACCAUGCCAUUCUUACUCAUAUGCCCUAGGCGCAUAUGCCAAAGUUUAGUAAUAUCAUCAUCUAUCAAGGAAGAGGAAGCGACAACUGCAUCACCAAUAAUAGUAGAACCCUGCAAAAUAUAUAACUUGGAAGUCUUUCUUUGCCCUUUCAUCACAACAAGGGAACCUUUGGAAAUCUUUAAAACCCCACUUUCAGUUGUGUAUCUGUACCCUUUUGAAUUAAAGAGUACUCAACAAAAUAAAAUUUCUCUUCAAUUCUGGAACAUGUCGCAUGUCACUAAGUGUUCUGACGACUCAAUCAAACAUCUUAACUUUAAUUGUUCCAACAUCUGUGAUUUUACACGAAGUAUUAUUUCCCAUCAAAACAACUUCUUCAAACAUUGUUUCGUAAGUUGUAAACCAAUCCCGAUUGGGACUCAUGUGGAAGGUGCAACCUGAAUCAAGUAUCUACUCUUCGCUUACUUUAGAAUCAUUGACAGAAGCGACUAGAAGUUCACCAUUGCUGUAGGCUUCUACAACAUCAGCUUCACCAAAAUUUUCUAGUUGUUUUCCUUUUUGAUUCAUAGCCUCCAUUUUAAUUUUGUUCUGUAGCUUAUAGUACUCAAAUUUAAUGUGCCAUUUCUUCUUGCAGAAGUUACAAGUUUUACCUCUGUUUGAAGACUUCGAUCUACCCUUAGAUUUACUACGGGGAUUCCGUUCCUGUGUCCUACCACGAUCAUCAUUAGCAUUCCAAUCUUGUCUCCCAUGAACAAUGUGACUCUCUCCCUAAGAGUCGGGUUUAACCACAAGAUGCUUUAUCUUAUCAUACAAGGUCAAAGAAUCAUAAACCUCAUCAACUGUGAGAGACUCGCGACUAUAUAAAAUCGUGUCUCUAAAGGUUGAAUAAGACGGGGGCAAUGAACAAAGUAGAAUCAACCCUAGAUCUUCCUUAUCAUACUGAACCUCCAUGGCCUCCAACUUUGAGAGGAUUUCUUUAAAGACUGUUAAGUGUUCGUGUACAGACGCACCUUCCUCCAAACGAUGAGCAUAAAGACGUUGCUUCAUAUGCAACUUGCUUGUUAUAGUUUUUGACAUACAUAUUUGUUCUAGCCUCUUCCAUAAUGCGGCGACAGUCUUCUCUUUCAUCACAUCCUGCAGAAUUUCGUUGGACAGAUGUAGAUGUAAUUGUGUUAACGCCUUUUGAUCCUUACACUUCUUCUCUUCAUCUGUUAAUGUCGAAGGCAUCUUAUCUAUCCCUAGCAGGGCAUCCUCUAGAUCCAUCUACGCAAGAACUGCUUGCAUCUUAAUCUACCACAAUGCAAAUCUGGUGUUGCAAUCCAACAGCGGAAUUUCAUACUUCAAAGAUGCCAUUACCGUGAUUGAGAUUAAUAACUUAGAAGCUCUGAUACCAAUUUGUGAAAAUAAAAUAAAAUAAAGAACACACAGAUUUUUACGCGGAAACCCUUUCGGGAAAAAAACCAUGGGCAGAGGAGAAGAAAAUUUACUAUGUCGAAUUCGAGUUAAUUACAAGAGGAAUAGACUAUGUCUAUUUAUAGGCUUGUAAAGCCAUAUUCUAGUAAGACUGAAACACCUUAUUCUAAUCAAUUAGAUGGAAUUUAAUAAGGUUUAGAAAACCUUAUUCUAACAUAAAAUAAAAGAAGUGUAAUUCUAUAUAGAUUCUUCUUUUAUUUUAUGUUACCACUGUAUUUUAUUUAAAUAAGGAUUCGGGUCACUUAAUUCUAACAGAAAAUAGUAACCAAAUUACCGCAACCUGAAGACCAAAAACUAUUAUUAGAAUCUGAGUAGGAAAAGCGGGUGCCAGUUAGGUUGAGACUCAUCCCAUUGUGAUGGUCUUUUUGACAGUUGAAGUAAGUUAUUGGAUGAUUGACCUUAACAGUGCCACCCAAAAAGUUAAACUCCAAUAUUUUCAGAUUUGUGUCAUUUAUGUUUAAGAGCGGCACUUUUUCCCCAUUGGCGGUUGUGUUGCAAAUUACUUCAAACCAGUCGUCAUUGGCAUAAUCUUGAUCCUUCAUUCUAAAGGGGUAGUGAAAAGUAACAUUCCCAUGGGAUCCUACCUUGUAGGUGUUGAAGUUGAUAUGUUCUAGUCCCGGUCUUCUGCAUCCUGCAGAUUUAGCAAAAAAAGGAGUAAAUUACAAAAUCUACUAAAUAUAUGUACAUUAAAUUAAGGGUGUGCAAAACUCAAUUCUAUUUGGAAAAAUAAAAAAAAUUCAAAUUUCAAAUUAAUUGAAAAGUUAUUCAAAUUAUUCAAGUCAACUCGAAUAAGUAAUUCAAGUUUUAAGUUCAAAUUGAGUUGAAUUUUACAAUUAGAAUAAUUCGAAUAACAGAUUGGUGUAAGUACCCUUUUGGUCCCUAUCAAGUUUGAAAAUGAAUAAAUUAGUCCGUCUCUCAACAAAAAUUACAAAAUAGUUUUUAAAAAUUCUAAAAUUCAUAUUUUUUAAAAAAUUCUAAAAAAUUCUAAAAAUAUAUAAAGAAAGUUAAAAUUUUAAAAUUUUCUAGAAUAAUAAUUUUGGGAUCCUAAAUAAGUUAAUUAAUUACUCAAAUUUAUCAUACUAAAGUAUUUUUUAUUUUACUUUGAAAAGUUUUCAAAUAUAUAUGGUUUCAUAUUUAUGUGCUCUAAUAUGGAAUUAGUUAUACUGUAACAAAAUUUUAAUUUGACAUGUUUAAUUUUUUAAUUCAACUCGAAAACUUUCACUCGAUUCGACUUACUUAAAUUUUAUUUCACUCGACAAAAUUCAAAAAAAUUUCGAAUUGAGUUAAGAUGAUAAAAUGAGACUCACCAACUCGAUUAACUCGAAAUUUUUUCACUUGAUUUGAUUAAACACUCAUCCCUACAUCCAAUGCUUGUAAGAAAUAAAAGUAAUGUGUUAUUCAAAAUAUAUAUAUAUAUCUAAAAAGAAGUUAUAUAUGAAAAGUGUUACUCUUAACUAAAUUUUUAAUUAAAUUUGUGUGUUAUUUGUGAUAUUAAAUUCAAUAAAGACUUUUUUAUUAAAAAAAUUAUGGUUGAAUUUAUGUCAUACAAUAUUUUUAAUUAAAAAUACUUUCCUUUUAAAAAAAAUCAGUUCCACUUAAAAAGAAAUAGAUAUUUCUUUUUCACAUUCCCUUUUAAAUUAUGAUUUGAAUUUUUUUUAAGUAACUAAUGAUUCCAUUUUCAAAACUAAUGAACUUAGAUUUAAAACAGUAAAUAUGAUUGAUUGUAAUUGUGAUUUGUGAGCACCAUAGACCCUCUAUCUAUAUUCACUCAAAAGGAUACUAAUUUGUUUUUUUUGAGGACUUUGUACACACUCUAUGUUGCGAAUAGUAGAAAUAGUGUCCCAAUAGUAGUGUUGAAUACAUUAACCAUUAAAUCAACACAUGGAGUUUGAAUACGAUAUUUUGAAGUAAAGGCCAACUCUUUGGAAAAUAAAUUUCCCAAAAUUUCUGAGUCAUAAUAUUUUGUGGAAUGGAAAGUAUAUCCACAAAAUGAUCUAAAUCAACAUCUUUAAAUUGUUAUACCAAAUUAAUGAGGGAAUCGUCUUUGUCUUAAAUUAAACCUCUGAAAUUAGCAUAAUUUCAUAAAUUUUCUUUGCAAUUGUUUGGAAAUAAAAACAACCAAUUGAUUAGCUCAUCUUAUAUUCUGUGAGAAAGUAAAAUAGCAGCCAACAUGCAUGCAUUUGUUCUGUGGAAAUUAAAUUAAAACCAAAGGAGGUAUCACUAUCAAGAAAGAUGAACCAUAAGAAGACUCAUUCCUUUUACUAUUUAUUAUUCAUACUAACAAAAUAGAAAUUUCCAUUAAAAAGUAAGUUCCAUAACAUCCACUGAAACAAUGACAAGAAUUGGCCCCUAUAACAAUUGCAAAAACACCUUGGCUCCUAUACUGAAUUUCUAGAAAUCCUUCAGUGAUUUUAGUGCAAUAAGAAUGAAAAAUGGCCUAAUCAUGAUUUUUAUUUGAUCACAUUCUAAUUAUAUUUUUUUUCCACUCACAUUGCUUUGAGCCCGUUUCAUGCUUUUAUUUCAAUUGCUUGGCUUUUAAUUCUCACAAUGCUUUUGUUCACUCAAGUAAUUUUUCAUUUUACCCACAAGCUUGUAAAAGUCCUAUAUUCACUAUAUUGUACCAUUUCUUAUUUUUUCCUCUCAAAUAUUUUGAAAUCACCAAGAUACCUCUACCUAAACUCGAGUUAUUUAUGGCCCGAUAGUUUCAAUAUUACCGAUCAUUAAGAAGUGUCAUAAGGAUCAAUUAUGGGAACUAGGGAUAAAUAGCAUAUUGGUAUGGUUAUUUGAGAAUUAGUUAUUCAAACAAUGAUUUAGGUCAUCCCUAAGAAUUCCACCAUACACACAGCUUCGUAGGAGUCCUAUAUUCAUUGUAUUGUACCAUUUCUUAUUUUUUCCUCUCAAAUAUUUUGAAAUCACCAAGAUACCUCUACCUAAACUCGAGUUAUCUAUGGCCUGAUAGUUUCAAUAUUACCGAUAAGAAGUGUCAUAAGGAUCAAUUAUGGGAACUAGGGAUAAAUAGCAUAUUGGUAUGGUUAUUUGAGAAUUAGUUAUUCAAACAAUGAUUUAGGUCAUCCCUAAGAAUUCCACCAUACACACAGCUUCGUAAGAGUCCUAUAUUCACUAUAUUGUACCAUUUCUUAUUUUUUCCUCUCAAAUAUUUUGAAAUCACCAAGAUACCUCUACCUAAACUCGAGUUAUCUAUGGCCUGAUAGUUUCAAUAUUACCGAUCAUUAAGAAGUGUCAUAAGGAUCAAUUAUGGGAACUAGGGAUAAAUAGCAUAUUGGUAUGGUUAUUUGAGAAUUAGUUAUUCAAACAAUGCUUUAGGUCAUCCCUAAGCAUUCCACCAUACACACAGCUUCUUUCAUACUUUAAAUUUAUCAGAUGAAUAAAAAUUGAUUCAACUAUCAUGUAUCCAUAAUUAUAUAUCGUGCUUAUUUAUCUUAUGGCACAAUCAAACAUUUUUACAUAAGUUUUUCUAGUCUAUUAUCUAAUGUAACUAAGUAACCUGUACCUUGACAAUAGCCCGAUUAUCCAUUGCAAAGUUUAAUUUAGGUUCUAUAAAUGGAGCAAACUGGAAGGAAUUAGCUCGACAAGCAGAUGUGGAUGGUUUUCUAGUAGGUGGAGCUUCUAUAAGGUUAGUAACUUUCUUUCUUUGCUUGUGUCACUAUUGAUUCAUUUAUUUAAUGCAUUUUCUUCAGAUUGUGCACAACUAUUCUUAACUUAUACAUUUUGUGUUUUUACUUCUCUCGAUCAGUCUGAGUUUAUCGAUAUCAUUUAGUUUAAGUUUAACAUCCACAAAGAGAUGCUAAUGUAUAGUUAAAACUCAAGAAGUUUUGUUAUCGAAAAAUUUGAUAAUUUUUUAUGGCAAGAGAAGAGACUAAGCUAGUUUGUUUAUUUGCAGGGAAAAUCUGACGAAGAAUAUGAACAAUCAGAGGGGUUUCGACAGGAGUUGGAAUUGAAGGUUCGAGAGUUGUUGACAGAGCAGUAAUGGUGCCGGGGAAAAAUGGCGAUAAGUGUAUGUUGGAUUCCGUUAAUAUCCCUUGCUUUCUUUAGUUUUCUCGCUCAAUAAAGUCUUACUAUUACUACGAUGAGUUAAUCACCUCUUCUUAUUUCACCUUCACAUAUAAAAAAAAGGAAGAGAAGGAGGAGGUGGAGGUCAACUAAAGAAGGAUGAAGAAGAGAAAAAGGAGAUGUGGAUAAUGUUAGUAUCUCAAGGCUGCAGCAAAUUUUAAAAUAAUAAGACUAAGUCUUAGGGGGAUUUGUUAGCUUGUUGGUAGGAGGAAGAGUUGUUAGCUUGUUAGUAGCAAUUUGAAUUUAUUUCUUGUUGAGGUUGUUACUUGGGACUUGUAUAUAAGGGUUUCUUUGUUAAUCAAUUAAAUUAUCCCUUCAUUCAUAUUUUUUUCUAUACUUCAAUUAGUUCUUUGCUAAACCAACAGUGGUAUCGAGAGCCAUUUUUCUUGAGGGACUUGUGAGAAAAGUUUUGUGAGAGUUCUGAGAAAAAAAUUUUGAGAGAUACACUUGUGAGGUUUUUUUUUGUUGAGGAAAAUAGAAUCGGGAUCGAGUAACCUGUCCAUCUUAGCCCCACUUGUGUUUGAUGGAGAGAAUUAUCAAGCAUGGGUCAUGAGAAUGUAAGCAUACAUGGAGGGUUGUGAUUAUUGGGAAGCUAUUGAGGAAGACUAUGAGGUGACUCCACUUCCUAAUAAUCCAACUAUGAAUCAGAUCAAAAUGCACAAGGAGAGAACCAUCAGGAAGGCUAAGGCAAGGUCUUGUCUUUAUGCUUCAGUUUCGCUAGCCAUAUUCAAUAGAAUUAUGGCUUUUGGAUUAGCGAAGGAAAUAUGGGACUACCUCAAAGCUGAGUAUCAAGGAGAUGAGAGGAUCAAGAGCAUGAAGGUGUUGAACUUGAUCAGAGAAUUCGAAAGGCUACAAAUGAAGGAGUCUGAGUCAAUCAAAGAAUACUCAGACAAGCUGAUAGAUAUUGCCAACAAGGUAAGAGCUUGUGGGGUUGAUCUCUCUGAUUCUAGACUGGUGCAGAAGAUACUUGUCUCCGUGCCUGAGAAAUAUGAAGCAACUAUUGCCUCUUUUGAGAACACUAAGGACUUGACUCAAUUGAAAGUAGUGGAGUUGAUCAGUGCUUUACAAGCACAAGAGCAGAGGAGGCUAAUGGGGCAGGAAGGAAGCAUAGAAAGAAGUAUAGAAGGAGCAUUGAAGGCUAAGAUGCAGCAAGGCGAAAAAGGAGAGGAACAAAAGUGGAAUGAAAAGAAGAGUGAUUGUAAUAGUGGUUCAGAAACUGUUGCAAAAAGUAAUAGUACUGAAAAUUAUAAUAAGUAUUCUUCAUGUAAGUAUUGUGGAAAAUAGAAUCAUCCACAUUUUAGGUGUUGGAGAAGGCCAGAUGUGAAAUGCAUUAGGUGUAACUUGAUGGGGCACAUUGAGAGGUUUUGCAAGGAAUUGAGAAAUCAGCAGUAGGGUGAAGUACAUGCUGUAGUUGAAUAAGAAGAGGAUCAUUUGUUUGUCGUCUCUUGCUUCUCAUCAAGCAUUUUAUGUGACAGUUGGUUAGUUGAUAGUGGUUGUACCAAUCACAUUACUUUUGAUGAGAAGCUGUUUAAAGACCUUGAUAGGUCAUUGAAGUCGAAAGUCAAUAUAGGAAAUGGAGAAUACCUAGAAGUGAAAGGAAGAGGCAUAGUAGCAAUAGAGAGCUAUGCUGGAACUAAGUUGAUUUCAGAUGUUCUGUUUGUACCUGAGAUUGAUCAAAACUUGUUGAGUGUGGGUCAAUUGGUAGAGAAGAGAUUCAAGGUGAUGUUCGAAGAGGGAAUGUGUUUGAUCCUUGACUCUAGUGGCAAUGAAUUGUUUAUGAUCAAGAUGAAGAAGAAAAGGUUCUCAUUGAAUCCAUUUGAGGAGGAGCAAGUGGCAUCCAAGUAUCAAGAAGAUAAUCCUAUCAUGCAAGAACAACUGCAAAUCAAGUGUUUUGAGAAUGAUAUCUUGCAUGCAAAGGUAACUCUCUUGGAGCAGCAGGUGACAUCUUUCUCUGAUAAACUAUCAUCUUUUGCACAUGAAAUAUCUGAAGAACAUGCUGAGGAGCCACGGAAAAAGAAUCUAUCUCAGGAGAUCAAGAGUAAUGUGCAACUUUUAGAAGAGAAUAGUCGGUUAUGUUUCCAAAAUCAAAAGCCGAUUGAAGAAGUUUCAUAUGCGAAAGAAUUGACAUCUGUAGAUGUUCUUGAGUUUAAGAAUUUAGUUGGUAAGGUGAUUAAGUUUUCAAUGCAAAAUACAAAAUUGAAAAAGGAAUUAUUAGUUGCGAGAAGAUUGGUUAAUCAAACUAUAAAUCGUAUUAAUCGCAAGUAUAGUGAUAACACAAGAUCUUGAAAGAAGGGAAAGCACUUUGGCCACUCUUAUGACUUUUCUAGAGCAACUUGUGAUGAUUUUUAAUUAUGGAAUUUUGAUUUAGAUGGCAUUGCUUGCUAGGAAACAAUUAGAGGCAACUCUUGAAGCUACACUAGUCGAGAAGGAAUUCAUAGAAGGCAAAUAUUGAAGAAACUGGUUUUCAAAGAUCAGAUGACGGAUAUUUUACUAUAUUUUUCAUGUUAGUCAUUUUGAGUUUCUUAACAAAAAAUUUGGUGUCUUCUGCACUUGAGUUAGGAGGAGAAUGUUAGUAUCUCAAGGCUGCAGCUAUUUUUAAAAUAAUAAGACUAAGUCUUAGGGGGAUUUGUUAACUUGUUAGUAGGAGGAGUUGUUAGCUUGUUAGUAGCAAUUUGAAUUUAUUUCUUGUUGAGAUUGUUACUUUGGACUUGUAUAUAAGGGCUGCUUUGUUAAUCAAUUAAAUUAUCCCUUCAUUCAUAUUUUGUUCUAUACUUCAAUUAGUUCUUUGCUAAACCAACAGAUAAUUAGAGUUACCCUUCUUUUGAUUAAGGUACCCUUGGAUUUUGUAUUCCUAUUUGGACGUCUUCUUUAUUAAUAAAUUCAUCUACAUAGAAAAAGAAAGAAAAAACAUAAUCCAGAACUUGUAUAAUAAAUAUCUUCAAGAGAUCAAAUAGCAUUGAGUGAACCAAGUAUGAAUUCUUGGGCAACAACAAGACUCCACCAGUGUGUCAAAUAAAGAAGCUAAAGGCUUUCAAUCAAGAGAAAUUAUUUUAGGAGUGUUGGAAUCUAGAAAGAUGAAUUUAAUGGAAACGUUGCACUAUCGGUUGUAACUGUCCUAGACAUUGAACAACUAGGAUUGGUCUCCCAUGAAUGGAUCAUGUCAUCUAUUUCAGAUUCUUCAUCACCACAGUCUUCAAUAACAUUUCCACUUGAAGCUUUAGUCAACUCCAGCUCCAUUGCUACUUGUUUCAUGGUGGGUCUUUUCUUUCCAUUAAGAUUCAAGCAUCGUUUUGCUACCAGAGCCACAACUAUAAUCUCUUGUUCUGGAUCAUCCUUUACUACCACUGGAUCGAGAAUGUUAAAUAAGGAAUUCUCCUGCAUUGAAUGCAAAAAAUAAGAUACCAAGCUUCUCACUGGCUCUGAUUGUUCUGCGGAGAUAGGUUUUUGUCCUGUUAAAAGCUCAAUAAGGACAACUCCAAAGCUAUAAACAUCACUCUUCUCUGUAAAUUGAUUUGAUCGAAAAUAUUCGGGAUCCAUGUAUCCAAAAGUUCCUUGCACCCGAGUGGUUAGAUGUGUUUGUUCAAGUGCAAUUGAUCUUGAAGUUCCAAAAUCUGAUACUUUUGCCCUAUAUUUAUCAUCCAAAAGUAUGUUACUAGAUUUGAUAUCUCGGUGAUAAAUAGGAGCAGAAGCAGCUGAAUGCAAAUAGAAUAAGGCAUUGGCAAUUUCGAUCGCAAUUCGUAAACGCAUUUCCCAUGUCAAUGGUAAUUCUUCGUUUUGGUUAUGUAUGAGAUCGUAUAAUGUACCAUUUGGUAUGAACUCAUACACCAAUAGAGGAACUUCGGCUUCUAAACAACACCCUAAAAGUUUAACCACAUUCCUGUGAUUAAUUUGAGAUAAAAUUAUCACCUCGUUAAUGAAUUGUUCAACCUUCUUUUCAUCAAAUUUCUUUCCUUCCACCAUGUUGGACUUCUUAAUAGCCACAAUGCUUCCAUCUAUUAGCAUUCCUUUAUAAACAGUCCCUUGACCUCCUUGACCAAGGAUUCGAUUCUCAUUAUAAUGAUCUGACGCCUUUUCCAUCUCUUUUGAAGUAAACAACUUAAUUUUUUCAACAUUACCUUCAUUGCUAGACAAAUGUUGUUGCAGUAACAAACCUCCAUUCCUUUUGAAGUAUUUCUGCUUCAGCAUUAUUUUUUGUUUUCAUUUGAGGACUUUGUACGUACUCCAUGUUGUGAGUAGUAGAAAUAGUGUCCCAAAACUAGUGCUGCAACCUAUAUAGAUAUAAGAAACAUUGUUAAAAGUUAAAUUUGAAAAUUAAAAUACAUGUUAAAAACCAAGAAAAUGUUUCGAUAAAGUUUUAUUCAUAUUUGAUUGCCCUUCAUUUUAAAUGAACAGUGAGACAACCUUAUUGCACCAUCCGAUAUUAAACUUUUAUAAAUUUCAUGAUAAAUAAUUGUUAUUGCAUCACACGUUCAAAAGUAAAUAAAUCACGGAUUGAAUUGACAUAAUCUAAUAACCAUAAUAAUUCCACUUUAAAAAUAAAUACGUACCUAUAAUAAUACUUGUCAUGCAACGAUUGUUUUGAGCUUGCAUUUUGUGCUCACAACGAAACCCUGUAUUAUUGAAUUCAUAAUGAGGAGGGCAAGACUCUGAUGAGCAAUAGUUGCCAGGGGUAUUCAAACAAAGUAUGCGACAAUACUUAUAACUCCCACAUUCCCCAUCUGUCAUUUAUGUGAAUUGAAUAAAAAAAAGUUAUAAUCAUAUAAUUCAAUUAAAGUAUCUAAGAUGUUGUUAUACUAUAUGAGCCGGAACAUAAUGGUUUUGUAUAUAUAAAUUUUAUAUACUUUAUUAAAUAUGAUUUUGUAUGUCGAAUCUUCAACUGAUUAAUAUAUUUUAGUCAUGAUAUACCUCAACCAAUAAUAACUAGAUUAUAGCACACUAAUGAUGUGGGUGACAAAAAUAUGUAACAAUUUAUUUAUAAAAAAAAUUGAUAAAAAAUUAAGAGUUUGAUUGAAAUGGUAAAAUUAAGAUAUUAGCUAUCAUGGUGCCUUUGUUCAAAUUUCAUUAUAGUCAUCUUUCUAGAUUUUACCUAAAUAUAAAAUGAUAAAAGAAAUACUCUCAUAAUAAUAUUUGUCCUUUUAAAAGUAAUGGGUUUUCAUAAUUUCAAUUGAGUCGAGACUUAAUUAAUGGGUGGCACCAACUUAAUUAGCUCCGAAAAAAUAGGACUAAUUUAAGGCAUACUCAUGAUGUGAGCGGAAGAAAAUAUGCAAUAAACAUAUUUAUUAAAGGCUUAUGUAAGAAUCAAGUGAAUCGUUACUUGAAAUGAUAAAAAUUAAAAAUUAAAAAUUAUUGUGUGAAAAGGUCAAAUCUCACCAUGUUAGAUUUAUUAUGAAUUUUAUAUAAAAAUGUAAAAAAUAGAAUAUUUUAAAAUAAUAUAACUUAAUUUAUAUAUAAAAAAUAUUUUAAUAAUUUUCCAAUUGAAGUAUAGCUAUAAGUAAAAAUAUAGAUAUAAAAAAAAAGUUCCUUAAAGAAAAUGUUAAUUCGUACCUUUGCAUAAUGUCGAAUAAACAUGGAUGUCCCUAUCGCACACACAUAGAUGAUUAGAGCUCAACCUCGACCAGCAAUAUUUACCAUUAGAUGUACAAGAAAUGUUGGAACUAUCAUUCAACUGACACACUCCAAAAAUGGGUGUGCCCCAUUGCAGUUGUGUUGGGACAUGCGUUAUAUUACUUAUAUUAAAAGUCAGAUCAUAGAAAUAAUAAAUCAUGGAAGCAAAUCCACAUGAUCUUUUCCUCCUAUAAUCACUAGAAUCGACCCUACUACUCAUGUUUACAUAGAAUGAACUAAGACCCUGAGGAAUAUUAACAAGACAACCAACAAUAGAGGAAGUCUCAUUAUUAAUCCUACAACUUGGUUGCAAACAUCCGCCUAUAAGAUUAUCUGUUUCAUUGCUGAAAACAGUAACCAAAUUACCGCAACCUGAAGACCAAAAGAUGUUGUCGGAAUCUGAGUAGUAAAAGCGGGUGCCUGUUAGGUUGAGACUCGUCCCAUUGUAAUGAUUUUUGCGACAAUUAAAGUAAGUUAUUGGAUGAUUGACCAUGACAGUGCCGUCCAGAAAAUCGAAGUCUAGAAUUUGCAGAUUUGUGCCACUUAUGUUUAACAAAGGCACUUUUUCUUCAUUGCAAGUUACUUUAAACCAGUCAUUGGGAUCAUCUUGAUCCUUCAUUCUAAAGGGGUAGUGAAAAGUAACAUUCCCACAUGACUCUACCUUGUAGGUGUAGAAGUUGAUAGGUACACAACCUGUAGGCUUAGCAAAAAGGAAGUAAAUUGCAAAAUCUACUUGAUAUAUGUACAUUCAAUGUUUGUAGGAAAAAAAAGCAAUGCAUUAUUCAAAAAAAAAAAAUUAUAAUUAUCUAAAAAGAAUGUACAUUUGAAAAGUGAUACUCUUAACUAAUUUUUUUAAUUAAAUUUAUGUGUUAUUUAAGGCAUUAAAUUCAGUAAAGACUUUCUUAUUAUCAAUAUAAAAUUUAUGAUUUGAUUUGAUGUCAUACAAUAUUUCUAAUUAAAAGUACUUGUUUUUUAAAAGUUCACACCCGAUCCUCUCUUAAUUUACAUAAUACCUUGUUAAUUUUAUUCUAAAUAUUAAAUUCUUAAUUGAAUAUGGUAUUUAUACUAAUUUAUCAUUCAACUAAUGAUUUCAAAAAUUUUUAAGGAACUAAUGAUUCAAUUUUCAAAAUAAAUGAACUUAAAUUUCAAAUAAAUCAUUAUAAACAAAAUUAUGUAAAUUAUGAAAUAAAUCAAAACAUAAUACAAAAUAUAUAAAACCAAAAUGAAGCCAGCGUUGCCCUUGAUCUCCCUGAUCAAGGGACCAAAUUAGUAAAUUUUCUACCUCUCCUAAAAAAUUAAUAAUUUAACAUAAAAUUUUAAUUUAGGGGUGAGUAAAACUCGAUUUAACUCGAAAAAAUUAAAAUAAAAAUUUUGAAUUUUGAGUUAAACGUAUUGAUUUAUUUAAGUCAACUCGAUUUUUUUUUAAUUUCGAGUUCAAAUUGAGAUGAGUUUUCGAAUUUGAAUAUAUCGAAUAAUUCGAAUAUCAAACUAUAAUAUUUUGCAUUUUUACUCCAAGCCCCCAAACCUUUUUAUUUUUCCCCCAAAAUUUUUACUUCCCUCCCGUCCCAACCCCCCAUCUAUCCCAAAUCCAUUUCUCAUCAAUUUUUUUAAAUAUUUUCCUUCUAAAAUUUUACUUCCCCAUUUACUUUCCCUCAAAAUUUUACUCCCAAAAACCCUUAAAACUUUUUAUUUUCCUCUAAAUUUUUUACUCACUCCCUCUUUUCCCCGAAAAAAUUUACUCCUCUCCCAUCUCACCCCCCAUCUACCCCAAACCCAUCCCUCCCCCUCCAAUUUUUUUUAAUAUUUUCCCUCCAAAAUUUUACUCUCCUAUUUACUCUCUCAAAAUUUUACUCACGUAAAACUUUUUAUUUUCCCCCUAAAUUUUUACUUCUCACCCUUUAUCCCCAAAUAAAAAAUCAAAAUUAUCCAAAAAAAUUCUUAAACCUAAAUAGUAAUAAAUUUAUUUAUAUCUACUAUUUAUAUUAUUAAAUUAAAUUUCACACUUAUACUAUUUAUAUUAUUGAAUUGUUUAAUCAUAUUGAAUAUUUAUAUUAAAAUUGAAUUAUUAAUGAUGCCAUAAAAUAUUCGUGUUAAAAUUUUAUGUUGAUAUCAAUUUUACAUUUAUCUUUAAAAUAAAUUUUAUUAAAAAAUCACACUUUUACAUUUAAUAUAUUUCUUAAUUUCAAAAUACAUAAUGACAAGAAUAGAAAAUAAUUGAAGCAACUAAGCAAACAAAGAAGCUAGCCCGUAUAUAAAAGAUUAAUAAAUAAAUUAUGAUGUGAUGAAAGUUAAUAACAAAUUUGAUUAUGGUAGACAAAUUUGAUUACACUGGAUGACAGUGGGUAGAAGGACCCAAAAUUAUUUUUUUAAAAAUUUAACUGAAACAUAUAUAUUCAAUUCGAUUCGAUUCAAAUUUCAUCUCACUUGACUUAAUUUGAGAAAAUUUCAAGUCGAAUUAGGAUGAUAAAAUAUGAUUUGUCAACUUGAUUAACUUGAAAUUUUUUCAUUCGAUUCGAUUUGAUUCGAUUGGAUCGAACGCUCACCCCUACUUUAACCCUUGAUAAAAUAUAAAAAUUACAUUUUUUUAACUCCUAAAAAAACUAAUAAUUUAAUUUAAUUUAAUCUCAGAUUUUGAAAUACAGAACUUUUAGGUAUAAAUUUUUGAAAAAGAAAAUAUUAAUAUACAAAAUGAAUGAUCCUAAAAACUUAAUUUCCUCUUAGAACUUAUAUGAUUCUAAAGACUGAUUUUAAACAAUUACCAAAAUCUAUAUAUUAACUGAAUUAAAAGAAGAAUAAUGAAAGCCAAGCAAUUGAAGUGACAGCGCAUGACUGACCUGCGUCACCGCAAUAGGUGGAAUUCCAGUUGAGCACGGCGGGAACAUGCGUGGUUCCAAUAUUGAUGCCAUUGGGUAAUGGGUAAGCACUACGGAAAGAGUACAUGCUAAAGAUGAAAGCGGAUGCGCAUCUUUUGCUGUCAGGAUACAUGGCUGUCAUGGUUACGGUAUAGGAAGUGAGAUUUCCAGUAAUUUCAGUAAAGCAGCCAGAUUCAGAAGCACCAUCGUCACACCUUGGUUGAAUGCAGCCGCCAAGUGAAUCAGCUUCGUCACUUAAAAUAGUAGCCAAAUUUCCGCAACCUACUGAUCCGAAAUAAUUCAUCUCACUGGAAAAGAAAAACGGAGUGCCUGAGAGAUUCACACUCAUACUAGCCUCGUUCAUAUGAUCACAAUUAAUGUGAGUAACUGGAAUACUGAUGACAAUGGCGUCUGCGUCUGAAAAUAAGGAAUCAAGUACCUCCAGAUCAAUGCCAUUUACGUUUAUGAAUGGCUUUUCCCCAUUACGGGUCGAUUUGCAAGUAACUCUAAACCAAGGUUUAGUAUAACAGUUUCUUUGGAUUCCAAAAGGGGAUGGAAUUGUAAUAUUUCCACAUACUUCUUCUCCACAGGCAGGUUCUUGAAAUAUUUCUGCUGCUUGUAAUAUUGGGCAUAACAGGAACAAGAAGAGGAGGAGGAUGAAGUAAAGCGCUAAGUGAAAACCCAUUUGCGUUGUUAUUCUGUUUGAGGGAAAUGAAUGAAUAAGUCAUUAAUAGAUUUUAAAGAAAGAAAAGCAGAGUUAAGUAGCACCACUAGAAACAAACGAUGUUUGACUGAAGCAAAUGAAAAGUCUUUGCUCACACUUUCCUUGAAGUUACAGUGUAAGUGCAUUUGAUUUGAGAACAGUUCAUUAAUUUGUAAAGAAUGUUGGACAAAUAUUAAAAGAUGGAGUCCCAAUCUUUUCAACAAUAAAGUAAUUUUUAAAAAUAUUUUAAGUGAAAAAAAAUAAAUGUUAAUUACAGGAAUUAAGUGAGAUGAUAAAGAUUUCUCCUAUUUUCAAUGGUAGAGAAUUUAAUCCUUACUUUGAGUAUGAAUUAAUUUCAAAACUCGUGAUUAACAUAUAUCUUUUAAUGAAUUUACUAAAUACGAAGAAUUAAUUACACAUGUCAUCAUAAACUAAAAAUAAAUAAAUAUCUUUACUAAUUUUUGGUCAACUAGAGUAGGUUAGGUAUACAGAGUUAGAGACAAAUAAAAUGGCUAGUCGAGCCUUGACCUCUAAUUUGUUUUAUAUAAUUUUUUCAAAUUCCUUGAAAUAUUUUUACAGUAGUAUUAAGAAAUAAGGAUAAUUUAUGUUGUUCCCUUCAAUAGUGACAGAACCAAGAUGUUAAUCUUGAGGGGAUUAAACUAAAAUUAGAUGUACUACAUAACAAUUGAUUUAAACAUAUAAACAACCGAUUCAAAAGAAAUGAUAUUUUAAUACAUAAAAAUCGAUUCAAAAGAAACAAUAUUGUAAAAAUUUUAAACUUUAGGAGGCCUACUUAUAUUUUUGAGAAGACCAUAGUAUAUUUACAAAGGGCUAAAUUGCAAAAAUUUUAAAUUUUGAGAGAACCAUGGCCAUUGACCUUCAAAACUUUAAAAUAAAUCAUAUUGUAAAAUAGAAAGCUUGAUAGUAUAGAUUAAGUAAAAUUAUUUUUAAAAACUCAUUAGUUAAUAUUAAUUCUACCAAUAACUGAAUGAAAAAAGUGAUAGAAGAUUGAGCUGCGAUAUUAAAAUUAUAAUUGUUGAAAGACUUUUACUUAAAUAUUACUUCUAUAUCAAACAAAAUUAAACUCAAAUUAUACAACAAAUGAAGAUAUCUGCGAUUAAAGUCAAUUUUAAUUAAUUUUGUAUUUUGUUUUUUACUCAAUCAAAUAGGGAUAUAGGCAUAUUUAUAUUAUUUAAGUACAUACAAUCCUGAUUGCCGAUAAAAGUAGAAGGGAGGAGAUAGCAAAGAGUAUUAGCCCCUUGCCCAAAAUAAAGGCCAUUAUCCUUAAUGAGUGACAGCAAAGAUGAUUGUGAUUUACAACAACUUGAGCAGAAAUUUCCAAGAAUCUCUACUCUUGACCUUGUUCCCAUAACAAGAGAUUGUUUAUAGCCAUUCAGCAUAUGAGGAGAGCUAGUAUCACAAGUUUAAGAAUUAUUUGUGGCAUGUGAAUAUUUUUAGACAUUUAAGUGAAAUAUCAAAUGAAACUCUUGUAACAAAUUAAGUUAUAUUUUAUAAUUUUUAAAUUUUUUUUAAUAAUUAUUAAUAAUUUAUUUUUUAUAUAUUUUUAUAAAAUUUAAUAAUUUUUACAUUUUAAAAAAAAAUAUUUUUAAUAAUUUAACAUGUCACAUCAAUAUGCUUUCACAUAGCAUAUCAUAUGUCAACUUCUCAUAACUUCCGUUAACCAUGUAAAUAAUGUAUAAUAUUUAAAUUAGUCAAGAAUUUUGAUUCUUUACUAAAUUUUUUACCCUUUAAUUUUAUAUUGAUAUUCAUUACUGAUUUUUAUGUAAUUUUCAUGACAAAAUCGGUAUUAAGCUCAAUAAAAUAUAUUAUUAGAUAAGUUCAGAUAUAACUUCAUUAAAAUCUGGGAAGACAGAAAACACUAUUAAUUUGUCUCAAAUCCCCCUUUUUAGAUAUUGAUUUAACAUGAGAAACAACAGGUGAGAAAUUUCGUUAAUAGAAGCCGAAGACGAUAUUUUGAAGUAAAGGCCACGUUAAAAGGCCAACUCUUCGGAAAACAAAUUCCAUCACGAGUGAACCAAAAAUUUCCGAGUCAUACUUUUGUGGAAAAUUCCACCAAGUAUUCUCAAUGGAAAAGUAUAUACACAAAAUGAUAGAAAAGGCGUUGGGCCACAAUUAAAUCAACAUCUCUAAAUUGUUAAAUCAAAUUAAAGAUGGAAUCGAUAUUGUCAUGACAUCAACAUCUUAUUGCUAAAGGAAACAACUUGAAGCCAACCCCAAUUUGUAAUGAUGUUAGUAUUAUAUUAAAUCGAGUCUAAUCGAGUCAAAAAAAUUCGAGUUAGUCGAGUUGAUGAAUCCUAUUUUAGUAUCUGAACUCAAUUUAAUUUUUUUCAAAUCAAAUCGAAUAUAGUUAAAAAAAUUUCAAGUCGAGUUAACGAAUCCUAUUAUUUAUAUUUAAUGUUGAGUUUACAUAGACUAAUUAUUUAACUAGUAGAUAAAAUACAAGAUUAUUUAACUACAUAAACAAUAUAAUGGUUUUACCUUUUAACUUAAUGAGUAAAUAUUUAUCAAAACGACGUAGUUUUACCUUUUAAUUUAAUGGUUUUGACUUUUAACUUUAGAAAGGUAAAUAUCUAUCAAAAUGACGUAGUUUUGCCUUUUCUUAUUUAGAUUUUCAGAUAACUCGAAUUGUGUAAUUCAUAUUCGAGUUAAACCGAAAAACUUAAUUUUUUAUUCGAGUUGAUCCGAAUAACUUAAUUAACUCAAAUAACUCAAACUAUUUAAUUCAAAAUUUGAAUUUUUAUCGAAUUUUUCGAAUACAAUUUGUCUACGAAGAGAGAAAUUUUCUUUUUGAGCAGAUGAGAAAUUUUGUAGAUAGAAGUUGAAUACAAUUUUCUUUUUGGUGAAUUACAAGAAGAGAGUAGAGUCCUAACAGCAACACGACUUGUUUCAGGAGAUAAAAAUACCUUCAAGAGAUAAAAAUAACAUUGAGUGAAACAAGUAUGAAUUCUUGGGCAACCAUAAGACUCCAUCGGUGUGAAAAAUAGAGAAGCUAAAGGCUAUCAGUCAAGAGAAAUUGUUUCAGGAGUGCUGGAAACUAGAAAGAUGAUUUUAAUGGAAAAGUUACACUUUCGGUUGUAAUUGUCCUAAACAUUGAACAACUAGGAUUGGUAUCCCAUGAAUGGAUCAUGUCAUCUAUUUCAGAUUCUUCAUCACCACAAUCUUCAAUAACAUUUCCACCUAAAGUUUUAAUCAACUCCAACUCCAUUGCUACUUAUUUCAUGGUCGGUCUUUUCUUUCCAUUAAGAUUCAAGCAUCUUUUUGCUACCAGAGCCACAACUAUAAUCUCUUGUUCUAGACCAUCCUUUACUACCAUUGGAUCAAGAAUGUUAAACAAGGAAUUCUCCUGCAUUGAAUCCAAAAAAUAAAAUACCAAGCUUCUCACUAGCUCCGAUUGUUCUUGUUGAAGGUUGGUCAGCAUGCAGCACCAAGAAGCAAGCCAAACGUACCAGCCAUGCUCGAGCAGCAAAACCAAGUGCACCUACUGUCAUUUAGUUCUUUUUGAUUCAUUUUGUUGGUGUAAUGUAAUCUUGUUCAUUUUGAGCUAUGUCAGUUUGAUGAUUGAUGUAAUUAGGUAGUGAUUGAGCUGAAAAUCAGCUUUGUUUUGUUGAACAAGUUAUUUUAUCAAGUUUCAAUAAGUUAUAGUGGUGUUAGGUGACAGUUUAGGUAAAAUUUAGUGGUGUUAGGUGACAGUUUAGGUAAAAUUUGCUUCUAAGUGUUUGACUUAUGUUUGAUAUAUGUAAUGGAUUUAUGCAAAAGUUGAAUGAUGAAUAAAUCAUUAUAUUUUCUUUCCAUAUGCUCUAAUAUAUUUCUUACUUUCAAUUCUGUUCUAUUUAUCAAGCUCAAAUCUCCAUACUUCAAUAUCAAGUUUUCUUCAUUCUUCAUCCGGAUUCAUUACAUUGUUAUUUAAGAUCCAGACUGAAGUACAUACUUCAUCCGGAUAAAGUGUUCCAAAAUCCCCAACAAUUGGUAUCUAGAGCCUUUGUCUUAGUGGACCUGUUAUAGUUAAAUCAUAAAUCGAUAGGUUCAUCAAGCUUCUCCCUAGCUCCACCUCUAGUCUUCAAUGGAGAAGGAUAUCACAUUUGGGUGGUCAAGAUGAGAACCUACCUUCAGGCAUUCGAUCUAUGGGAGAUGGUUAACUCAGAUGUUGAACCAACACCAUUGAGAGCUAAUCCAACAGUGGCUUAGAUUAGGCAACAUGCUGAUGAAAGGACAAAGAGGCAUAAAGCUCUAUCCUGCAUUCAGAACUGUGUAUUAGAUGUGAUCUUCACAAGGAUAAUGGCCUGUGAGACACCAAAGCAAGCCUGGGAUUGAUUGAAGGAGGAGUUUCAAGUGACUGAAAGAACAAGGCAACAGCAGCUUUUGAACUUGAGAAGGGACGUCGAGAACUUGAAGAUGAAGGAAGAAGAAACUGUUAAGUAGUAUUCAGACAUAAUUAUGGUUGUAGUUAACAGCAUAAGGUUCCUUGGAGAGCAGUUCAAUGAAGCAAAAAUAGUGGAGAAAGUCCUCUCAACCUUACCUGAGAGGUAUGAGGCAAAAAUAUCCUCUCUUAAAGACUCAAGAGACCUGACCAACAUCUCCUUGAUGGAGCUGAUCAAUACUCUUUAUGCACAAGAGCAAAGAAGAGCCAGCAGAAUGGAGAAGCACCAAGAGGGUACCUUUCAAGUCAAAACAAAGCCUGAUUCGAGUACCACUACCUCCAAAGGCAAGAAAGCUUGGAGAGACAAAUCUAAGUCAGAUGCUCCAAAAAGAUUAGACAUACCAUGUAGGCAUUGCAAGAGGCCUGGUCAUCCAGAGGCCAAAUGCUAGUUUAGGUGUAACACCCCAAACCCAGCCCAGACGUUACGACCGAAUCCGGCGUGUCACAUUGAAGUAUUUUUCGAAAACCAUGUUUUCAUUGAAAACCCUUCUUGAUGUUUAGAAACUUUUACCGUUUAAAACUUAAAUAAAACCUUAGCCUUAUUUUUUUCCAAAACGUGAUUCAUUGUAAUAAUCAAAGCAUUGUUAACAACCUUGUAAAAUCUUAUGGGAAACUUUGAAAACUUGUAAACCCUUUGUAGUGGCAGAAACAUGUUAUUUUAAAAAAACAGUUAAGUAUCGAAAAAAAAUCAAACCUUCUUUGUCAUGGCUUAAAGUGAAUGGAUACUACGCACCAGGUAGGAUUCAAGAAAAGAGGAGGUGAGUCAAUUAGACUGCUUAAGUACCUAGCUCUUCCAUGAUCUAAUCCUAGACAUGCACACAUCCAUUGCCACACUUUAAGCCUAUUACUUGUCCACGAACAACAAAUUAAGUUUAAGUCUAUUUAAAAUAUUUAUUUCCUUUGAAAAUAUUUACGUUGCGGAAACUUUGCUCGAUUAUCGUGAUAUUUUAAAAAUAAGUAACUUUUAUAAAACGCGCCCUAGAGCUAACCAAUUUAAUAACCCAAAAUAUUUAAAAUAAUAAAAAGAGCGGCCUUAUUACAACUUUAACCAGAAUAAAAAUAAUCAAAAUAAUAAAUGCAAAACUUAUUUUAAAGAAAACAAAACUUAAUCUUUGUGGCCACUCUGAAUCCCGCCCAGCUCCAAGUCCAUCGAUCUAAGGCUCACCUACAAAGAUGGGAAAAAGGGGGGUGAGUUUGGAAAACUCAGUGUGUAAAGUAUCCCAACCAGAGCCCAAAUCAGUUCAAGCUUUACUGGCCUAAGCCCUAUUCAGAAAUCAGUGUUAACUGGGCCUUAGCCCAUAUCAGUAUUAAUCUGGGCCGUAGCCCUAUUACAAUAUUAGAGCAUACUGGGCCUAGCCCAUAUCAGUAUCAGUCUGGGCCGUAGCCCUAUUACAAGUCGAGAUAUAUUGGGUCUUGCCCAUAUUAACACAGUUGGGCCCAUUUUAAUACAGUUGGCCCAUAAUAAAACAGUCUCAUAUGAUUAAUGCAUGAUAACCCCAUCCAACCCUGCACUUGCCUCCGUCCAUCCCUACACUUCCUGUGGGGAAUAAAUCACCCACGCCAUCCCUACACUUACAGUGUUAGCACCAAUUGCGGCACUAACUAUAAUCCGCAGCAAAGCUGCUUAUAUCAGAAUAUGUGGCACAGCCACCAGAACGGGUUCUUCCUCCAUAACAAAACCCAACCCCAUGCAACAGAUAUACAUGUCAUGGCAUAUAACAAACAGAAUCAGAAUAUCAUGUAUUUCAGUCAAAAUUAACCCUAGGGGUAAAAUGGUAAUUUUUAUACUUAGGGGUGUUUUAGUAAAAUUUACUAUUCUAGAGUUUACAUACAUAUUAUAACCAUUAAAGCAUUAACAGAAACACUUACCGAGCAUUUUUACUGAAUUGGGCCCGUUGGCCCACUACCCUAUUUUCAGCCCAUUAAGCCCAAAUAUACCGAAGUGCACGAAAUUGUGCACUCUGCACUCUUACCGCUUAUGAUUACCAAAAUUAACAAACAAACCACCUCACGAGCGCUCGCACGCUCGCAAGUUCACAAAUGUCGACUUUUCGGCAUUUCGGCUUUUCGGCUUUUGCUGAUCUAGUCUAUGAGUAGGUGUCAUUUACACACCUGUUUGCGAUGAAAUGCUAUGAGUUCCACACACGAACUGCCUACAAUCAAUUACUAAUACGUUAACUAUGAAUCCAUAGCAACUUAUCUGCAAAACUCCGUACUAAAAAUCGACCAUUAACACUUUAGGCACUAGUGUUCUUACCUUUGCUGAAAAAAUAGACUAGAUCUAAUUCUGGUCGUUCCAAAUAUCCAAGCCCUCAAUUAGUAGCCUUUAAUCCACACUAUAGGAAAACAAAUCAGAUAUCACCACUAAACCCUUUGAGUACAAUCAACAGGCACCCUUUGCAUAUAGGGGUUUUUUGGCUUUUACCUUAAUUCAUGAAUAACGAAAGAAAGAUUCGAGCGUUUACCUAUAUCAUUAUGACACUACUCCAAUUGAUUGUAGAUCCAACCACCGCACGAGAAGGGAAAAUACUCAACCAAGGGUUCGGCCUUUGUAGUACCUCAAAGUAGUAAGAUUUCGAUUUUGGAAGAAAAGAUACGAGGUUUGGCUUCAAUGGAAAUUCGGCUAACCAGUUUUGUUGAGGAUUUAUGAGAGAAAAGAAGAAGAAGAAUAUGAAGGAUUUAGGUUCGGCAAAAAGAUAGGAAGAGAAUCGGCAAGAGGAGAAAGAAAAGAGAAGAGAAGAAGAGAUGAGAGAAGGAAAGAAAAGAAUAGAAAAUAGAAGAAGGAAAAAAAAUGAAUCCAAAAUAUACGGCAUUUAAUAUAGCUAUGGCCGAAAGAGUGCCUUUCGGCAUAGUAAUUCUUUUUAAAUUCCAAUUCCCUAAUUUGCUCCUUGAUUUUUGGCCAAAUUCGAAGUUUGAAUUUCAUUCAAACUCCCAACCGAUCAGCAGCCUUAUCCACCUGCUUGCACCGCUUCAAUAUGCUGCCAAGAGUCCUGGUCAGACCUCAAUUCCUUCCCCACGCAUGCAGCAAAAAUCCAAACCUUGUAUGUGCCUUUCGGCAUUUAAUAUAGAAAAUAGAAGAAGGAAAAAAAAUGAAUCCAAAAUAUACGGCAUUUAAUAUAGCUAUGGCCGAAAGAGUGCCUUUCGGCAUAGUAAUUCUUUUUAAAUUCCAAUUCCCUAAUUUGCUCCUUGAUUUUUGGCCAAAUUCGAAGUUUGAAUUUCAUUCAAACUCCCAACCGAUCAGCAGCCUUAUCCACCUGCUUGCACCGCUUCAAUAUGCUGCCAAGAGUCCUGGUCAGACCUCAAUUCCUUCCCCACGCAUGCAGCAAAAAUCCAAACCUUGUAUGUGCCAAAUGCAGCUCGAACUACAGACCUCCGUCCGCCUUGCGCCCACGCCCGUGCUACUGACCACUGCACCAUGCUUCCUUCCUUAUUAAUACAUGGUCACAAUUAAUUAUAAACCUUACCUGCUUCAGUUCUGGCCCACUUUAAAAAUUAAACAAAAUUCGCCCGCGUAAGGACUCGAACCUGCACCCUGUCCAUAUGCCCAGCACGCUGCUGCCACUGAGCCACAGGCGCUUCUUGUGACAUAGCUUGGUCGCAAUUAUUGUUAAACCUUACUUUAGUGCGAUCUGGCUUCUUAAAAAUAAAAAACAAGCCUUUGCGUGUGCCAACCCUCGAACCUAGGCACCAUACCACACUCCCAGCGCCUCUGCCACUGGGCCGAGCUUCCCUUUUGUGUUACCUUUUAACCCCAACUUUAUAUAACACUUCCCUACGUCGUUCCCUGAUAUAAAGAAAAUUAACUCUUUUGCACAUGUUGGGAGUCGAACCCCAACUCUCCUUCCCACUACCUAGCAUGCUUAGACACUAGGCCAGGUGCUCCAUUAUGCUAAAAUUCAACCCAAAUUAUUAAUAAGGCCUACUGCCCAGAUUCCCUAAGGUAGCAUAAAAUUAAAAUUUUUCUAGAGUCUUAAACACCAAAACAACAAUACUUUUAUAAAUAUAUAUAUUUUUAUAUUUUAUAUUUUUUUUCCUAUCUAAUAAUAAUAAUUUUAUAAAUAUAUCUAAUAAUAAAAAUUUCAAAUAUCAAUAAUAGAGUAAAUAAUAAUAAUUUUCAUAAAAAAUUUUCAAACAUACAUGCAGUAAUAUUUUUCUAAUAAUAAUAAUUUUAUCUCAUAAUACUAAUUAAAAUUUCGUAAAAAUUUAAAAUAUCCGUAAUAAUAAAUAUAGUAAAAAUUUUCUAGUAGUAAUUCAAAUUUUUUUUUCUUAAACGGUAAUAUUUAAAACUUCCUAAUUAUUCAGGUUUCCUUCUAUCCGAAUCCCAGACUCAAAGCCCAACUCUUUUAGGCCCCAAAAAUCGGGGUGUUACAUUAGGCCAGAUGUGCAGUGCCAAUAUUGCAAGAAGAUAGGCCAUGUUGAAAGGGUUUGCAAAGAAAAAGGUAGACCAAGGCAGAAUCAACAGUAGCCAAGGGCUGAAGCUCGGGUAGCUGAAGAAGGUAGUGACAAUAAAGAGCAGGUCUUUACUGUCUCUUGCUCAGCUACUCAGGAGAAAGUUUCAAACGGUUGGCUCCUAGGUAGUGGUUGCACAAGCAUAUGUCACCAGAUGCAGCUAUUUUCAAAUCUUUAGGCAGAAGCUGUAAAACUAAAGUUAAAGUUGGCAAUGGCCACUUUAUUAAGGCAGAAGGAAAAUGAGAUGUGGUUAUUUGCACUCCAACAGGUAACAAGAUCAUUUCAAAUGUUUUGUAGUUCCUGAAAUUGACAGAAACCUGUUAAGUAUAGCUCAGUUAGUUGAAAAAGGCUAUACUGUGAUGUUCAAAGAAAAUAAAUGUCAGAUUAGUGAUCUAAGUGGAUCUAUGCUCAUGCCAGUAGCCAUGAAAGACAAGAGCUUUGUUGUGGACUGGAAUAAAGGCCUGGAUAGUGCCUAUGCUAUUUCUUCAGAAAAAUCCAAGCUUUGGCAUCAAGGACUUGGUCAUGCCAAUUUUAGGUCCAUGGCUCAGAUGGUCAAAGAGGGUUUGGCUAAAAAUUUCAUUAGUUCAGUGGAAAAUGAUGAUGUGUGUGAAGUGUGUCAAUUAGGGAAGCAGGCCAGACUUCCAUUUCCUUCAAACAAUGCCAGGAGAGCCUCAGAGAAGCUGCAGCUCAUACAAACUGAUGUGUGUGGCCCCAUGAAGACUGAGUCACUGAAUGGCAGCAGGUACUUCAUCUUGUUUAUUGAUGAUUACUCAAGGUUCUGUUGGAUUUAUUUCCUGAAGCAAAAAUAUGAGGUAGCCUCAGUAUUUUGGAAGUUCAAGACAACUGCUGAAGCUGAGACAAGCAGCAAGCUUAAGACUCUAAGGUCUGAUAAUGGACAUGAGUACACCUCAGCUCAGUUUCAAGCCUUCUGUGAUAAAGUUGGGAUCAAACACCAGCUCACCAACAUCUACACACCUCAGCAGAAUGGUGAUAGUGAAAGAAAGAAUAGGAGUUUAAUGGAUAUGGCCAGGUGCCUUCUAUUCCCCCAAAAAAAUUGCCAAAGACCAUGUGGGCUGAAGCAGUCAACACUGCUGUCUAUAUUCAGAAUAGGCUACAAACCAAAGUACUGGAGCACAAGACUCCAUUUGAGGCCUGGUUCGGGUUCAAGCCAUCAUUGGCUCAUUUGAGGGUCUUUGGAUGCUUGUGUUAUGCACAAGUACCAGCUGUAAAAAGAAGCAAGCUGGAUAUGAAAGCUCAAGCAGGCAUUCUAGUUGGCUAUAGCAUAAUAAAAAAGGGCUAUAGGAUCCUUAAUCCUUCAACAAACAAAGUUCUAGUUAGUAAGGAUGUAGUGUUUAAUGAGAAAGCAAGUUGAAAUUAGGAUAAAAAUGAGCCAGAAGCAGUUUCUGAAGAAUUUGUGGCUGAACAGACUGACCCUGAUCAAAAAUGGUCCAGAAAUGGACAUUGAUGAUGAACCAGUCAGGGGUACAAGACCAUUGACUGAAAUUUAUGAAAGGGCUCAAGUAGCAAUAGUUGAACCAAGCAGUUUUGAAGAGGCUGAAGCACAUCAAGGCUGGAAAUAGGCUAUGUCUGAUGAGAUUGUUAUGAUUGAGAAAAACCAAACUAGGGAGUUAGUUGCAAGACCAGCCAACAUGAACGUCAUUAGGGUGAAAUGGGUCUAUCGAGCCAAGCACAAUGCAGAUGGAAGUUUGAACAAGUUGAAGGCUAGGCUAGUUGUGAAGGGUUUUAGCCAAAAGUAUAGUCUGGACUAUUUGGAGACAUUUGAACGAGUGGCCAGACUAGACACCAUCAGGCUACUGGUUGCCUUAGCAGCUCAGAUGGAGUGGAAAAUCCACCAGCUCGAUGUAAAGUCAGCAUUUCUCAAUAGUUUUCUUGAAGAAGAGAUCUAUGUGGAGGAACCUCAAGGCUUCAAAGUGCUAAAAAAGGAAGACAUGGUCUACAGGCUCAAGAAAGCCUUGUAUGGCUUGAAACAGGCACCAAGGGCCUGGUAUAGUAGAAUUGACAGCUACCUGCUCAGUUUAGGAUUUCAAAGAAGCCUCAGUGAGCCUACUUUAUAUAUAAAGAAAGAAAAUGAUAAAACACAACUUAUUGUGUCUGUGUAUGUGGAUGACUUGCUGGUUACAGGAGAAGAUCAAACUAUACUUGCUGAUUUCAAAACUAAAGUGCAACAAAUGUUUGAGAUGUUUGAUCUUGGGAAAGUGACUUAUUUUCUAGGCAUGGAAGUGGUACAAUCACAUAAAGGAUUCUUUCUAAGUCAAAGAACCUUUGCUAUAAAGAUUUUAAACAAGUUCUCAACGCAGAAUUGCAAAGCAACAAAUACUCCAAUUGCUGUUGGAGAAAAAUUACCAAGCCAAAGUAACUCAGAAAAAGUUUGUGAAACAACCUAUAGAAGUCUAGUUGGAUGCUUACUUUACUUAACAACCACUAGGCUAGAUAUAAUGUUUGUAGUGAGUCUACUCUCAAGGUUUAUGCAUUGUUGCAAUGAAGAGCAUUUUCGGGCAGCAAAAAGGGUGCUCAGGUACAUCAAAGGUACCUUGAGUUAUGGCUUAUUGUAUAGCAAGACUGAUAGGCUAAGGCUAGAUGGCUAUACUGACAGUGACUGGGCAGGUUCAAAGGAUGACAUGAAGAGCACUUCAAGGUAUGCUUUCACCCUAGGCUCAGCUAUUUUUUGUUGGAGCUCGAAGAAGCAAAAUGUAGUUGCUCAGUCAACUGCUGAAGCUGAAUAUGUAGCAGCUGCUGGGGCUGUAAAUCAAGCCAUAUGGCUAAGGAAGAUACUAGAAGUUCUGAAUUUGCACCAUGAGGAAGCAACAGUGAUAAUGUGUGACAAUCAAUCCGCUGUUCCAAUUGUAAAGAAUCCAGUUUUUCAUGGUAGGAUAAAACAUUUCAGCAUUAAGCUUCAUGUGGUGAGAGAAAUGGAGCAAGCACAUGAGGUGAAACUGAUUCAUUGCAGUUCAGAAGAGCAACUUGCUGACAUUUUUACAAAACCUCUUGGAGUGACACGAUUUCUUCAUUUGAGAACUAAAUUGGGUGUUUGCAACAUGCUAACCAAGGAGGAGUGUUGAAGGUUGGUCAGCAUGCAGCACCAAGAAGCAAGCCAAACGCACCAGCCAUGCUUGAGCAGCAGAACCAAGUGCACCUGCUGUCAUUUAGGUCUUUUUCAUUCAUUUUGUUGGUGUAAUGUAAUCUUGUUCAUUUUGAACUAUGUCAAUUUGAUGAUUGAUGUAAUUAGGUAGUGAUUGAGCUGAAAAAUCAGCUUUGCUUUGUUGAACAAGUUAUUUUAUCAAGUUUCAAUAAGUUAUAGUGGUGUUAGGUGACAGUUUAGGUAAAAUUUGCUUGUAAGUGUUUGACUUAUGUUUGAUAUAUAUAAUGGCUUUAUGCAAAAGUUGAAUGAUGAAUAAAAAAUCAUCAUAUUUUCUUUCCAUAUGCUCCAAUAUAUUUCUUGCUUUCAAUUCUGUUCUGUUUAUCAAGCUCAAAUCUCCAUACUUCAAUUUCAAGUUUUCUUCAUUCUUCAUCCGGAUUCAUUUCAUUGUUGUUUAAGAUCCAGACUGAAGUACAUACUUCAUCCGGAUAAAGUGUUCUAAAAUCCCCAACAGUUCUGUGGAGAUGGGUUUUUUUCCUGUUAAAAGCUCAAUAAGAAUAAGUCCAAAGCUAUAAACAUCACUCUUCUUUUUAAAUUGACUUGAUAAAAAAAUUUAAGUUAUGUUAUUUCUCUUAAUUAUCAAGCCGAGCUCGAGUACAAAAUUGAUAAACUAGCAAUUUAAUCAAGCUUGAGUUCAAGUAGCUCGAGUAUAUUUCAAUUGAGUUCGAAUAUAAAAACAAAUGUUUAAUUGAACUCAAAUCAAAUAUCAAAUUCUAAAUUUUAGGUCCAACUCAACAAUAUUCAAACUCGGCUCGAUUACGUAACUACCCUCUACAAACUAAUCAGUAUAGCAAAUAUCUGCCCCCGUAAAAGGUGCAAUGCACCCAAUUUGCUCUCAUGACAUCUUCUUUCCUAAUUCAAUGUACACUAGAAAUUUCCAAGGAAGAUUUGCAAAGAAAGGUGAUAAUCUGAACUUAUUGACAAUUUCCUCACAAUUAAGCUAAAGUUUUCCUAUUCAGAAUCUUUUAUGGAAAGGUCAACUCUCCUCAUCACAUACAAUCUUUAUCAUAUGUAAGUUUUUUUUUAAUAUAAUAUAUGUGAUUUAUAUUCAAUAUAUUCAAUAUCUUUUGAAAAACAAGUAUACAUGAUCAUUAGCAAGAACAAUAAACAAUAUCAAAUUUGUUCCCACGAUAUUUGCUCAAUAUUUCAUGUUAAAUGUUCAAUAUUUAUUGCUUAAAGUAAUAAUUAAGAGUUGUGUAAAUGACUAACUCUAUGUGUGGGGUUUUAUGAUGGGAAACAACUCAGGAACCUUCUUUCAACUUAGUUUUUAGAAAAAUAAUAAUGCACUUAAAAUAAAAAAACAAUUAGAAUAGUUGAAUGACUUAAAUUAAAAUUUUCAAAUAAUUUAAUAACUAUUUUGUAACAUUUUAAAUUUGAACGAUUAAAAUGUAAACUUAUUAAUAAUUUAACGACCUUGAAUAUAGUUUACCGUAAAAUUUAAUAUUUCUAUCUUUAAACAAAAACAUUAAUCAAAUAUAUAAUAUAAAAAGAAAUUAUUUGAUACUUCAUUAAAUAUUAAAUAUUCACCCUAUAACUUCAUUAAAAUGACAAUAAAGAGAACACCGUUAAUUUAUCUGAAGACCCCUUUUGGGGUCUUGAUUUAAUAUGGUCAGAUGAGAAAUUUCGUAGAUAAAACCCCAAUCAAGUGAGAACUCGAAUCAUAAUCUUGCGGAAAAUUCGACACCUAAUGGAAAUGUAUGUCCAGAAAAUAAUAGGGGCCACAAUUAAAUCAUCUUUAAAUUGUUAAACCAAAUUAAAGAUGGAACCGUCAUUCUCAUGGGAUCAACAUCUUGUUAUUAAUACUCUACAGGGAAUAACUUGAAGCCAACGCCAAUUUAUAAUCAUGUUAGUAUAUAUGAGUAAUAACUUUGUUAAUUAAUUACUACUUCUUUUAUUAUCGACAAUUUUGCUAAUCAAUUUUAAAUUAGCACUUAGUACACCUGCAUCAUGUUUUAACAUCAUGCAGUUUUGAAUUCAAAUUAAACUGAUUUCCAAUGAAAAAAACAAAAGUCAUUCCGCGUGAAGAGGUAAGUUUGGAACACAUUUUUAUAUGUUCCAUGACAACAGCUGGCCCUUACGACAAUGGCAACAAGACCUAUGAUGAGUUUUGAUACGAUCCGCCUCGAAUGAUGAGUCAAGUCGUAUUUACGUUGCCCGAUCGUUUACGAGAAAGUAUGGUUCAAUUAGAUGGAUAUCUAACUAAAUCAAUGAAAUAUGCUCAACUGAGAUUAAAAGAUCAAAAAUAAAAUGGCUAAUUGGAAAGGGAAAAUAUUUGGUUAUCAAAUAAGUGAUAAAAGUUGAUUAUGUUUUGGAUAUGAUAAAAGGAUGGAAAGAAACGGCUCAAGAAGCAAGCAAGAACCAACACUAAUUAGUGUCGACCCAAUUACUUAUAUGCUUUUGAAAAGGUUUGUAUAUUCGGUCAAGACCUCAACCCACUAUCAAUAAAGAUAGGAACCUCGGUAUAGGGUUCGAACUCCACACUUGUGAAAGUGAUAAGUUUGGGAAGGCAAAGAACUGGUUGACGCCAUUAGCUUUGUAGAUAAGCCAACAAGUCUUUGAACAAAAUCAGAGAAAAGUAUUUCUCACCAAAUGAGCAAAGUUUCAUUAAAAUGUCAAAAAAUCGUCCUUCAAAAUUGCUGGUUACACAUAUUUAUAGGUAGAGAAAAACUAGCUGAAAAGUCACAUCUUAGGGUCUGUUUGAUUGGCAGUAAAAUAUUUUCCGUAAAAUGAUUUCUGGAAAAUGUUUUACUUUUCUGUAAAAUGAUUUACUGGAAAAUAUUUUCUAGUGUUUGAUUGAAUCUGUGUAAAAUAUUUUCUGCUGUUUGACAGAUUUCCUGAAAAUAUUUUCCGAAAAAGUUGUUUUUACAUAUAUUAAUAAAUUUAUAUACAUAUUAAUAAAUUUUUAUAUUUUAAAUUAUUUUUACACAUAUUGCAAUGAUUUAUUUAUAAAUAAAUUUUUUAUUAAUAAAAGUUUUUUAUCUAAUUAAAUUCCAAAUGUUCAUCUAUUUGUAGAUUAUACCGAUUUGAUUUUACUUCUUCAUUAUUAAAACAUUUAUUUGUAUUUAAAUUUUAUAUUAAUUUGAUUCUACUUUUAUCCAAUCUGAUUCUUGUGAUACAUAUAUUUAACAUGGGAUUUAAAUUAAGGGUCCGUUUGAUUGCCAGUAAAAUGUUUUCCGUAAAAUGAUUUCUGGAAAAUGUUUUACUUUUCUAUAAAAUGAUUUACUGGAAAAUAUUUUCUGGUGUUUGAUUGAAUCUGUGUAAAAUAUUUUCUACUUUUUGAUAGAUUUCUUGAAAAUAUUUUUCGGAAAAGUUGUUUUUACAUUUGUUCUAGUGAUUCAGUGUUCUAUCCACAUAUCCUUAUGUCCUAUAAAUCUAUAUUUGGGCUAAAAUGAAAUGGUAAGUGAAAUUUAUUAGUGAGUUGAUGAGUAACAUAUAAUAAAUAGUUUUGAGAAUCUUAAUGCUUAAUGUCUACUUAAUUCCAUUUUAAUAUAUCACAAACAAGGUAUUUAUAUGUUUAAUAUUGAUUACUUGCAAAGGCAAAGCUUAAUUCUCUAAUAAUUAAACUUUCAUCCUUUAAUGUCCAAAGAGACAAAGUUAGAUUAUAGAUACGACCUCAGGGAAAGUAAAUAUUGCAAAGCCAAAACCUUUAGCUAAAACUAUAGGGAAAAACUGAAAGAUAUUCUCGUAUUUUCUUCAAGUAAAAUCGCUUAUUAUAUAUAUUUAGACCAAGUUGUGUAUAAAAUGUCAAAUCACAUAACAACAGUGAAUAAAAUAACUCGAAGUCUAAAAACUAACCAUGUACGUAUGUAUGUAUGUAUAUAUAUAUACACAUAGGCACGUAACAACCCCAAGAAAUUAACAAAUGUAAAAAAUGUAAAGGAAACCAGAAAAGAAUCAGUGAACGAUAUGUAAUAAAGGUCUGCUUAGUUCCCACAGUGCCAUUUUGAUGUAGGAACACAGCUCAAGUAAUGGCACCAGCUGCAAUGGUCAUGUCCAUUCUCUCCUCUAAAUAGCAUUACCAACCCCACUGUGAAACUGUCAUCAUUCGAAAAAGGAAAACAGAGGAGAUUAAACAAACGGGACCAAAAUUAUAAACACGAGCUGCUAAACUAGUAAUGUAGGGUUGAGAGAACUUACCCAGCAAUGAGUAAAACCAUAACUAUCACCAAAAAUAGGUAUUGGUAUGCUUUAUGCUUAGAUGUUACACGAGCACCGGCAGGAAGAUGUUUACGUCCCACCCACCCGAAUUGGGGACGAAGCAGCAAAACGAACCCAAGGAGAAAAUCGGUUAAGAAACCUCCAAUAUGCGCAAAGUUGUCGACGUGAGGAAGAAUCCCCAUUGCUAAGUUAAUGACAAUGAUGACCGUGAGUGUGAUCAGAGCUGUAGCCUACAAAUUAAGGUAAAAAAUCAAUAUCCUCUAUUACUUUUCAAGCCACAUGAAAAAAGAAAUCACCUAUAACUCUGGUUUCCCUUCAUUGCAUUUCUAAGUAGAUAGGAACCCGAGGCAACUAAUAUUACCUUAUUUGUAUAGAUAGUCCAAUUAGUCAGCAGCUCCGACAACAUUAAUCCAAGAAGGCCAAAUAAAGCACCAGAGGCAGCAACAGAAAUGCUACGUUGAAUAAAAAGAGACGAUAGUACGCUACCACUACAAAAGGAAACGGAUAACGUACUGAAUCCAAAUUGUUGUUCAAGGCGAAUUCCAAUGAAGAUCAAGCUCAACAUGUUUGCAAGUAGAUGAAUAACACCAGCGUGUAGCCAGAUGCAAGUGAUAAGCCUCCACGCUUGAUUUCCAUGCACUACCUUGUCCCAUUUUAAGGCUCCCAAUUUUUCCAAUCUGAAGAAGGAGGAGAAAGAACAACAUAAAAUUACACAACUCGCGAUUAUCAACCACGACAUGGCAUAAUAAAAAAAGGAUUUGAAUUAGACCAUACAAAAACAAAAAUAAAACUACAAAUCAACUAACUUCAUUAACCAGUCCUUGAUUUCCAGACAAAGUUCAUUACCCAAAUUAACAAAGAAACUAACUUAAGUUCCUAUAAAACCAUUAAUCCAUAAAUUAACAAAGCAACUAACUUCAUUACCCAGUCCAUGAUUUCCAGACAUGCCAUUAUUUAACAAAGCUCAAAUUUGACUCAAUUGAUAGCUCGACCGAGUUCGAGUCUUUCUUCAAGUAGUUUGCAAGCACCUUUACACCCCUACUAUAGACAAAGCAAACCAUGACAUUUCAUAUUGAGAAUUCCUAUUGCUGCUAAAUGAACAAGGAAGAACAAAUCUAAUAAUAACCUUAAAUAGUAUCAAUCAUAUCAGACACAAAUUUCCAAUAGAAUCAAAAUAAAUCACAGAUUGAUAUAUCCUUUAGCAUGAUCCAAGGAUAAUCCUAUAGAAGAUCAAUUGGGAACUGCAGUUGAAUCAUCAAAUAAGAACUUCCUACAUGAACAACUUCUAAAAGAUACCGUCAGUCCAUAUCUAAAACUUGCAAGCAAUUUUUUCCCCUUCUUUAGAAUUGAAAGUUGCAAAAGGACCCUCAACUUCAAUUCCAACCCAAUUUCCCAUCACAUUAAAAAAAACACAAAAACUAAACAAAAUCUCAGAAAACCAGAGACAACAAAAAGAAGUGAACAAACUCAAAGCAUGAUCAACAUUAUCGAAGCGGUGGUCUAUUUUUCCCUUUCCUCUAACAGGCAUGGACAUUGGUUUCUUACUUAGGCAGUCGAUGUGGGUAGCAAUAGUGUUAGAAGAAGAAGAAAGAGUGGAAAUUAGAAAGAUGGCUUCCAGCAUUAACAACCGAACGAAGAAUAAAAGAAGAAGGAAGCUUACCCAUCAUUUGAAAGCAGAAAUGGCAACGGCAGUAGCAGCCAAAAAGAAAUGAAAAAUAAACGGAGCAUAAAAGCCAAAAAGAAAUGAAAAAUAAAUGAAGUAACCGUCGAAAAAUGGAAAUGGAAUUGCAACGUACCAGCAGCGGUUUCCAGUUCUGAACCAAAAUGAAGCUUUCAAUAACAGAAAUUUGAAGGAAUGAAGGAAGGGAGAAGAAUGGAUGAAGGGAGCUUACUGGAUGAAGGGAGAAGAAUGCCUGAGAGCUUUAGGAAAAUGUCUUACGGAGAUUGAAUCGGUAAGACAAUUUCCCAAAAAUUGUAAGGCAUUUUCCCGUGUUUUGUAGUUGAUUUUCCAAAAGGAAAAUAUUUUCCUCCAAUCAAACACUGGAAAAUGGGGAAAAUCAAUUCCGGAAAAUAUUUUCCCCUAUCAAACAGACCCUUAAUGUGCUAGUUAAAACUGAAAUUAAACUCAAGUCCCUUGGCAUUCUUGUAACAAUUAAUUCCAUCCUUGAAUUCACUUUAAUUCAACUGAAUAAAUAUUCUUGAUUGCUUGAAAAAUGUCUCUUGAGAUGUUCCUUGGCUAGCCGAAAAGAGACCAGUUACUUAAUGGUGUUUUGAAUGCUUGUUUUAAUAUUUGAAAGAACAAAAUCAGCUGGUAGGUGAAAGGGUUGCUGUCAAAUUUAAAAGGGUGUUAAAAUUCUCCUUAAAACUCCUUAAUUGAUGUAUAAAACCUCCUUUGUAACAACUCCUUCCUUUGUAACCAAAAAAAAAACACUUGACAAGUCACUUCCAUUAAGUUGUAACGGCCUUGAAAUGUAACGGUUGUGAGAUGAAGGAACACUUGCAAUAGAUUGCAAGUAACGUCUAUGGGGUUCAUCCCUGCAUGAUUAAUGGGUUUGACUUCUUGUUCUUCCCAAACUCGUUACACGUAGCUUGCCAAUGUGUCUUUAAAUUUCUUAGCUCGUGACCUAGUAAUAGAACCUUGUGGCAACUCAAUGGAUUCAGUAGAGACAUCCCGAGCUAAGGUUGUAUCAUUCCCUCCUCUUGAAAGUGAGUUGUCCUCAAGUCGAAACCUGCAUUAAAAGGAGACAAACUAGCAACAGUAAAGCUUGCACUAAUGUUAUACUCACUCGUUAAGUCAAGUCGAUAUGAAUUUUCAUUGAUUUGUUCAAUAACUUGGAAUGGACCAUCUCCUCGUGGUAACAAUUUAGAUCGUCGUUGAGCUGAAAACUGUUCUUUCCUCAUAUGAAUCUGGACCCAAUCACUGGGUUCAAAGAUAACCCAUUUUCUUCCUUUGUUCACCCUUUGUACGUAACUCUUGGUUCGGGCUUCAAUAUUAGCUCGCACUUUUUGAUGGAACUUCUUGACGUAUUCGACCUUUUCAUUAGCAUCUACAUACACAAAAUGAUUGUUAGGCAAUGGUAAUAAAUCAAGGGGAGUUAAUGGAUUAAAGCCAUAAACUACUUCAAAGGGAGAAAACUUAGUAGCAGUAUGGACAGAGCGAUUGUAAGCAAAUUCGAUGUGAGGUACACAUUCUUCUCACGACUUUAGAUUUUUACAGACGAUUUCACGCAACAAAGUAGUCAAUACUCAAUUUACCACCUCCGUUUGUCCAUCCAUUUGAGGAUGACAAGUGGUCAAAAAUAACAGCUUCGUUCUGAGCUUUCCCCACAAUGAUCUCCAAAAGUGGCUAAAAAACUUUGCAUCACGAUCGAACACGAUCAUUCUUGGAAUUCCAUGUAAACGAACAACUUCCCUAAAGAAGAGAUUAGCUACAUGAACAGCAUCAUCAGUCUUGGCACAUGCAAUAAAAUGAGACAUUUUCGAAAAUCUAUCAACUACUACAUAUAUAAAGUCUUUGCCCAUUUUUGUUUUUGGUAAUCCAAGGACAAAGUCCAUGGAUAUAUCCAUCCAAGGGAAUUUAGGUAUGGAUAGCGGCAUAUACAAACCAUGAGGUUGAAUCUUGGACUUAGCUCGUUUGCAGGUCACACAACACUCACAGACACGUGCAACAUCUCUUCGCAUUAGUAGCCAAUAAAAAUGUUCUUGUAGAGUUGAUAGUGUCUUGCUUAUACCAAAGUGUCCUAUGAGGCCUCCACUAUGCGCCUCUUGCAUAAGCAAUUCUCGAAUCAAGCCUUGUGGUAUGCAUAACUUACCUUCCUUAAAAAGGAAGCCCUCAUACUUAUAAAAUUUCUCAGAAGAUCCAUUUUCACAAACAAUAAAGAUAUUACCAAAGUCAUUAUCAUUAACGUACAAUUCUUUCAAAUAAGAAAACCCAAGUAGCUUAUAAUCAAGAUAAGACAAAAAAGUGUACCUCCUUGAUAGAGCAUCAACAACUACGUUUUCUUUACCUUUCUUAUACUUGAUAACAUAUGGAAAGGAUUCAAGAUAUUCAAUCCACUUUGCAUGACGCUUACUUAACUUAUGUUGACCUUUAAUGUGCUUUAAGGCUUCAUGAUCAGAGUGAAUCAUGAACUCCUUCGGCCACAAGUAAUGUUGCCACGUCUCGAGAGAUCAAUUAAGGCAUACAUUUCUUUAUCAUACACGGAAUAAUUGAAAACAACCCCACUUACCUUUUCACUAAAAUACGCCACCGGUCUUCCAUCUUGGGUUAGCACAGCCCCAAUUCCAACACCUGAAGCAUCACAUUUGAUUUUAAAGGUUUUAGUAAAAUCAGGAAGUGCUAAUAAAGGUGCUUGGACAAGGCAUUGUUUAAUUUUAUUAAAUGAAUUUUCUUGCUCAUUUGUCCAAUAAAAUGGUGAAUUUUUCUUAAUAACACUUGUCAAUGGCGUAGCAAUUGUACUAAAGUUAGGUACGAAACAUCAAUAAAAACUAGCCAACCCAUGAAAGCUUCGGAUUUGGAUAAUGCUAGUCGGGCACGACCAUUCUUGGGUCGCUCAAACUUUCUCUUGAUCAACUUCCAACCUUUCGGAACUCACCACAAAACCUAAGAACACAACUUUGUUAGUACAAAACGAACACUUUUUAAGGUUUGCAUAGAGUAUCUCCUAUCGCAACGUUUCUAACACCUCUCGCAAAUGUUGAACGUACUCUUCCAAUGACUUGUUGUAUAUCAAGAUAUCAUCAAAAUAAACUACACAAAAUUUUCCAAAAUAAGCACGCAACACAUGGUUCAUUAAUCGCAUAAAAGUGCCAGGUCCGUUCGUAAGACCGAAUGGCAUUACCAACCAUUCAUGCAAACCAUGUUUGGUUUUGAAGGUAGUUUUCCAUUCAUCGCCUUCUUGCUUACGAAUUUGAUGGUAGCCACUCCUAAGAUCGAUCUUCGUGAAUAUCUUGGCACCGUUUAACUCGUCGAGCAUAUCAUCGAGAUGAGGAAUCGGAUGUCUAUAUUUAACAGUGAUCUUGUUGAUAGCACAACAGUCAACACACAUUCGCCACGAACCAUCCUUUUUAGGUGUAGCACCCUAAACCCGGCCCAAAUGUUAUGGCCGGAUCCGACAUGCCACAUCGAAGCAUUCAAAACAUUUUCGAUCCAGAAAGAAAACUUACUGAGUGUUUUAAAAGAUGAUUUCAUUAUAGGUUAAAGUGAAUGGAAGCUGUGCACCAGGUAGGAAAUCGGAAAAGAGGUUGUGAGUCCAUCGGACUGCUUAAGUACCAAGCUCCCUUCGGAUCCAAUCCUAGACAUGCAUACCGCCAUUGCCACACCUUAACGUCAUGGAUAUUUCUAGGAAACCGAUUUGAUUAAGUCAUUUUUAGGAAAAGUGAUUAAUCUUGGAAAAUACUUUCAUUACGGAAGCUUUGCUUGUUGUCGUGUUAUUUUGAAAUCAAUUGUUGUUUUUGAAAAUGCGCUCUGAAGCUAUCCAAUUUCAACAGUUAAAUAUAAUAAAUACCUAUCUUAGUAAUACAUAUUAAAACUAUCAAAAAUAAUUAAGCGGCCUUAUUACAUUUAAAAACCCAAAACUUCAAACGUAAAUAAAAGGAUGUCCAGUCCACCAUAAGAAAAUCAAGCUUUCAGAACGGGUGGCCACUCCGAAUUCCCUCACAGCUCCAAGCCCAUUAUGGUUGGGGAUUUCCUGCGUGGAUGAAAAUAAAAGGGGUGAGUUUGGGGAAACUCAGUGUGUAAGGAAAACCCAUUCAAAGCCCAAGUCAGCUCAAGCCUAUUGGGCCUAAGCCCAUUCAGGUAACAGUGGUAAUGGACCAGAGCCCUUUUCAGAUUACAAUAAACUGGGCCUUAUCCCCUUAUUCAGAUAACAGUAUGGCCCAUAGGCCCAUUUCAAAAUACAUGCAACAUCAAUAACAUAUGCAAGCUCAUUUGGGGAGACUACUCAACCCACCAACCACUACACUCCACCCGUACCAGCCCUACACUCAAUGUGGGGAAUAGCUCAACCCACCCAGCCCAACACUCCACAGCUGCAGCCUUGCUGCUCAGUUAACAGUAAAUUGAGGCAAAGCCUCCAGUACGUGGACAAGCCACUUUCAGUACUUCCUCCGUCAAUAUCCCAGUCCCAUGCAUCAGAUAAUAACAACAUGGCAUGAAGUAAAUAACAACACUCAAACAUGCAUUUAGGUCAAUUUAACCCUAGGGGUAUUUUGGUAAUUUAUCUCCUAGGGGUAAAACCGUAAAUUUUCCACUUUUAAAGGUAUUUCAGUAAUUUAUCUAUUUUAGGGUUUUUCAUGCAUAUUCCUACCUUUCACGUACUAACAGAAUCACUACCGAAGGUUCUUACCGAAUUGGGCCCGUUGGCCCAUCAUUCCAAUUUUGGCCCAUUAAGCCCAAAUAUAUCGAGGGCACAGAAAUCAUGCACUUUGCAGUCCAAACAUUGCAGCUUACCAAAAACAUUAAUCGAUUUACCUCACGAGCAUUCGUACGCUCGCAAAUCUACAAAAUACCGGUUUUCGGCUUUUUGACUUUUGUCGAUCUAGACGAAGAAAGAGGGUGUUAGUUACACACCUGUUUGCGACGAUAUGCUGACGAGAUCCACACACGAACUGCCUACAAUUGGAUUACUAACACGUUAAUCUAACUAUUCACAUACAAACUACGUAUUAAACCCUUACAAUAUUCGGCCAACCACACCUACAGGUCAUAGUAAGCUUAUAAGAAAUCAAUAAGCAACUCAUUAACAAAUUUUUGUCAAUGUUUACCACAUAAUCAUAAUUUCACUGCAAGCUGUCUUCCUGAGCAACAGUCACGAAAUCAUUUAUAACUGGAGCUACGAAACUCCAAAUCAAGUGCCGUUAAUUUUCCCUAAAAAUAGACUCAUAUAUCUUCUAUCCAUAAAAUUUUCAGAAUUUUUGGUUUAGCCAAUCAAUACCAGAUAUUUCUCAAAGUUUCCCAUGUUUCACUAUUUGACUAAUCUGCCCACUCUUCAUUACGACUCAAAUUUCUCAUUGUAAAGAAUUCAAAAUAUGUUCUCGUUUAUUUCAUUUGAAACUAGAAUCAUUAAGAUUUAAUUACAUAAUUUAUUCAGCUUCUAAUUCAUCUCCCACAAUUUAUGGUGAUUUUCCAAAGUCACGUUACUGCUGCUGUCCCAAGCAGAUUUAUUACCAAGUCACUCUUUCACACACCUAUCUUGCAUGCAUGUUAUUUAAACAUGUAUAUCACCAAUCAAUCAUCACAUAUCUAUGAUUUUUGUACUUAAGCAUAAUCUCCAUUUCAUCAUUUUAAAGCACAACAUGUUAGCCAAUUUUUCCCUUUAGCAUCUAAGGCACAUGCAUGAUCAUUUGUUUGGCUCAACUUCACCUAUCUUCCAUUUUUCAUCAAAAGAACAUGAAAUAACAACCAUUUCCUUCAUUUUAAUUCAUGACUAAAUGCUCACAACACAACUAAAAACCAAAAUAUGCUUCAAGAGUUAAGGUAGAAUCAAGAAGAACUCAUGAACAUCAAGAUAGAAGCACACUACCAUGAACUUACCUUCAAUUUUCUUCCCCAAGUGACCGAACAUUCAAGAGCUUUCUCCUCUCUUUUCUCUUCUCUAACUUUAGGCUAUGAUGAACAAAUAUGGACAAAACUUUGUUCUUUUCACCCCUUUUUCUUUUAAUAAAAUUUCAUAUUUCAUCCAAUUAAUUCUUAAUACAAAAGACAUGAAAUGCCCAUCAUGGAACAUUUACCUAAACCAUUAUCAUGGAACAUUUACCUAACCCAUUAUCAUGGAAUAUUUACCUAAUCCAUUAUCAUGGAACAUUUACCUAACCUAUUAUCAAUUUGUACCAUGAAUUAUGGAUAUCAAGUGCUCAUAUUGUCUACAAUAACAUGAUGGCUGGCCACUUCAUGUAAAAUGGUAGGUUUGUCAUGCAAAUCCUCCUAUUUUGCACUCCUAUUUAUUUGGCCACUUCAAUUUAGCCUAUAGCAUUUUCAAACAUUUUCACAUAAGUUCUAUUUCAUAAUUUCACCCCCUUUUUCUUAUGGAACAAAAAUUAACUAAAAUUGCCGGGUUCUAUCUUAAGCUUGGGCCUUCUAGAGGCCCACUAACAUAAUUAAACCUAUGCCAACAUUCACAGAAUUCCCGAAAAUUGGGGCAUUACAACUCUACCGUCCUUAAAUAAAUUUCGUCCUCGAAAUUUACCUGAUCCAACUAGUUGAGGGUAUUGUUGACUCAUAGUCUCUUCUGAUUCCCAAGUAGCUUCUUCCCUUCCAUGAUUACGUCAAAGCACUUUCACUAACGGGACAGAUUUCCUUCCGAGAACCUUAACAUCUCGAGCCAAUAUUUGCACAGGCUCCUCCUCAAAGGUCAAAUCAGUCUGAACUUUAAUUUCUGCAACUAGCACGACAUGAGCAGGGUCAGAACGAUAACGCCUUAACAUGGAGACGUGAAAAACAUCGUGAAUCCUGUCUAACUCUGGAGGCAAUUCCAAUUGAUAAGCCACUGGGCCUACUCGCUUCAAAACCCGAUAAGGCCCAAUGAACCGCCGGCUCAACUUGCCCUUCUUACCGAACCUUAAUAUCUUCUUCCAAGGAGAAACCUUUAAGAAGACCAUAUCACCUACUAAGUACUCAAUCUCCUUACACUUCAAAUCUGCAUACGACUUUUGCCUAUCAGAUGCUUCUCUUAAUCGGUCCCUAAUUAUUUUGACCUUAUCCUCAGUAUCAGCUACCAACUCUGGUCCAAGAAUUUGUCGCUCUCCUAGUUCAGUCCAACAACUAGGUGUACGACACCUUCGUCCAUACAGUGCUUCAUACGGUACCAUUCGAAUACUCGCCUGGUAACUGUUAUUGUACGCAAAUUCUGCCAACGGCAAGUAAUCCUCCCAACUACCUCGAAAGUCAAUCACACAUCCCCUCAACAUGUCCUCCAGGAUCUGAAUAACCCUCUCUGAUUGACCAUCAGUUUGGGGAUGGAAAGCCGUACUAAAGUUCAAUCGCGUCCCCAACACCUCAUGCAACCUUUGCCAAAACCGAGAUGUAAAUCUGGGAUCCCAAUCAGAAAUAAUUGAAACUAGGACUCCAUGAAGUCAUACAAUCUCCGCCACAUAUAGCUUGGCUAACUUUUGAAGCGAAAAGUCAGUACGUACAGGUAUGAAAUGGACUGAUUUGGUCAACCUAUCCACAAUCACCCACACUGAGUCUUUCUUUGAUGGUGUCAAGGGCAGCCCACUCACCAAGUCCAUGGUUACCCUCUCCCACUUCCAAAGUGGUAUCUUCACUGACUGUAACAGUCCAGAGGGUAAUUGAUGCUCAGCUUUCACUUGCUAGCAUGUCAGACAUUUCCCUACAAACUCUGUUACUUCUCGUUUAAGCCCAGGCCACCCGUACAAUUCUCGCAAGUCGUGAUACAACUUAUUCCCUCCAGGAUGCAUGGCACAAAGUCCUCCAUGAGCUUCCUUCAAUAUUGUCUGCCUCAAAUCAGAGUCCUUAGGAACAUAAAUUCUUCCUCAGAAACACAGAACUCCUUCGCCAUCUAACCCAAACUCAGAAGUUUCCCCUUCCUUAACUUGUUGGAAACGAGCGACCAAAGACUUAUCGUUCAACUGCUUUUCCUUAAUCUGAUCCACCCAGGUUGGCCUCAGUUGCAACUCAGCCAACAGACUUCCAUCAUCAUACAGACUCAGACGAGCAAACAUUGCUCUCAGAUUAGAUACAGCUCUACGACUUAGAGCAUCGGCUACCACAUUAGCCUUGCUUGGGUGAUACUCGAUCAAACAGUCAUAAUCCUUAAGCAACUCAAUCCAUCUCCUUUGCCUAAGGUUCAGCUCUUUCUGAGUCAACAAAUACUUAAGACUCUUAUGGUCAGUGUAUAUAAUACACCUUUCUCCAUACAAGUAAUGUCUCCAAAUCUUAAGUGCAAAUAUCACUGCUGCUAACUCUAAAUCAUGAGUCGGAUAGUUCCCUUCGUGAGGUUUAAGCUGUCGUGAUGCAUAUGAAACCACCUUACCCUCCUACAUUAACACGCAGCCCAAACCCACGUGUGAUGCGUCAUUGUACACAGUAAAAUCCUUUCCAGACUCUGGCUGAAUCAACACAGGUGCUUCAGUCAGAACUUUCUUCAACUUCUCAAAAGCUUCCUACUGCUUCUCAGUCCAUACAAACGGUACUCCUUUCCUUAUGAGUUUUGUCAGAGGUGCUUCCAUAAUAGAAAAACCUUCCACAAACUUUCUGUAGUAUCCUGCCAGUCCUAGGAAACUCCGUAUUUCCGACAUUGACCUAGGCGGCGUCCACUCCAAAAUCGCUUCAAUUUUCUGAGGGUCCACCUUAAUCCCCUCAGCAGAGACCACAUGUCCUAAGAAGGUUACCUCCUCCAACCAAAAUUCACACUUGCUGAACUUCGCAAAGAGUUCCUUCUCCCGUAAUACUUACAGCACUAUACGGAGAUGCUCAUCAUGUUUCGUUUCAGUUUUAGAAUAUACCAGGAUAUCGUCAAUAAAGACGACUACGAACUGAUCCAAAAAUGAUUGGAACACACGAUUCAUCAGAUCCAUAAACGCUGCAGGAGCGUUCGUCAGUCCAAAUGGCAUAACCAGAAACUCGUAAUGACCAUACCGAGUCCUGAAUACCGUCUUAUGGAUAUCUACCUCCUUGACCCUUAAUUGAUAAUAUCCAGAUCGAAGGUCGAUCUUGGAGAAUACAGAAGCUCCUCUAAGCUGGUUGAACAGAUCGUCAAUCCUUGGCAGCGGAUACUUAUUCUUAAUCGUCAGUUUGUUCAACUGGCGAUAAUCAAUGCACAUCCGCAUUACCAUCCUUCUUUUUCACGAAUAGCACUGGUGCUCCCCAUGGAGACACGCUUGGCCUAAUGAAGUCCCUAUCCAACAACUCUUGAAUUUGAGCCUUUAACUCCACUAACUCCUUCGGUGCCAUCCUAUACGGUGCGAUGGACACGGGCGCCGUUCCAGGCAAUAAAUCUAUUCCAAACUCAACUUCUCGGUUCGGAGGCAAUCCUGGAAGCUCCUCUAGAAAAACAUCUUGGAACUCCUUUACGGUCCUAACCUUAUCCACUGUCAGUCCCUCCUCUUCUGACUGACUUACAAAUGCCAAAUAGGCCUCACAACCUUUCUGAAUCCACUUCUCGGCUCUUAAUGCCGACACCACAUUAGACAAAUAAUCCCUUCGCUCACCUAUCACCAUAACCUCCUCAUCCUUUGUGGUCCUUAACACCAUUCGUUUAACAGCACAAUCCAGAGUCGCUUUAUGCUUAACAAGCCAAUCCAUUCCCAAAAUGAGAUCAAACUCUCCGAACGGUAACUCCAUCAGAUCUCCAAGGAAAAUCUUACCUUGAGUUUCUAAGGGUACAUCCCUAUACAGUUUAUCUACCCUAACCGAGUGACUCAAAUGACUUAGUACAGAUACCCCACUCACAAUCUCCUCAGAGCAGUCCAAGUUGUCCAUAAUCCGUUCUGUGGCCUCCAACCAAUUUUCUGCCAUAUUUGGGGCUAUACCAGACACGCCCCUAAAAAUCUCCGCUCCGUUAGCCCGAAGUCGUUAAGAAAUAGAUCCCCGAACUCCAUUGCCCAUACCUGCCCCGGCAACCCUUUCUAAAACACGAAGCAUUGCCUGUGACAGGGCAUCAUCCCCGGCACCGCGUUCAUGAGACUCUACCUCUGUUGCCGAUGGUACCGGUGCAUCCACCGCCGACAUAUGUCCCGAAGACGAAGAUCUCGCUCGAGCACUUCCUCGGCCCCGUCCACAGCCUCUUCCAUGAAUGGUUCUUGUACUCAUAUCGUAUUAUCUUGAUUACGAAUUUUUAUGCAUCAAUUAAUAUUCUAGUGUUUAUUACAGAUGUUUUAUGAAUUAGACAGUAGUUCAGAGUUUGUUUUCGCAGAGUUGAAGUCUAGCUACAGUUUCAGUCUCUUAUCAGAUUUUCUUAUGGUUUCAGUAUCAUCCUAUCUAGAGUAUCCUAGUAGGGUUUCAGUACAGACAGAUAACUCAGGAAAAUAUUCAGAAAAAUUCAGAAUACUUACAGACUUGAGCCGGAGAUUCGGAAUGCCACCUUCUAAAGAUCUAAAUUUUGAAAAUCGCGUUUUUCGCAAAAAAAAUUUGUUUUUGAAAAUCUUUAUUUUUUUUUGUAAACCCAUUCCACAGCCGAGUUGUUGCAACCUAGGCUCUGAUAGCACUAAAUGUAGCACCCCAAACCUGGCCCAGACGUUAUGGUCGGAUCUAACAUGCCACAUCGAAGCAUUCAAAACAUUUCCGAUCCAGAAAGAAAACUUACUGAGUGUUUUAAAAGAUGAUUUCAUUAUAGGUUAAAGUGAAUGGAAGCUGUGCACCAGGUAGGAAACCGAAAAAGAGGUGGUGAGUCCAUCGGACUGCUUAAGUACCAAGCUCCCUUCGGAUCCAAUCCUAGACAUGCAUACCGCCAUUGCCACACCUUAACGUCAUGGAUAUUUCUAGGAAACCGAUUUGAUUAAGUCAUUUUUAGGAAAAGUGAUUAAUCUUGGAAAAUACUUUCAUUGCGGAAGCUUUGCUUGUUGUCGUGUUAUUUUGAAAUCAAUUGUUGUUUUUGAAAACGCGAUCUGAAGCUAUCCAAUUUCAACAGUUAAAUAUAGUUAAUACCUAUCUUAGUAAUACAUAUUAAAACCAUCAAAAAUAAUUAAGCGGCCUUAUUACAUUUAAAAACCCAAAACUUCAAACGUAAAUAAAAGGAUGUCCAGUUCACCAUAAGAAAAUCAAACUUUUAGAACGGGUGGCCACUCCGAAUUCCCUCACAGCUCCAAGCCCAUUAUGGUUGGGGAUUUCCUGCGUGGAUGAAAAUAAAAGGGGUGAGUUUGGGGAAACUCAGUGUGUAAGGAAAACCCAUUCAAAGCUCAAGUCAGCUCAAGUCUAUUGGGCCUAAGCCCAUUCAGGUAACAGUGGUAAUGGACCAGAGCCCUUUUCAGAUUACAAUAAACUGGGCCUUAUCCCCUUAUUCAGAUAACAGUAUGGCCCAUAGGCCCAUUUCAAAAUACAUGCAACAUCAAUAACAUAUGCAAGCUCAUUUGGGGAGACUACUCAACCCACCAACCACUACACUCCACCCUACCAGCCCUACACUCCAUGUGGGGAAUAGCUCAACCCACCCAGCCCAACACUCCACAGCUGCAGCCUUGCUGCUCAGUUAACAGUAAAUUGAAGCAAAGCCUCCAGUACGUGGACAAGCCACUUUCAGUACUUCCUCCGUCAAUAUCCCAGUCCCAUGCAUCAGAUAAUAACAACAUGGCAUGAAGUAAAUAACAACAGUCAAACAUGCAUUUAGGUCAAUUUAACCCUAGGGGUUUUUCGGUAAUUUAUCUCCUAGGGGUAAAACUGUAAAUUUUCCACUUUUAAAGGUAUUUCAGUAAUUUAUCUAUUUUAGGGUUUUUCAUGCAUAUUCCUACCUUUCAUGUACUAACAGAAUCACUACCGAGGGUUCUUACCGAAUUGGGCCCGUUGGCCCAUCAUUCCAAUUUUGGCCCAUUAAGCCCAAAAAUAUCGAGGGCACAGAAAUCAUGCACUUUGCAGUCCAAACAUUGCAGCUUACCAAAAACAUUAAUUGAUUUACCUCACGAGCAUUCGUACGCUCGCAAAUCUAUAAAAUACCAGUUUUCGACUUUUCGACUUUUGCCGAUCUAGACGAAGAAAGAGGGUGUUAGUUACACACCUGUUUGCGACGAUAUGCUGACGAGAUCCACACACGAACUGCCUACAAUUGGAUUACUAACACGUUAAUCUAACUAUUCACAUACAAACUACGUAUUAACCCCUUACAAUAUUCGGCCAACCACACCUACAGGUCAUAGUAAGCUUAUAAGAAAUCAAUAAGCAACUCAUUAACAAAUUUUUGUCAAUGUUUACCACAUAAUCAUAAUUUCACUGCAAGCUGUCUUCCUGAACAAUAGUCACGAAAUCAUUUAUAACUGGAGCUACGAAACUCCAAAUCAAGUGCCGUUAAUUUUCCCUAAAAAUAGACUCAUAUAUCUUCUAUUCAUAAAAUUUUCAGAAUUUUUGGUUUAGCCAAUCAAUACCAGAUAUUUCUCAAAGUUUCCCAUGUUUCACUAUUUGACUAAUCUGACCACUCUUCAUUACGACUCAAAUUUCUCAUUGUAAAGAAUUCAAAAUAUGUUCUCGUUUAUUUCAUUUGAAACUAGACUUAUUAAGAUUUAAUUACAUAAUUUAUUCAGCUUCUAAUUCAUCUCCCACAAUUUAUGGUGAUUUUCCAAAGUCACGUUACUGCUGUUGUCCCAAGCAGAUUUAUUACCAAAUCACUCUUUCACACACCUAUCUUGCAUGCAUGUUAUUUAAACAUGUAUAUCACCAAUCAAUCAUCACAUAUCUAUGAUUUUUUUACUUAAGCAUAAUCUCCAUUUCAUCAUUUUAAAGCACAACAUGUUAGCCGAUUUUUCCCUUUAGCAUCUAAGGCACAUGCAUGAUCAUUUGUUUGGCUCAACUUCACCUAUCUUCCAUUUUUCAUCAAAAGAACAUGAAAUAACAACCAUUUCCUUCAUUUUAAUUCAUGACUAAAUGCUCACAACACAACUAAAAACCAAAAUAUGCUUCAAGAGUUAAGGUAGAAUCAAGAAGAACUCAUGAACAUCAAGAUAGAAGCAAACUACCAUGAACUUACCUUCAAUUUUCUUCCCCAAGUGACCGAACAUUCAAGAGCUUUCUCCUCUCCUUUCUCUUCUCUAACUUUAGGCUAUGAUGAACAAAGAUGGACAAAACUUUGUUCUUUUCACCCCUUUUUCUUUUAAUAAAAUUUCAUAUUUCAUCCAAUUAAUUCUUUAAUACAAAAGACAUGAAAUGCCAAUCAUGGAACAUUUACCUAAACCAUUAUCAUGGAACAUUUACCUAACCCAUUAUCAUGGAAUAUUUACCUAAUCCAUUAUCAUGGAACAUUUACCUAACCUAUUAUCAAUUUGUACCAUGAAUUAUGGAUAUCAAGUGCUCAUAUUGUCUACAACAACAUGAUGGCUGGCCACUUCAUGUAAAAUGGUAGGUUUGUCAUGCAAAUCCUCCUAUUUUGCACUCCUAUUUAUUUGGCCACUUCAAUAUAGCCUAUAGCAUUUUCAAACAUUUUCACAUAGGUUCUAUUUCAUAAUUUCACCCCCUUUUUCUUAUGGAACAAAAAUUAACUAAAAUUGCCGGGUUCUAUCUUAAGCUUGGGCCUUCUAGAGGCCCACUAAUAUAAUUAAACCUAUGCCAGCAUUCACAGAAUUCCCAAAAAUUGGGGCGUUACAUUAGGUACAAGUAGAACUGGCACAGCACAAGGACUGAGACUCUCUCGGAUGUAACCCUUAUCUAUAAGUUCAACAACUUGUUUUUGUAAUUCCUUGGUUUCUUCCGGGUUACUUUGAUAAAUAGGCAGAUUAGGAAGUGCGGCUCCAGGUACUAGAUCGAUUUGUUGCUCGAUGCCUCGAAUGGGAGGCAAUCCACUCGGCACUUUUUCCGAGAAAACAUCCUCGAAUUCCUAUAAAAGAGACAACAUAGAAGAAGGUAGAUCGUAGGGUAACUCGUUAGUGUUUAACAAAAUUUCUUUGUACAUAAGUACAAAUAUAGGUUGCCUCAAAGUUAAAGCUCUCCGAACAUCACUUAUUCUCGCAAACACACUUAUUUUUCCACUUUUUUUUCUUCUCUAUUUUUUUAAUUUUCUUGCUUCCUCUUUACUCUCUUUUGAGAUUUUACCUCUAGCUCUCUCAUUUUUCUUUUCUUUUUCUCGCAUUUGUCCCACAAAUGUUUUGAGUUUAAGUUGGUCCUCGUAUACUUGCUUCGGGGUUAAUGGUGUAAGUGUCAUAUUCUUGCCCCCAUGCUUGAAGGAAUAUCUAUUAGUAUAGCCAUCAUGAACCACACUCCGAUCAAACUGCCAUGGUUGUCCUAAUAGCAAAUGGCCCGCGUGCAUUAGCACCACAUCGCAUAGAACUUCAUCGGAGUAUUUUCCAAUGCUGAAAGAAACUAGGACUUGUUUCAUGACUUUGAGCUCACCACCAUCGUUGAGCCAUUGAAGCUUGUACGAGUUCGAAUGUUUGGUGGUCAACAGUCCUAAUUUUUCCACCAUGAGAGUACUCACCGUAUUCGUGCAACUUCCACCAUCUAUGAUAAUGCUACAAAUUUUCCCUUGGAUUUUACAUCUCGAAUGGAAAAUAUUCUCUUGUUGUUGCUCAUUCUCCACUCCUUGUAGACUUAAACUUCGUUUGACUACAAGCAACUCACCUUCGACAGGGUGUUCCAAAUCCUCUUCUUCGUUAGAAUUCUAUUCCGGCUCAUCUUCUUCUUCAUCCUUUAUUUCAAUUUCACAAUCUGUACGAAACACCAUGGUGCUCCAGUUUGGGCACUGACUUGCAAUAUGUCCUCUUCCAGGACAUUUGAAGCAUUUAAUAUCUCUAGAAUGGUUGGAUGAACUCUCAAUAGCUUUGCCUUUGCUUGAUUCGGCCAAAAGGUUAUUUGUCUUAGGCAACAUCGUGGACUCCUUCACUCGGUUUGAUGGAAAGCUUUUGCUAACGCCUUGUCCCCAUCUUAGAGGAUUUGUAGUGGAGUAGCCUCAGGUAGCACCCUUACAGUUUAUUUGUUUUUCCACUUUGAUGGCCAUGUGUACCAUGUCCACCACAUUGAUGUAAUGUUGAAGUUCGACGACAUUAGCAAUGUCACGGUUAAGACCAGCUAGAAAACAAGCUAUAGUCACUUCGCGGUCUUCUUGCACAUCUACACGAAUCAUCGCCACCUCUAUCUCCUUAUAAUAGUCUUUUAUGCUCUUAGUUCCUUGAGUAAGAUUUUGAAGUUUCUGAUGAAGCUCCCGGUGAUAAUACGAAGGAAUAAAUCACCGUUGCGUUGCAGCUUUCAUCUCAACCCAAGUAUUAAUAGGCCUUUCUCCUUUGCGCCUUCGACCAGUGGUGAAUUGAUCCCACCAGAUUAUUGUGUACGUUAUCAGAAAACUCAAUUACAUCUAGUUUGACCUUCUUACUAUUGGAAUAGUUGUGUAUUCAAAUACUAAUCUUUUUCCCACUCUAGGUACACCUCCGAAUCAGAUUUGCCUUGAAAGGGAGGUAUUGAUAGCUUUAUAUUCUUGAGAUCAUCAUCUUCACUUCUCCGAUCUCUUUGGCCAUGAUUUCGUUGUUCCCUCUGUUGAGCACUCACAAUGGACCGUUGGUCACUCUCAGCCUCACUAGGAUCUGACUGAUCAUCUUCGUUAAAUUAUUAUCAGCCACGGUUUCUAGGGGACUUUGAGGUGUCCUUCUCUAUCCUACUCUUUCUUCAACUAAAUCCAACCUUUCUUGUAUAGGAUCAAGCUUCCGGUUAAAGAGUCACUCCACCUCUCGAAGUAUAGCUUGAAAAUUAAAGUCUGAAACAUUUUUAACGGGUUGUCGGUCUUGUUGCUCAUCCAUAUUUUGUUUAGGAUUUUGUGACAAAAAAGAAAAUAAAACAAAUCAAAACUGAAGAAAGAUAAUAAUUGAAACCUCAUAACAAACCUUACGUUCACUCGAAAAGGAAAAAAAAUUAUAGCACUCACGCUCGUGUUUGCACUCGUAUGUUGGCUUUUACCUCCUCUAAAUUGUGCUCACAACUCUCGUGCCUUUUUCCACUUCUUUUUUUUCAUGACUUUGUAAGCAGACUUGACAAGGCUUAAUCGUAGGCUUAAGGGUCGGUCACAAAGUGGGAAAUAAGAAAAUUAAUGAAGAGGGGUAGGGUAGGCUAAAAGAAAAGAUGAAAAGGAGUUUAAGUGUGGCAUGGAAUGGGAAGGAAUGGUUGAGAAUAGAAAUUUUCUUGAUCUGGGAAUACAAGAGUAAAUACAAAUUUUCAACUCAAUUUUUUUGAAUUUUUUACUUUUUUCAAACUUACUUUGAUUCUUCACGUACUAAUCUAAGUUUAUCUUCGAAGGUUCGUACUUCUCUUUUUUUAAGCUCUGAUACCAAAUGAUAUGAUCUGCCUCGAAUUACGAGUCGAGUCGUAUUUACGUUGCUAAUCAUCAAUGAGAAAGUAUGGUUUCAUUAGAUGGAUAUCUAACUAAAUUAAUGAAAUACGCUCAACUAGGAUUAAAUGAUCAAAAAUAAAAUGGCUCUAAUUGGAAAGGGAAAAUAUUUGGUUAUCAAAUAAGUGGUAAAAGUUGAUUAUGUUUUGGAUAUGGUAAAAGGAUGGAAAGAAACAACUCAAGAAGCAAGAAAGAACCAACACUAAUUAGUAUCGACCCAAUUACUUAUAUGCUUUUGAAAAGUUUUGUAUAUUCAGUCAAGACCUCGACCCACUAUCAAUAAAGAUAGGAACCUCGGUAUAGGGUUCGAAUGCCACACUUGUGAAAAUGAUAAGUUCAGGAAAGGCAAAGAACAGGUUGACGCCACUAGCUUUGUAGACAAGCCAACAAGUCUUUGAACAAAAUUAGAGAAAAGUAUUUCUCACCAAAUGAGUAGAGUUUCAUUAAAAUGUCAAAAAAAUAGUCCUUCAAAAUGGCUAGUCACACAUAUUUAUAGGUAUAGAAAAACUAGCUGAAAAGUCACAUCUUAAUGUGCUAGUUAAAACUGAAAUUAAACUCAAGUCUCUUAGCAUUCUUGUAACAAUUAACUCCAUCCUUGAAUUCACUUUAAUUCAGCUGAAUAUAUAUCCUUGAUUGCUUGAAAAAAGUCUCUUAAGAUGUUCCUUGGCUAGUUGAAAAGACACCAGCUAUUUAAUGGUGUUCUGAAUGCUUGUUUUAAUAUUUGAAAGAACAAAAUCAGCUGGUAAGUGAAAAGGUUGCUGCCAAAUUUAAAACAGUGUUAAAAUGCUCCUUAAAACUCCUUAAUUGAUGUAUAAAACCUCCCUUGUAACAACUCCUUCCUUUGUAACAAAAAGAAAAAACACUUGAAAGUCACUUCCAUUAAGUUGUAACAACCUUGAAAUGUAACGGUUGUGAGAUGAAGGAACACUUGCAAUAAAUUUCAGGUAACGCCUAUGGGGUUCAUCCUUGCAUGAUUAAUGGGUUCAACUUCUUAUACUUCCCAAACUCGUUCCACGUAGCUCGCCAAUGUGUCUUUAAAUUUCUUAGCUUGUGACCUAGUAAUAGGCCAUUGUGGCAACUCAAUGGAUUCAGUAGAGACAUCUCGAGCAAAGGUCGUAUCAAGUUUCCUUAAAUUCUUGGGUUUGGAAACUAUAACAUAUAUCCUCCUACUGAACCUUUAGUAGAUAACUAAGCUUAGCAAAUUAAACAUGUCCUCAUCUUUAACCAUUUCUGUUAUUUUAAGUGUAUUAUGCGCUACCAUCUUUCUUUCCUUUGCUACAACCAUGUUGCCAACAGAACAAUCACCAUAUGAGUUCGAAGUUAAAGCGUUGAUAAAGAGUGGUUGGUGGAGUAGCUAUAGUAAUGAUACUCCACAACAUUGCAAGUGGGAUGGUAUAUCAUGUAACAGUGCCAGAAGAAUCACCAAAAUUAACAUUUAUGAUGCGCCCAAUAUUGAGGUUGGAGAUAGUGUUGAAGUUGGCCUGCAUCCACCACAUGAUGCAGCCAAGAAGUAGAGAAGCUGCUCGAACCAUAUAGAUGCUGCUGAAGUUGAUGCAGCUAUUCAAUUUCAGUUUAUUUUGUUACUUCAAUUGAUGUUUUAUAACUUUGUUAAAUUAGAACUAAAUAGUUAAUAUACUUGAUGUAUUUUUGUUGACAUUUGAGCUGAUAAAUCAGCUUUACCAAGUGUGCAAGUUUAGUUUAACAAGUUUCAAUGUAAUCAGUGGUAGUAGGUAAAUGUUUAGAUGAAAUUUGUUUGUUUUUUAUCAGCCUAUUGACUGAUAUAUGUAAUGGCAUUAUGCCUCAAUUGGAAGUUAAUGAAUAUACACAUUUUCUUCUUCAUUUUAUGGGUUUUUACUCAAGCAAAUAGCUCAAGCUUCAUAUCUAAUUUAUGUUGUUUGCUUAACAAGUAUCGGGCCUUCAAGCUCAACUUUCUAUCUUUGUUAUUCAUCUUCAUUCUUAGUUCCAAAAUUUGGUAUCUAGAGCUUAUUUCUUAGUGGAGCUGUCAUCUUUUAUUUCUUAAAACCAUGUCUUCUUCAAGUUUCUCUCAACUGUACCACCAGUCUUCAGUGGUGAAGGCUACCACAUUUGGGUAGUAAAAAUGAAAACCUACUUAUAGGCAUUUAACCUUUGGGAGGUUAUCAAAUCAGAUGUUAAACCAGCACCUCUAAGAACCAAUCCCACAGUGGCUCAGAUCAGACAGCAUGCAGAUGAAAGAACCAAAAGAUACAAGGCCAUGUCAUGUAUCUAAAACAGUGUGUCUGAUGUGAUUUUCACAAGGAUCAUGGCUUGUAAGUCACCAAAGCAGGCAUGAGAUAGGCUGAAGGAGGAGUUUCAAGGGACUGAAAGAACAAGACAACAACAACUAUUGAAUUUGAGAAGGGACUUUGAAAAUUUGAGGAUGAAUGAGGAAGAAAAGUAAAGCAAUACUCAGAUAGAAUUAUGGCUGCAGUGAACUGAAUCAGAUUGCUUGGGAACCAAUUUAGUAAAGCAAGAAUUGUAGAAAUGGUUAUCUCAACCCUGCCUGAAAGAUAUGAGGCCAAAAUCUCAUCUCUUGAAGACUCGAGAGAUCUAACCGGUAUCUCAUUGACUGAGCUGAUCAAUGCUCUUUAUGCUCAAGAGCAAAGGAGAGCCAGUAGACAAGAUGAGCACCAAGAAAGUGCCUUCCAAGCUAAGAGCAGACCUGCGUCGAGCUCCUCUGGUUACAAAGGGAAGAAGAUCUGGUCAAACAAGCCUAGAAUGGAUGGUGCAAGAAGUUAUCCACCUUGUCCACACUAUAGAAGGCUAAGUAGAGGAUUGUUGGUUCAAGCUUGAUGUGCAGUGAAAAGUUUAUAAAAAGAUAGGACAUGUUGAGAAAGUUUGCAGAAACAAAGGCAAGCUGAAACAAAACCAACCUCAACAGCCUAGACUUGAAGCUGAAGUAGCUGAAGAAAACAGUGACCAAGAAGAGCAAUUCUUUGCAGUCUCUUGCUCAUAUGCCAAAAGAAAAGCCAUAAAAGGAUAGCUGAUAAGUAGUGGUUGCACAAACCACAUGACUCCAGAUGCUACUAUCUUCAAGAAUAUUGACAGAAGCUUCAAAACAAGGGUGAAAGUUAGAAAUAGAACUUCAUCAAAUCUAAAGGCUAAGGAGAUGUGCUGAUUGACACACCUAAAGGUACCAAACUUGUUUCAAAUGUCCUAUUUGUGCCUAAAAUUGAUAGAAACUUGCUCAAUAUAGCUCAGCGGCUUAAAAAAAAGGCUAUUCAGUAGUGUUUAAAGGCAAAGAAUGCCUAAUCAGUGAUCCAAGUGGGUCCAAAAUUAUGUUAGUAACCAUGGUUGACAGAAGCUUUAUGGUGGAUUGGAACAAGGGCUCAGAUAGUGGCUACACAGUUACUUUAGAUGAAUCCAAGCUGUGGCACAAGAGGCUAAGACAUGCCAACUACAAGUCAUUGGUUUUGAUGAACAAAUGAAACUUGGUUGAAAAUUUCUCCAAAACAGUUGAGAAAGAAGAAGUCUGUGAAGUAUGUCAGUUAGGGAAGCAAGCUAGAUUGCCAUUCCCUUCAAACAAAGCUUAGAAAGCCUCUAAAAAAUUACAGCUAGUUCACACUGAUGUGUGUGGCCCUAUGAAGACAUAGUCCUUGAAUGGCAGCAAGUAUUUCAUCCUUUUCAUUGAUGACUACUCGAGAUAUUGUUGGAUUUACUUCCUAAAGCACAAGUCAGAAGUGGUCUUAGUGUUUUGGAAGUUCAAGGUCACUAUUGAAAUCAAAAUAGGUUGCAAGCUAAAGACAUUAAGGUCUGACAAUGGUACAGAAUACACUUCAACAAGGUUUCAAGGCUUUUGUGAUGCAGCAGGUAUCAAGAACCAGCUCACCAACACUUACACAACUCAACAGAAUGGUGUUAAUGAAAGAAAGAAUAGAAGCUUGAUGGAUAUUGAAAUAUGUCUGUUGUUUGAAAGGAAUUUGCUUAAGAACUUAUGGGCUGUGUAACAGUCUGGCUUUGACCCUAGUCAGAAUAGUGGUUUUGGGACCACAAAUUUGAGUCAAAAAAUAUUUAAAUAUUAUUUACUAUGUUUAUGAUAAGUGAAUUGACAUGUGUGAAAGUCUAGUGUGAAAAUUUAACUGUUUGUGUGGUUAAUUUGCAAAAAAGACCUAAUCGCGUAAAAUGUAAAAGCUGGGUGCUAGAUGUUAAAGUGCAUAUUUGACUUGGCUUUAUAAUUGUGAGGUUCUUAUGUGUUCAUUUGACCAAAUUUAUGAUUAAAUGACAUUAGUGGACAUUAGUUGUUGGCAUAUUAAUAUUUUAAUGCAAGGGUAAUAUGGUAAAAUGCAUAUUAAAGUAAAUUAUAUGAAAACAAAUUAGAAAAUGAUGCCAUAUUGUGUGUUCAUCCAUUGAAAUUGAAGAAAAAAAGAAAGAAUAAAAGGUUUUAGGGUUUUGGCACAUUGAAAGCUUAAUUCGGAUCAAGAAAAGAGGAAUUCAGAUUUAGACUGAGGGAAGUCUAAGAUUAUAGAGUAGAUGACCCGAGUCAGCAAUUCCGAGUAUAAGGUAAGUUCGUACUUAAAGCAUGAUGUUAAAGUAUAUUUUAAUGUUUUGAUUAUACAUAGAUUGUAUAUAUAUCUGGUUUGGAUGAAUAUGACGAUAAAUCAAUAGUAAUUGGCACUAAGUGUGCGAUUUAAAAUAGCUUCGGCUAUAUGAGGUACUAAGUGUGCGAUACUGACUUAGAUUCGGUUAAUUGAGAUGGCACUAAGUGUGCGAAAUUGUUCUAGCUUCGGUUAACCUAUAUAGCAAUAAGUGUGCGGAUGUUUGAAGUACAAAUAAUUUUUGAGAAGUCUUAAAAUAUUCAAACGAGAGGUGAGGAUGAAAAUGAAUAAGUACAGGAAAUUCAGGUAUGUACGAUACCUAUGUGGUAGAUGAUAUUAUGUUUAUGAAGCUCAUUCUUUUGGUAUGAACAUAUGGAUUGUGUUGAUAUAGAUUUUAUAGAUGAUUUGAGAAUUUGUAAACACGUAAGUAUUAUUGAUUCUUGGUACGAGCUUACUCAGCUUUUGAAAGCUUACUUUGUGUGUGUUUGCAUUGUUUUAUAGAUAUCAAAGCUACUGCAAGCUCGGGGAUCAUCAAGGACCGUCACCAUACUAUCGAGCUUAUUUUGGUACUUUUGAAAAUGUAUAUUUCGAAGUAUGGCAUGUAUAGGCUAGUAGUUGUGGGAUUAUGUUUUGUGAUGUAUUACUUAGCCAUGUGAUUUGGCUAAUGGGUGUGUUUGAACUCAUAGUUGAUAAUAGCUUUUGGUAUGUGAUGAUAGUUUGCAUUUGUGGUAUAUUGUAGUUGGAUAAAGAAGAUGGUAAGUUUGAUAAGUUCAUGGCAUGAGAUUGAAUGAUGUUUUUGAUAUAAUCUUACAUUAUAUUUUGGUAUGACUUGGUAAGGUUUAUGAGUAUGGAUGACUAUUAUAUGAUAUGAAUGGUUUAUGUUUCGGUGUUGAAUUUGGCUGAAAUGGUGGUGCAAAUAUGCUUGUUUCCUUGCUUGUAGGUUCACCCAAAUUGGGGUGGCAAUUUGGCUAUUCAAAUGGCCUAUUUUUGUCCACACGGGUAGAGACACGGGCGUGUGCCUCAGCCGUGUGUGACACACGACUAUGUUGCACUAUCGUGUGUCCCCUAAGGUACCCUACAAUUGUAAUUCAGGCCUGAACACGGCCAAAGCACACCGACGUGUGGCUAGCCGUGUGGCCCAAGUCAAGCUCGACCACGGACAAGGUACACGGGCGUGUCUUGUAGCCGUGUGGGCAAGUCAGUAGCUAUGCCCUGUUUUGCCACGGCUUAGACACACAGACGUGUCUAAGGCCGUGUGAGGCACACGGUCUAUUCAUACUGGCAUGUGACUUUUUAAAAGUAAAAAAAAAUUAUAAGCUCUGAAACUUUUAUAUGUUAUCAAUUUGGUCCUGAAUGCAUGUUUAAGCAUUGUAUACUCAUUUUUAUGUGAAUAAUGAAUGUGAAUGAAUGGUUUUUUUAGUAAUGAGAUGAUAUUUGAUGUUUGGUGGUUCUGAUAUUAGUUACAAGUUCGGCAAUGCCUCUUAACCUAUUCCGGUUAUUGUUACGGGUUAGGGGUGUUACAUUUAAUAGGUAUCAGAGCUAUGGUUUAGUCAGUUCUAGGACUUCUAUAGUGUUUGUGAGUCUAGCUAUACAUACCAUAUUUAUGAACUGCGAUAGUGUGAUGAAUCCUGACACUAAAAUGUGCUUUUAUAUAGCAAUGGAUCCCAAAAAAGCUAUGGCAGACGAUGUUGAAAGUAAUGUGCCUGCUCCCGUGCAAGGGAUGGUGCAUACUGAUUCUCGACCGGCUACGAGUAGCCGUGAUGGUGAGGCUAAAAAAGCCUUCUAUCAGAUGAUAAAUGAUUGGUUCACUCAAUAUAUUAGAACCAAUCCAGAGUACAACAACCUCCACCCCCGGUUAAUCCUCCUCAAACUCUUGUUAUGCCACCAGUGAAUCCGGUACAGUUAAGUAGACCACCAGUUGAUAAGAUUAGAAAAUAUGAUGCUGAAAAGUUCUGAGCUACAAUAAGUGAUGAUGCUGAAAAAGCCAAAUUCUAGUUAGAGAAUACAAUAAAAGUGUUUGAUGAGUUUUCUUUGAGUCCAAAUGAAAGCAUAAAAUGUGUCGUUUCACCUCUGAGAGAUACGGCGUACCAUUGGUGGAAAACUUUGACGUCUGUGGUUUCGAAUGAAUGAGUUAUGUGGGAUUUCUUUCAAGCUGAAUUCCAAAAUAAAUAUUUUAGUGAGAGAUUCAUUGAUCAGAAAAGCAAAGAGUUUCUCGAGCUUAAACAAGGUCGUAUGUCUGUCACAGAAUACGAGCGGGAAUUUGUAAGGUUGAGUCAGUAUGCCCAUGAAUGUGUAUCCUCGGAAGCAAUAAUGUACAAGAGAUUUGAAGAUGGUUUGAAUGAGGGUAUUCAUUUGUUAGUUAGGAUUUUAGAAAUCAAAGAGUUUGUGGUGCUUGUUGAACGAGCAUGUAAAGCUGAAGAUCUUGGAAAAGAGAAAAGAAAAUCUGAUUUUGAAGAUAGAGAGGUACAAAAGAGAUCAUAAAGGUAAAUCAUUUCAAUCUGGAUCAAAGAAGUUUAGAGAUGAUAGUAAUCGUUCAAAGACUAUUGUGGGACAUUCGAAUAGAGAUCAUGCUAGAUCGCAACCAAAUUUCAAAUCUUCAGCUACGUCUAUUGCCAGUGUUGAUAAUGCAAAGAAUGAAAAGCCUGAGUGUGAUCAUUGUGGAAGACGACAUUUUGGUGAAUGCUGGGGAAAAAGUAAUAACCGAGCUUGUUAUAGUUGUGGUUCAAGAAAUCAUUUUAUAAAAGAUUGCCCAGAUUUAGCUGAAAAAGAUAAUGUUCAGAAUUAGAGGCAGAGUGGUAACACUUCUCAUGGUAGACCUCUCAGAAAUUCGGGAAAUGUAAGCAGUAGUCAAAGAGGAACGAAAGACAUAGUUGUUAGAUCUAAGGCUCGUGCAUCUGCUAGAGCCUAUGCUAUCUGAGCUCACGAGGAAGCUUCAUCGCCAGAUGUGAUUACGGGUACAUUUACCUUCUAUGAUACUUAUGUGAUUGCUUUGAUAGAUCUUGGAUCAACAUAUUCGUAUAUAUGUAUGAACCUAGUGAAUAGUAAGACUUUACCUAUAGAGUCUACUAAAUUUGUAAUUAGAGUUUCAAACUCCCUAGGCAGAUGUGUUCUGGUUGAUAAAGUAUGUAAGAAUUGUCCAUUAAUGUUUCGAAACACUUGUUUUACGACUAAUCUGAUGCUGUUACCUUUUGAUGAGUUUGAUAUAUUUCUGGGUAUGGAUUAGUUAACUUUGCAUGAUGCUGUGGUGAACUGCAAACGGAAAACUAUUGAUUUAAGAUGCAAGAAUGGUGAAAUAGUUAGAAUUGAAUCUAGUGAUUUGAAUGGAUUGCCUGCAGUGAUAUCUUCAAUGAAAGCUUUGAGUAUUGUGAGAAAGGGUUGUGAAACCUAUUUUGCUUAUGUGAUUGAUUCGAGAGUGUCAGAAAAGAAAGUUGAAUCAGUUCCUUUUAUGUGUGAAUUCCCUGAUGUAUUUCCUAAAGAACUUUCGGGAGUACCUCCGGUUAGAGAAGUUGAAUUUGGUAUUGAAUUGGUACCUGGUACUCCUUCGAUUUCGAUAGCUUCGUACAAAAUGGCUCGGGCUGAACUAAAAGAAUUAAAGUCUCAGUUAUAAGAGUUGACCGAUAGAGGGUUUGCUAGAUCGAGAUUUUUGCCUUGGGGUGCUCCGGUUCUAUUUGUGAAAAAGAAGGAUGGUACAAUGAGAAUGUGUAUUAAAUAUCAUCAAUUGAAUAAAGUGACCAUCAAGAAUAAAUAUCCUCUACCCCGAAUUGAUGAUUUGUUUGAUUAGUGGAAAGGAGCUGCUGUGUUUUCGAAAUUAGAUUUGAGAUCAGGCUAUUAUCAGUUGUGAGUGAAAGACUUAGAUAUUCUGAAAACAACUUUCCAAACAAGGCAUGGCCACUAUGAAUUUUUAGUUAUGCCUUUCAGAUUGACUAAUACACCUGCGAUCUUUGUGGAUUUGAUGAAUAGAAUUUCCAGACCAUAUUUAGAUCAAUUUUUUGUUGUAUUCAUUGAUGACAUAUUGAUUUAUUCACGAGAUGAAUCUGAACAUGUCGAGCAUUUGAGAUUAGUGCUACAGAUUCUGCGAGAUAAACAGUUGUAUGCGAAGUUCAGUAAAUGUGAAUUCUAGUUGUGAGAAGUGGGUUUUCUGGGUCAUAUUGUAUCAGCAUCUAGUAUCCAAGUUGAUCCGAGCAAAAUUUCAGCUAUUUUGGAUUGGAAACCUCCGAGGAAUGUCUCUGAAGUCUAUAGUUUUCUGGGACUUACUGGUUAUUAUAGAAGAUUUGUGAAAGGUUUUUCGAUGAUUGCGACUCCGUUGACAAAAUUGGUACAGAAAGAUGUGAAGUUUGAGUGGUCCGAAAAGUGUCAGAACAACUUUAAUUAGUUGAAAACCUUGUUGACUAAAGCUCCGGUAUUGGUACAACCUGAAUCGGGUAAAGAAUUUGUGAUUUACAGUGAUGCUUCAUUGAUUGGUCUAGGAUGUGUUCUAAUGCAAGAAUGAAAAGUCAUUGCUUAUGCUUCAAGACAGUUGCAGUCGCACGAAAAAAACUAUCCAUCGCACGAUCUUGAAUUAUCUGCAAUUGUUUUUGCUUUAAAGAUUUGGCGCCAUUACUUGUUCGGUGAGAAAUGUGACAUGUAUUUUGAUCAUAAGAGUUUGAAGUAUUUAAUGACUCAGAAAGAUCUGAGUUUGAGAUAGAGAAGAUGGUUAAAACUGCUAAAAGACUACGAACUUGUGAUUGAUUAUCAUUUAGGAAAAACAAAUGUUGCUGCUGAUGCCUUGAGUCAAAAAUCAUUUUUUACUUUGCUUGCGAUAAAUGCUCAUUUGGUUCUGUCAGAUGAUGAUUCAGUUUUAGUUGAAUUGAAAGCGAGACCUUUGUUCUUACAGUAGAUUAUUGAAGCUCGGAAGAUUGAUAAUGAGAUUCUAGCUAAAUGAGCUCAGUAUGAUGUAUAAUCUGACUCAGAAUUCAGAAUUAAUAAAGAUGAUUGCUUGAGAUUCUGAGAUCGAAUUUGUGUUCCUAGAAAUCCAGAGUUAAUUCAAAUGAUUUUGAGUGAAGCUCACAGUAGUCGUUUAUCUGCGCAUCCAAGUAGUACGAAAAUAUAUAAUGAUCUGAAACAACAUUUUUGGUGGUCCAGAAUGAAAAGAGAUAUCUCUAAUUUCAUUUCUAAAUGUUUGAUCUGUCAGCAAGUUAAAGCUGAAUUUCAGAUGCCAUCAGGUUUGUUACAACUGAUUAUGGUUCCAGAGUGGAAAUGGGAUCGAGUGACAAUGGAUUUUGUUUCAGGUUUGCCCCUGUCUCUGAGAAAGAAAGAUGCAAUUUGGGUUGUAGUUGAUUGAUUAAUGAAAUCAGCUCAUUUUAUUCCGAUUUGAUCCGAUUACUCACUUGAUAAAUUAGCUGAGUUAUACAUUUCUGAUAUCGUGAGAUUGCAUGGUGUGCCAUUGUCUAUAGUGUCAGACAGAGACCCGAGAUUUACAUCACGAUUCUAGAAGAAGCUGCAAGACGCUCUGGGUACUAAAUUGCACUUUAGUAUUGCUUUUCAUCUGCAAACUGACGGUCAAUCCGAGUAGAUUAUUCAGAUACUUGAGGAUAUAUUGAGAUGUUGCAUUCUUGAGUUUGAAGGUACGUGGGAACAAUAUCUGCCCUUGAUUGAAUUUGCUUAUAAUAACAGUUUUCAGUCAAGCAUCAAAAUGGCACCCUAUGAAGCUUUAUAUGGUCUCAAAUUCCGUGCACCUUUGUAUUGGACUGAGCAUAGCGAAAAUAAGAUUCACGAGGUUGAUUUGAUAAAAGAGACUGAACAGAAAGUAAAAGAGAUCCGAGAUAGUAUAAAAGCAGCUUCUGAUCGUCAAAAAUCUUAUGCAGAUUUGAAAAGAAAAGACAUUAAAUUUGAGAUCGGCGAUAAUGUGUUUUUAAAAGUGUCUCCGAGGAAGAAACUGCUUCAGUUUUGUAGAAAAGGCAAAUUGAGUCUGAGGCUCAUCGGGCCAUAUGAAAGAGCGUAUUGGGCUGGUUACGUAUAGAUUAUUAUUGCCACUAGAGCUAGAAAAGAUUCAUAAUGUGUUUCACGUAUCGAUGCUUCGACGAUACAGAUCUGAUCCUUCAUAUGUUAUUCCACCGUCUAAGAUAGAGAUUCAGUCUGAUAUGACUUACGAAGAAAGGCCAAUUCGUAUUUUAGCUCGCGAGGUUAAAGAGCUGUGAAAAAAGAAAUUCCGUUAGUAAAAAUGAUAUGGCAUCGACAUGAUAUUGAAAAAGCCACGUGGGAACCUGAAGAUGCUAUGAGACAGCAAUAUCCAAAUCUGUUUAAUGGUAUGAUUUUCAGGGACGAAAAUCACUAAGGGGGAGAAUUGUAACAGUCUGAUUUUGACCCUAGUCAGAAUUGUGGUUUUGAGACCACAAAUUUGAGUCAAAAAAAUAUUUAAAUAUUAUUUUCUAUGUUUAUGAUAAGUGAAUUGACAUGUGUGAAAGUCUAGUGUAAAAAUUUAACUGUUUGUGUAUUUAAUUUGUAAAAUGUAAAAGCUAUGUGCUAGAUGUUAAAAGUGCUUAUUUGACUUAGCUUUAUAAUUGUGAGGUCUUUAUGUGGUUAUUUGACCAAAUUUAUGAUUAAAUGACAUUAGUGGACAUUAUUUGUUGGCAUAUUAAUGUUUUAAUGCAAGGGUAAUAUGGUAAAAUGCAUAUUAAAGUAAAUUAUAUGAAAACAAAUUAGAAAAUGAUGCCAUAUUAUAUGUUCGUCCACUGAAAUUGAAGAACAAAAGAAAGAAUAAAAUAUUUUCGAGUUUUGGCACAUUAGAAGCUUAAUUCGGAUCAAGAAAAGAGGAAUUCAAAUUUGGAUCGAGGGAAGUCGAAGAUUAUAGAGUAGACGACCCGAGUUGACAAUUCUGAGUACGAGGUAAGUUCGUACUUAAAGCAUGAUGUUAAAGUAUAUUUUGAUGUUUUGAUUAUACAUAGAUUGUAUAUAUAUCUGGUUUGGAUGAAUACGACGAUAAAUCAAUAGUAAGUGUGCGAUUUAAAAUAGCUUCGGCUAUAUGAGGCACUAAGUGUGCGAUACCGACUUAGCUUCGGUUAAUUGAGAUGGCACUACAUGUGCGAAAUCGUUCUAGCUUCGGGUAACCUUUAUAGCACUAAGUGUGCAGAUGUUUGAAGUACAAAUAAUUUACGGGAAGUCUUAAAAUAUUCAAAUGAGAGGUGCGAAUGAAAAUGAAUAAAUACGGGAAAUUUAGGUAUGUACGAUGCCUAUGUGGUAGAUGAUAUUAUAGUUAUGAAGCUCAUUGUUUUGGUAUGAACAUAUGGAUUGUGUUGAUAUAGAUUUUAUAAAUGAUUUGAGAAGUUGUAAACACGUAAGUAUUGAUGAUUCUUGGUACGAGCUUACUAAGCUUUUGAAAGCUUACUUUGUGUGUGUUUGCAUUGUUUUAUAGAUAUCAAAGCUACUGCAAGCUCGAGGAUCAUCAAGGACCGUCACCACACUAUCGACGUCAUUUUGGUACUUUUGAAAAUGUAUAUUUCGAAGUAUGGCAUGUAUAAGCUAGUAGUUAUGGGAUUAUGUUUUGUGAUGUAUUACUUAGCCAUGUAAUUUGGCUAAUGGGUGUGUUUGAACACAUAGUUGAUAAUGGUUUUUGGUAUGUGAUGAUAGUUUGCAUUUGUGGUAUAUUGUAGUUGGAUAAAGAAGAUGGUAAGUUUGAUAAGUUUAUGGCAUGAGAAUAAAUGAUGUUUUUGAUAUGAUCUUACCUUAUAUUUUGGUAUGAAUUGGUAAGGUUUUUAAGUAUGGAUUGGUAACUAUUAUUUAUAUGAAUGGUUUAUGUUUUGGUGUUGAAUUUGGCUAAAAUGGUGGUGCAAAUAUGCUUGUUUCCUUGCUUGUAGGUUCACCCAAAUUGGGGUGGCAAUUUGGUUAUUCAAGUGGCUUAUUUUUGUCCACACGGGCAGAGACACAUGCAUGUGCCUCAGCCGUGUGCGACACUCAACUAUGUUGCACGGUCAUGUGUCCCUUAGGGUACCCUACAAUUGUAAGUCAAGCCCGAACACGGCCAAAGCACACGGACGUGUGGCUAGCCGUGUGGCCCAAGUCAGGCUCAACCACGGCCAAGGCACACGGGCAUGUCUUGUAACCGUGUGGGCAAGUCAGUAGCUAUGCCUUGUUGUGCCACGGCUUAGAUACACGAGUGUGUCUAAGGCCGUGUGAGGCACACGGUCUGUUCACAUAGGCAUGUGACUUUUUAAAAGUAGAAAAAUUUUAUAAGUUCUGAAACUUUUAUAUGUUAUCAAUUUAGUCCUGAAUGCAUGUUUAAGCAUUGUAUACUCGUUUUCAUGUGAAUAAUGAAUGUGAAUGAAUGAUUUUUUUUAGUAAUGAGAUGAUAUUUGAUGUUUGGUGGUUCUGGUAUGAGUUAAAAGUUCGGUAAUGCCUCUUAACCUAUUCUGACGACGAUUACGGGUUAGGGUUGUUAUAGGCUGAUGUAGUUAAUACUGUUGUAUAUCUCCAAAAGAGCCUACCAACCAAGACUUUAGUUUAGAAAACUCCAUUUGAGGCCUGGCUUAGGUUCAAACCAUCACUGGCUCAACCUACCAUAUUGGUGGGCUGUAGUAAUGUCAAGUAGGGCUAAAUGAUCUUAAAUCCUUCUUCCAACAGAUUGUUUGUGAGUAGGGACGUUGUAUUUGAUUAGAAAUCAAGUUGGAAUUAGGAUAAAGCUAAAGACCUGGUGACAGAUCAGAUUGAAGCUGAUCAAAAUGAUGCUAAAAUGGACAUUAAUGAUAUGCUAGUUAGAGGAACCGAAUCAUUAGUUGUGAUAUAUGCAAGAGCAGAUGUAAUAAUUGUUGAACCAAGUUUUUUUGAAGAGGCUGAAGCUCAUCAAGGUUGGAAACAGGCCAUGCUCAAUGACAUGAGCAUGAUUGACAAGAAUCAAACCUGACAACUAGUUGCAAGACCAGAUCAUAGGAAGGCCAUUGGAGUGAAGUGGUUGUUUCCAGACAAGCACAAUGCUGAUGAAAUUCUGAACAAGCUGAAAGCAAGGCUGGUAGUAAAAGGAUUCAGUCAAAAGUAUGGUAUAGAUUACUUUGAAACCUUUGCACCAGUGGCCAGACUUAACAUAAUCAAGCUGCUAGUUGCCUUGGCUGCACAUAAGCAGUGGAAAAUACAUCAACUAGAUGUAAAAUCAGCAUUUCUAAAUGGUUUUCUUGAUGAUGAGAUAUAUGUUGAGCAGCUUGAAGGAUUCAAUAUUGUUGGUGAAGAGGAUAAAGUAUACAAGCUGAAGAAGGCCUUGUAUAGCUUAAAACAGGCACCAAUAGCUUGGUAUGACAGGAUCAACAGCUAUCUAGCUAGCUUUGUAAUGAUCCGGUUUUGACCCUAGUUAGAAUAGUGAUUUCGGGACCAUAAAUCCGAGUUAGAAAAAUAUUUUAAUAUUAUUUUUCGUGUCUAUGAUAAGUGAGUCGACAUGUGUGAAAGUCUCGUGUGAAAAUUUAACUGUUUGUGUGUUUAAUUUGUAAAAAUUACCAAAUCGCGUAAAAUGUAAAAGUUGUGUGCUAGGUGUUAAAGUGCUUAUUGGAAUUGGCUUUCUAAAGUAAAGGUCCUUAUGUGGUUAUUUGACCAUUGGAAGUUUGAAUGGACAUAAAAAGGCAUGUGUUAGGCGAAUGAAUAAUUUUAUAAUAAAGGGUAAAAUAGGUAUUUGGUUAAUAUGUUAUAUUAAAUAAAACUAAAGUUAAAAAUUAGACCAUUAUCAUUCGUGCUUACCGAAAAUCAAAGAAAAGAGAUGAAAUAAAAGCCUUUAGGGUUUCGGGUAGGAGAUUUGAUAAUUAAGGUAUGAGUUUUGUUCGGUUUUUGAUGAUUUUUACAUUUUUGAGAUCGUUGCUUUGUGUUUUAUAAAGCCUAUGCUUAAAUUUGAGAAAUUGAUGAUGAUUUUGAAAUAUGCCAUGGAUGAAUUCAUGAGUUUUGUGUUGUUAAAUGGUGAAAUAUGGAAGCUUGAUGUUGGGUUUAAAUGUUUUGUUUUUGGAUUUUUGAUGAAAUUGAGUAAUUUGGGCUAAAAUGUGGAAAUGUUAUUUUACGGGACUUAAAUGUGAAAUAAAUGAAAUGUGUGGACUUCUAUGAAAGCCAUGAAAAUUCAGCUAAGCUUGUGUGCAAACAAAUUUUGUGUAUUUUGUGAAUUUGUAAAAUAGGGACUAAAGUGUCGAAACGUGAAAAUGUGAGGGCUAGUUUGUAAAAUGCCUUAAAUAUGUGUUUAUGGAUUGAAUUGAAUUAAUUGGUGAAUAAAAGGGUUAAAUUUGAAAACAAAUAGAUCAAGAAAGGAGGAAUUCGGACUUAGAUCGAGGAAAAUCGAAGGUUAUCAAGUAGACAGUCCGAGUCGACAAAAUUCGAGUACGAGGUAAGUUCGUACUUAAAAUAUGAUGUUAAGUAAGCUUUGAUGCCUUUAUUAUACAUGAGUGGUACAUAAUUGAAUUGGUUAAUAUGAUGAUGAAUCGGAAGUUUUGGCACUAAGUGUGCGAUUUAAACUAGCUUUGGCUACUAAAGGCACUAAGUGUGCGAUACCGACUUAGUUUCGGCUAGCUGAAAGAUGGCACUAAGUGUGCGGAAUCACUCUAGCUUCAGCUAAUCUUUAAGCACUAAGUGUGCGGAUAAUUAAGCAUUGGUGAUCAUUGGAAUGUCCUAAAGUAUUCGAGCAAGAGGUGAGAUUGAAAACUAAUGAAUAUGAAAAUGAUUGGGUAAGUAUAAUACCUAUGUGGUAGAUGAUAUUGUGUUUAUAAAGCUCAUUGAAUUGGUAAAGAUUUAUGGAUAGUGUUGGUAUAGAUUUGAUAAAUGAAUUAAGAAAUUGUAAUACUUAUGUGUUGAUGAUUUAUUUUAUAUAUAUUGUGGAUAAUUUUAGUACGAGCUUACUAAGUUUUUGAAAGGUUACUUUGUGUCUUUUUAUAUUGUUUUAUAGAUAUCGAAGCUACUGCAAGUUUGGGGAUCGUCAAGGAUUGUCACCACACUAUCGAACCUCAUUUUGGGUACUUUUGAAAAUGUAUAUAUUUAAAGUAUGGCAUGUAUAGGCUAGUAGUUGUGGAAGUAUGUUUUGUAAUGUAUAUACUUAGCCAUGUGAUUUGACUAAUUUGUGUUUGAACCCAUAGUUGAUAAUGGUUUAUGAUAUGUGAUGUUAAUUUGCAAUUGUGGUAUGUUUAGUUGGAUAAAGAAAAUGGUAAGCUUGGUGAGUUCAUGGUAUGAAAUUGAAUGAUGAUUUUGAUAUAAUCUUACAUUAUGUUUUAGUAUAAAUAGGUAAGGUUUAUAAGUAUGUAAAUGGUUGAUAAUAUUAUGGUAUGAAUAAUGUGUUUUUUAGCAUAAAAAUUGGUUGAUUGGAUUGUACAUAUAAGUUUGAUUCAUUGCUUGUAGGUUGACUCAAAAAGGGAUGGCAAGUUGGCUUAAACCAAGCCUGCAUUGUGCCGCAUGGUCCGGGAACACGGGGGUACCUUGUGGCCGUGUAUGCAAAGCAGUACCCUCUUAAGAUCACACGACCAUAGCACAUAGGCGUGUCAUAUAGCCGUGGGCUUAUGUCAGUAGCUAGCUAAGAACCACACGGCCAUAGCACAUGGGGGUGUUUGUUGGCCGUGGGUGAAAGUCAAUAUGUAUGCUCUAUUUUGACACGGCUAGAUUACAUGGGUAUGUCUGGUGCCCGUGUAAGGUACACGGCCUGGUUACACAGGCGUGUGAGCUCUAUAGAAUUGAAAAAUUUUACUAAGUUCUAAAAAUUUUGAAUGUGUUCAUUUUAGUCCCGAUCUAUUCCUAAUGCAUGUUUAAGGUCCCGUUGACCUAAGAAAGGGACUUUAUGUUGAUGUUUGAUUAUGAUGCUAUGAUGUUGUAAAAUAAAUGCGAAAUGUUGCGAUAUGUUCGGUAAUGCCUCUUAACCCUAGUUCGGCGAUGGAAACAAGUUAGGGGUGUCACAUUUAGUUGGUAUCAGAGCUAUGGUUUAGUAGAUUCUAGGACUACCAUAGUGUAUGUGAGUCUAGCUAUACAUGCCAUAUAUUUGAAACUGCGAUAGUGUGAUGAAUCCUGACAUUGAAAUGUUUUUUUAUUUAGCAAUGGAUCCCGAUAGAGCUGUAGAUGACGAUGUUGAAAGCAAUGCACCUGCUCUCACGCAAGGGACUGUGCAAGCUGAUUCUCAACCGGCUACGAGUACCCAUGAUGGUGAGGCUAAGCAAGUCUUCUAUCAAAUGAUGAAUGAUUGGUUCACUUAGUAUAUUAGAACCAAUUAGGCAGUACAACAACCUCUUUCCUCGGUUAAUCCUACUCAAACUCCUAUUAUGCCACGAAUGAAUCCGGUACAGUUUAGUAGACCACUAGUUGGUAAGAUUAGAAAAUAUGGGGCUGAAUAGUUCAGAGCUACAACAAGUGAUGAUGCUGAAAAAGCUAAGUUCUAGUUAGAGAAUAUAAUAAGAGUGUUUGAUGAGUUGUCUUUGAAUCCUGAUGAAUGCAUGAAAUGUGUUGUUUCACUUUUAAGAGACACGACGUAUCAUUGGUGGAAGACUUUGACAUUCGUGGUUCCGAGUGAUCGAGUUACUUGGGAUUUCUUCCAAGUUGAAUUUUGGAAGAACUAUAUCAGUCAAAGAUUCAUUGAUCAGAAACGCAAAGAGUUUCUUGAGCUUAAACAAGGCCAUAUGUCUAUCACAAAAUACGAGCGAGAAUUUGUAAGGUUGAGUCAGUAUGCCCGCGAAUGUGUAUCUUUGGAAGCAAUAAUGUGUAAGAGAUUUAAAGACAGUUUGAAUGAAUAUAUUCGUUUUCUAGUUGGGAUAAUAGAAAUCUAAAAAUUCGUGGUGCUUGUUGAACGAGCAUGUAAAGUGGAAGAUCUUGGGAAAGGGAAAAGAAAGGCUGAUUUUGAAGCUAGAGAGGUACGAAAGAGAUCAUCGGGCAAUUCAUUUCAAUCUGGAUCCAAGAAGUUUAGAGAUGAUAGUAGUCGUUCAAAGGUUAGUGUAGGACAUUCGAACAGGGAUCGUGUUAGAUUGCAAUUGAAUUAUAAAUCUUCAGCCACGUCUGUUGCUAGUGUUGAUAAUGCAAAGAAUGAAAGGCCUGAAUGUGAGCAAUAUGGAAGACGACACUUUGGUGAAUGCUGGGGAAAAAGUAAUAACCGAGCUUGUUAUAGUUGUGGUUCUAGAAAUCAUUUUAUAAAUGAUUGCCCAGAUUUAGUUGAAAAAGAUAAUGAACAGAAGCUAAGGCAGGGUGGUAAUGUUUCUCGUGGUAGUUCUCCCAGAAAUUCAGGAAAUGUAAACGGUGGUCAAAGAGGAACAAAAGACACAGUUGUAAGAUCUGAGGCUCGUGCACCUGCCAAGCCUAUGCUAUUCGAGCUCGAGAGAAAGCUUCAUCACCAGAUGUGAUUACGGGUAUAUUUACUCUUUAUGAUACUUUUGUGAUUGCUUUGAUAGAUCUUGGAUCAACAGAUUCAUAUAUAUGUAUGAACUUAGUGAACAGUAAGACUUUGCCUGUAGAGUCUAUUGAAUUUGUAAUUAGAGUUUCGAACCCCCUAGGCAGAUGUGUUCUAAUUGAUAAAGUCUGCAAGAAUUGUCCAUUUAAUUUUGAGACAAUUGUUUUCCAGGUGAUUUGAUGCUGUUGCCUUUUGAUAAGUUUGAUAUAAUUCUGGGUAUAGAUUGGUUAACUUUGCAUGAUGCUGUGGUAAACUGUAAAUGAAAAACUAUUGAUUUGAGAUGCAAGAAUAAUGAAAUAGUCAGAAGUGAAUCUAGCUAUUUGAAUGGAUUAUCUGCUGUAAUAUCUUCUAUGAAAGCAUUGAGUAUUGUGAGAAAGGGUUGUGAAGUUUAUUUUGCAUAUGUGAUUGAUUCAAAUGUGUCAGAAAAGAAAGUUGUAUCUGUACCUGUUGUCUGUGAGUUCCCUGAUGUGUUUCUUGAAGAACUUCCGGGAUUACCUCCAGUUAGGGAAGUAGAAUUUCACAUUGAAUUAGUACCUGGUACUACUCCGAUUUUGAUAGUUCUGUACCGAAUGGCUCCGACCAAGCUAAAAGAACUAAAGUCUCAGUUACAAAAGUUGAUCGAUCGAGGGUUUGCUAGACCGAGUUUCUCGCCUUGGGGUACCCCAGUUUUAUUUGUGAAAAAGAAAGAUGGUACGAUGAGAAUGUGUAUAUAUUAUCAUUAGUUGAAUAAAGUGACUGUAAAAAAUAAGUAUCCCCUGCCCCAAAUUGAUGAUUUGUUUGAUCAGUUAAAAGAAGAUAUUGUGUUUUCGAAAAUAGAUUUGAGAUCAGGUUAUUAUCAGCUGCGAGUGAAAGACUCAGAUAUUCCGAAGACUACUUUUAGAACGAGGUACGGGCAUUAUGAAUUCUUAAUUAUGCCUUUUGGAUUGACUAAUGCACCUGCUAUCUUUAUGGAUUUAAUGAAUAGAAUCUUUAGACCGUAUUUAGAUCAAUUUGUUGUAGUAUUCAUUAAUGAUAUAUUGAUUUAUUCACGUGAUGAAUUUGAGCAUGCCGAGCAUUUGAGAAUAGUGCUACAGACUUUGCGAGAUAAACAAUUGUAUGCAAAGUUCAGUAUAUGUGAGUUUUGGUUGAAAGAAGUUGUUUUUUGGGUCAUAUUGUAUCAGCAUCUGGUAUCCGAGUUGAUCCGAGCAAAAUUUCAGCUAUUUUGGAUUGGAAACCUCUGAGAAAUGUUUCAGAAGUCCGCAAUUUCCUGGGACUUGCUGCUUACUAUAGAAGAUUUGUAAAAGGAUUCUCGAUGAUUGCGACUCCGUUGACAAAACUACUCCAGAAAUAUGUGAAGUUUGAGUGGUCUGGAAAAUGUCAAAACAGCUUUGAUCAGUUGCAAGCCUUGUUGACUGAAGCUCUGGUGUUGGUACAACCUGAAUCAGGUAAAGAAUUUUUGAUUUAUAGUGAUGCCUCGUUGAUUGGGUUGGGAUGUGUUCUAAUGCAAGAAGAAAAAGUCGCUGCUUAUGCUUCGAGAUAGUUAAAACCGCACGAAAAGAACUAUCCGACGCACGAUCUUGAGUUAGCUGCGAUUGUGUUUGCCCUAAAUAUUUGGCGCCAUUACUUGUUCGGAGAGAAAUGUCAUGCGUAUUCUAAUCAUAAAAGUUUAAAGUAUUUAAUGACGCAAAAAAAAUUGAAUUUGCGACAGAGAAGAUGGUUAGAACUGCUAAAAGACUACGAACUUAUGAUUGAUUAUCACCCAAGAAAAGCAACUGUUGUUGCGGAUGCUUUGAGUCAAAAAUUGUUAUUUGCUCUGUGUGCGAGAAAUGCUCAUUUGGUUUUAUCUGAUAAUGGUUUAGUUUUAGCUGAAUUAAAAGUAAGACCCUUGUUCUUACAGCAGAUUAUCGAAGCUCAAAAGGUUGAUAAUGAAUUAAUAGCAAAACAAGCUCAGUGUGAUUCUAAAUUCUGAGUUGAUGUUGAUGAUUGUUUGAUAUUCAUAAACGGACUUUGUGUUUCGAGAAAUCUAGAGUUAAUUCGGACGAUUUUGAGUGAAGCCCAUAGUAGUCGGUUAUCUGUGUAUCCGGGCAGUACUAAAAUGUAUAAUGACUUGAAACAACAUUAUUGGUGGUCCAAAAUAAAAAGAGAUAUCUCUAAAUUUGUUUCUAAAUGUUUGAUCUGUCAGCAAGUUAAAGCUGAGCAUCAAGUGCCAUUUGGAUUGUUACAACCGAUUAUUGUUCCAAAGUGGAAAUGGGAUCGAGUGACCAUGGACUUUGUGUCGGGUUUACCUCUAUCUCUGAGAAAGAAAGACGCAAUUUGCGUUGUAGUUGAUCAAUUGACAAAAUCAGCCCAUUUUAUUCCGAUUCGAUCUGAUUAUUUGCUUAAUAAAUUAACUGAGUUAUACAUUUCUGAUAUAGAGAGAUUGCAUGGUGUGCCAUUGUCUAUAGUGUCAGACAGAAAUCCGAGAUUCACAUCAAGAUUUUGGACGAAGUUACAAGAUGCUCUGGGUACUAAAUUGUAUUUUAGCAUUGCUUUUUAUCUGCAAACAGAUGGUCAAUCUGAACGGAUUAUUUAGAUACUCGAGGAUAUGUUGACAUGUUGCAUUCUUGAAUUUGAAGGUACAUGGGAACAAUACUUACCUUUGAUUGAAUUUUCUUAUAAUAACAGUUUUCAGUCAAGCAUCAAAAUGGCACCACACGAAGCUUUAUAUGGUGGCAAAUGCCAUACACCUUUGUAUUGGACCGAGCUUAGCGACAGUAACAUACACGGGGUUGAUUUGAUAAAAGAAACUGAAUAGAAAGUGGAAGUGAUCCGAGAUAGUUUGAAAGCAACUUCUGAUCGUUAGAAAUCAUAUGCAGAUUUGAAAAGAAAAGACAUUGAAUUUGAAAUCGGUGAUAAAAUGUUUUUGAAAGUGUCUCCGUGGAAGAAAGUGCUUCGGUUUGGUAGAAAAGGCAAAUUGACUCUGGGGGUCAUUAGACCGUAUGAAAUAAUCGAGCGUAUUGAGCCGAUUGCGUAUAGAUUGUUGUUGCCACCAGAGUUAGAAAAGAUUCAUAAUGUGUGCUUCGAUGAUACAGAUCCGAUCCUUGUAUGUAAUUCCUUCGUCUGAGAUCCAAAUUCAGUCUGAUAUAACUUACGAAGAAAAGCUGAUCUGAAUCUUAGCACGAGAGGUUAAAGAGUUACGAAAUAAGAAAAUUUAGUUAGUUAAAGUGAUGUGGCAUCAACAUGGUGUUGAAGAGGCCACGUGGGAGCCUGAAGAUGCUAUGAAACAACAAUAUCCGAAUUUGUUUAAUAGUAAGAUUUUUGGGGACGAAAAUCCCUAAGGGGGAGAAUUGUAAUAGUUCGGUUUUGACCCUAGUUGGAAUAGUGGUUUCAGGACCACAAAUCUGAGUUAGAAAAGUAUUUUAAUGUUAUUUUUCGCGUCUAUGAUAAGUGAAUUGACAUGUGUGAAAGUCUCGUGUGAAAAUUUAGCUGUUUGUGUGUUUAAUUUGCAAAAAGGACCAAAUCGCGUAAAAUGUAAAAGAUAUGUGCUAGAUGUUAAAGUACUUAUUGGAAUUGGCUUUCUAAAGUAGAGGUCCUUAUGUGGUUAUUUGAUAAUUGGAAGUUUGAAUGAACAUAAAACAACAUGUGUUAGGUGAAUGAAUAAUAUUAUAAUAAAGGGUAAAAUAGGUAUUUGAUUAAUAUGUUAUAUUAAAUAAAAAUAAAGUUAAAAAUUAGACCAUUAUCAUCCAUGCUUGUCGAAAAUCAAAGAAAAGAGAUGAAAUAAAAGCUUUUAGGGUUUCGGGUAGGAGAUUUGAUAAUCAAGGUAUGAGUUUUGUUCGGUUUUUGAUGAUUUUUACGUUUUUGAGAUCGUUGCUUUGUGUUUUAUAAAGCCCAUUCUUAAAUUUGAGAAAUUGAUGAUGAUUUUGAAAUAUGCAUGGAUGAAUUCAUGAGUUUUGUGUUGUUACAUGGUGAAAUAUGGAAGCUUGAUGUUGGGCUUAAAUGUUUUGUUUUUGGAUUUUUUAUGAAAUUGAGUAAUUUGGGCUAAAAUGUGGAAAUAUUAUUUUGAGUGACUAAAAUGUGAAAUAAAUGAAAUGUGUGGACUUGUAUGAGAGCCAUGAAAGUUCGGCUAAGCUUGUGUGCAAACAAAUUUUGUGUAUUUUAUGAAUUUGUGAAAUAGGGACUAAAGUGUUGAAAUGUGAAAAUGUAAGGGCUAGUUUGUAAAAUGCCCUAAAUAUGUGUUUAUGGAUUGAAUUUAAUUAAUUGGUGAAUAAAAGGGUUAAUUUUGAGAACAUAUAGAUCAAGAAAGGAGGAAUUCGGACUUAGAUCGAGCAAAGUCGAAGGAUAUCAAGUAGACAGUCCGAGUCGACAAAAUUCGAGUACAAGGUAAGUUCGUACUUAAAAUAUGAUGUUAAGUAAGCUUUGAUGCCUUUAUUAUACAUGAGUUGUAUAUAAUUGAAUUGGAUAAUAUGGUGAUGAAUCGAAAGUUUUGGCACUAAGUGUGCGAUUUAAACUAGCUUUGGCACUAAGUGUGCGAUUUAAACUAGCUUUGGCUACUAAAGGCACUAAGUGUGCGAUACUGACUUAGUUUCAGCUAGUUGAGAGAUGGCACUAAGUGUGCGAAAUCGUUCUAGCUUCAGCUAAUCUUUAAGCACUAAGUGUGCGGAUAAUUAAGCGUUGGUGAUCAUUGGAAAGUCCUAAAGUAUUCGGGCAAGAGGUGAGAUUGAAAACUAAUGAAUAUGAAAAUGAUCGGGUAAGUACAAUACCUAUGUGGUAGAUGAUAUUAUGUUUAUAAAGCUCAUUGAAUUGGUAAAGAUUUAUGGAUAGUGUUGGUAUAGAUUUGAUAAGUGAAUUAAGAAAUUGUAAUACUUAUGUGUUGAUGAUUUAUGUUAUAUAUAUUGUGGAUGAUUUUAGUACGAGCUUACUAAGCUUUUGAAAGCUUGUGUCUGUUUAUAUUGUUUUAUAGAUAUUGAAGCUACUACAAAUUCGGGGAUCGUCAAGGAUUGUCACCACACUAUCGAACCUCAUCUUGGGUACUUUUGAAAAUGUAUACACUACAGGAAAUCAGACUUUUAGCGGCAGUUUUUUUUUGCCUUUAGCGGCGUUUUUAAGCGCAGCAAAAAAACGUCGCUAUAUGUAACGCCGUAAAAUUAGUGGCAUUUUUUGAAAAAAGCGCUGCUAAAGACCAGCACUUUUAGCGGCGCUUUUAAAAAAACGCCGCUAAUUUGCCCAGUUUUGCAAUAUGUAUUUUUGCACCUAUAUCCAACCCUCCUGCAAGAAAUUCAACCAAAAACAGCAAAUAUACCAUGAAAUCCAACCAAAACCCGCAAAUUUAAAUAAUACAAAAUUAUAUGAAAAAUAUAUUAUAUAAAUUGUAAAUGAAUAUUCAAAAUAUUCUUACAAUAAAGUUAAAAGUUACAAGAAAACAAAUGUCUAAGAUGGGGGAUUUUGAAAUUGCUGGAACAUAGUCAUCAUAGACUGAAGCUGUAGCUGGAGUUCAUUGUAUUUUCUGUUCUGCUCCGCCUCCCUCGCUGCUGCCUCCGCUCUAAGUUGAGAAAUUUGCUCAUCUGUGCUAGCUUGUAUCUGAACUAUCUGAUCUUUUAGCCUCUGAACUUCAGCUUGACUUUGACUCCCGGAAGGCAUGUAUUGGUGCUAGAUGGAUCCGAAAUAUUGGGUCGGGUUAACACCAGAUCCUUGAAAUCUAACCCGACCAUACCUUUCAGGACCCAAAACUUCAUUAAUAAUUCUGUUAUCAAUAUCCUCAAAAUUAACAGAACUAUCAGUCAAAGCAGUCACUUCAUACUCUGCCUUCUUAUCUUUUAGUUUCUCUUAAUAAAUCAGUUAAAGAGUUAGAAACGAAAUAUACAAUAAAAAGGAAUACAAUAUAACAUUAUUUAAAUUAAACUAAUAAAAACGACGAAUUAAAACAUUAUAAUUAAAUAUUAUAAAUAUUUAUAAUGAAUAAAAUUUUAUUAAGUAAAAAUACCAUAAUUUUUGUAGCCUCAAAUGUCAUCGGAGUUCCAUCUUUUUUCCUUUGUGUAAUGUCAAAAAGCUGAAGGCGUCCAACUUUUUAACCAGACGAGGCUUCCUACAAUAUAGUAGUAAAUAUUAUUUAAUAGUAAAAAGUCAUUAAUACUUGAUAGAAUUAAUAAAUCCAUAGUACCCCGGCCUGAGCUACACAAGCAAAACUUUUCGAUCCUACCGUGUGCGUAAAUUUUUGUUUUUGCCUGCUGCUUGUUCCAACUCGCUCACGGUCCUAAAUAAUGAAAUUAUUAUUACGUAUAUAGUAAAUACUAUAAACCAAAAAAUUUAUAAAAGUUUGCAAGAACAUAAUACCUCUCCUUUCUUCGAAUUCCAAAAUCGAACCGUAUCUUCCCAUUGGUACCUCAGCAUUCCCGGUGGGACAUUUUGCAAUUUUUCUUCGAGGCUUAUGGGUUUUUUAAAAUAUUCUUUUUUCAAAAUGCUUUUAUGGUCUCUCCAUUUUUUACCCAAUGCCUUCUUGAUAUAGGCAUCAGAGACCUCUAAAGCAAACCUCUCCUAAAAAACAAAAGUUUAGGAAGUAAAUAUAAAUGAAACUUAAACCAAAGUAUUAUAAAUUACAUUAACGUUUUGUUACCUUAAUAUUAGAGAGAGCUUGAUUUUUAUUGCUAUCAGGCAUGUUAUGCCAUGAUUCGUAGUUGAUGGGCAACAUAUUGGCAUUUCGUGCUAUAAUACCCAAAUAGCCUACUAAAAGUCGAGCUUCUUGUCCAACAGGCUGACCAUGGCUGUUUCUAGUUACUUUGACACGCUCGACAGAAUUUAAGUUAUAUAAAUCUGUUAGGAGCGUACGUCCUCGACCUCUGCGCGUCCGACCAUUUUCAGCUGAAAAAUAAUAUAUUAUUACUAUGUUGAAAUUUAAAAAUAAAUCAGUAAUAAAAUUUAAUACAAUUUGUAAAAUAAACUUAACAUUACUUUGAAAUUUCACAGACUCGUCAAGUGUCUCCGGCACGCUUGACGAUCCAACAACUGUCUGUUGUUCAGUACUUACUUCUUCCGAAUUUUUAGUACUCUGUACAAUACUAAGAUCUCUUAAUCUUCUUCUAGGCAUUUUUCCUGCAACACAUAAAAUAGUUAAAAUUUUAGUAAGAAAUAACAACAAUAGUAAAUAUAAAAUAGUUAAAUUAUAUAACAUGACCAAUGUUAAAAUUAUAACAUUACAUAUAAAUAAAAAAUCAUAAAAUCUUACUACAUCAUAAAUCGUAAAUAUCUUUGUCCACAUCCUGACGAACCCAUUGAAAUUGUGUACUAGUACUACGGAUAUUUUCAUUUAAGUUUUGUUCUAGAAAAGGCAAAGUUUCUGAUGUUUCAACGAUGUCAUCUCUACUUCCAUUCCCCAUGUCAAAUAAGUCUCUAGGGGUGUUUUGGAGUACAACGUACCAACCCUCAUCAAUUGGAUCUUUCGAGUAAAAAACUUGUUUAACUUGAGAAGAAAAUACAUACGGCUCGUCUAUCAAAUGUUCUCCUGUGUGAAUUAAUCGAGAGAAAUUCACCAUUGUAAAACCAAACUGAUCAUUUUUAAUUCCGCGAGCAGUAUUAGCAUCAGCCCAAUCACAUCGAAAUAAGAUCCAUAGUAAUCCAACUCAAUAAUGUCGGUUAGAAGUCCGUAAUACUCCACAUUUCCCUCGACAGGAUUACUGUCCCUAGCACUAGCGUAACUUGUAAUUAAAGAAUUAACAACUACUCCACAAUUUUGAGUUCUCCUCAAUCUCUCGCGAUAUUUGGUAUGAAAUCUGAAUCCAUUCAUGAUGAAGCCACUAUAUCUUUUUACUACUCGAUUUGGACCUUGGGAAAGCCAUUUAACUUCGUCAUUAACGACAUUCCCACUCCAAACCUAUUGAAUCAAAAGUAAAUUGAGUAAUUGUAAAUGUUAUGAGAAAACAUUAUUAUUUGUGAAUAAAAUGUUGAGUUGCAUACCGUUUGGCUUAACCAUUCAUGAAAAGAUUCUGCGAAUAACCUAUUAAUCUCGCGAUGUUGUAAUCUUCUUGAGCGUGAACGAGAUCUUAAGACUUGUUUGUACUCAUUAUGUUAAAAACAUGUUUAAUUCAUUAAAAAAUAAACAAAUCAAAAAAAGAUGAAUAUUUAUCAUAUUCUAGAACUUACUUGCGUAAUUGUUCAAGUGCAUCAUGGUGGAAAAGAACAUAUCUAUGUGCUUGUAUCCAAGAUCAGUCAUCUAAUUCUGCAAUUUCAACUUUGCCGACUGGUUCUCCAUAACUUUGAAAUAAAUAAGUUUCGGCCAAGCUAGGAUUAUUGAGUCCGGCAUUUCUACUUGGUCUAUUCAAUCUUGUUUCAACAUCUUCUAAAUAUCUAGAACAGAAUGUCAUACACUCCUCUGCCAAGUAGCCUUCAGCAAUCGAUCCUUCUGGAUAACGCUUGUUACGGCAAUAAGACUUCAAUUUGCUUAGGAACCUAAACACCAUAUACAACAUUAUCAAAACUAGUAACUAUAGGUAUAAAGGUGGAAUGCCUUUGAAAUAAAUUAGCACCUUUCAAUUGGAUACAUCCAACGAUAGAAAAUCAGCCCACCAAUUAUUGCUUCACGAGGGAGAUGAAUGACAAGGUGCACCAUAAUUGUGAAUAAGGAAGGUGGAAAGAUCUUCUCCAAAUUGCAUAAUGUUAAAGCGGCUCGAUCUUGUACUUUUUCAAGUUCUUCAACAUUUAGAACUUUGCCACAAAUUGCUUUCAUUAUAUUAGACAGUUCAAUUAUACAGGACGUUACCUUCUUUGACAUACAACACCGUAAAGCAACUGGAAGUAGAUCUUGCAUCAAGAUGUGAUAGUCAUGUGAUUUUAAUGAAUAUAGUCUUCGAUCUUUAAGACUUACACAUCGAGAUAUAUUUGAUGCAUACGCAUCCGAAACCUUUAUAUCCUUCAACACCGUGCAGAACAUUUCUUUCUCUUUCUUUGACAUUGCAAAAAUUGUAGGCGGCAACCAAUAUUUUCUAUUAGAACGUACUUGGGGAUGAAGAUCACGCCUAAUUCCCAUGUGAACUAAAUCAAGUCGACUCUGAAGAUUAUCUUUUGAUUUACCAUCGACGUUCAAAAUUGUCUGGAUGAUGUUCUCGUAGACAUUCUUUUCAAUAUGCAUCACAUCAACAUUGUGGCGUAAUAUGUGAUGCUCCCAAUAAGGCAACUCAAAAAAAAUACUUCUUUUCUUCCACAAGUCCGCCUCAUUAGGGUCAUCCUCCUCGUCAGAUUCAUCAUCAGAUUCAUCCCUCGAUCGCCUAUUUGUUUGCCUGUUAGAUGGUUGAUUCAGCUUCCCGUAACUGAAAUCCAUAUCUUUUAACAUGAAUAAGAUUUCAGAUCCAAUGGUCUACUCAGGAGCUUUUUUCAACUCUUCAGUACCGUCAAAUAAAGCCCUCUGAAAUCUAUAGUUAUGAUUUUCAUCUAACCACCGACGAUGCCCCAUAUAGCAGAACUUCUUCCCAUUAUAUAACCACUGUGAACACGUUUGAGCAGCACAACAAGGACAAGCAUAACGUCCUCUGGUACUCCAACCAGAUAAAUUCGCAUAUGCCGGGAAAUCAUUAAUUGUCCACAGCAAAGCAGCACGUAGGUAAAAGUUCUCCUUUCUCAAUACAUCAUACGUCUCAACACUCGCCCAUAAUUAUUUUAACUCUUCAAUAAGUGGCUGCAGAUAUAUGUCAAUAUCAUUUCCGGGGCCUUUCUCUCCGGGGAUAAUCAUAGAUAAUAUCAAAGAAGAUUGCUUCAUGCAGAGCCAUGGAGGCAAAUUAUAAGGAACAAGGACCACAGGCCAAGUACUGUACGAGGUGCUCAAGAUUUUAAAAGGAUUAAAUCUGUCAGAUGCUAACCCGAGCCUUACACUCGGAGGAUCACUUGCAAAGCUUGGAAAUUUAUUGUCAAAUGAUUUCCAAGCUAAAGAAUUUGCAGGAUGCCUUAAUAAUCCAUCAUCCAUUCGUUGAUCAUGAUGCCACGUCAUAAACUCGACUGUCUUUGACGACAUGAAUAGCCUUUGAAGCCUUGGGAUUAGCGGGAAAUAUCGCAAAAUCUUGUUCGGCUUCCUUGUUGACUGUGGCCCAUAUUCAUCCUCAUUAACAUCUUCUGCAUCUCUAUUUAUCCAACGAGAUUUACCGCAAACAUGACAAGACUGUUGAUUUCUCCGAUCACCCCAAUACAACAUGCAAUCAUUUGGGCAACUAUGAAUUUUGUUGUACCCAAGCCCCAAAUCUUUUAUCACUUUCUUCAUGUCUUUACAUGAUUGAGGGAUUAUUGCAAACGGGAACAUUUCUCUCAAAAGCUCUAACAGCAUUGUCAAAGAGUUUCUGGUCCACCCUCCCAAACAUUUUAAGUGGAAAAGGCGAAUACAGAAUGACAUUUUCGAAAAUUUUGAUCCCUCAUAAAGUUCUUCAUUCAUUUCACCAAGUAACGUGUAGAACUUCGCCGCUUCUUCAUUCGGUUGUUCAUCCGGUACACUUCUUCUCGUUUCCAUAAAAGUAUUUCCACCGAUAUUAUAAUCAUCGGAUGCAACAUAGUUUGGUGGAAAUGAUUGGAAACCUUCACUCUGCAUAUUAAAUGCAUCCCACAUCAUACCUUCCAUGUCAUCUUCUCUAACAUACUGACGGUAAUCACUAUAAGGAUAACCCUGAUUAAUCGUCGAGGAGGCUCCACUAGGUGUACACUCUCCAUGGAAAAUCCACUUUUUAUACCCCCGAAUGAAGCCAUCAACAAUUAGAUGUUCGUAGACAACUUCACGAUAAUGCCAAUAGAUAUUGCCACACUUCUUACACGGGCAAAGAAUCAUAUUCUCUUGGCUUGAAUUGUGAAAUGCAAAAUCUAAAAAAGAUUGCACUCCAUUUUGAUACUCGUUGCUUGCCUUUGAGAAAUUCAUCCAAGUCCUAUCCAUUUCGUAGUUGUUGAAGUCUAAAGUUGGCAAUAAGUUACACGGGUAAGUUGUUUAUUAUGUAACUCUUGAUAUGAUAUAUAUUUAUGUUUUAUGUAAGUUAUGAAAUUUGAACUUUAAACUAUAUGCUUUUAAGGAAAUUAUUAGAUUAAACUACAUGUAUUAGUUAAGUUAUGUAAGUUGUUAUGUACGUUAUGUGAGUUAUAACUUUUAAAGACAUUUAAAAAUAUUAAAUAUUAAAAUCAAACAUCAUUAAUAUAAAAAAAUAGUAAUUUGAAUAUAAUAAUAUCAAAAAAGAAUCGUAAUUUAAUUUUUAUAAGUAAAUUAGAAAUAAAUUAAGGUUAUAUAAAUAUUCAAUAGCGAUAGAACUUUUUUCAAGUCUUUUUGAAUUUUUUAAGAUUCAUCAUACGUGGCGUUGUUACACCUAGGGAGGAUCCAUUAUAUCUUGCAGCUCGAUAUAAGGCAACCUGUCAGGUUUCCAGCCUAUAUACUUUGAAUCUUUAAAAUAUUUAAAAUAAGGAAUGGACAAGCAAUCUACAUAUAUGGUAAUAAAAUUAAUUCAUACUUAUUCAUACUUAAGUUGAAUCAAAUAAUAAUUAAGUUGAACCAAAAUAUAAAAACUUAUUCAUACUUCAAAUAAUAAUUAAUGCUGUUUUGAUAAAAAUUAGUUAUAACUUUUAAAGACAUUUAAAAAUAUUAAAUAUUAAAAUCAAACAUUAUUAAUAUAACAAAAUAGUAAUUUGAAUAUAAUAAUAUCAAAAAAGAAUCGUAGUUUAAUUUUUAUAAGUAAAUUGGAAAUAAAUUAAGGUUAUAUAAAUAUUCAAUAGCGACAGAACUUUUUUCAAUUCUUUUUGAAUUUUUUAAGAUUCAUCAUACGUGGCGUUGUUACACCUAGGGAUGAUCCAUUAUAUCUUGCAACUCGAUAUAAGGCAACCCGUCAGGUUUCCAGCCUAUAUACUUUGAAUCUUUAAAAUAUUUAAAAUAAGGAAUGGACAAGCAAGCUACAUAUAUGGUAAUAAAAUUAAUUCAUACUUAUUCAUACUUAAGUUGAAUCAAAUAAUAAUUAAGUUGAACCAAAAUAUAAAAACUUAUUCAUACUUAUUCAUACUUCAAAUAAUAAUUAAUAUUGUUUUGAUAAAAAUUAGUUAUAACUUUUAAAGACAUUUAAAAACAUUAAAUAUUAAAAUCAAACAUUAUUAAUAUAACAAAAUAGUAAUUUGAAUAUAAUAAUAUCAAAAAAGAAUCAUAAUUUAAUUUUUAUAAGUAAAUUGGAAAUAAAUUAAGGUUAUAUAAAUAUUCAAUAGCGAUAGAACUUUUUUCAAUUCUUUUUGAAUUUUUUAAGAUUCAUCAUAUGUGGCGUUGUUACACCUAAGGAGGAUCCACUAUAUCUUGCAGCUCGAUAUAAGGCAACCCGUCAGGUUUCCAGCCUAUAUACUUUGAAUCUUUAAAAUAUUUAAAAUAAGGAAUGGACAAGCAAGCUACAUAUAUGGUAAUAAAAUUAAUUCAUACUUAUUCAUACUUCAAAUAAUUAAUACUAUAAGGUCAGGUUUCCAGCCUAUAUACUUUGAAUCUUUAAAAUAUUUAAAACGUACCUUAAUAAAACGUACCUGGUCUACUCCACUCUCACCAGCAAACAGAGGCUGGAAUCCAAAAAGUAAUAUUUGUUAAGUAAUUUAAAGUGAAAAUGCAUAGAAAUAAGGAAAAAAAUCUAGCAACGAAACCUGUACGUACCUAGAACAAAUGUUAAUGGCUAUGGUGUAUUUAGUUGCACCAAAUAUUAUUUCAGGUGCUCGAUAGUACCUAAAACAGAUGUAAGAUUAUAAGAGUAGCACCAAAUAUAUUUCAGUUUAAGCAAAUAUAAAAACUUUAUCUAUAUCAGUACCAAAUUUUAAUUCAAAGAUUAAAUGGCAGCUUCAGUUGAACCAAUACUUGCAGGAGGAGCAGGAAGCAGUAAAUGAAGCUGUACACCUCAGCAAAAUCUGGCAAAACUGCACUAUAUAGAAAGAACACUUAUCAUCAAUGGGACAAAGGAAACUUAAGGAUGUGAUGACAGGAACUACUCAAGAAGACACUGAUUAUCACGUGUUCUUAUUCAUACUUAUUCAUACUUCAAAUAAUAAUUAAUACUAUUUUGAUAAAAAUUAGUUAUAACUUUUAAAGACAUUUAAAAAUAUUAAAUAUUAAAUAUUAAAAUAAUUGCUUCAACCCCAAUCAACUGGAAUUUGCCAAUGACCAUGAAAAACAUCAUAAUAUAUUGAGUCUUGCUGCAAUUUACUAUAUCCAAUAUAAGCUUGCCAUUCUAAAUACCAUUAUCAGUGCCAUUUUCUUCCUUCACCAUAGCAUUUAUUACCUUCAAUCGACAUCUCAUUUUAUAAUUAGAAAUUGAAAAGCAUUUUCAAACAAAAUAUAACAAUUUUUUUAUAUAAAACGUGAGCAACAAGGCAGCAUUAAACUCUUAAAUCAAUCUAAGUCCACACUAAACACAUACACAUAAAUUGGAUAGAAACAUGAAAACAGACCAAAAGAACAUCUAAAAAACCAAAAUGGAAUCACCAUUAUUAUGUAAACAUGAAAAUGCACAGCUUUAAACAAACCAACUUUGCAUGUGCAGAAUCAUACUCCACAAAACUCAUAAACAUUAACUUCUCCUAACCAGAAUACCAACUUUAUGUUUACAGAGGCCUUGAUGGAAACUAACAUAACUGUUGAUAUAUAACUUAUCUAAUAAGAAUCACAAAAUAUGCAGAAACUACCUGAGUAUUUAGUAUCAAGAGAACCAUGUAUUCAAAGGAAAAGAGCCAGAAAUUGAUCAAUGUAUGCAAAACUUGGUCUAUAUUUCAAAACUGGAGUAAAGCUUUCAUCUAGUACCAAAUACAUACAUAUAUAUAGACACAAAUACACAGGCAUACAUCUUCCAUUACCUUAAUCUGUUUCUUGAAAAUAAAAGAUAAGUAAGCUUCUAUAGGAAACUUAACAAAGGAAGCUAAAUCGAGACAAAACACAAAAAAGAGUGGAUGAAAUAAGCUUAAAAAUUUAGGAAUGUAAUUAAAAUGUUAAUUAAAUGUUAGGAAAAACAUUAAAAAUUUAGGAAUGUAAUUAAAUGUUAAUUAAACGUUGAAAACAUAAAAGGAAAAACAUGUUGAAAGAAACAUAAAUGUUAGGGAAGAGAAUGUUUACCUUGAUUGAAUUGGAAAUGUUUUCUUGAGGGUUUAUUUAGAGAUGUUUGGGAUUGAUCUCUAAUAAUGUCGAGAGACUUCCCUACUCAUUGCAUUUGAAGAGCAGAAGUCUGUUUCUGGUCGACAAAACAAUCAAAUGAGUUCUAAAAAUAAACAACAUUUAAUGAUCGGUAUAAUAUUAAUUAUAUUUGCUAAUAACAGGUGGGAAUAAACAAAUAAAAUGAUAAAAAAAAUAGCCAGCAAUUUGGUAUAACAUUAAUAGGAAAAAUAGGACCAAGCUCAAUACCAUUAAAAGACAGUAAGUUACAUUGUAUACAUAUUAUCACUGCAAUUUGGUAUAAAUAUUCCCGAUUAUCCCAGCAAUACUAACUAUCACAGCCAGUAUUAACAUUAACCACGACAAAAAUUUUUCUACUCUGCUCAAGCUCAUGCUCUCUUCUUGCUAACUUAUCCUCAAUGCAAUUAGAGCGGGGAACGUAAAACCUAAGGAAACAGCUGUUGUUGCUCCAGUAAAUUUGAAAGCUGUCCAUAUAUUUGGGAUCAUAGUAGAUCCAAUAUAUAUAAGCACUAACAAUAUUACUGUUAAUGCCAAAGACCUUUUUUUACUCUCCGUGAGAGGAGCUGAUCCCUCAAACACCAAGUUAUCCACAGUUUGCCGUAGGGAAAAGUGAAUAACAGGGAAAACCAGAACCAAAUGAAGAGCAAAUAUAAUUCAAAGCAGUGCUAAAAUGAAUUCCCAGAUUGCUAUCAAAAUUGGUCAAAACAUCACCUUCAGUGUCCUUUCCGAAGAGCAAAUACCCUGAUAUUGCUGUUCAGGCAUAGACCACAACACAAAGAGCAGUUGUGAUCCUCCCUACCUGAUUCAUCUUUUGAGGAGAUCGCCCUUCGAGCUCAUUGUAUAUAGUUUGAACAUUGAAAUGGCAAACAUAUGCAUUAGUCAUAAUAGGGAUAACUACUAGUAAAUCCAAAAUUGCCAUUUUCGAUCCAAAAUCUGGGUUCAUCCUUGGAGCCUCUAUCUUCCCUUCAAUAAGCUUAAUGAAUGCAACAGCAAAGCAAACCACAACGAAAACAACAGCGAGAGCUACCGAAGCAGCCGAAGUCAUGCUCAAUGAAUCAAUCCUAUCUAACACGCAAAGUGGAGCAAGAAAAACAACCAUAACAACCAAAACCAAUAACUUCCUAUGAUCCCAAUAACCAUGUCCUAACCACUGAUCGAGAACCCCAAUAUGACGAACCGAACUGGACAUAACAUCACACAUAGUAAUCAAAUAAACUAUCAGGACACCUGUAUUGUUGACAAUUAUGCAAAUCUCAGACAAAACCCUAACAGUUCUCCCUAUUGCAAUUUGCAUAACUUCCUCAUAAGAUCUAGCUUUACAAGAAACCGCAAACCUAAUCAACAUCUCGACAGUAAUUUUAGACAAAAUCCCAAUCAGGAUUAUCAAAAAAAUCCCUAAAACAAGCCCCAAAACCUUCAUAGUAGCAGGUAAAGCCAUGAUUCCAGCACCAAUAAUUGUGGUGGUUAAGUUAAAAACAGCACCAGAAACACCAGACCCGGUAUUGGGUUUACUUAAAACAAGGGUAUAAUCAUCGAGAUCAAACCCAUUUCAAUCCAUUUCAAACAAAAAAAAGGCAAGUAAUACAGUAACUACACAUUAAUCUGAAGGGGACUCAAAAACUAACCAUUUCAAACCCAUGAAGCAUAUGACUGUCGACGAGAGGAAAGGGAAAAUAGUUAGGGAUUUUGGGGAUGGGGGAACAGAAUAAGGGAAAAAAAGGGGACUUGGGGAAAAUGUUAGGGAUUUUGGGUUUGGGGAAUUAGGGGAUGAUAUGGGGAAAAAGAAAGAGGUGUUUUUUGUUUUAGGGAUUUAGGGAAGAAAGAGACGAAAUAGGGGAAAAUGACUUAGCAAAAAAUGAAACUGAUUUCGGGUAAAGGGCAUAAACCUCAGGAGAGAAAAAAUGACGCCAUUUCAAAUAAGGAAAUUUUGUGGCAUUUACAGCAACGUGCCGGUAAUGAGACCUUUUGCGGCGUUUUCAGCAAAGCGCCACUAACGCCUCUUUUAUCUACACUAUAAAACGACGACGUUCUAAUAUGAGUUGUGGCAUUUAUUAUAGAAACGCCGCUAAAGCCACUAGUAUUCAUAGGAAACGACACCGUUUUACUGUAAUGUAUAACAAAAUUUUAUGGCAUUUUCUAGAAAAACGCCGCUAUUUCCGAUCUUUAGCGGCUUUUUAUGUAUAAACGUUGCUAAUACCUUAAUAUUUUAUAAAAAUUGAUCAAAAUUUAAAACUAUAUAUUUAGAAUUUCUUUUAAAUUAUAUCUAAAUAAUGUUACUGUGAUGAAUGUUAGUGUAGUACAAAAUAUAUAUUUCAUAUAAUUAUAUUAGGUUUAGUACAAAUUCGUAAGAAUCUCAUAAAAUUCUAAAUAUUGGUUCAAUAUUCAAUAAUAUACCUUAAACUUUAAACCUCAAACCAUAAACUUACACUCUAAACCCUAACUAUAGUUGAAACUUUAAUUUUGAUUUAAUACACAUUUUAAAAUACAUAUUAUGUAUGCAUAUAAAUUAUUUAAAUAAAAACAUGAUGCUAUUUAUUAUAUAUAUCAAUAACGUGUAAAUAUUAAUUUACAAGAUCUAGAUCAAAUUACAGUUCAUGUACACAAUUGCACACUAAACCACUUUUCAUAUAUAUAUAUUUAUAUAUUUUUUAAAAUAAUAAUUUAUAUAUAUUUAUCUUAUAUACAUUUAUCUUCUAAAUUAAAAUCCAAAAUUAUACUCUAAAUUUAAAACCCUAAACUUGAGACUCUAAACCCUAAACCUUAGACCACAAGCACAAAACCCCUAACCCCAAACUUUAAACCCCAAAACCAUUCGGUAACCCCUAAACCAACCAUAACUCCUAAACCAUAAAGCCCAAGCUAUAAAGUACUUUAAAAAUUGUUAACCCUAAACCAUAAUCGUAAACAUAUUUUUGGGAAUUCGUGUGGCCAAUGUUAGUGUAGUACAAAUUAAAACACAUAUAUAUGUUUAUAUUCUUAUAUUAAAUAAUAUGAGUCUAUACAAAAUAGCAUGAAUAUUAGUAAAAUCUAAAUGUUCUUCAGUUAAUUUCUAGCUAAUAGUAUCAUUUCCUUAAACCCUUAACCUAAACUUAAUUUUUAACAUAUUUUAUUUGAGACAUUCUAUUUAAUCUAAAUAUAUUUAAACAAAAAAAAAAGAUAAAAAUACACAAUAGCAUUAUUAUUUAUACAAAGUUACAUAACUUUAAUAAAACAAUUUCUCUAUUGGAACACUCUAGUUAUAAUGUCCACUCUAUAAGAUAUUUCUAUGUUAUAUAAGCUUGGAAAUUAUACAUAGUUCAACAAAUGCUAAUUCCACAUUCAAAAUCACCCUUUCUUAAUAGCAUCCCAUGUAAGAAUCUGGAAAGGAAAUUAUCUCUUAAGAAGUUAAUAAUUGUCCCAUUGUAAACUUCAACCCUAACCUUUAAACCCUAAAUCAUAAUCCUUAAACCCAUAAUUCAUCAUAAACCUUCAAAUACUAGUUAACUCCUAAACUGUAUAUCUUAAACCAUAGUUAACUCUUAAACCUGCUUAAACCCUAAAUCAUAUAUCUUAAACUAUAAUGAUAAUUAAUUUAAUAUUUUAAAUUCAAUACUAUCUCUUUUACGAUUAUAGAAGAAAAUAUUUAAUAUAUUGUAUAACCAUAAAUUUUAAUAAUUAUUGUUUUAGGGGUUAUAGAUUAGUGUUUAUGAUUUUUUUGGGGUUUAGGGGUUAAAUGACUUUUAGCGGCGUUUUACCAAAAGCGCCGCUAAUGCUCUGGUUUUUAGCGGCGUUUUACCAAAAGCGCCGCUAAUGCUCUGGUUUUUAUCGGCGUUUUACCAAAAGCGCCGCUAAUGCUCUGGUUUUUAGCAGCGUUUUACCAAAAUCGCCGCUAAUGCUCUGGUUCUUAGAGGCGUUUUACCAAAAGUGCCGCUAUUGCUCUAUUUUUAGCGGCGUUUUUUACUAAAACGCCGCUGUUGCUCUGUUUUUAGCGGCGUUUUUCUUAAAACGCCACUAUUGCUCUGUAUUUUAAAAUUUUUGCAGCGUUUUUUGAUAAAACGCCACUAAAGACCUAUUUUCCUGUAGUGAUAUAUUUGAAGUAUGGCAUGUAUAGGCUAGUAGUUGUGCAAGUAUAUUUUGUGAUGUAUAUACUUAGCCAUGUGAUUUGGCUAAUUUGUGUUUGAACUGUGACAGCCCAAAAUUGACCCUAGUCGGGAAGUGGUUUCGGGACCGCUAAACCGAGUCACCGAAAUGUUUGAAUGUGAUAUUUAUUGUCUAGAAUAUGUAAUUAUGAAUGUGCGAAAAUUUCAAGCUUCGAUUUAGUCGAUUGCAUGUGAAUUUAGUCAAUAGAACUUAUGUGCGACAUUUUUGAAAUGUGAUAGGUCGAAGCAUAAGGACCUAUUAGAGCAUGAAAUAAAAAGGGGGGACUUGCAUGUCAAAUUCCGCCCCCCUAACUAGUAGUGGCCGGCCAUGACAAGCAUGGUAGACCAAGUGUGAUGGGCAAGACAUGUCAUAGACAUGUUGUGUUGGUGCAUCAUGGGUGGAAAAAAAUAAAAUAAGGAGCAUGAGCAUAAAAUAAUGAAAGGGAAUAUGAUGAAAACAAAAAAAAAAGUGUGUAGUUGUUCCCCCCCCCCAUUGCCGUGAGUUAAAGAAAAGAAAAGAGAAAAUUUUGUUCAUCCUUUUUCAUCUUCAUUUGGCCGAAAAUUCAAAGGAAGGAGGAAGGAGUUCUUGCUUCAUGUUUGGUUUGGAAGAGGAUUAGGAGGAGGUUUGGCCAUACUUGUAUCUAGAUCAAGGUAUGUUUGAGGUUGUGCCUUGAGAUUCAUGCAUGUUUUUAGUUGCUAGCUUGAGUUCUAAUUAGCCCAUGGUUCAAAUCUUUGCUAUGUCAUGGGGAUGAUAUUCGGCCUAGGUAGGUUUUGUGUUAAUGCCAUUGCAUGCUAAAUAUGAAGCUUGUUAAUGAUGCAUGUGAUGGUGGAUUGAUGAUUCUUGAAUCUUCUUUUUAGCAUUUUUGAGUGAGCACAUAUGUGCAUUGGUUGCUAGAUGGAGAAGAAUCGGCUAGCAAGUUGUGUGCUAAGGCCGAAUAUAAUUUUUGUAUAUUAAUGAGUAAUGCAUGUGUUAAAUUGAUGGAAAGGGAGAGGAUGCUUUACUAGUGUAUAUAUGUGUGUAUUAGCCAAGUUUUGAACUUGAAACAAAAGGGUGUUUAGUCAAUACAAGUGACCAUACUUGUAGAAUGUAUUAAGUGUUGAAAUCGGCCCCAACAUAGACAUGCAUAUUCGGCCAUAGGAAGGAGAUUGGUGUUGCAUGUAUUCGGUUAGAGGCAAGCAUAUUGAUGCUUUUGUCUUGGCUUAGAAAAUUCGGCCAAGGGGGAAAAAUUAGCUAAAAUGUUGAGUUUGAUUCAUGAUUCCGUACAUAUGUGACUUUAAUGUCUAAUGUAUAAAAAUGGGCUAAGUGCCUUGUGUUCCUCUUUCCGAUGCUCAAAUGAUUAAAUCAAUUUAUUUGUUUAAUUAAGCUCAAGAGCAAAGGGGAACUAAAUCUGAUAAAGGGAAGGAAAAAGUGGUCGAAUAGCUAUCGGAAUCGUUCGACAACACCCGAGGUAAGUUCUUGAGUAAAAGAGCUUAAAUUAUGAUUUGAUUAGAUCAUGUUUUAAGCAAACCAAAAUCAUGCUCUUUGUGUGGCUAUUGAGCCGAAAUUGCAAGAAUGAUAAAUGUCUUGUGUUUGAGUUUUACUAACGUAAACGAAAUACGAAUGUGCCAUGAUUUAUUGUUAAAUGUGCAUGGUUAUUUGAAUGAUGUCCGGGCUAAGUCCCGAAGGCUUUGUGCUAAGUGACCAUAUCCGGACUAAGAUCCGAAGGCAUUUGUGAGAGAUACUAAUUCCGGGCUAAGCCCGAAGGCAUUUGUGCGAGUUACUAAAUCCGAGUUAAGUCCCGAAGGCAAUUGUGCGAGUUACUAUAACCGGGCUAUGUCCCGAAGGCAUUUGAACGAGUAGCUAUAUCCGGUUAAAUUCCGAAGGUACGUGAUUUGGGAAUGAAUGAUCUUGCUGUAAAAAUUUCAGUAAAUACUCUAGAAACAUCCCAACAUUGAGGUAUGUUUCGUAUGUGCUUGAAUUUAGUUGAGCCCUUACAAAUAAGUAUUCGCUCAGUUGAUAAACGAGCUACCGGCCUUUGGCUAAGUUGAUCUUUUGUGUAUGUAUAUAAGGGUCGGUAAUGUGAAGCAAGUAUGAUAUCGAAAAUUUGUGCAUAUGAAAUUAUUCGUUUAGCUAUAUGAAUGCUAUACUUUUGCUGUGCUGGAAUUCCUUGCUCAAAACUUACUAAGCAUAAAUUGCUUACUCCGUUUCUUUGAUCCUCUAUUUUAUAGAUUUUGGUUCUCCAGCUAUCGGACUCGGGAUUUUGAAGUCGAAGUCGCCCACACUAUCAAAGCCCCCCUUUUGGUACAAUUUUGGUUGAACUUCGAAAUGGCAUGUAUAGGACUACCCGUUUGUUGUGGGUCAUGGACCCUUUGGACUUGUAUAAUUUUGGAUAGCCAUGCGAAAAUGGCUUAUAUAUGUUUGAGUGUAAUGUUAUAAUCAUUUGGUAUGGAUAUGGUUAUUGAGAGGUGUGGAUAGGCUUGACAAGGAUUGGCCAUGGGAAUGGUUAAUCACUAUCAUAAAUUGUGCUACUUAUGCAAAAAGGGCUAGUUGAAUCAUGGAAACUAUGAAAUAGGUAAAGUCUACCUUAAAGGCAGAUGCUGACAGCAGCAGUGAUGUAUAUUUUGAAAUUCACUAAAAAUAGUAGGAAUGGAAGUAAAUAGUGAAUAAAUUAUGUAAACGAACCUUGAUGAAUCUAUUUUCAUAGGAAAGUAACGAAACAAUCAUACGGACAGUAUGUUAGGAGAUAUUCAGGUUCUUGUGAGACAGGGCCAGAACGGUUUCUGGAUUUCCUGUUCCGACUUUGGAAAUUCAUUAUAAAUUAACCAGAGACAAUUAGGAGUCAAUCCAUAUAUGUAUAGAUUCCUCUCUGAGUCUAUUUUCUAUAGAAACAAACGGCAUCAGUAUUGAAGCCCUGUACAGGGAGAUAUCCAAGUCAUAAUGCGCAAAGGUCAGGGUAGUCGAUCCCUGUAACAUGGGAGACUUUGACUAAUAAACUGUACUAAUUGGCCUGAGCAAAAAUUCUAGAAAAAAAUAUGUAGAUGGAAAUAUGAGUCUAGUUUCAGGAAAAAUUUACGGAACUGGAUUCCGAGUUUCUGAACUUAAGAUAUGAUUUUUAAAGCGACUAUUAUGCAGAUUGGCAGUGUCUGGAAAAUUUUUAAAGUUUGUUAACACCUCGUGUUCGACUCCGGUGACGGUCUCGGGUUCGGGGUGUUACAUUUGAUUGGUAUCAGAGCUACGGUUUAGUCGAUUCUAGGACUACCGUAAUGCGUUGGGUCUAGCUAUACAUGCCAUUUUAUGUGAUUAUUUGAUAGUGUGGUGAUUUCUGACAUUUGCAAAUGUGUUUAUUUAUAGUAAUGGAUCCCGAUCCCGACCGAGCGGUAGCUGAUGAUCUUGAGAGUGUAGCGCCGGUGGACUCUCAACCUAAUGCUAGUAACCCGAAUGAUGAAGCUAGACAAGCUUUCUAUAGCGUGAUGAAUGAUUGGUUCAACCAAUACAUUCGAACUAAUACGGCUGUUCCACAACCUCCCUUCCCGACUAAUACAACCCCCGCACCUACAAUACCUCCGGUAACUGACCAAAUAAGGUCAAAUAAGCCCCCAGUUGACAGAAUUCGAAAACAUGGGGCUACUGAAUUUAAAGCUACGGAUAGCGACGAUGCCGAGCAAGCUGAAUUUUGGUUGGACAACACUAUCCGGGUACUCGAUGAGCUAUCUUGUACACCCGAUGAAUGCUUAAAGUGUACUAUCUCCUUGCUACGUGAUUCUGCCUACUAUUGGUGGAGUACUCUGACUUCUGUUGUGCCCCGAGAGCAAGUAACUUGGGAGUUUUUCCAAACUGAGUUUCGGAAAAAGUAUAUCAGUAAGAGAUUUGUUGAUCAAAAACGGAAGGAAUUUCUUGAGCUUAAGCAAGGUUCCAUGUCGGUUACUGAUUACGAGCGAAAAUUUGUUAGACUUAGCAAAUACACUCGGGAAUGUGUUUCGUCCGAGGCUAUCAUGUGUAAACGCUUCGAGGAUGGGCUGAAUGAAGAUAUAAAAAUGUUCGUUGGUGUUCUUGAAAUACGAGAGUUCGUAGUACUUGUCGAGCGAGCUUGUAAAGCCGAAGAGCUUAGAAAAGAAAAACAAAAAGUUGAUGUGGGAACUGGAGAGUUUCGUAAAAGAUUUUCGGGAAAGUCUCUUCAACAGGCAUCGAAGAAAUUUCGAGAUGAUGUGGGCUGGUCGAGAGGCACUUCGGGCCUUUUUAGACGAGAUCGUGAUCGACCCCCUGUGGGUACACGAGGCACUUCGGUCGCCAGUGUUGGGAAUGAACGUCGAGACAGAACGAAAUGUCGAUAUUGCGGUAAAUGGCAUUCGGGGAGUUGUAGAUUCCCUGACCGCUCCUGUUACAAGUGCGGAUCAGUUGACCACUUCAUUAAAGAUUGCCCGAGGUUGUCUGAACAGAAUGUAAAUCAGAGUGGGAAAUCGGGUGCUACCACUGCUUGAGGUAGACCAUCUGGAAAUACGGGCAAUGCUAGUGGUGGUCAGAGAGGAUCUAGAGAUGCUACGACCAGAUCCGAGGCUCGUGCGCCUGCUAGAGCUUAUGCUAUACGUGCCCGCGAGGAUGCUUCUUCGCCUGAUGUUAUUACCGGUACUUUUACUCUCUUUGAUACUAAUGUAAUUGCUUUGAUUGACCCCGAUUCUACUCAUUCUUACAUAUGUGAAACCUUAGCAUCCAGUAAGACUUUACCUAUUGAGUCUACUGAGUUCGUAAUUCGGGUGUCAAAUCCCUUGGGUCGUUACGUGCUUGUCGACAAAGUGUGUAAGAAAUGUCCCCUAGUAAUUCGAGGUUCCUGUUUUUCGACGGACUUGAUGCUUUUGCCGUUUAAUGAAUUUGAUGUUAUUCUCGGGUUGGAUUGGUUGACCGUGCAUGAUGCGGUUGUGAAUUGCAAAAGCAAGACGAUUGAAUUGAGGUGCGCAAAUAACGAAGUAAUCCGAGUUGAGUUUACGGACUUGGAUGGGUUGCCAGCUGUAAUAUCCUCAAUGUUGGCCCAGAAAUAUGUAAGAAAAGGGUGCGAAGCAUACCUUGCGUAUGUACUUGAUGACAAAGAAUUAGAAAAGAAACCCGAAUCUGUGCCGGUGGUUUGUGAAUACCCGGAUGUUUUUCCUGAAGAAUUACCGGGUUUACCACCUGUUCGGGAGAUAGAGUUUGGUAUUGAGCUUGUACCUGGGACUACGCCGAUUUCGAUGGCUCCGUAUCGUAUGGCACCAACCGAGUUAAAAGAGUUGAAAGCUCAGUUGCAAGAAUUGACGGAUAGAGGUUUUGCUCGACCAAGUUUCUCACAUUGGGGUGCACCAGUAUUGUUCGUGAAAAAGAAGGACGGAACCAUGAGGUUGUGCAUUGACUAUCGUCAACUGAAUAAAGUGACGAUAAAGAACAAAUAUCCGUUACCGCGUAUCGAUGAUUUGUUCGACCAACUGAAGGGAGCCUCAGUGUUCUCAAAAAUAGAUUUGAGAUCGGGCUAUUAUCAGUUGCGAAUUCGAGAUUCAGACAUACCCAAAACUGCCUUCAGAACGAGAUAUGGUCACUACGAGUUCUUAGUGAUGCCGUUUGGGCUCACUAAUGCCCCUGCGGUAUUUAUGGAUUUGAUGAAUCGGAUCUUCAGACCAUAUUUGGAUCGGUUCGUAGUUGUGUUCAUUGAUGACAUCUUGGUCUAUUCAAGAGAUGAGACCGAACAUGCUGAGCACCUGAGACUAGUGUUGCAAAUUUUGUGGGAUAAGGAGUUAUAUGCUAAGUUCAGUAAGUGUGAGUUCUGGUUAAGAGAGGUUAGCUUCUUGGGUCAUGUGGUAUCCGCAUCGGGUAUUCGAGUUGACCCGAGCAAAAUUUCAGCCAUACUUAACUGGAAGCCUCCAAGAAAUAUUACCGAAGUUCGGAGCUUCCUGGGGCUCGCCGGUUAUUACCGACGAUUUGUCAAAGGUUUCUCGAUGAUAGCCACACCAAUGACGAAGCUACUUCAAAAGGAUGUUAAGUUCGAAUGGACGGAGAAAUGUCAGAAAAGUUUUGAUCAACUAAAAACUUAUUUGACUGAAGCUCCAAUUUUAGUGCAACCCGAAUCAGGCAAAGAGUUUGUCAUUUAUAGUGACGCAUCCCUACUUGGGUUGGGUUGCGUAUUGAUGCGAGAAGGUCGAGUGGUGGCCUAUGCGUCGAGACAAUUAAAGCCACAUGAGAAAAAUUAUCCGACCCAUGAUCUUGAACUAGCUGCCAUCGUAUUUGCUUUAAAAAUAUGGCGACAUUACUUAUUUGGUGAAAAGUGCCAUGUAUUUUCGGAUCACAAAAGUCUCAAAUAUUUGAUGACUCAAAGAGACUUAAAUCUGCGACAAAGACGUUGGCUUGAGUUGUUGAAAGAUUACUAGCUUGUCAUUGAUUACCACCCGGGAAAGGCUAAUGUGGUUGCGGACGCCUUAAGCCGGAAAUCAUUGUUUGCUUUACGAGCGAUGAAUGUGCACUUGUCUGUUCUACCCGACAAUGUGUUAGUAGCUGAAUUAAAAGCCAAACCAUUAUUGAUUCAUCAAAUUCGUGAAGCCCAGAAGGUUGAUGAUGAAUUGGUUGCAAAACGGGCUGAGUGUGUUCCGAACAAGGAAUCAGAGUUUCAAAUUGAUGAUGAUGAUUGUUUGAGGUUCAGAAGUCGUUUGUGCGUUCCAAGGAAUUCGGGACUCAUUUCGAUGAUUCUGAACGAAGCCCAUUGUAGCCGAAUGUCAAUUCACCCGGGGAGUACGAAAAUGUACAACGAUUUGAAACGUUGGUUUUGGUGGCAUGGUAUGAAACGAGACAUCUCCGAAUUUGUUUCGAGAUGUUUAAUAUGUCAACAAGUGAAAGCGGAACAUCAAGUGCCUUCAGGAUUACUUCAGCCGAUCAUGAUACCCGAGUGGAAAUGGGAUCGAGUCACAAUGGACUUUGUGUCCGGACUGCCCUUGUCAGCAAGUAAGAAGGAUGCGAUUUGGGUUGUUGUUGAUAGACUGACUAAGUCGGCUCACUUUAUCCCCGUGCGUACGGAUUUUUCAUUGGAUAAACUAGCCGAAUUGUAUGUUUCUCAGAUUGUGAGAUUACACGGGGUACCUAUUUCUAUCGUGUCGGAUAGAGAUCCGAGAUUCACCUCGCGAUUUUGGAGGAAAUUGCAAGAAGCUUUGGGUACCAAGCUGCAUUUUAGCACUGCUUUUCACCCCCAAACCGAUGGUCAAUCUGAGCGGAUAAUUCAGAUACUUGAGGAUAUGUUGAGAUGUUGCAUCCUCGAGUUCAGUAGUUCAUGGGAACGGUAUUUACCUUUGAUUGAAUUCGCUUACAAUAAUAGUUUUCAAUCAAGUAUUAAGAUGGCACCUUACGAGGCUUUGUACGGUCGUAAAUGCCGUACACCAUUAUUUUGGACCGAGCUCGGUGAAAGUAAAAUUUUCGGAGUUGAUUUGAUUAAGGAUGCCGAACAGAAAGUAAAGGUAAUCCGUGAAAGUCUGAAAGCAGCCACAGAUCGUCAAAAAUCGUAUGCGGAUUUGAAACGAAAAGACAUUGAAUAUCAGGUGGGAGAUAAAAUGUUUCUUAAAGUUUCGCCUUGGAAAAAGGUACUCAGAUUUGGCCGUAAGGGCAAGUUGAGCCCGAGAUUCAUUGGGCCGUACGAAAUCUCCGAACGAGUUGGUCCGGUUGCGUAUAGAUUGAUUUUGCCCCCUGAACUUGAAAAGAUUCACGAUGUCUUUCAUGUUUCGAUGCUUCGACAUUAUAGAUCCGAUCCGUCACAUGUGAUUAAUCCCUCAGAAGUUGAAAUUCAAUCUGACUUGAGUUAUGAAGAAGAACCGAUUCGUAUCCUAGCUCGUGAAGUGAAAGAGUUGCGAAACAAAAGGGUUCCGUUAGUUAAGGUGUUAUGGCUCAAACACGGGAUCGAGGAAGCUACUUGGGAAACCGAGAGCUCGAUGAAAGAACGAUACCCAAACCUAUUUACCGGUAAGAUUUUCGGGGACGAAAAUUUCUUAAGUGGGGGAGAGUUGUGACAGCCUAAAAUUGACCCUAGUCGGGAAGUGGUUUCGGGACCGCUAAACCGAGUCACCGAAAUGUUUGAAUGUGAUAUUUAUUGUCUAGAAUAUGUAAUUAUGAAUGUGCGAAAAUUUCAAGCUUCGAUUUAGUCGAUUGCAUGUGAAUUUAGUCAAUAGGACUUAUGUGCGACAUUUUUGAAAUGUGAUAGGUCGAAGCAUAAGGACCUAUUAGAGCAUGAAAUAAAAAGGGGGGACUUGCAUGUCAAAUUCCCCCCUAACUAGUAGUGGCCGGCCAUGACAAGCAUGGUAGACCAAGUGUGAUGGGCAAGACAUGUCAUAGACAUGUUGUGUUGGUGCAUCAUGGGUGGAAAAAAAUAAAAUAAGGAGCAUGGGCAUAAAAUAAUGAAAGGGAAUAUGAUGAAAACAAAAAAAAAGUGUGUAGUUGUUCCCCCCCCAUUGCCGUGAGUUAAAGAAAAGAAAAGAGAAAAUUUUGUUCAUCCUUUUUCAUCUUCAUUUGGCCGAAAAUUCAAAGGAAGGAGGAAGGAGUUCUUGCUUCAUGUUUGGUUUGGAAGAGGAUUAGGAGGAGGUUUGGCCAUACUUGUAUCUAGAUCAAGGUAUGUUUGAGGUUGUGCCUUGAGAUUCAUGCAUGUUUUUAGUUGCUAGCUUGAGUUCUAAUUAGCCCAUGGUUCAAAUCUUUGCUAUGUCAUGGGGAUGAUAUUCGGCCUAGGUAGGUUUUGUGUUAAUGCCAUUGCAUGCUAAAUAUGAAGCUUGUUAAUGAUGCAUGUGAUGGUGGAUUGAUGAUUCUUGAAUCUUCUUUUUAGCAUUUUUGAGUGAGCACAUAUGUGCAUUGGUUGCUAGAUGGAGAAGAAUCGGCUAGCAAGUUGUGUGCUAAGGCCGAAUAUAAUUUUUGUAUAUUAAUGAGUAAUGCAUGUGUUAAAUUGAUGGAAAGGGAGAGGAUGCUUUACUAGUGUAUAUAUGUGUGUAUUAGCCAAGUUUUGAACUUGAAACAAAAGGGUGUUUAGUCAAUACAAGUGACCAUACUUGUAGAAUGUAUUAAGUGUUGAAAUCGGCCCCAACAUAGACAUGCAUAUUCGGCCAUAGGAAGGAGAUUGGUGUUGCAUGUAUUUGGUUAGAGGCAAGCAUAUUGAUGCUUUUGUCUUGGCUUAGAAAAUUCAGCCAAGGGGGAAAAAUUAGCUAAAAUGUUGAGUUUGAUUCAUGAUUCCGUACAUAUGUGACUUUAAUGUCUAAUGUAUAAAAAUGGGCUAAGUGCCUUGUGUUCCUCUUUCCGAUGCUCAAAUGAUUAAAUCAAUUUAUUUGUUUAAUUAAGCUCAAGAGCAAAGGGGAACUAAAUCUGAUAAAGGGAAGGAAAAAGUGGUCGAAUAGCUAUCGGAAUCGUUCGACAACACCCGAGGUAAGUUCUUGAGUAAAAGAGCUUAAAUUAUGAUUUGAUUAGAUCAUGUUUUAAGCAAACCAAAAUCAUGCUCUUUGUGUGGCUAUUGAGCCGAAAUUGCAAGAAUGAUAAAUGUCUUGUGUUUGAGUUUUACUAACGAAAACGAAAUACGAAUGUGCCAUGAUUUAUUGUUAAAUGUGCAUGGUUAUUUGAAUGAUGUCCGGGCUAAGUCCCGAAGGCUUUGUGCUAAGUGACCAUAUCCGGACUAAGAUCCGAAGGCAGGUGUGGAUAGGCUUGACAAGGAUUGGCCAUGGGAAUGGUUAAUCACUAUCAUAAAUUGUGCUACUUAUGCAAAAAGGGCUAGUUGAAUCAUGGAAACUAUGAAAUAGGUAAAGUCUACCUUAAAGGCAGAUGCUGACAGCAGCAGUGAUGUAUAUUUUGAAAUUCACUAAAAAUAGUAGGAAUGGAAGUAAAUAGUGAAUAAAUUAUGUAAACGAACCUUGAUGAAUCUAUUUUCAUAGGAAAGUAACGAAACAAUCAUACGGACAGUAUGUUAGGAGAUAUUCAGGUUCUUGUGAGACAGGGCCAGAACGGUUUCUGGAUUUCCUGUUCCGACUUUGGAAAUUCAUUAUAAAUUAACCAGAGACAAUUAGGAGUCAAUCCAUAUAUUUAUAGAUUCCUCUCUGAGUCUAUUUUCUAUAGAAACAAACGGCAUCAGUAUUGAAUCCCUGUACAGGGAGAUAUCCAAGUCGUAAUGCGCAAAGGUCAGGGUAGUCGAUUCCUGUAACAUGGGAGACUUUGACUAAUAAACUGUACUAAUUGGCCCGACCAAAAAUUCUAUAAAAAAAUGUGUAGAUGGACAUAUGAGUCUAGUUUUAGGGAAAAUUUACGGAACUGGAUUCCGAGUUUCUAAACUCAAGAUAUGAUUUUUAAAGCGACUAUUACGCAGAUUGGCAGUGUCUGGAAAAUUUUUAAAGUUUGUUAACACCUCGUGUUCGACUCCGGUGACGGUCUCGGGUUCGGGGUGUUACAUGAACUCAUAUUUGAUAAUGGUUUAUGAUAUGCGAUGUUAAUUUGCAAUUGUGGUAUGUUUAGUUGGAUAAAGGAAAUGGUAAGUUUGGUGAGUUCAUGGUAUGAAAUUGAAUGAUGAUUUUGAUAUAUAAUCUUACAUUAUGUUUUAGUAUAAAUAGGUAAGGUUUAUAAGUAUGUAAAUGGUUGAUAAUAUUAAGGUAUGAAUAAUGUGUGUUUUAGCAUAAAAAUUGGUUGAUUGGAUUGUACAUAUAAGUUUGAUUCUUUGCUUAUAGGUUGACUAAAAAAGGGGUGGCAAAUUGGCUUAAACCAAGCCUGCAUUGUGCUACACGAUCAGGGAACACGGGCAUACCUUGUGGCUGUGUAUGCAAAGCAGUACCCUCUUAAGAUCACACGGCCAUAGCACAUGGGCGUGUUAUAUGGCCAUGGGCUAAAGUCAGUAGCUAGCUAAGAACCACACGACCAUAGCACACGGGCGUGUUUGUUGGCCGUGGGUGAAAGUUAGUAUGUAUGCUCUGUUUUGACACAGCUGGACUACAUGGGUAUGUCUGGUGCCUGUGUAAGGCACACGGCCUGGUUACACGGACGUGUGACCUCAACAGAAUUGAGAAAUUUUGCUAAGUUCUAAAAAUUUUGAAUAUGUUCGGUUUAGUCCCGAUCUAUUCCUAAUGCAUGUUUAAGGUCUCGUUGACCUAAUAAAGGGACUUUAUGUUGAUGUUUGACUAUGAUGCUAUGAUGUUGUGAAAUGAAUGUGAAAUAUUUUGAUAUGUUCAAUAAUGCCUCUUAACCCUAGUCCGGCGAUGGAUACGGGUUAGGGGUGAUACAAGCUUGGAGUUCGAGAGAAGAAUUAGUGAACCUACUUUGUAUGUGAAGAAAUAAUGUGUUGAAACACAGCUCAUAGUGUCCUUGUAUUUUGAUGAUCUACUUGUAAUAAGAAGCAAUAAUUUCAUGCUUGAUAAUUUCAAAAGGAAAAUGGAAAAUAUGUUUGAGAUGUCAGACUUGGGACAAAUGUCCUACUUCCUUGGCAUGGAAGUGUCUCAAACUGAGCAAGGGAUCUUCCUAAGUCAAAAGGCUUUUUCCUUAAAGAUUUUGAACAAAUUCUCCAUGUUGAACUGCAAGCAAGAAGCACACCAGUUGCUAUUGGAAAAAAGCUAUCAUGUCAAGGUGAUUUUGAGAAGGUUUGUGAAUCAACCUAUAAGAGUUUGGUUGGAUGCUUGCUCUAUUUGACAGCUACUAGACCGGAUAUCAUGUUUGCUGUGAGUCUGCUAUCUAGAUUCAUGCAUUGUUGCAAUGGGAAGCAUUUACAAGCUGCCAAAAGAUUUCUCAGGUACAUCAAAGGCACACUGAGCUUUGGAGUAAAGUUCACCAAGGUUUAUGGCAUGAAACUGCUUGGUUAUGCUGAUAGUGAUUGGGUUGGAUUGAUAAAUGACAUGAAAAGCACCUCAGGGUAUCUAUUUACCCUUGGUUCAGCCAAAUUUUUUUGGAGUUCGAAGAAGAAAAAUGUUGUUGCUCAAUCAACUGCUGAAGCAUAAUAUGUGGCAGCUGCAAGAGCUGUCAACCAAGCCAUUUGGCUAAGAAAGAUAAUGACCGAUUUGAAUCUACACCAAAAAGUAGCAACAGAGAUUAAAUGUGACAACUAGUCUGCUAUUGCAAUGUAAAGAAUCUAGUGUUCCAUGGGAGAAUAAAGAACUUCAGGAUUAAGUUUCACUUUGUUAAGGAGAUGAAACAAGAUCAAAAGGUGAAGCUAAUUCAUUGCAGUUUUGAAGAACAACUUGGUGAUAUCUUAACAAAGCCCCUUAGUGUGUCGAGCUUCAUGCAUUUGAGAACUAAAAUGGGAGUAUGCUGCAUGCAAGCCAAUAAGGAGUUUUGAAGUUGGCCUGCAUGUAGCACAUGAUGUAGCCAAGGAGCAGAGAAGCUUCACGAACCAUGCAGUUGCUGCUGAAGUUGAUAUAGCUGUUUAAUUUCAAUUUAUUUUGUUACUUCAAUUGAUGUUUUGUAACUUAGUUAAACUAGAACUAAGUUGUUACUGCAAUUGAUGUAUUUUUGUUGACAUUUGAGAUGAUAAAUCAACUUUACCAAGUGUGCAAGUUUAGUUUAACAAGUUCCAAUGUAAUUAGUGGUAGUAGGUAGAUGUUUAGGUGAAAUUUUUUUGUUUUUUAUCAGCCGUGACAUAUGUAAUGGCAUUAUGCCUUAAUUGCAAGUUAAUGAAUAUACACAUUUUCUUCUUCAUUUUUUCUGGUUUUUUACUCAAGCAAAUUGCUCAAGCUUCAUAUCUGAUUUAUGUUGUUUGCUUAACAACCAUCGAGCCUUCAAGCUCAAGUUUCUAUCUUUGUCAUUCAUCUUCAUUCUUAGUUUUAACAGACAGAUUUGGGAAAUUGAAUUUCUCUUCAUUUCCAAAUCUUGUCCUUCUUGAUCUUAGUGAUCAUCAACUUGAUGGAAAUAUCCCGCACCAGAUAGGUGAUCUAUUCGCAUUGAAGUACCUUGACUUGUCCAAUUGUGGUUUAUCCGAUGAGUUACCUCCUGCUCUAGGAAACCUAACCCGAUUAAAGUACCUUGACAUUUCCUAUAAUGAUAAUAUUAACAGUUUCAUCCCUCCACAACUAGAAAAUCUAAUGAACCUUGUCAAUUUAAACUUGAGUGUCAACAGUCUUACAGGGAAGAUUCCUUUAGAAUUAGGAUUUUUUAUCAAAUUUGGUUUAUUUGGAUCUUUAUAGCAACAAGAUUUUUGGUCCAAUACCAUUUUCUUUGUACCAUUUGAUAGAUUUGGAACAUCUGUACAUUGAUAAUAACUACCUUGAAGGAUCAAUCUCUAAAAAUAUUGAAAAUUUCAAGAAAAUAAGCUUUUUAAACAUCACUAAUAAUAGAUUUACUGGUCAUAUUCCUCUAGCUUUUUGUCGUUUGCCCACUUUGGAAGAAAUCUUUCUUGACCAAAAUCAAAUAAGUGGUUUGGUCCCUUCUUGCAUUGGUAAUUUAUCCAACUUGACUUCAUUGUACCUCUCUCCCAAAACAAAUUGAGUGGUUUGAUCCCUUCUUGUAUUGGUAGUUUAUCAAAAAUGCAGUAUUUAAGACUUGGUUCUAAUCUAUUAGAAGGUCCUAUUCCCCAAGAAAUUUGUGAUUUGGGAAAUUUAACUUCAUUAGGCCUCUACCAAAACAAAUUGAAUGGUUCAGUCCCUUCUUGUCUUGGUAAGUUGUCCAAAUUGCAUACCUUAAGACUUGAUUCAAAUCUAUUAGAAGGUCCUAUUCUUGAAGAAAUUUGUGACUUAGCAAAUUUAACUUCAUUAAGCCUCUACCAAAACAAAUUGAAUGGUUCAAUCCCUUUUUGUCUUGGUACAUUGUCCAAAUUGGAUACCUUACAACUUCAUUCAAAUCUAUUAGAAGGUCCUAUUCCCCAAAAAUUUUGUAAUUUCGCAAAUUUAACUUCAUUGUACCUCUUCCAAAACAAAUUGAGUGGUUCAAUCCUUUCUUGUAUUGGUAGUUUAUCAAAGAUGCAGUACUUAAGCCUUGGUUCUAAUCUAUUAAAAGGUCCUAUUCCCCAAGAAAUUUGUAAUUCAGAAAAUUUAACUUUAUUGUACCUCUCCGAAAACAAAUUGAGUUGUUCAAUCCCAUCAUGUAUUGUCAAUUUAUCCAAUUUGUAUACCUUAGAACUUGAUUCAAAUCUAUUAAAAGUUCCGAUCCCUGAAGAAAUUGGUAGGCUUUUUCACAUAUCAAAUUUAAACCUCAGCUUCAACCAACUCUCAGGUAGUGUCCCUAUCUUGUCUGCCACUAAACUUCACAUUAUCGAUGCUGGAAAUAACUGUAACAAGAUUUCUUCCAAUCCCUUUGAAGGCAAUAGUGGUUUAUCACCCUAUAUGUGUCCUUCUCGAGAAACCGACAAAGUUAAUAGCAGUAGGUUUCCUUACUAUAUCAAAAUAUUCCUCCCUAUUACCAUCUUAUCCGCAUUCACCAUUUUGGGAUGUUUUCUAUUUUCACGAUUUAAGCUCAUGAAUAAUCGUGCUAGUAUACAACCAAUGAAAUGGGGAUUUGUGUUCCAUAUAGAACUAUGAUGGAAAGAUACAUACGAGGAUAUUGUCGCAGCAACAGAGGAUUUCGAAUUUCGAUACUGUAUUGGAGUUGAUGGCUAUAGAAGUGUUUAUAGAGCAAAAUUCCCUUGUGGUAAAGUAGUUUCUUUGAAGAAACUUCAUCACUUUGAAGUCGAGAAUCCAACCUUUGACAAGAGUUUCAGGAAUGAGAUCAAGUUUCUAACAAAAAUAUGACAUCGAAACAUAGUAAAGUUUCAUGGGUUUUGUCUACACCGAUGGUCUAUGUUUUUGAUCUACGAAUACAUGGAAAAAGGGAGUUUGUUCUGCAACUUAAGAGAUGAAGUGGAAGCUGUGGAAAUGGAUUGGACAAAAAGAGUGAAUAUCAUCAAAGGCAUAGCACAUGUUUUUUCUUACUUGCACUUUGAGGCCUUUGUAGCUGACUUUAGAACUGCUAAAAUGCUGGAUCUUGACUCAUCCAAUCAGACCAUUAUUGUGGGCACAUAUGGAUAUGUAGCUCCAGGUGAUUUUCUUUGAUUCAUUUACUGAUAUUUUCUUUUGAAUUUAUAAAAUUAAUUUAAUAUAUAAUUGGUUUUCUUUUUAUCUGGUUGACAUAGAUAGAACUUGCCUAUACAAUGGUUGUUAUCGAAAAAUGCGAUUUCUAUAGUUUUGGAAUGGUGGCCUUGGAAACAUUAAUGGAAAAGCAUCCUGAAGAAGUGUUACCAUGGUUGUCAUCAACUUAUUUGUUAAAUAUGAAGCUGAUUGAUGUGUUGACAACCGUUUACCACUUCCAACAAGCCAACUAGUUGCACAAAAUCUUGUUCACGUUGCUACACUAGCAUUCACUUGCUUAAGUCUGCAACCCAAGUCUCGACCAACAAUGAAAGAAGUGUGUGAAGAGUUUCUUUGUGACCAAAAAUCCUUGGGAAUUCCCCUUGGGAUGGUCUCUUUGUUACAACUUGUCAACCAUAAAAUCCACAUUAGAGGCAAAACUGAAAAUUGUAGUGUUCAAAGUCCAUGCGCUUGUUAGAUACUGUUUGUCAUGCUGUCAUGAUUUGUUUCUUCAGUAGCUCUUGUGUUAUGUAUGAUGUAAUGAAUUGUAAUGUUGAAUACACUUGUUUAUUUGGUGGCUAUGGAAGAAAUAAAUUCUGCAAUUUGAUUCAAAUCUUCAUACUUCGUCAAGUUUUUCCUUCUUCCAAACAACAUAAAGAUAAUAUAUAAAAUAAAAGUAACCAUAAAAAUAAAUUUUGGAGAAGAAGGAUAUUUGAUAUGAUUUUUUGUAAAUUUGAACUAGGAUAUUUGACCUAGAAAAGAAACCGUGAUUGUAAUUGUUUUGUGACCUCAGAUACAAUGUUAUUAUGAUCCAACACAUGCCUAGCUUUCAUAAUCCUCACUCUCUGCCUAGUUUCUUGAUUUUAUAUGUAUGGUUUCCGUAGUUGAAAUCUAAUUAUAGAUAAUUUUUUAUUGAUUUAUAAAAAGAUAAAAAGAUAAAAACACUCCCAUAAUUAUAUAAUAUAUCUUGCAAAUAAAAUGGUUUUUUGACAAUUCCCCUAAUUGGAAUCCAGUUUGAAUUAUACUCCAAUUUCUAAAUUGUUUUUAAAGGUGCUUUUUUAAAAAAAAAAGUGUUACAUAAAUUAUAAUUUUAUUAUUUUACUUAAAAACUAGUGUAAAUUAUUUAGUUGGUCACCUAAUUUUUAAAGUACUUUUCAUUUUAGUCACUCAAGCAUUAAAUUUUAAAAUUGUAAACAUGAUAUGACAUGCAUAGUUAACUACCGUUAGAGAUUUAAUGCUUAGGUAAAUAAAAUGAAAGCGGCCUAAAAGUUGAGUGACAAAAUUGCAAAGAUUUCAUUUUAAGUGAUCAACAUGAAAGCACCUUAAAAAUUAGAUGACCAAAGUAAUUUACCCUAAAAAGUAUGCAACAUCCAAUAAAAGUGCUUCAUGUGACAUGCUUUUAUUUGCUUACAUUGUUUUUUAGUAAACUAGAAUAAAAUUUAUAGUUUCCAUGUCGUUUCUAAUAAAAAAAAUUUAAAGAUUAAUCUAAAAAUUAAGGUAUAGUUGAAACACAUUUUUUAACAAAGCUUCAAAAUAUGAUCGAAAAGAUUAGCAUUAAAGGAAAACUACAAUGUUAAGUUAAAAAUAGUAAAAUGUUUGGCGCUAAAAGCAUCAAUUGAAAUUAUUAGAUGACUGGUAAGGCUUCAAUUCUAUUAUUUGUAUACAAUUCUUGUUAAAUUGCAACACUAGCUUAUAAUCACCAUUUAGUAUAGUAGAAAUUAUAUUUUAUUAGUGGUUUAUGUUGUAUAAAGUUUAACUUAGUUUAGAGUGUUUUCUUAGCAAGGAAUGAAUCUCAAGUUGCCUAGGAACAAAAGGUAAAAGAUUAUAAGUCUAUAUAAAACCCCUUUCUCAUAUGACAUAGAAAAACAAGGAUAGUGGACCUUGAGUUUAUAUAAAGACCUAUGUUGCAAAUAUUAUUUGCACCAAAUCAACUAUUAAAAUUUCUAUUUGAUUUCUUUUAAUUCCUCUUUUAUUUUCUUAUUUUGGAGUAUUUAGGAGGUGUAACUAAAUAUUAGUUUAGUGGUCUUGUAAGCACAAGUGUUCUACAAUUUUUAAUUUUUUUAAGUAGAAAAAAUUUAAGUUCAUAAAAGAAAAAAAGUUAUAUCAUCAUUUCUGCUAAAAAUUUAAAGAAGGGUUAUCAAACAAAAUUAAUUGAAAAUGUUGGUAAUAAAAUUGAAAAUUUUUGUAGUUCAACAACCACAACAAAAACUUACUAUUAGUUGAGUGGCUAAUAAUGUAGUUUAAUCUAAAAACUAAAGUUUUCAACUUUAAAUGAAUUGGCCAUAUUUUAAAUCCAUACAAACGUAAAAACAUUCUUUUUUCAACAAUUUUUUAAAAAUUAAACCUAAUAUCCUUAUUUGAAUCCAUAUAAAUGUAUAUUUUAUUUUAUUUUGCAUAUUUCUAUUAAAGAAAAAUAGACUAGUUUUAUCUUAUAUCUAAUAAUUACAAAAUAUUGAAUUUGUUUGUAAAAUUUGUUUAAAAAUUUGUACAAUUUCACAAAUAAUAUGAAAUAAUGUAUUCUAAAUAUUGGAUAUUGUAAACUAUUUAUAUACUAUAUGUUUAAUACUAUAAAAAUAUUUAUAUUAUACACUACAAAAAAUUUAAAAUUUUAUACAUAUUGUUUAAAUUAUAUAGAAUUAUUUAUACAAUUUAAAUUUUAAGAGUUCUUUAAUUGUUUUAAAAGUUAAUAUAAGUAAAUUUUAUAUGAAUUUUUAAAAUUUUAUUAGUCUAGGUAUAUAAUAUCUAUAUGAUGGAGAGUAAAGGUGUCCAUGGAUCGAGUCAGAUUCAGACCAAGCCUAUGCAAAUAUCUAGAUCAAUUUUUCAAGCCUGACCUAGCUUGAAAAAAUGACUUACUUUUUUCCCAAGCCCAACUCAAUCUAAGAAAGAUAAAUUGGGUCUGACUCGGCUCGCCCAUAUUUGAUUUUUUAGAUUAGUUUUUUUAAAGGUAAUUUAAAAAUUAUAUAUAAUACACUAAAUGAAAUAAAAAGUGAUAAAAUAAAAGUUUUCUAACAAAUUAAAAAAGAUUUAUAUUCAAAAAUACGACCAUAAAUAUAAUAAAUGUUUUAUUAUAUUAAAAAAACAAAUAAAUGUACUAAAGAUUUUAUUUUAUUAAAUAAUUUUCAAAUCUUAUAUUUUGGGUAGGGUUAGUUUGGUCUUUUUUUUAGGUUUUGGGUAAUGGGUAUAAUUUUUUUGGGUUGGUUAUUUAAUAUAACUCUCUAUCAUUAUUAUUUACCCUAUAUUUGGGGUGGGCCAAGCUUCGGGGGUUUAAGUUCGCGACGCUAACCUAACAAUUUUAAAAAUUUACAUUUUAGCUCUCAUUCAACCUCGAGUUAUCAAAAGCACUUUCAUAAGCUCAUUUAACCCUAAAAUUUAUUAUAAUCUUGGUGUUCCUGAUGUAAUGGCCUUGAUAUUCUGUAUAAAUUGUUUUAAUUAAAUUACAAUUACGGUCGUAGUUUUGCUCUGGCAACGAAUGUGUGAUGGUCACUAAACUAACUAUAACUAUGAUAAGCGACAAUAGUAUAGCUAUGGCGAGUAGGGAAUAUCAUAUCCAAAAGGACUAAAAAUACUAGUAAUUAUUGUUUUUCUAUUAUUUAGCCGAUAAAUUGGGAUGAUUGUUUUUAAUCUAAAAUUACUAAACUAUUACUAAAGAAGGCAAGCAGAGAAUGAAUUAAGAAAUAAUUGAAUAAAACCAUGAUAUAGACACUACCCAGGAAAGAAUCCACCUAGACUCCACCUAUUAUUCUGAAUCUGAAUUAAACGAUUUAUUCACUUAUGUCUUGAUCUGUAGAAAUCCCUAAAUUAUGUUAAUAUCUCUUUCGAGAGUAAAAACAAUUGACUCUAGAUUCAUUAAUUGAAAUCUCUUUCUAAUUAAAACCUCUAUUGUCGCAUUAGCUCAAUCUAUGGAUUCCCCUAUUAGAUUUGACUCUAAUCCGGUAGAUUUAUGCCGUCUUAUUUCUACGGUUGCAUGCAACUCCACUCAAUUAUGCUAGAUCUACUCUUAAACAGGGACUUUUGCUCCACUGAAAAGAACAUUAAACAUGAGUUAAUAUCCUGAAAAUAUUAAACACGAAAUAAGCAUACAUAAUUGAUGUAAUAGCCCAAAUUUGCCCGGGCCCGUGAAAUAGAAUAAAAAAAUAAAAAAUAAAAAAAUAAAUUUAAUGUCUGUAAUGUCCAGUUUACAAUAAACGAGCCUAAAGACUUGAUGACCCAAGACCCAAUUAGCCAAAGAACCCAAGUGCCCAUUACACCCUCAACCCAAAAAACAUACGGGGCCCAAGAGGCCCAAACCGUAAACUAAGGACAGAAGACCUAGGGUUUCAGAAACCCUAGGCGCCGCAAGCACUCCAACCGUCACCCUCUNNNNNNNNNNNNNNNNNNNNNNNNNNNNNNNNNNNNNNNNNNNNNNNNNNNNNNNNNNNNNNNNNNNNNNNNNNNNNNNNNNNNNNNNNNNNNNNNNNNNNNNNNNNNNNNNNNNNNNNNNNNNNNNNNNNNNNNNNNNNNNNNNNNNNNNNNNNNNNNNNNNNNNNNNNNNNNNNNNNNNNNNNNNNNNNNNNNNNNNNNNNNNNNNNNNNNNNNNNNNNNNNNNNNNNNNNNNNNNNNNNNNNNNNNNNNNNNNNNNNNNNNNNNNNNNNNNNNNNNNNNNNNNNNNNNNNNNNNNNNNNNNNNNNNNNNNNNNNNNNNNNNNNNNNNNNNNNNNNNNNNNNNNNNNNNNNNNNNNNNNNNNNNNNNNNNNNNNNNNNNNNNNNNNNNNNNNNNNNNNNNNNNNNNNNNNNNNNNNNNNNNNNNNNNNNNNNNNNNNNNNNNNNNNNNNNNNNNNNNNNNNNNNNNNNNNNNNNNNNNNNNNNNNNNNNNNNNNNNNNCAUUUUUAUUUUAAAUUGGCCCUAAUAUUUUACGAUUAAUUCAAUUUAGUCCCGAUGGCCCUUAUAAAGUUUACUCUGGGAACGACGUCGUUUUUGGGAUUAGGGCUAAUUGCCCAGUGAGUCCCUUGGUUUUAGUGCGUGUUUCAAUUGGGUCUAAAAUUCUUUUGAAAUUAACCCUAAAAGUUUUAUUCUUAUUUCAUUUUAAUCCUUUUUUAAAUUUUUUUAUAUAAUUUAUCUAUUUUAAAUAUUUUUAUAUUAUUUAUUUUCACUACAAACAUUAUUAUAUAAAAAUUAUUAUAUAUAUAUUUUUUAAUUAGACAUUUAUUUAUACGCUUUAUCAUAUAUAUUAUAUUAUUUUAAUAUAUAUUUUAUUCAUUAUAUCAUUUUCAUUAUAUAUUAUAUUUUUAUUUAUUUAUUACUAUGUACAAUUUUUUCUAAAAUUUUAACUAAUAUUAAAUAAUAUAUAUAUCAUUAUUAAAUAUUUAGUAUUUAAUAUUCUAAAACUUAUUAUAAAACUUUGUUCCUAUUCAACAUAUUAUUAUUUUUAUAAAUAUAUAUAUUAAACCGCUACAUUAUAUAGUAUUUUUUUAAAAAAAUUAUCCUUUAUUAUUUUUAUAUUGUUUUAAAUUUUUAUUUGUAUGUAAUCUUAUCUUUUUCUUUUCUUCUGACUUUUGUUAUAUAUUCCUAACUUAUUUAUUUUUAUACUAUUUUGUGUUUAUUUAGUAUUAUUUUAAUAUGUUAAUUGUAUCUUAUGAAUUACUUUUUAUUCUUAUUUCAUUUAUUAUUUUAUAUAUUUGCAUGGAAGUUUAUGUUGUUAUUUUAAGUUAUAUCCGCAUGAAAUAUUGUUGUAUAUUAUGUAAUUUGUAUUGUUCUAUUCAUUAUUCUUUAUGUUGUAUUUUGCAUGGAAUGAUAAUGUAUGUAUAUUUACGUUAUUUACGUUAUUUACAAUUAUAUAUGCAUGAAAUGUUAAUGUAUACUAUGUUAUUUACAUCAUUAUUUAUCAUUUUCCAUACUAUAUUUACAUGAAAUGUUAAAGUAUGAAUCAGGUAACUUAGUUUACUUAAUAUUGAUCCUUUGUAAUACGUUAAAUACAUCAUUACUUUUAAAAAAAUUAUAUCUCAUUUAAUCCAAAAGAAUUUUAAAAAGAGAGGCAAUGUCUUUGCUAUUUAGGAAUUCGGGAAGUAGUGCCUUAACAUGCUGGGUUGCGAUUUCUCGUCUGCCUAAAUGUCUAAAGUAUCCUUCUAAAUAGAUUUUGUAAAUCACGAGAUGAUUUCAAUUUUGAAAGAUUUAGAAUAUCGUGUCCAAUCAUGCUGGAUGUGAUGUUUGUACUCUUUUGGAGUGAAAGAACCUCGAUUUUCAGCAAAUUAUUAUAGCUUUAAAAAGGGAUCUUAUUUCUAAAUUCUUUCAAACUUUUGACAUCAAGACAGAAAAAUAAUUUGGUACCAGUUUUGGGCGUUGCAAGGGUGCUAAUCCUUCCUUGCAUGUAAUCGACUCUCGAACCCAUCUUCUCAUGUUUUCGUAGACCAAAAUGUUUUAUAAGGUGAUCUAAUCACACCUAAAAGGUUGGUGGCGACUCCCGUUUUUCAAAAAUCUCAUUUUUAAAAAGGAGGUUUCGACAGCUUGGCGACUCCACUGGGGACCAAUAAGAGAGUCAAGCCAAGAAAUUGAUUAUUUUCUAUCUUAAUGUUGGAAGUUUGGAAACUUUUACAUAUAUUGAUCUUUUUAUAUGUGUUUGCUGCAGAUGUUUGUUAUCUUGUUUUCGCACACAUUGCAUUUGUAUGACCGCUGUGGUCGCACCCUUAAGUGGGAGUGAGAAGCUACGCUUUCGUGAGGUUUUCACCUCCGUAUGGGCUAGUGGAUUACUUUCAGGAUACAUCUGUACCUAUGUCUUCGUGAGAUUUUCAUCUCCAUAUGGCCAUAGGGAAAUGUGUUCCCUUGAACCGAACUUGGUACAUAUGAGCCUAUAAUGGGUGAGGACCGAGGAAUCUACUGGUUCAGGUACCCUCGCUUUAGAACUGAAACGCAUAUAAUGAACUUUAAGUGCUUACCCUAGGGAGUAUAGUGAUAGCCUUUAGUAAGCUACCUUUAUAAGUGUUUGUUUAUUAUACGUUUAUAUAUGAUACUGACUUAUUUUAUUUUUUUAUCAUUGCAUGUCACUCAAUAUUUAAAAGUAUCGAUUCACGGUACGAUUUCUAGAUUAGAAAGUUUUGUAAUGAGGAACGAAUAUCUUGAUAAAGUGGAGGACAAAGUGGAGGACAAUGCUUCUGUCUGUGCAUGGUCAGAAAAAAGCCAAUUAAAGAAAGGAGAUAGUGUCACUGAGGGGUAUACAUCAGAGUUGUGGGACUUCACUCGUAUCAGUUCAACACAGAAUGAGUUUCAGGAGUUGAAGGACAUUUGGGUCCAAUAGAAUGACGAGGCUAAGCAGCUGUUCUACCAGAAUUAUGGAGAUCUUCCCUAUUUGCUAGACAUCAAGGUGGAUAAGCAUCUGUUUCUAGUUAUGGUACAAUUUUGGAACCCUGCUUAUAGUUGUUUUACAUUUGGAGAGGUAGACUCAGUACCUACUUUGGAGGAGUAUACGACCUUACUUCGCUGUCCAAAAAUUCAAGGUAACAAAGCUUAUGUUAGGGCUAUUAAUCCCCCAACUUUCGUGAAGAAAUUAAUGAUGAUUACAGGGGUGAGUGAACAGUGGGCCGCAGCUCGAGUCCAACAAAAUGGUGAUAGUAAAUGCAUUCCGUGGGCAAGUUUGAGGGAUUUGAUAUUGGCACACCCAGAUGUGAAGAAAAUGGUUGAUAUCUUGGCCUAAAGUAUGUAUGGUUUGGUGAUUUUCCCAAAAGCUAUGGGGAACAUAGAUGAGGCAGUUGCAGAUUUAUUCGAUCGACUUAGUAAACAGAAUACACCUGUACCUGCAAUCCUAGCUGAGACGUUUAGAUCCUUGAGCCCAUGUCGAAAAGCUGGUGAAGGUAGAUUCAUUGGAUGUGCACAGUUGUUGUUAGUAUAGUUCCACAAUCACUUUUGGAAAGUUGAUAAGGUUCCCUGCCGAAUGUUCUCUAAGGAUUAUUCUCCCUUAAGGAAAGUAGCAGUUACACUAGGGAGGGACGACAUUACAGAGGAAAGGUAGAUAGAAAUACUUCAGAAUCUCCGAGAGGAAGAUGUAAUGUGGAUAGCCUCUUGGAUGGCUCCUAAUGAAGUCCUUUAUCGUUGUGGAAAUUUUGAUUAGGUACUUCUUCCUGGAAUUUGGGAAGUUGUUGGUUAUGCACCAUUACUCGUCCUAAGGCAAUACAAAGCGGGGCAGUUUAUACCGGCAACACAAGGGUUAGCCCAGAGUGAUUUCUCAUAUAAUGGGGAUCAUUAUAAGAAGAAGAUGCGAGAGAUUUCUGAGGCCUGAAAGAAAAUUUAUUGUGUGAAGAUUCUGACUGAAGGUCUGACGGCGACCCUUGAGUACAAAGAGUGGUUUAGCAACAGAAUCAAUGAUAACAUCCCUAGACCGAGUUUGGGAGCUUCCCGAUCGAUGGAGGAGAGUUUACGAGUGAUUUCAUCAGAGUUAGAAGUUAUAAAACAAGAGUUUGGAAGGAAGAAUUUGGAGCUCAAGAGAAAGAUAGAGAAGCUUGAGGAGGAGAAGAUGUACCUGAGUUUAAACGUCGACGUUCAUAGAAUUGAGGUCGAAAAAGAGAGGAAAGAAAAGAGGAAGAUUGAGGAAGACCGAGAUGACUUGAAGACGCAAUAUAAGAGGAUACAGUUAUCAAUGAAAAGAGCUGGGUUGGGGAAGUCUUUAGAGCAGUGGCAACAAGAGGUUCAAGAAGAAAGAGCCAAAGCCGAAUAUUGGGAGAAGAAGUUUCAAGAGAUACAGUCGCGUAAUCAGGCCCUAGAGAAGGAGAAUCAAGGAUUAAAAACUAAGGUAACUGAGCUUGGAUGAUCUCUUCAUCAUCACCGAAGUUGUAACUCUGCGGUCGAGUUAAAGGCAAGCCUGGAUACGAUCGAGGAAAUGAAGCACAAUAUUGGAGGGUUGGAAGCAGCAUUACAGAACUGUGAGCUAUAGAUUGAGCAACUCAAGGCAAGAGAAGAACAUUGGAAGGGAGAGCUUCACCAUUUUCAAGAUCAAGUCAGAGAUAGGGACUAUAUCAUGGGAGAAGCUAUAGUACAGAUUUGAGAGGUUGCGGAUCAUUUGCAAGACCUAGCAGUGCAAGCUAAUGUAUUGAGUACAAAGUAUGAGUUAGUGCCAGAUAGAGGUCUAGAGUUAGCCUUGUUAUUGGAUAGAGUUAAAAGUAUGGGCCUAAAGGCAAAGACGUAUUUGUAAUCCGUUUUGUGUAAAGAUUUUUGUUUCUUAAAUAACGUUUUCUAAAAGAAACUGAAUCAGAAUCGAUAUCUUUUUACAUUCAUGCAUUUGCAUCUCAUCGCAUCAUAUGCAUUCAAAUUUAUAGAAAGACCCUAAUUAGUUAAAAUUAUUAAGGAGAAAGAGAGACUGAGAAAAAGAAAAUCUAAAAGCAACAUAUCCUUACGGUACAUGCACUAAGACAAAGAAUAUGGAUCAAAGACUUGAGUAGAUAUAGAAAGAAAUGCAAGAGCAAUUACAGGAACAAUUGGGGAAAAUCCACCAGGAGAUGAAGGAUCAAAUGGUAGAGGCUCAAAGGAAUAUGAUGGUUGAGAUGGCUCAGCUACUGAGGGGGGCAACGGAUAAAGGAAAGGCCCCUAUGACUACCACUGAAGAGGAUAACGAGGAUCAUCCUCCUCGUUUUACUCCACCUCAUGUGCAGACUCAACCUGAGGCAUAUCCCCGAAGGCCGUUCAUCACAAUAAGGCCUCAACAGGGGCAAGUCGAUGCUAGAAUGCCCAUGAACUUUCAAACUGGUUCGAGAUUCAACCCUGGAGAUUACCCUACCAAUCCAGUCAUCCCUGAUUUAGAUGUAGCUGAGAGAGAAGAUAUGAGGCUCAAAUCAUCAAGGCAAUUAAAGGAACGUUACAGAUGGUUAGAGGAGAAAUUUAAGGCAUUAGAAAAUGCUGAUAAUCAUCAAGGAAUUGAUGCCAAAGACUUGAGUUUGGUCCCAGAUUUGGUACUUCCUCAUAAGUUCAAGAUGCCAGAAUUUGAGAAGUACAAUGGGACUACUUGCCCUGAGGCUCGUAUCACCAUGUUCUGUAGACGGAUGACUGGCUAUGUAAACAAUGAUCAAUUAUUGAUCCAUUAUUUUCAAGAUAGUUUGGUUGGGGCAACGGCUAGAUGGUACAAUCAAUUGAGUCGCGCAAGGAUUGGUUCUUGGAGAGACUUAACGCAAGCCUUUAUGCAGUAAUAUAAUCAUGUGAUUGACAUGAUUCCUGAUAGAAUCACUUUGCAAAAUAUGGAAAAGAAGCCUAAUGAGCUUUAGGCAAUAUGCACAAAGGUGGAGGGAGGUUGCCAUGGAAGUUCAACCACCGCUCUUGGAGAAAGAAACUACCAUGUUUUUCAUUAACACUUUGAAGGCCCCAUUCAUUACUCACAUGAUUGGAAGUACCACCAAGAGUUUUACUGAUAUAGUUAUGGCGGGAGAAAUGAUUGAGAACGCCAUAAGGGGUGGUAAGAUAGAGGGGGAAACUGUUAAAAGAUCGGCCCCAAGAAGGAAAUAUAAUAAUGUGAACAAUGCGAGUAGUUAUAAUUCAAAAGCAAUUACUGUUAGUCAAUCAAGAGCAACUACGGUUGGGCAACAGGAUUCCCAAAAGUAGGAAUCUGGUUCGAGACAAAAUUCUGAAAAGGUCUCAUUUACACCUAUCCCGGUGACGUAUCGAGAGCUUUAUCAAAGUCUAUUUAAUGCGCAUGUAAUAGCUCUUUUUCAUUUGAAACCACUGCAAUCCCUAUAUCCCAAAUGGUACGAUGCAAAUGCCAAAUGUGAAUACCAUGCAGGGAUAUUAGGGCACUCAAUCGAAAAUUACACUGGCUUUAAAAAAGUAGUGGAAAGACUGGUCAAGAUGGAGGUCGUAAAAUUCGACGACACUCCUAGUACAGAGAACCCAUUGCCAAACCAUGGUGAUCAAGGGGUAAAUGCAAUUGGGGACACUAAUAUGGGAAGGAUCAAAGAGGAUGUGGCUGAGAUAAGAAUGCCGAUGAAAGUAAUCUGGGAAGAAAUGGUGAAAAGAGAAAUGAUAAUCUCUGAGGAGGGAAAUAGAGGAGUGAGGGAUUACUGCGAGAUCCAUGCAGAAAAGGGACAUGAGAUCCAGGAAUGUGACGAGUUUAAGGCCUUAAUACAAAGCCUUAUGGAUAAUAAAGAGCUAGAAUUUUAUGAAGCUGGCUCAGAUGAGGGUUAUGUAUGCACAUUGGAAGGGGAACCCAAGAAUCGAAGAAUCAACCGACCAAGGAUCAUUAUUUCCCUACCAAUGAGUAAUAAAAUUGAGACACAAACAGCGCCAAAAGUCAUUAUUCACAAACCCGUUUCCUUUCCUUAUAAGGAUAACAAAAGGGUACCCUGGAAUUAUGACUGUAAUGUGACAAUACCAGAGAGAGAAAAUAUAGCUAGUACUUCUAAGGAGGCUCAAGUUUAAGGAUUCUACACACGUAGUGGGAAGCAUUAUGAUGCAAAAGGCAUCAGAAUUAAGCCUAGGAAAGUGAAAGCCUUUGACGUUGAGAAGGAGAAUAAGGCUGAGGUACUUAUUAAUGAGCCAAUGAAGGAAGAAGAAGCUAGAGAGUUUCUAAAAUUCCUGAAACACAGUGAGUACAACGUAGUUGAGCAAUUGCGCAAACAACCAGCUCGUAUAUCAGUAUUGGCUUUGCUUCUGAGUUUAGAGGUACAUCAUGAGGUGUUAAUGAAGGUGCUCAACAAAACUUAUGUUAUUAAUGAUAUAUCCGUCAACAAGUUAGAUCGAUUGGUUAGUAACAUAAGUGCUGACAAUUUCAUUUAUUUCAAUGAUAAUGAAAUCCCACCUGGAGGUAUGGGAUCAGCUAAGGCUUUGCACAUUACCACUCCGUACAAAGGAUAUACAUUUCCGAGUGUGCUUAUUGAUAAUGAGUCAGCCUUAAAUGUCAUGCCAUUGUCCACAUUGAACAGAUUAUCCAUAGACAGUUCUCACAUGAAAACAUGCCAUAAUGUAGUGAGUGCAUUCGGUGGCACAAAGAGGAAGGUUAUGGGAAGAAUUGAUAUUCAUUUGAUUAUUGGGCCAAACACGUAUGAGGUGGACUUUUUAGUAAUGGACAUCAAACCCUCAUACAAUUGCCUGAUGGGGAGGCCUUGGAUACAUUCGGUAGGAGCGGUGCCCUCAUCUUUGCACCAGAAAUUGAAGUUAGUAGCGAACGGAUGGUUGGUCACCAUAAAUGCGGAGGAAGACAUCAAUUACCAGUGACACACCCUAUGUAGAGGCAAAUGAGGAGGCCAUUGAGUGCUCUUUUCGUUCCUUAUAAUUCAUUAAUGCAACAUUCAUUUCAGAGGGGAAUGAGAUGCCGGUGCCUAGAAUAUCUAGAACCACAAGAAUGGGUUUACAGCUAACAAUAGGGAGAGGAGCCUUGCCAGGAAAAGGAUUGGGAAGAUAUCUUCAAGGAGGGAUUCAAAUUCUAGAACUAAAGGAGAAGAGAGACCAUUUUGGCUUGGGUUUUAGGCCAGAUCACAAGCAGAGAAGGAAGGAAAUAGAAAAGCGUCAAGAAAGAAGAAGGGCGCGUUUAAGUGGAAGAGAAGUAGAGUGGGAAUGGUUGACGUUCCCUCAGAUAUCCCAAACCUUUAUAUCAGGAGGGAUAAUUUACCGUGAGAGAAGGUUGCUCGAAAAAGGAAGUUAUCACAUCAAUGUUGUACAUAAUGAAGAGUCUGAACGAAGAAACCUUGAGGGCACUCGCCCUUAUGAACCGGGAAGCUCUUUAAACAAUUGGAUUGCAAAAGAACUUCCUGUAAUUUUUAAAGACUUUUUAGAGUAAUUUUCAGAACACUCUUGUUGCUCUAGAGCCUAGGAGUAAUAAGAUUUCGUUUGUAAAAUAGGCUUAUGUUCGGAUAUUGGCAUUUCAAUAAAACACGACUUUUGUUAUCAAUCCAAGUGAAUAUUCUUUUAUACCGAUUAAUAUUCUUUUGACCUUUUAAAUUCUUUCAAUUUUUUUUUUCAUUUCAUAUGUAACACAUAAAUAAACAUUCUUAAAAUUCAUUCAUUCUUUGUACAUUCUUUCGUACCCCGCAGGUCCCUAGAUAUCAAUGACAUGAGCACUGAUACUACAAAUCCUGAAUUCUCUUUUGAGUAAGACAUAUGUUUAGAAGAGCCUCAGGAUUUCGAGGAUGACGAGAAUUGUGAUGUGUCUCCAAAUCUGUUGAGAAUGGUGAAACAAGAGGAGAAACAAAUCCUACCCCGUAAGAAAGAGGCAAUAGAGAAUGUAAUCUUGGAAGAAGGAAAAGAGGUGAAAAUAGGGACACAAAUUGCAAAGGGAACGAGACAAGGUCUUGUUGAGCUACUACGUGAAUUCAAAGAUAUCUUUUCAUGGUCAUAUGAGGAUAUGCCAGGUUUGAAUACUGAUAUCGCGGUACAUCGUCUUCCCAUAAGACAAGGUUGCAAGCCAGUCCAACAAAAAUUGCGAAGGAUGAGGCCUGAUAUUGUGCUGAAAAUAAAAGAUGAAGUCAAGAAGCAGUUUGAUGCUGGAUUCCUACAAGAGGUUAAGUAUUCAAAAUGUGUGGCUAACAUUGUACCUGUCCCUAAGAAGGAUGGAAAGGUACGAAUGUGUGUUGAUUACAGAUAUCUGAACAAAGCUAGCCCAAAGGAAAAUUUUCCUUUACCGCACAUCGACACUUUGGUGGACAAUACAGCGAGAUAUUCAUUGUUUUCUUUUAUGGAUGGCUUCUCAAGGUACAAUCAGAUAAAGAUGCAUCCUGAGGACAUGGAUAAAACUACCUUUAUAACAUUAUGGGGCACCUUUUGUUACAAGGUAAUGCCCUUCGGGCUAAAGAAUGCAGGAGCAACAUACCAAAGGGCUAUGGUAACUUUAUUUCAUGAUAUGAUGCACAAAGAGAUUAGGUGUAUGUUGAUUAUAUGAUUGCCAAAUAUUGAACAGAGAAGGAACAUAUUGAAGUCUUGAGGAAGUUGUUUCUGAGAUUAAGGAAGUUUCAGUUAAAGCUUAAUCCGGUAAAGUGCACCUUCAAAGCUAGGUGGGGGAAAUUAUUGGGCUUUGUGGUCAGCGAAAAGGGAAUAGAAGUUGACUCAAACAAAGUUAGAGUCAUACGAGAUUUGCCUUCACCACGUACUCAGAAGGAAGUUCGGGGUUUUCUUGGAAGGUUGAAUUAUAUUGCUCGUUUUAUUUCACAAUUAACAGAGAAAUGUGAUCCUAUAUUUCGCCUCCUUAGAAAACACAACCAAGGUACUUGGGAUGAGGAAUGCCAGAAUGCCUUUGAUAAAGUCAAACAAUACUUGUUAAAAGCUCCAGUAUUAUCUCCACCUAGUCCAGAUAGACCAUUAAUUCUGUACUUGUCGGUAUUUAGUAAUUCUAUGGAAUGUGUGCUUGGUCAACAUGAUGAGUCAGGAAGAAAAGAGAGAGCUAUAUAUUACCUUAGUAUGAAAUUCACAGUGUGAAAUGAGAUAUUCACCAAUUGAAAAGUUGUGUUGUACUUUGAUUUGGACAACUCGAAGAUUGAGACAAUAUAUGCUAUAUCAUACGACUUGGCUAAUUUCAAAACUUGAUCCAUUAAAGUACAUUAUGGAGUCAACAGCCCUAAAUGGAAGAAUGGCAAGGUAGCAAGUAUUGCUUUCAGAAUUUGAUAUAAUCUAUGUGAGUCAAAAAGCUAUAAAAAGAAGCACGAUAGUAGAAUUUCUAGCUGGCAGAGCGUUAGAAGAUUAUGAGCCAUUGAGCUUUGAUUUCCCUAAUGAGGAGUUGAUGUAUGUGGCAGCUAUUGAAGAAUAUCCAUGGAAGUUGAACUUCGACGGCGCAUCUAACACGGUAGAAAAUGGAAUUGGGGCAGUCUUGGUAUCCCCAAAUGGUGAUCAUCAUCCAUUUACAUGUAAAUUGGAUUUUGAUUGUACGAACAACAUGGUCGAAUAUGAAGCAUGCAUCAUGGGGAUCCGAGCAGCCAAAGAGCGAAAAAUUAGAACCUUGGAAGUAUAUGGAGACUCUGCGUUGGUAAUUUACCAGCUUAGGGGUGAAUGGAGACAAAGGAUCCCAAACUGAUUAAUUAUCGAAAGGUAGUUUCAGAGUUACUUAAAGAGUUCGAUAAUGUCACUUUCAGUUAUCUCUCACGGGACAAAAAUCAGAUGGCAGAUGCUUUGGCAACAUUGGCUUCCAUGAUCAAAGCAAAUAAACAAGAGGAUGUGAAACCAAUUCAGAUGAGCAUUUCUAAGGUUCCAGCUCAUUUUUGUAAUAUCGAAUAAGAGAAAAAGGAUGACUAUCCUUGGUAUCAGGAUAUAUUACGGUAUGUGAGAAAUCGUGAAUAUCCUGAGCAGGCAACUAAAAACGACAAAAGAACUUUGAGGAGGUUAGCCUGCGAAUAUGUGCUAGAUGGGGACAUCCUUUAUAAAAGAAAGAAAGAUCAGGUACUUUUGAGAUACGUUGAUGUUGUAGGAGCUAGACAAAUCCUGGAAGAAGUACAUGAAGGAGUUUGUGGUACACAUGCUAAUGGCUUUACGAUGGCAAGACAAAUCAUGAGGUUUAGAUUCUAUUGGUCUACUAUGGAAGGAGAUUGUAUCAGUUAUGCUAAGAAAUGUCACAAAUACCUGAUAUAUGGGGACAAGAUCCAUGUACCACCUUCACCCUUACAUGUUAUGACUUCUCCAUGGCCCUUUUCCAUGUGGGGCAUAGAUGUCAUUAGGCCAAUAUCACCAAAAGCUUCGAAUGGGCAUCGUUUCAUUUUCGUGGUUAUUGACUACGUCACAAAAUGGGUAGAGGCAGCUUCAUAUGCUAGUGUUACCAAGUCGACAGUGAGUCGAUUCUUGAAAAAGGAGAUUACUUGUCGGUAUGAAAUGCCUAAGAGGAUCAUAUUGGAUAAUGCAUUGAACUUGAAUAACAGCAUGAUUGCGAAAGUUUGCAGUCAAUUCAAGAUCAAACAUCAUAAUUCAUCUCCAUAUCACCCAAAAAUGAAUGGGGCAGUGGAAGCUGCCAACAAAAACAUCAAGAAGAUAGUGGGGAAAAUGACUGAAACUUACAGAGAUUGGCAUGAGAAAUUACCAUUUGCACUCUUUGCCUAUCGAACGUCCGUUGGAACCUCUACUGGGGCAACUCCUUUCUCGUUGGUUUAUGGGAUGGAGGCAGUGUUACCCAUUGAAGUAGAAAUACAUUCUCUUUGAAUUUUGUCAGGGAUAAAGCUGGAUGAAGCAGAAUGGAUUCAAUCGCGGUAUGACCAAUUGAACUUGAUUGAAGAAAAGAGGCUAAGAGCUAUUCGCUAUGGUCAGAUGUAUUAGAAGCGAAUGAUGCAAGCCUAUGACAAGAAAGUUCAUCCAAGAAAAUUCCACGAAGGAGACCUUGUAUUGAAAAAGAUUCUUCCCAUACAGAAGGACUUUAGAGGGAAAUGGAUGUCGAAUUGGGAAGGGCCGUAUGUUGUGAAAAAGGCUUUCUCUAGAGAUGCACUAAUUUUGACAGAAAUGGAUGGGAAAAGUUUGCCCAAUCUAGUGAAUUCAGACUCAGUCAAGAAAUACUUUGUCUAAAGGGAAGGGAAGACAAGGUGAAAACCCGCAAAGGGCGUUUUGAGGUUUCUAAAAAAAAUGGAGAGGCCAAGGUAAAAACCCGCAAAGGGCGCCUUGAGUCCAAAAGGGUUUUGAGUUGAAAACCCGAAAGGCUGCUCAAAUUUUGAGAAGUAUGUAGUGACCUUGCUAUACCAGAUUUAAGGAGAAGUGGAGUGUGUUACAUACUAGGGCAUCAACAAAGUACUUUGGAUAUUCUAAACACAUAUUAAACUCAAAACAGUUUUUAUGAAAUUUGUAUACAGAAGCCCAAGCUGCGAUAUGUUGGACAUCGAAUUUUUGUUCUCUUUACUAUCUUUGGAUUCUUUUUCUUCUCAAAGAUAUGUUUUCAGAUUAAUUUCCUAUUGAAUUCUGAUGAUUUAUUUAACUAUUCUCAAGAUUAAAUUAUUUGUCUUCCAUUAUUCAUAAAGUGCGUUGCAUUGAAAUAAUGAUUGAUGAACUAAAUAUUUUUACAAAUGAAGUUUUGCAUAUUACUCUGGAAAUCUCUAGAGAAUACAAGAAACUAAAAUAGAACAAUUGUUUGAAGAAUUCCCAUGAGUGAGGGUCGGAGGUAUUCAAGAAAAUUUCUUCAGUUCAAAGGAUAAUUGGGCAAUUCAAAUGAUUCAAUCUUAGGAGAGGAUCGUCUCCAGCAGGUCGUAACGUUCGGAGAAUGGUACAAUAGGACCAAUCUGAUUCAAAACACAUGAGCAGAGUAUGAUUGAUACUGUGAGUAAAAUAAAGGUGGAAUUUUGAUGGAUGAACGAGUAAAGACGUCCGAAAUAGGAAUCAUUCUCAUAACAUUUUGCAUUAUAAUAUGUCUAUUUAGGAGCAUUUGACUCAUUUCGAUCAUGUCACCUUAAUCAUCGGGCAUGAGCACAUAUGCAUUCUACAGGUUACGCCCUUUAAGGGACAAUAUAAAUUACCGAUAGCAGAUUUGGCGUCUUUGUAUUGUCAGAGAGCAGAUCGAAGAUAACAGGUUUGGUGUCUCUGUAUUGCUAAAGAGUAAAUCGAAGAUAACAGGUUUGGCGUCUCUGUAUUAUCAAGGAGCAGAUCGAAGAUAGUAGAUUUGACAUCUCUGUAUGGUCAGAAAGCAGAUCACCAAUAGCAGAUUUGGCGUCUCUAUAUUGGCAGAGAGCAGAUGAAAGAUAGUAGGUUUGGCGUCUCUGUAUUGUCAGAGAGCAGAUCGAAGAUAGCAGAUUUGGCAUUUCUGUAUUGUCAGAGAGCAGAUCGAAGAUAGUAGAUUUGGCAUCUCUAUAUUGUCAAAGAGCAGAUCGAAGAUAGUAGAUUUGGCGUCUCUGUUUGUCAGAGAGCAGAUCGAAGAUAGCAGAUUUGGCGUCUCUGUAUUGUCAGAGAGCAGAUCGAAGUUAGCAGGUUUGGCGUCUCUGUAUUGUCAGAGAGCAGAUCGAAGAUAGUAGAUUUGGCGUCUCUGUAUUGUCAAAGAGCAGAUCGAAGAAAGCACAUAUAGCAUUUCUGUAUUGACAGAAAGUAGAUCAAAGAAAGCACAUAUAGCAUUUCUGUAUUGACAGAAAGUAGAUCAAAGAUAGCUGAUUUGGUGUCUCUGUAUUAGGCGGGGUGCAAAUCAAAGACAUCAGCAUGGCGUCCCUGAGUUUGUGGAAAACAGAUUGAGGAUCAUGAGGUCAGGAUCCGAUAAGACCAGGGCAAAUUUGGUCCUUUUAUAAUCUUUGCUCUAUUCCUAUUACACAGUAAUAAGCAAAGAGGGGUAGCUGUAAUAGCCCAAAUUUUCCCGGGCCCUUGAAAUAGAAUAAAAUAAUAAAAAAUAAUAAAAUAAAUUUAAUUUUUGUAAUGUCCAGUUUACAGUAAAUGGGCCUAAAGACUUGAUGACCCAAGACCCAAUUAGCCUAAGAAUCCAAGUGCCCAUUACACCCUCAACCCAAAAAAAACAUACGGGGCCCAAGAGGCCCAAACCAUAAACUAAGGACAGAAGACCUAGGGUUUCAAAAACCCUAGGCACCGCAUGCACUCCAACCGUCACCUUCCAUCGACGCCUCCAUCAGUGCCGUGAUUCCAGGCUCCAUAUCACGCCGUGAUCAGCUCGUGAAUCAAUGCCAUUGUGCCAUCAUCAGUGCCCGAUCAUCGCUAGUCUCCUCGUUGUCACCUGCAAAAGGGGAAAGAAGAAAUAGCAGAAGCAAUACAAAAUAUGGCAAGAAAUAAAUAUUGUAAAUAUGGUUUUAUUUUCAGUGGCUAUAAAAGCCGAAUUGAGAACGAUGUAAAACUACGUUUUUUUUUUUUGGAUAUACACGCAUAUACAAUAAAAGACAAAACAGUUGAUUGAACAGAGGUGAUUAUUCUACUCUCUUUUAUUUCUUUUCUAUAAAUAUAUACAAAUAUUGAAAAAUAAAAGAAACAGAACCUACCUUUGUGAAAAACGAAGCUUUCCAGCUUCUGAUCGCCGUAAAGAGCGGUGUUGACGGUGGCGCGUCGGCGCGUGUAAGCCCCUGGACAGAGCCUCGACAAAGCUCCGAGGGUCGAUUCUCAACCCUCUUUCAGAGGAUUUUUUUUGUUUUUUUAGAAUCGGGUUUAAAAUGAAAUUUUAGGUUAAAAUUUGGCCUAUAUAGCCUUAUGAAAAUGGUGUCGUUUUUGCUUAAAACAAUAAGCUCCAAAACGGCGUCGUUUCAAAGCUUAAGAUCUGCGUGUAAUAUCCGCGUGUUUUAAUUUUAAGGGCAAAAUACAAUAUCGAUCCUUCCGCAUUUUUAAAAUUUACAAUUCCAUUUUAUUUUUAUUUUAAAUUAGCCCUAAUCUUUUACGAUUAAUUCAAUUUAGUCCCGAUAGCCCUUAUAAAGUUUACUAUGGAAACGACGUCGUUUUUGGGAUUAAGGCUAAUUGCCUAGUGAGUCCCUUGGUUUUAGCGCGUGUUUCAAUUGGGUUUAAAAUUCUUUUGAAAUUAACCCUAAAAGUUUUAUUCUUAUUUCAUUUUAAUCAUUUUUUAAAUUUUUUUAUAUAAUUUAUCUAUUUUAAAUAUUUUUAUAUUAUUUAUUUUCACUACAAACAUUAUUAUAUAAAAAUUAUUAUAUAUAUUUUUUAAUUAGACAUUUAUUUAUACGCUUUAUCAUAUAUAUAUAUUAUUUUAAUAUAUAUUUUAUUCAUUAUAUCAUUUUCAUUAUAUAUUAUAUUAUUAUUUAUUUAUUACUAUGUACAACUUUUUCUAAAAUUUUAACUAAUAUUAAAUAAUAUAUUUAUCAUUAUUAAAUAUUUAGUAUUUAAUAUUCUAAAACUUAUUAUAAAAUUUUAUUCCUAUUCAACAUAUUAUUAUUUUUAUAAAUAUAUAUUAAACCGCUACAUUAUAUAGUAUAUUUUUUAAAAAAAAUUAUCAUUUAUUAUUUUUAUAUUGUUUUAAAUUUUUAUUUGUAUUUAAUCUUAUCUUUUUCUUUUCUUCUGACUUUUGUUAUAUAUUCCUAACUUAUUUAUUUUUAUACUAUUUUGUGUAUAUUUAGUAUUAUUUUAAUAUGAUAAUUGUAUCUUAUGAAUUACUUGUUAUUCCUAUUUCAUUUAUUAUUUUGUAUAUUUGCAUGGAAGUUUAUGUUGUUAUUUUAAGUUAUAUUUGCAUGAAAUGUUGUUGUAUAUUAUGUAAUUUGUAUUGUUCUAUUCAUUAUUCUUUAUGUUGUAUUUUGCAUGAAAUGAUAAUGUAUGUAUAUUUACGUUAUUUACAGUUAUAUAUGCAUGAAAUGUUAAUGUAUACUAUGUGAUUUACGUCAUUAUUUAUCAUUUUCCACACUAUAUUUACAUGAAAUGUUAAAGUACGAAUCAGGUAACUUAGUUUACUUAAUAUUAAUCCUUUGUAAUACGUUAAAUACAUCAUUACUUUUAAAAAAAUUAUAUCUAAUUUAAUCCAAAAGAAUUUUAAAAAGAUAUGCAAUGUUUUUGCUAUUUAGGAAUUCGGGAAGUAGUGCCCUAACAUGCUGGGUUGCGAUUUCCCGUCUGCCUAAGUGUCUAAAGUAUCCUUCUAAAUAGAUUUUGUAAAUCACGAGAUGAUUUCAAUUUUAAAAGAUUUAGAAUAUCGUGUCCAAUCAUGCUUGAUGUGAUGUUUGUACUCUUUUGGAGCGACAGAACCUCGAUUUUCAGCAAAUUAUUAUAGCUUUAAAAAGGGAUCUUAUUUCUAAAUUCUUUCAAACUUUUGACAUCAAGACAGAAAAAUAAUUUGGUACCAAUUUUGGGCGUUGCAAGGGUGCACGUAAUCGACUCCUGAACCCAUCUUCUCAUGUUUUCGUAGACCAAAAUGUUUUUGUAGCACCCCAAACUCGACCCAAAAGUUAUAGCCGGAUCCGGCAUGCCACAUUAAAAACGUUAAAAAAAAUUUCCAUUCUAAGUCCAGAAAAUCGUACUUGAUGUUCAAAAGAUUAAUUCAUUAAGGGUUAAACUGAAUGGAAGCUGUGCACCAGGUAGGAAACCGGAAAAGAGGUGGUGAGUCCAUCGGACUACUUAAGUACCAAGCUCCCUUCAGAUCCAAUCCUAGACAUGCAUACCACCAUUGCCACACCUUAACGUCAUGGAUAUUUCUAGGAAACCAAUUUGAUUAAGUCAUUUUUAGGAAAAGUGAUUAAUUUUGGAAAAUACUUUCAUUGCGGAAGCUUUGCUUGUUGUCGUGUUAUUUUGAAAUCAACUGUUGUUUUUGAAAACGCGCCCUAAAGCUAUCCAAUUUCAACAGUUAAAAUAAGUAUUACCUAUCUUAGUAAUACAUAUUAAAAACCAUCAAAAAUAAAUAAGCGGCCUUAUUACAUUUAAAAGCCCAAAACCUCAAACGUAAUUAAAAGGAUGUCCAGUUCACCAGAAGAAAAUCAAACUUUCAGAACGGGUGGCCACCUUGAAUUCCCUCACAGCUCCAAGCCCACUAUGGUCGGGGAUUACCUGCGUGGAUGAAAAUAAAAGGGAUGAGUUUGGGGAAACUCAGUGUGUAAAAUAACCCAACCAUAGUCUAAAUCAGCUCAACCCACAGAAAUAGAAUAAGUUGGCCUUAGCCCAGAACAGAAUUCAGAAUAAAGCCCAUAGGCCCAUAACAGAACAUAACAGAUAUUACAUGUUUAUGCAGAAACCCAACCAUAUCCAACCGUAUACACCCCCAUACCAACCUUACACCGUGUGGUGAGACAACUCGACCCACCCAAACCGAUACACACCACAGAAAUUUGCAGCAUGGCUUGCCAGAACAGAUAAUGUGACAGAGUCACCAGAUACAGAUAAUCGUGGCAGAGCCACCAGAACAGAUAUAUGUGGCAGAGCACCAGAUCAGAUAUUUGUUGCAUAGCUACCAGAACAUAUUGUGGCAUAGCUACCAGAACAGAUAUAUGUGGCAGAGCCACCAGAUCAGAUAAUUGUGGCAUAGCCACCAGGACGCUUCCUCCAUAAUAUAACCCAUGUCCCCAUGCAACAGAUAUAUAUAAUCAUGGAAAACAUCAUACGGAAUCAAAUCGCCAUGCUUUUCAGUCAAAAUUAACCCUACGGGUAUAACAGUAAUUUUGCAACUAGGGGUAUAACAGUAAUUUUCCAUACAUAGGGGUAUUAUAGUAAUUUAGCUACUUUUAGGGUUUUCAUGCAUAUCCUAACUAUUUACGUAUUAUCAGAACACUUACUGCGCAUACUUACCGAAUUGGGCCCGUUGGCCCAUGAACCCGAUCUUUGGCCCAUUAAGCCCAAAUUAUCAAAAUGUACGAAAUCGCGCGUACUGCAGUUUAUUACUUUAGAUUAUCAAAUAUACAAACCCAACUAUCUUACGAGCAUUCGCACACUCGCAAAUUCCCAAAAUACCGACUUUUCGGUAUUUCAGCUUUUCGGCUUUUGCCAAUCUAGUCUAUGAGAGGGUGUCAGUUACACACCUGUUUGCGACGAUAUGCUGACGAGAUCCACACACGAACCGCCUACAAUUGGAUUACUAACACGUUAAUCUAACUAUUCAAAUACAAACUACGUAUUAACCCCUUACAAUAUUCGGCCAACCACACCUACAGAUCAUAGUAAGCUUAUAAGAAAUCAAUAAGCAACUCAUUAACAAUUUUUUGUCAAUGUUUACCACAUAAUCAUAAUUUCACUGCAAGUUGUCUUCCUGAGCAAUAGUCACUAAAUUAUUUAUAACUGGAGCUACGAAACUCCAAAUCAAGUUCCGUUAAUUUUCCCUGAAAAUUGACUCAUAUAUAUUUUAUCCAUAAAAUUUUCAGAAUUUUUGGUUUAGCCAAUCAAUACCAGAUUUUCUCAAAGUUUCCCAUGUUUCACUAUUUGACUAAUCUGACCACUCUUCAUUAUGAAUCAAAUUUCUCAUUGUACAGAAUUCAAAAUAUGUUCUUGUUUAUUUCAUUAGAAACUAGACUCAAUAAGCUUUAAUUACAUAAUUUAUUUAGCUUCUAAUUGUUCUCCCACAAUUUAUGGUGAUUUUCCAAAGUCACGUUACUGCUGCUGUCCCAAGCAGAUUUAUUACCAAAUCACUCUUUCACACAUACCUUGCAUGCAUGUUAUUUAAACAUGUAUAUCACCAAUCAAUCAUUACAUAUCUAUGAUUUUACUUAAGUAUAAUCUCCAUUUCAUCAUUUUAAAGCACAACAUGUUAGCUGAUUUUUCCCUUUAACAUCUAAGGCACAUGCAUGCUCAUUUGUUUGGCUCAACUUCACCUAUCUUCCAUUUUUCAUCAAAAGAACAUGAAACAACAACCAUUUCCUUCAUUUUAAUUCAUGACUAAAUGCUCACAACACAACUAAAAAUCAAAAUAUACUUCAAGAGUUAAGGUAGAAUCAAGAAGAACUCAUGAACCUUAAAAUAGAAGCAAGGUACCAAGAACUUACCUUCAAUUUUCCUCCUCCUAAUGACCAAAUACUCAAGAGCUUUCUCCUCUCCUUUCUCUUCUCUAACUUUCAGCUAUGAUGAACAAAGAUGGACAAAACUUUGUUCUUUUCACCCUUUUUUCUUUUAAUAAAACUUCAUAUUUCAUCCAUUUAAUUCUAUAAUAUAAAAGACAUGAAAUUCUUAUCAUGAAACAUUUACCUAACCCAUUAUCAUGAAACAUUUACCUAACCCAUUAUCAUGGAACAUUUACCUAACCUAUUAUCAUUGAACCUUUACCUAACCUAUUAUCAAUUUGUAUCAAUUUGUACCAUAAAUUAUGGAUAUCAAGUGUACAUUUUGUCUACAACAACAUGAUGGCUGGCCACUUCAUGUAAAAUGAGAGGUUUGUCAUGCAAAUCCUCCUAUUUUGCACUCCUAUUUAUUUGGCCACUUCAAUUUAGCCUAUAACAUUUUCAAACAUUUUCACAUAGGUCCUAUUUCAGAAUUUCACCCCCUUUUUCUUAUGGAACAAAAAUUAAGUAAAAUUGUCAGGUUCUAUCUUAAGCUUGGGCUUUCUAGAGGCCCACUAACAUAAUUAAACCUAUGCCAACAUUCACAGGAUUCCCGAAAAUUGGGGCGUUACAACUCUACCCUCCUUAAAGAAAUUUUGUCCUCGAAAUUUACCUAAUCCAAACAGAUGAGGGUAUUGCUGUUGCAUCGUCUCUUCUGGUUCCCAAACUCAGAAGUUUCCCCUUCCUUAACUUGUUGAAAAUGAGCGACCAAAGACUCAUCGUUCAACUUUUUUUCCUUAAUCUGAUCCACCCAGGUUGGCCUCACUUGCAACUCAGCCAACAGACUUCCAUCAUCAUACAGACUCAGACGAGCAAACAUUGCUCUCAGAUCAGAUACAGUUCUACGACUUAGAGCAUCGGCUACCACAUUAGCCUUGCUUGGGUGGUACUCGAUCGAACAGUCAUAAUCCUUAAGCAACUCAAUCCAUCUCCUUUGCCUAAGGUUCAGCUCCUUCUGAGUCAACAAAUACUUAAGUCUCUUAUGGUCAGUGUAUAUAAUACACCUUUCUCCGUACAAGUAAUGUCUCCAAAUCUUAAGUGAAAAUAUCACUGCUGCCAACUCUAAAUCAUGAGUCAAAUAGUUUCCUUCAUGAGGCUUAAGCUGUCGUGAUGCAUAUGCAACCACCUUACCCUCUUGCAUUAACACGCAGCCCAAACCCACGUGUGAUGCGUCACUGUACACAGUAAAAUCAUUCCCAGACUCCGGCUAAAUUAACACAAGUGCUUCAGUCAGAACUUUCUUCAACUUCUCAAAAGCUUCUUGCUGCUUCUUAGUCCAUACAAACGAUACUCCUUUCCUUAUGAGUUUUUCAGAGGUACUGCCAUCACAGAAAAACCUUCUACAAACCUUCUGUAGUAUCCUGCCAGUCCUAGGAAACUCCGUAUUUCUGACACUGACCUAGGCGGCUUCCAUUCCAAAAUCGCUUCAAUUUUUUGAGGGUCCACUUUAAUCCCCUCAGCAGAGACCACAUGUCCUAAGAAAGUUACCUCCCUCAACCAAAAUUUACACUUGCUGAACUUCACAAAGAGUUCUUUCUCUAUUAAUACUUACAGCACUAUACAGAGAUGCUCAUCAUGUUUCGUUUUAGUUUCAGAAUAUACCAGGAUAUCGUCAAUAAAGACAACUACGAAUUGAUCUAAAAAUGGUUGGAACACAUGAUUCAUCAGAUCCAUAAACGCUGCAGGAGCGUUCGUUAGUCCAAAUGGCAUAACCAGAAACUCGUAAUGACCAUACCGAGUCCUGAAUGUCGUCUUUUGGAUAUCUGCCUCCUUGACCCUUAACUGAUGAUAUCUAGAUCGAAGGUUGAUCUUGGAAAAUACAGAAGCUCCUCUAAGCUGGUCGAAUAGAUCGUCAAUCCUUGGCAGUGGAUAUUUAUUCUUAAUCGUCAGUUUGUUCAACUGGCGAUAAUCAAUACACAUCUGCAUCGUACCAUCCUUCUUUUUCACGAAUAGCACCGGUGCUCCCCAUGGAGACACGCUUGGCCUAAUGAAGUCCCUGUCCAACAACUCUUGAAUUUGAGCCUUUAACUCCACUAACUCCUUCGAGGCCAUCCUAUACGGUGCGAUGGACACAGGCGCCGUUUCAGGCAACAAAUCUAUUCCAAACUCAACUUCUCGGUUCAGAGGCAAUCCUGGAAGCUCCUCCGGAAAAACAUCUUGGAACUCCUUUAUAGUCCUAACCUUAUCCACUAUCAGUCCCUCCUCUUCUGACUGACUUACAAAUGCCAAAUAGGCCUCACAACCUUUUCGAAUCCACUUUUCGGCUCUUAAAGCCGACACCACAUUGGACAAAAAUCCCUUCGCUCACCUAUCACCAUAACCUCCUCAUCCUUUGUGGUCCUUAACACCAUUCAUUUAGCAGCACAAUCCAGAGUUGCCUUAUGCUUAACAAGCCAGUCCAUUCCUAAAAUGAGAUCAAACUCUCCGAACGGUAACUCCAUCAGAUCUCCAGGGAAAAUCCUACCUUGAGUUUCUAAGGGUACACCCCUAUACAGUUUGUUUACCCUAACCGAGUGACCCAAAGGACUUACUACAAAUACCCCACUCACAACCUCCUCAGAGCAGUCCAAGUUGUCCAUAAUCCGUUCUGUGGCCUCCAACCAAUAUUCUGCCACAUUCGGGGCUAUACCAGACACGCCCCUAAAGAUCUCCGCUCCGUUAGCCCGAAGUCAUUCAGAAAUCGAUCCUCGAAUUCUGUUGCUCGAACUUGUCCCGGCAACCCUUUCCAGAACACGAAGCAUUACCUGUGAUAGGGCAUCAUCCCCGGUACCACGGUCAUGAGACUCUACCUCUGUUGUUGGUGGUACCGGUGCAUCCACCACCGGUAUAUGUCUCGAAGACGAAAAUCUCGCUCGAGCACUUCCUUGGCUCCGUCCACGGCCUCUUGUACUCAUAUCGUAUUUUCUUGAUUCUGAAUUUUUAUGCAUCAAUUAAUAUUCCAGUGUUUAUUACAGAUGUUUUAUGAAUCAGACAGUAGUUCAGAGUUUGUUUUCGCAGAAUCGAAGUCUAGCUACAAUUUCAGUCUCUUAUCAGAUUUUCCUAUGGUUUCACUAUCAUCCUAUCUAGAGUAUUAUAGCAGGAUUUUAGUACAGACAGAUAAGUCAGAAAAAUAUUCAGAAGAGUUCAGAGUAAUACUUACAGGCUUGGGCCGGAGAUUCGGAAUGCCACCUUCUAAAGAUCAAAAUUUUGAAAAUCGAGUUUUUCGCAUUCUUUAUAAAAUUUUCGCUUUCGAAAAUCUUUGUUUUUGUAAACCCAUUCCACAGCCGAGUUGUUGCAACCUAGGCUCUGAUACCAUUAAAUGUAGCACCCCAAACCCAGCCCAGAAGUUAUAGCCGGAUCCGGCAUGCCACAUCAAAAACGUUAAAAAAAAUUUUCCAUUCUAAGUCCAGAAAAUCGUACUUGAUGUUCAAAAGAUUAAUUCAUUAAGGGUUAAAGUGAAUGGAAGCUGUGCACUAGGUAGGAAACCAGAAAAGAGGUGGUGAGUCCAUCGGACUGCUUAAGUACCAAGCUCCCUUCAGAUCCAAUCCUAGACAUGCAUACCACCAUUGCCACACCUUAACGUCAUGGAUAUUUCUAGGAAACCGAUUUGAUUAAGUCAUUUUUAGGAAAAGUGAUUAAUUUUGGAAACUACUUUCAUUGCGAAAGCUUUGCUUGUUGUCGUGUUAUUUUGAAAUCAACUGUUGUUUUUGAAAACGCGCCCUAAAGCUAUCCAAUUUCAACAGUUAAAAUAAGUAUUACCUAUCUUAGUAAUACAUAUUAAAAACCAUCAAAAAUAAAUAAGCGGCCUUAUUACAUUUAAAAGCCCAAAACCUCAAAAGUAAUUAAAAGGAUGUUUAGUUCACCAGAAGAAAAUCAAACUUUCAGAAAGGGUGGCCACUCCGAAUUCCCUCACAGCUCCAAGCCCACUAUGGUUGGGGAUUACCUGCGUGGAUGAAAAUAAAAGGGAUGAGUUUGGGGAAACUCAGUGUGUAAAAUAACCCAACCAUAGUCUAAAUCAGCUCAACCCACAGAAAUAGAAUAAGUUGGCCUUAGCCCAGAACAGAAUUCAAAAUAAAGCCCAUAGGCCCAUAACAGAACAGAACAGAUAUUACAUGUUUAUGCAGAAACCCAACCAUAUCCAACCGUAUACACCCCCAUACCAACCUUACACCGUGUGAGGAGACAACUUGACCCACCCAACCGCUACACACCACAGAAUUUGCAGCAUGGCUGCCAGAACAGAUAAUGUGACAGAGUCACCAGAUACAGAUAAUCGUGGCAGAGCCACCAGAACAGAUAUAUGUGGCAGAGCCACCAGAUCAGAUAUUUGUGGCAUAGCCACCAGAACAGAUAUAUGUGGUAGAGCCACCAGAUCAGAUAAUUGUGGCAUAGCCACCAGGACGCUUCCUCCAUAAUAUAACCCAUGUCCCCAUGCAACAGAUAUAUAUAAUCAUGGCAUACAUCAUACAGAAUCAAAUCGCCAUGCUUUUCAGUCAAAAUUAACCAUACGGGUAUAACAGUAAUUUUACACCUAGGGGUAUAACAGUAAUUUUCCAUACAUAGGGGUAUUAUAGUAAUUUAGCUACUUUUAGGGUUUUCAUGCAUAUCCUAACUAUUUACGUACUAUCAGAACACUUACCGCGCAUACUUACCGAAUUGGGCCCGUUGGCCCAUGAACCCGAUCUUUGGCCCAUUAAGCCCAAAUUAUCAAAAUUUACGAAAUCGCGUGUACUGCAGUUUAUUACUUUAGAUUACCAAAUAUACAAACCCAACUAUCUUACGAGCAUUCGCACACUCGAAAAUUCCCAAAAUACCGACUUUUCGGUAUUUCGGCUUUUCGGCUUUUGCCAAUCUAGUCUAUGAGAGGGUGUCAGUUACACACCUGUUUGCGACGAUAUGCUGACGAGAUCCACACACGAACCGCCUACAAUUGGAUUACUAACACGCUAAUCUAACUAUUCAAAUACAAACUACGUAUUAACCCCCUACAACAUUCGGCCACCCACACCUACAGAUCAUAGUAAGCUUAUAAGAAAUCAAUAAGCAACUCAUUAACAAUUUUUUGUCAAUGUUUACCACAUAAUCAUAAUUUCACUGCAAGUUGUCUUCCUGAGCAACAGUCACUAAAUUAUUUAUAACUGGAGCUACGAAAGUCCAAAUCAAGUUCCGUUAAUUUUCCCUGAAAAUAGACUCAUAUAUCUUUUAUCCAUAAAAUUUUCAGAAUUUUUGGUUUAGCCAAUCAAUACCAGAUUUUUCUCAAAGUUUCCCAUGUUUCACUAUUUGACUAAUCUGACCACUCUUCAUUACGAAUCAAAUUUCUCAUUGUACAGAAUUCAAAAUAUGUUCUUGUUUAUUUCAUUAGAAACUAGACUCAAUAAGCUUUAAUUACAUAAUUUAUUCAGCUUCUAAUUGUUCUCCCACAAUUUAUGGUGAUUUUCCAAAGUCACGUUACUGCUGCUGUCCCAAGCAGAUUUAUUACCAAAUCACUCUUUCACACAUACCUUGCAUGCAUGUUAUUUAAACAUGUAUAUCACCAAUCAAUCAUCACAUAUCUAUGAUUUUACUUAAGUAUAAUCUCCAUUUCAUCAUUUUAAAGCACAACAUGUUAGCUGAUUUUUCCCUUUAACAUCUAAGGCACAUGCAUGCUCAUUUGUUUGGCUCAACUUCACCUAUCUUCCAUUUUUCAUCAAAAGAACAUGAAACAACAACCAUUUCCUUCAUUUUAAUUCAUGACUAAAUGCUCACAACACAACUAAAAAUCAAAAUAUACUUCAAGAGUUAAGGUAGAAUCAAGAAGAACUCAUGAACCUUAAAAUAGAAGCAAGGUACCAAGAACUUACCUUCAAUUUUCCUCCUCCUAAUGACCAAAUACUCAAGAGCUUUCUCUUCUCCUUUCUCUUCUCUAACUUUCAGCUAUGAUGAACAAAGAUGGACAAAACUUUGUUCUUUUCACCCCUUUUUCUUUUAAUAAAACUUCAUAUUUCAUCCAUUUAAUUCUUUAAUACAAAAGACAUGAAAUUCUUAUCAUGAAACAUUUACCUAACCCAUUAUCAUGAAACAUUUACCUAACCCAUUAUCAUGAAACAUUUACCUAACCUAUUAUCAUUGAACAUUUACCUAACCUAUUAUCAAUUUGUAUCAAUUUGUACCAUAAAUUAUGGAUAUCAAGUGUACAUUUUGUCUACAACAACAUGAUGACUGGUCACUUCAUGUAAAAUGGGAGGUUUGUCAUGCAAAUCCUCCUAUUUUGCACUCCUAUUUAUUUGGCCACUUCAAUUUAGCCUAUAGCAUUUUCAAACAUUUUCACAUAGGUCCUAUUUCAGAAUUUCACCCCCUUUUUCUUAUGGAACAAAAAUUAACUAAAAUUGUCGGGUUCUAUCUUAAGCUUGGGCUUUCUAGAGGCCCACUAACAUAAUUAAAUAUAUGCCAACAUUCACAGGAUUCCCAAAAAUUGGGGCGUUACAGUUUUAUAAGGUGAUCCAAUCACACCUAAAAGGUUGGUGGCGACUCCCAUUUUUCAAAAAUCUUGUUUUUAAAAAGGAGGUUUCGACAAUUGAAAAUAAGAAUCAAGUAUUUAUCAUGUAAUUCAUAAAUCAAAUAAUAAGAUUUGUCAUAGGUUUCAUCUUCCCUAGGUAUCUAGGGAAUUUAGUUCAUGAUCUGGAAUGAAAACAUCUCAAAGUUAAGAUAACAACAAGAUAUAAAGAAGCUCAAUAAAACUUCUAAGGAGAUUGAAUGGAGAUCUUAAAUCUUGAAAGAAAUCCGCUUUCGAGUUGAAUCCAAUGGCAUUAUUCGAGCCUUUUCUUCAUUCUUCUUUACGUGCUCCCUUAAGUCCUCUUCUAAUUGUUAUUGAUAGACUUUAGAAUGCUCAGAAAGCCUAAAAUUUUGGUUUUUCUGUAUGUUUGGAAAACAGGGUGCUAAAUUGACAUGGGCUAGCACAUGGGCGUAUGGCCAGCCCGUGUGGAAAUGUUCAGGCCAUGUGGAUCCUGGAAACAGCUCAUUCGUCUAAUUUUGGCUCAUUUUUUUGCUUUUUUUGCUCCCAAAUGCUCACCUAAGUAUAGAAAUAGGAAUUUAAAGGAUUAGGAGCAUUAAAUUCACUAAUUUACAUAAUAAAUCAUCCAAAAAUGAAUCAAGAAUCGGAUUAAAAACAUGUUACUUUUAUGGUUUAUCAAUGUGGCAUCUCGUAGCUCUGAACCAACAACUGGAUUGGGUAUAGGGUAUUAUAUUUAGUGGUAUCAGAGAUACUUUUGGCAGAUUCUCGGACUAAAUCGAGCUCAAAAAUUGAGUUUAAAGGUACAUGCCAAGAUCAAGUCGAGUUUGAGUCAAAAUUUGAACUUGAUUAUGAAUUCUUCUGUUUUAUAAUUGAAAUGGCUUAAGGAUUAAAGAAAUGUUGUUGAAGAUAAAAUUAAUAGUAAUGAUCACUUUGUUGAGGGUGAGAAUCGAGUUGAGAUUGAGGCACUCAACUUUGAUCAGGCCGAAGCUCAACGAAAUAGACUUGAUAGACCUCAUCGGAAUGGUCAAAGUGACGAGAAUCUACUCUACAGUACAAAGCGAAAGUAAUUUAGAGAGUUGUAGGAGCUGCAUCAAUAGUUGUAGCCCGGAAAACCCCAAUAAAAGAGUUGGAAAAGUAUGAAGUGAGUUUUGGCAAGAGUCAAUUGAGUGAGUUCUACAGCAGUUAGAAUGCUCACCGCUUGAAUGUGUUACAUUUGUUGUAUCUCUUCUAAAAGAAGAAGCUUAUGAAUGGUGUAUUGGCAGAUUGGUAUUUGAAUGUGGUGAUCUGAACAGAGCCUUUACUAUAACAAGGAAUGCGUGUGUGUGAUAGGUUGUUUAAAGCCAUUGACAAGCUAAAUGGGAAGGUUUAUGUCAACAACUGAGGCUCAGUGCCUUCAGAGUUGUUCAAGAAUUUUAUACAAAUUGGGAAUCUGGUAUUCAUAAAAAUUUGGUCCGAAGGGUACUUGUACCUUUCAAUUCAAACAAUUUUAAUCAUAUUUACAUUAUUCCUGAACUCUCUGUUGAUGAAUAUUCAGAUGGGUGAUUAGCUUAGCUUGACUUCAAUGCUAUUAUUGAUUUUCUAAUAUGGGGAUGGGGUAUUUUGAAAAUUAGAAAGAGUGAAUGAUAUCUUUACUUUAAAUCGCUAUUCUUAAUUCUUAAUAAGCUUAAGAGUGUAAAACUUUCUCAAAUUUGUUCAGAAAAAGAAAUUAAGUCUCUGUCUUUUUUUUUAAUUCAACUGGGUACUUGAACUUUCAAAAUGUAUAAAAAUAACCCUCAAAUUUUUUUCAAAAAAAGCUAUAAGGCCUCCACUUUUUUUUGCGCUCAAUUGAGUACUUAAACUUUUAAAAUGUAUCAAAAAGGUCCUCAAUCUUUAAGGAAAAAAAACAAUUAAGCUACUACAGGUUAUUAUUUUUUGGCACACAAUUGGGUACUUGAACUGCCAAAAUGUAUCAAAAAAGCCAUUUGAUCAUUAACUUUAACAAUUAACCAUUAAAGUUAAUCAUCCCUAAUUUUUUCAGUUAAAGCCAUCACGUGUCACAAUCAUGAAGUGAUAUGUGGCAAAAAAAUGAUAACAAAUAAAAAUAAAUAAAGGUUAUAAAAACUAUUAAAUUUUAUUAAAAAUAUAAAAAAUAUUUAAAUUUUAGUAAAAAUUAGAAAAAAAUUAUAAAAAUCGUAAAAAAAUUAUAGAAUAUAUAGAAAUAUAUAUAUAUAAAUUAUAAGAAUUCAAGGCAGUUUGUACAUUGAGGACAAUGUACAUCUUAAGUGUGGGGAGAUUAUUUAUAUAUUUAUACGAUAAAAUCCCUAAUUUGUUUUUUGUACUUAAGUAAUUUUCGUACACCUACCAUUAGAGUUAAUUUUUUUACUUGGAGUUUUUAUUGAUUUUGUUUUGAAAUAAUUUGUGGACUUUUAUGCAUUGUUUUAUUUAUAUUUUAAGUCACGAGAGAGUCAAGGAUAAUAAGUUAUUUUUCAGAAAUUAUUGUUUUAGGUUGUCUCCCUGAACUGAAGCAUUAUAUUGAAAAUUUAAAUUUACAAGUUUAACAUCAAAAUCAUAAUCUUUUGUGAGCUUUUGAGCUUAUAGAGCAUAUAUUUAUUCAUGCUCAUUUUAUUUUUGGUUGAGAGUAUGUCAGCUUGAUUUGUUAUUCUAAAACUUGCUUCGGUUAUACAUGUCGAGACCACAUUAUUGAUUUGAUAUACUGAGAUGAUAAAGGCACUUAGGAUUUAACUCACCUAACAUUUAAUCAACUUACCUGUUGUAUUAAUCCUUAGUGAACCCCGUUGAUCCUAACACAUUUUUUUCUCUCACCCAUUUAUGUUAACCCAUAACCCAUAUCUAUGUUGUAAAAUUAUCCCUUUUGAUUGACUUCCUUUUUGUCAAGAUUUGAUUUGGUUAGUUGCCUAACUAUGUUUCAUCAUUUUUAUUGUUGAAUUUCUUUUGCAAAAAAGAAAUUGUGAUAAAAAAAAUAUUUUUUAAAAAUUGAGAAUUUUUUUUAUAAUUGAGCUUGAAUCGUUAGUUUUAUAUUGUGUUGAAAAGUUCAUUAUUAUUAUUUAUUUCUUGUUUAUGUGAAUUCUUUUAACUCAACAACUGAUUUUUUUCUAAUUUGGUAACUUAUCAACUCGAUUCUCAAUUUUAAUCAAUUUUUCUGGCUUUUUCCAUGCCCUUAACCUAGGCCCCAUUACAACCUUGUAAAUACCUCUAGAUUGGUGUGUCAUUUCAUACUAUAGUGGUGGAGAUUUGAUUUUCAAGCAAGUCUAUGGUAAUAACAUUUCUCGUUUGACUAUUGAGUACAUAUUACUUGAAUCUUAAACACUAUGAGUGAAUCUUUAGUGAGGAUUUUAUUUCUUGCUGAGUUUUAUUUCAAGUAAUUAUUGAGAUAGGAGAGAUGCCUAAUAUUUUUAAAGCUUGAAACUUUCUGCUUGGAUUGCUUUGUUAUGUUUAGUGUCAUUUUAGUGUAAAUUUCCAAUGUAUGAUUAUCUAUAAAUUAUCCUAAGACAUUAUCGGUGGAAAUAAUAAACUGAGAGACAUUAACUUGAAUGUGGGUUGAGAAUUUUGCUUGAUGACAAGUACGCUUAAGUGUGGGGAAUAUUUGAUAUGUGCUAAAUGUAACAUGUUUUAGUCUCAUUCUUAAUGUGUUUUUGGGUGAUUAUUCAAUGUUAAUGGUGAAUUCUAUACUUCUAAUCCUUUAAAUUCAUAUUUUUAUACUUAAAAGAGAAAUAGGGAGCAAAAGGAGAGAAAAUUGAAAAUUUGGAGCAAGGUACAGGGGCACACAGGCUGGACUAUUCCACACAACUUGAACACACGACUGUGUGAGCCACACGGGCUUCAAUACAACCAUGUGACAGGUCAUGUCAAUUUUACGAAUUGCAUUCUAAACAGUGGAAAAACGUAAAUUUUAGGGUUUCGGGCAUUCUGAAACCUAUAUAUGAAAAAAAAAUUAGAAGAUAUGAGUGAGUCGUCAUAGAAUACUCAAGAAAACAACUCGAAAAAUACCAUUGAAGCAGAUCCUAAAGCAGAUUUCCAUCAAGAUUGAAGAUUCCUUUUUUAUUUGUUUAGAGAUUAUUAUGAGCUUCUUUGUUUCUUGUGGUUAUACAGUGUUUUGGAUGUUUUUAUUUGUAAGCAUGAACUAAUUUUCUAAAUACCUAGGGAGAUGAACCCUAUGAUAGAUUAUGUCGUUUGAUUUUUUUUACGUAAUAAAUACUUAGAUUUUGUUCUCAAUUAUGUGUGAUUAAUUAUUGGUUUAAUAUUUCUAGACUAUUAAGCCAUGUUUCCUAUGCUUAAAUUAGAGGAGGAAUAUACCAUGUUUAAGAGUAGAUCUUACGUAAUUGAGUGGAGUUGCAUGCAAUCCUAGAAAAACGACAAAAUGAAUCUACUGAAUUAGAGUCAAAUCUAAUAGGAGAAUCCAUAAAUCAAGUUAAUGUGAUAAUAGAUGUUUUAAUUAGAAAGAAAUUUCAAUUAAUCCAUCUAGAGUCAGUUGCUCUUAUUCUUGAAAAGAGAUAUUACCAUAAUUUAGAGAUUCUACAGAUCAAGGUACUAAGUGAAGAAAUUACGUAAUUUAGAUUGAUAAUUGCAGAUGAAAACUAGGUGAAUUCUUUCACGGGUAAUGUUUCACUUAUUGGUUAUUAUUCGAUUAUUUUUCCUGAUUUAUUUUUUGUCUUAUUCGUAGUUAAUUAAUUUAGUUAGUUUUAGUUUUAGUCAAUCACUCGAAUUUAUCGGUUAAAUAAUAGAAAGACGGUAAUUACUAGUACUUUAAGUCUUCAUGGGAAUGAUAUCUUUGCUCACCGUAACUAUACUAUUAAUUGAUAGGUGCACUUGCCUUAGUCGAAUUUUUAGUUGGUUUUGUAGAUAUCAAUCGUGCUCAACGAAGGGGAGGAAGAAAUAUUAAAUUUUUAUGCAUAAAAACUCGAAGUAGUUUGAUGUAAAAGCAACAUAGAUGACUCCUGAAGCCUAACACAACCAUCCAAUUACACAAUUAAGCCAUUUAAUUGACAACAAUUCUCAAUUACACAAAGAAACUAUGUCGAAAGUUUCAACGCAAAAACCUUCAACAAUUCUAGGCUUACCAACAAAACCAACGAUGAUUUCUCGAAUUAUUGUGUUGAGGAUUGUUGCGUUCAAUAUUGUCGCCUAAAAAGAAACCAAACAAUCGCUUUAAAAAAAAGUUUAAACUAAACAAGUUGGAAACAACUCUGACAGAACUAACGAACUACCGCCUAACGAAAGUUCUACGAUUAACGUGAUUUAUACAAUCUAUACAACUGGCAGUCAGGACAUGCGCACUUACCCGAUGAUGUAGUAGACAACCUGUGACAACCAAGUAAGACUUGGCCUAUAAAGAAGGAAAAGAGUAAAAAAAGAAAGAAGAACAUGAAAAAAUGAAGAAGGAAGGAAGAUGGUACGUUUAAUUAAUUAACCACCAAUCAAAAUUCUGGCAUUAAUCAAAAACAUUACCCUACACAUGCGCCGAGACUCAAACACAGGACUAGAGAAUAGACAGACACUUAACCAAUGAACCAGCAGGCUCAUUCUUGACAUAGAUUUACACAAAAUUAAAUUUAAAUCAACGGCCCAAGAGUAGAGAUUGAUAAGAAUUAACUAGCAAAACUUCUAAAACGCGACUUGAACCCCUGACCUCAAACACAUAAGUAGAGCAUAUAACCACAGAUACAUGAUGUGCAUAAAUUAGAGGAGGAAUGUACCCUGUUUAAGAGUAGAUCUUGCGUAGUUGAGUAGAGUUGCAUGGAAUCCUAGAAAUAGAUGACAUGAAUCUACCAGAUUAGAGUAAAAUCUAAUAGGAAAAUCGAUAAAUCGAGUUAAUGUGAUAAUAGGGUCUUAAUUAGAAAGAAAUUUCAAUUAAUUAACUUAGAGUUAGUUGCUCUUAUUCUUGAAGAGAGAUAUUAGCAUAAUUUAGGGAUUUCUACGAAUCAAAAUACUAAGUGAAGAAAUUGUGUAGUUCAGAUUGAUAAUUGCAGAUGAAAUCUAGGUGAAUUCUUUCUUCAGUAAUGUUUCACUUAUUGGUUAUUAUUCGAUUAUUUUCCUGAGUUGUUAUUUAUUGCAUUCGUAGUUAAUUAAUUUAGUUAAUUUUAGUUUUAAUCAAUCACUCGAAUUUACCGGUUAAAUAAUAGAAAGGCGGUAAUUACUAGUACUUUUAAUCUUUAUAGGAAUGAUAUUUUUACUCACCAUAUCUAUACUAUUAAUUGAUAGGUACACUUGCCUUAAUCAAAUUUUUUGUUGAUUUCGUGAACAUCAUUAUACUCAACGAAGGGGAGGAAGAAAUAUUCAAUUUUUAUGCUCAGUUCAAAUAAGUUAAAUGACUUUAGAAGCAUGCUUGAACUUGGUUAUCUUUUUGAUAUUUUUUAAUAUUAGUAUACUUCACACAUUAUUUGGAGGAAUAGUUGCACAAACGAGCACGAAGGUUUAUUAUUUCUAAUUCUUGCUAAUUUCAUAAACUAUUGUUACCGCUAUGUUUAUGAGAUUUUGACUUUAUUCAUUGUAAUUUGCUUAUAAAAUUUAGUUGUAUAUAAUUAUGUUUCCAAUUGCUUAAGUUAAGUUAAAUAUUUUCUUGGAUGCGUGUUAGUUAGAAUCGUUGUUUUGCAUGAAGACAAAUAAAAGUUUAAGUGUAUUAUAUGAUGUGUACUCAUCAUAUAGAUGUAAUUGUAUUAUUUUCACGUAGAUUUAUGUUAGAUCUUAAGUAAAAUAUUGUAUUUAAUUGCAUAAUUAGAAUAAAUUUUAUCAUAUUUACAUUUUAUGUUACUGUAUUUGAAUUUGAGUUAUUUUAAGUAAUAUAUUAUUUUUAAUGACUGCUUUAACUUGAAUUAGACCUUAUUUGAUAUGAGGAGCGAGUUUGAAUGUGACAGAAAGCAUGAAGGAAAGGUCAAAAAAAAAAAAAAAAAAGGAGAAAAACGUAAAGUUGCCAGAGCAAUGAGUAACCGAAGCUUGAGGCUUGGUGGCAAGCAUUCAAGGAGGAGCUUAAAGGGGAGAUUAGGACCGAUAUUCACAGUUUGUUUGAGCAUGUUGAAGGUUGGUCAGCAUGUAGCACCAGGAGCAGCCAAGAAGCAGGCCAAGAAGGCCGAGCCAUGCAGGAGCUGCUGAAGCUAGUGCAGCUGUUUAUUUUUGUUCAUUUUGUAACCUUAGUUUGAUGUAAUGUAGUUAAGUUCAUUUUUGAACUAUGAUAGUUUGAUGUUUGAUGUAAUUUGAUAGUGAUUGAGCUGUUAACUCAGCUUUGUUCAUGUGUGCAAGCUUGUUUUACCAAGUGUCAAUGUAUUAGUGGUAGUAGGUAUUCUUUAGGUGACCAAAUACUGAUUUUGACAAACUGAAUGCUUGGUUUAUGUAUUGGCAUUAUGCCAUUAUUCAUUCUUAAUGAAAUAUCAGCUUUUCAUUCAAAAUACUCUCUUUUCUGUUCUUAAGCAAAUUCUGUUGUUUGCUCUACAAGCCUCGAGCCUUGUUGCUCAAGCUUCUGUCAAUCUUGCUACUUCAUCCGGAUUAAUUUUUCAUAACACCAACAAAGCAGUACCUUGGUAACCAAACUGCUUCAAGUAAUGUCUCUGCCUAGGUUAAAGGGAAAGAAAUAUUGGGAGGGCCACCUCUUAGGUUUCCUCGCAAGGAGUCUAUCGAUGUUCCUCAGCCUCUUUUGGUGACAAGUCAUACAAGUUCUCCUCGAUCUCACUCUGGGUGGUUCCAGGGUAGGUUUUACAAGCUAGACUGCCCUCGCUUUGAUGGAUCGGACUUCAGGGCUGGUGGUCAAAACUCGAGCAAUGCUUUGCUGCUGAGGGAAUACCUGACAGUGACAAGGUUCAAACGGUGAUGUUACAUUUAGAUGGGCGAGCUUUGGAUUGGCACUAUUUCCUUGCUCAAAAGCAUGGUGGGCUGCAGAUGUUGGUAUGGGCAGGGUACGCUAACAGCAUGAGGGAGAGGUUUGACCCAAGCAUGUUUAAGGACCCUAUGUCUGAAUUGGUCGCCAUGAAGUAGCAAGGGUCAGUCGAGCACUAUCAUGACUAGUUUGUAAGCCUCCUAAACCAAUUACGGUUGCCUGAAUCUUAUGCUCUAAAUGUUUUUAUCUGCAAUUUAAAGCAUGAGACUAGUCAGUACGCACGGUUGUUUAGGCCACAAAUUCUAGUUGAAGGUUUUCAUAAUGCCAAACAAGUGGAGUCCAUCCUAUCUAACUCUCCAAGGAAGGUUUUGUUCAAUGGAUUGAGUCCAUUGGCUCGUUUUCGGUUUGCAGCAACUCCACCUGCAGUUUCAAACAAGUUAGUGGCACCUUCUCAUAAUGGUGCACCUGUUCAACCUGUUACAACCUCCUCCAGUUGCUCUAAUGCUUCCAGGGUUCCUUCCAAGGGGAUAAGUCCAGCCUUGAUAGCUGAAAGGAAACAGAAGGGGCUGUGUUUUUGGUGUGGUGCAAAAUAUCAUAUCGGCCGUAAGUGUGUUAAGGCUCAACUCCACCAAAUGCUCCUUGAAUCUCAUUCUGAUGCUGAGGGUGAUGACUUCCAAGAGUGUUCAGACCAGUUGGAGGAUCCCCUUGUUGAGAGCGAACCUUCCCAGGAACCCAUUCUGUCUUUGCAUGCUAUUAAAGGUUCCUAUUGAAUUUUGGGUUGUCUUCUGGGUUUUUGUCUUGUUCAUAUUGAAUUUUUGUUGAUGAGAAUUUGGGCAAAAUUUGUGAAAUUUUCCAUUUUGAUUUUUAAUCUACAAAUGCAAAACAAGUAGAAAAAGAGGAAUUCUAGAAGAACACUGUGAAGAACAUAAAUUAUUAGUUUUUUAAAAAUUUUAGGUUAAAAGCAUUUAAUUAUUUCAUGAAGUUAAUAAUAUUAAUAUAUUUUUAUUAUAUUUUUUCUAAUUUAUUAUAUAUAUUUAUAAUUUUUUGAAACAUAUUUAAUAAAAUAUAUAUUUUUUAAUUUAAAAAUAUCACAUGGCAUAUUUUUAUUGGGCACUUAUAUUUUGUUUAAUUGCCUUUGAAAAUUGGACCAAAAUCUAGGAAUGAAAAUGAGAAAAUAAAUACACUUUAAGAGUAAUAAUAAUAAUAAUAAUAAUAAUGAAUAAAAUAAUAAUACUUGACAUGUACAUAAAAAAAUGAUAAUAUAUGAAAGAUUAAUUUUAUAAUUAUAAUUCCAAAAAUUAAUCUAAUUUAUUAAUCAAAUAAAAGUUAUAUAUAUAAUCAAUUUUAUAAUAAUUUAUAGAAAAUGAAUAUUUUUAGUAUUUUUUCACAUUUGUUUUAUUGUGUAUGUUUGAAGUAUAUGAUCACCAUUUUUAAUAGUAUAGUCUUUAAGAUUCAAAUAUACGUCCUCCUCUUGAAAUCGUGACUAUCUUAUGAAUAAAAUCGUGACUAUCUUAUGAAUAAUUUCAUCGCAACUGAGCUAAAGUUUUCUCACUCUGAAUCUUUUAUGAAAUUAUUGACACUAUACUAGUAAUGAGUCUUUUAUGUAUAUGGUGUUCCAUCUUACAUAUGAUAUUUGUCAAUGUUUCUCGAUAAGAAUUGAAUUUGUUCUUUCAAUAUAUCUAGAAUUAGUGAUAACCUCUUUCAAAUAUUUAAAUAGGUGGAUAAACAUACUUUUAAUAUUUGAACUUACAUUUUCCUGUACUGACAAUAAUACUAAUACCAAUCAAGCUUUUAAAAAUUUAACUUAAAUGAAAAAAUUGAAGCAAAAGGUAGUAGAUGGAAUACUCUCCCAUUUUUGCAACAUUGAAGAGUGAGAAGGUUUUAUGGCCGCGAAGAAUAAGAAAAAACCAAAUUCGUUCCCACAACAUUUAUGCUGGUGUUUUUUAAUAUAAAAACUUUUAAUGUAUUUUUAAUAUAUUAGAAAAUUUUUAUUUUAGCACUUUUUUAAUGUAUUAAGUGUAUUAUAUUUUUUAAAAUUAUUUUUAAAUAAAAAUUAAUCUAAAAAAAUCAAAUAUGAGUGAGUCGUGUCGAGUUUGAAUUUACCUUUCUUAAUUUAGGUUGGAAUUGGAUAAAAAAAUAAGCGUAUUUUUCGAACAGAACUUAACCCGAAUCUAGAAUUGUGGUUUAAAUUCUUUACAUGGGUCUAACCCGAACCCGACCUAACUCAUGAGCACCUUUACCCACUAUUGUGUUUUCUUUCUAUUAGAAGAACUAUAAUCAAUGCCCCAGAUUGCUUCCAUGAAUUUUCUGCUUCUUUAAAAAGGGUUUAAAUUUUACUAUUAGUCUCUGUACUAUGCAAAAGUUUUAUUUUUAGUCUCUAUAUUUUAAUUUGAUCAAUUUUAGUCUCUGUGCUUUCUAAAUUUUAAAAUUUUAGUCUUGACCCAAAUGGUAACAUUUAAAUCUAUUUGGUUAAAUUCAAUUUUUGGUCUUGGACUAAGCAUACAAUUAUAAAUUUGGUAAAUGAAAUUUUAGACUUGAAGUAAAUGAAUAUCGUUAACCCAUUAAUUUUAUUUUUAUUGAGUAAAAUAUGGACAUAAAAAAUUGACAUAACGUUACAUAUAUCAUAAUAUAUUUGGUGCAUCAAAUUUUAAAAAUAAAAGAACUCAACUUAAUUAAUUUAAUAAUUAUUAUUUGAUAAGGAUUGAAAAUUUAAAAUUUUAAAAAUACAAUAACUAAAAAUAAUCAAAUUAAAUUAGAAAAUUAAUCAUCAAUUUUUUACAAAGUACAGAAGCUACUAGCUGAACUUAAACCUUAAAAAUAUAGAAAGAAAGAAAGACAAAGACUUGACCUUUAAUCCUACAUUAAUGAACUUGUAAAAAAUUAUAACUUGAUACAACUAAACUUUUAGCAGAUAAUUAAGCUUAGCUAAUUAAACAUGUUCUCAUUGUUAACCAUUUAUUUAUAAUUUAUGGGUAAAUUGCAUUAAUAGCCAAUCAAUUAUGUUUGUUUUCGGUCACUUGACUAUAAAAAGAUACAAAAUGUUCACUCAAUUAUUAGUAAAUUUCUCUAUUUGGUCACCCAACUAUUUAAUUUUUUCUUUUUUGGCCACCCAUCUAUCUUGAUUUUUUUGGUAUUUCUAUUUUUACGUUAACCAGUUAGUGACUAAAAAGAUAAAAUUAAAUAAUUGGGUGACCAUUUUGUAACUUUUCAUAGCCGGAUGAUUAAAAAAGAAACUAAUAGUUGGGUGGCUAGCAAUGUAGUUUACCCAUAAUUUAUUUAUAAUUUUGUAUGUCUUUUUAUUGAAAAAAUUACUUUUAAAUAUUUUUUAAAAUUUUAUUUUUGAAUUUUUAAGAAUCAAGACUAAAUUGAUAAAAUUUGUAAAGUUGAGGGCUAAUUUGUUGAAUUGUUUAGGGUUAGGACCAAAUUGACUAAAUCUAUAAAUAUUAAAGGGCUAAAUUUAUUAUUAUAUCAAUAAAAAAUGUCACAUCAAUAUUUCAUUAGUGAUUUAACUGAGAAGUGGCUAAAAUAUUAAAUUUCAAUAGUAGUGGUGACUAAAAUAAAAAAUUUUAAAUAUAGAUGAUCAAAAAAGAAACACACCAAUAGUUGAGUAACUAUUUACCCAUUUUCUUUUAGUAUCUUUUGAACGUAAACAAACUCAUUCUUGAAUAAAAACAAAUUAAAAGAGAAAAAUAGGAGUGAAACACACUAAUAGCAGGGAAAUGGAUGUUUGAAGAGGAGGCGACUUUGAUUAAUGUUUAUGCUCCAAACAGCCUUGCAGAACAAAAAAUGCUGUGGGAAGAAAUAUCUGGAUUGAGAAAUCAAUUUGGUAAAGCAUGGAUUAUUGGGGGCGAUUUUAAUGUGGUGAGAAAUAGGAGUGAACGCAUAAAUUGCUUGAGUACUGAGAAAGGGUCUCAGGAGUUUGGUGAGUUCAUAGAUGUAAAUUGGUCGAUCUACCGUAAAUAGGGAAAAAUUCACUUGGUUUGGUCCGGAUAAUAAACGUAGCAGAUUGGACAGGUUUUUAAUUGAAGAAGAGUGGCUGGUUCAGUUUAAGGACUUACAACAGCAGGGUUUAAUUGAAGAAGAGUGGUUGGUUCAGUUGAAGUUUUCUUAGCUAUGAAGUGGAAGACUAACGAUUCGAUUUUUAUUGAAUUAGGUUCAUUGGUGGUGUUUUCUUGGUGUGUUAAUAAGGUGUUGAGACCUUGGUCACUUCAGGCAAUUUUUUCAGAAAUUGACACUGCUAAGAUUAAGGCUGGUUCUGUUGUCUUCUCUUCGGCGGACAGGUAUGGCAAUGAUAUGGCUCUCUCUUUGGCGAUGGCAUGUGUUUAUCGAUUGCAAGUUUUUAAAGCUUGGUAGUGAUUUACUGUUUUUUGUUUGCUGGUUUAUUGUUUUGUGGACUGUGUUGUCUUAAUUAUCUUGUGGACUGCUGUGUUGUUAAUUUUUGGCUGUUGCUCUGCUUUGUCUUUGACAACAGAGUGGUUCGAAUAAAGCAAAAAAAAGAAGAGAAAAAUAGAUUGAAAGAAAAAAGGUACUGUUUAGUGUUAAAAUGUAAGCUGGAAUGCACUUUAAAGUGUAAUAAGACUUAAAUUUAGGGUGUGUUUAGAUUGACGGUGCGUUUAUUUACGGUUAAUGUAAAAAUAGCGGUGACGAUAAAAUUAGAUACGAUAAUAACACUGUAGUGUGAUAGAAAAUGUAAGUUUUAUUUACAGUUAAUGUAAAAAUAGCGGUGACGAUGAAAUUAGAUACGAUAAUAACACUGUAGUGUGAUAGAAAAAGUAAAUUAAAUAUACCGCAGUGCAGCAACUGUCUAUCCAAAUCCAUCCUCAAUUAAAACCAACCUCAAUAUAACUUAAUUCUUUUUUGAAAAAAAUUUAGAAUUCAACUAAGUCUAGCCUAAUUAAAAAAAUGAAUUGCAAUUUUAAUAGAAAAUUUAAUUAAUUAAAAUUUAUUAAAAUAUUUUUUUUUACAUCAAUUAAAUUAGGGUUCGAAAAUAUGAUUAUGAAUGUAUUAACAUUAUUAUGAAAACGGUACUAAAUAAUUAUAUGUAGUAGGUUUUUGCUCUCCCUAAAAUAAAAUAUUUUUCAUUUAGAUUUUUUUAAAAUUUUAAAAUUUUAAAUUAAUAAAGAUAAAACUGCACUCUAACAUCCUUUAUUUUUAUUUUUUUUAUUUUCCCCCUGAUUGUAUGUUAUCCUAAAUUUUGUUUGAAAGACAUGAAUUAAAAAAAGCUUCAAAAUAUGAUUGAGGAGAUUAGCAUUAAACAAAAGCUACAAUGUCAACUUAAAAAUAGUAAAAUGUUUGGUGCUAAGAGUAACAAACUUGAAUCCAAUGAAAGAUUUUGAUAAAUUAAAGGCUUAGGAAUAAGGUUAUAGUAGGUGGAGUUAGAACAACUCAAAGUAGGAUGAUUUCUAGGUCUUCUUUUUGGGGACUCCCUUUGCUUAGCCACAAUGCUUAUGUUGACUCAUCCAAUCACACCAUUAUUGUGGGCACAUGUGGAUAUUUAGCUCCAGGUGAUUUUCUUUCUUUUAUUUUCUGAUAUUUUCUUCUGAAUUUAUAAAAUUAAUUGAAUAUAUAACUGGUUUUCUUUUUAUCUAGUUUUUCAUAUGAAGAAUUUACCUAUACGAUGGUUGUUACCGAAAAAUGUGGUGUCUCUAGUUUUUAAAUGGUGGCACUAGAAACAUUAAUGGGAAAACAUCCUAAAGAAGUAUUACCAUGGUUGUCAUCACCAAAUUAUUCGGUAAAUAUGAAGUUGAUUGAUGUGUUAGAUAAUCGUUUACCACUUCCGACAAGCUAACUAGUUGCACAAAAUCUUGUUCACAUUGCUAAACUGACAUUCGCUUGCUUAAAAUCCACGACCAAAGUCUUGACCAACAAUGAAAGAAGUAUGUGAAGAGUUUCUUUAUGGCCAAAAAUCCUUGGGAAUUCCCCUUCAGAUGAUCUCUUUGUUACAACUUGUGAACCAUAUGAAAUCCAUAUUGGAGGCGAAACAGAAAUUUGUGAUGUUCAAAGUCCAUACGCUUGUUAGGUAUUGUUUAGCUGGAUUUCAUGAUUUGUUUCUAAACUAGCUCUUGUGUAAUAUAUGAUUUUGCAAAUAGUUUUGUAAAAUUCUUGAAUAAAUUGAUUAUAAUUUUUAAUAUAAAAAUUUUUGAUAAAACCUUUGACUAGAACGAAGAAUUCAACAAUCCAUAUAUAAAGAGAAAAAUAGUAGCAGAAGAAAUUGUGAAAGUCUUCUCCAUUGUUUUUCAUGCCCCAAAGCCUCUUUAAAUACAUUCCAAGAUUUCCUAGAAAAGAGUUUAAAAUAAAGUUUUAAUUUAAAAUAUCCCAUAAAAUCCCAAUCAAUCCCAUAAAAUAAGACUUUGAAAAAUUCUUCCAAAAAGAUAGUGGUUUUUGCUUUUCUUUUUAAAAUCAAUAGUAAAAAAAAAUUUAAAUGAAAUGUUAUUUAAAGCGAACUAUUUGGUUGAAUUAAAAAUCAGUUGAAAUUUCGAUUCAGAGGAAGGUAAAAAAUCAGUUGACUAAUGAACUGAACUAAAAAAAGUUUAAUUGUUUUAAUCGUAUUUUAUAAUUUUUAAUAUUUUUAUUUUUAUUAAUUUAUAUGAUUUGCACUUAACAUACUAAAAAUGGACGAUGUAAUUGAUUCUAUCACUUAUCCAUUCCAAAAACAUUAUAUCAUAUUCAACUUGAAUUGGAAGCUUUUUGAAAUUAUGUAUUAAGAUAUUCAAACUUAAUUUGCAAGAUAAAUCGACAAGCUAAAGGCUAUCAAUCAAGAGAAAUUGUUUUAGGCGUGUUGGAAACUAGAAAGAUAAAUUUUGUAACGCCCCAAAAUUGAUAUUUUUUUGUUUUUGUGAAUUUGUGACACAACUGAGUAUCUGCUUCAAUGGUUAAGUGUUUUGAAUUUGUGUGUGAGGUCUCAAGUUCAAGCCUUUCAUUUGGAAAAUUUUGGUAUUUUUCUGAAUAAAGCCUUAACCUUGUUCGAUAGGCUUAUAUUUAAGUACUUAUAAAACUAUAUCAGAAUGGGCCUGCUGGUUUGGUGAUUAAAAUGCGUGUGGUAUGUUGGAGGUCUAGAGUUCAAAUCCCUGCAUGAGCGUGAGAGUUUAUUUUUGCUUAUUUGACCGAGAGAGUUUCGGUCAAACAGGAAUUCUGAGUAGUUGGUAGUUGCUGGAGAAAAAUAAGGGGAGUUGAGAUAUUGGAAUUUUCGGUUAUACUUUUGUUUUUCAAAAUUUUAUUUCCCUCUCCCAAAAGUUUUCUGACGUCUGUUUUUCCCCUUCCUGCCAAAAUUUUUCUUUUUCCUUCCUCUACUAUUCCGGUUUCUGUUUUGCUACCUUCUUGUUCAAACAUUGGAUUCGCUCGUUCGGUAUGUCCCGUUUUGUUUCUAUUUUAUUGUUCCAUAGAUGGUUUCUGAUAGAGGGCUGCUUUUAGUUCUUUCGAUUUAGGUGAAGAUCAAGGAACGACUAGUGCUUCUGCCGAGUUUUGAACGUUAGAGUGUCAGUUCGUUGUUGGUAAGCGACCGAGUCACUUUUUAACGUUCUAAGGUUUCGUUGGGAGAAAAUAUUCCCGGUUCAAUUUUUGUUGUGUUUCUGAAUUCGAGUUUUGGUAAUGUCGAUUAUAGGUUUUGGGGUGCUCGGAGAUCGUUUAAGCUUCAAUUGGAACCAAGUGUGCACCUGAAAAUGCAAAAAACGAGGUUUUGGUAAAAGCCAAAAACUGUUCUGUCGACACCACACGGCCGUGUGCCCUAACACGGGCGUGUGAUCAACGAGGCCAGGCUGUGUGUACUGGAAAUUACCGUGUGAUGGCCAGACAGGUCGUGUGCGAGACACGAGCUAGACUGUUUUGGGUCGUGUGGGCUACACGGGCGUGUAGGAUUCUUAGCCAGGCCGUGUGAGCCAUACGAACGUGUGGGCCCACACAGGCAGGCCACAUGGGUGUGUGAACCCAUUUUUUUGAAAAGUUCUGUAAGGUUGCACGGGUCGCCCAAGUCGACUGUGGACCUACUGUAAGGUCGGUAAGCCUUAUUUAGACCCCUAUUUAUGUGAUCUAAUUGUAUGAUGUCUAAGUGAAUUUGAAUACUGAACUAAUUGUAUGAUUUGAUAAAAUUGCAUAACCGCAUGACAUUCUAUUAUAUGUUGCAUUGCAUCGGGGCGGGUUGAUGAUUUAUUGGAGAAAGUGUCUGAAAGGCUCUUAAGCUUAUUAUCUGGCAAGUUUGCUAUAAUAUUCUGACUUUGUGCUGCAUUUCGGUGCAAAUAUCUGUUUAUGUGCUGUAUUUCGGUACAGCAUGAUGUGUAGGGAUGGAUGGGUUGAUUUAAUCCCCACAUGGUGUGUAGGGUUGGACGGAGAUGGUGUGUAGAGGUUGGUGGGUAAGAUUCUGAUAUUCUAUGUUGAUCUGCAUAUCAUAUUUGAGAUGGGCUAAGACCCUAAUUUAUAUCUGAUUCUAUAUCUGGGUGGGUUAAGGCCCACACUGAUUCUGUAAUUGGCUCAGGCCCAAACUGUAUAUACAUGAUUGAUUUCUGAUAUUAUGUUAUGUGCAUGUAUUCUGUGGGGAUUACACACUGAGUUUGUGAAAACUCACCCUUUUCUGUUUGAUCUGUUCAGGUAAUCCCCAGCAUUAGACGGAUCAGAGUAGAGGAGGACUCAGCGGUGACCACCACUAUUUCGUAUUGUUUUAAUUCAGUUUUUUAGUUAAUUAAUUUCUCGUUAAUAAUUUGGGUAUUUAUUUUUGUAAUUGGUACUUUUUGGACUGACUGUUGAAAUUUGGGAUUAUGCUUUGCUUUCCAUUUUUAUCACUACAAAAACACGACGUUUUCCUGAAAUUAAAGUUUUCCUAAAAACGAUCGGUUUUCUCAAACAAAAAGUGCACAAGCUUCCACUAAAAAGUCACGUUUUGAAGCAUAACAAUGAACAUGCGUUUUUCUAAAUUAAUUAAAGACUAAUAAACUGGAAGGGUUUUCACUCGAUGAAUUAGACUACAAAUUUCAUUACAUAUGACAUCGCCAGAUUCGACCAUAACGUCAAGGCCGGAUUUGGGGUGUUACAAAUUUCAUGGAAAAGUUGCACUGUUGGUUGUAAUUGUCCUAGACAUUGAACAACUUGGAUUGGCCUCCCAUGAAUGGAUUAUGUCAUCUAUUUCAGAUUCUUCAUCACCAUGGUCUUCAAUAACAUUUCCACCUGAAGCAUUAAUCAACUCUAGCUCCAUUGCUAAUGGUUGAUAUGCAAACUGGGCUAAAAACAGUUGAACUGAUUGAAUCGUAUUUUAUAAUUAUUAAUAGUUUUUAUGAUUUUUAAUAAUUUACUUUAUUUGAACCGAACAUACUGAAAAUCGAUGGCCUGAUUAGUUCAGUCAUUGAUCCGAUAACAAAAACAUUGAUAUAAUAUUCAACUUGAAUUAUAAACCUUUUGAAAUUACGUACUGAGAUGUUCAAAUUUAAUUUGCUCCAAUUUAAUUUGGAUUCUUCAACUUAAAGAUAGCCAACCUUAUUUAAGCUAAACCUGUGUAGUUUACAUCUCUAGUAUUUAAUAUUAUUAACUUCUAAUGUCACAAGUAUUACAUGUAAUUUUGGCAUUUAAUAUUUAAUUAAUUUUUUAAAAUAUUUUAUUUUUAAUUACAUUAUUUAACAUAAAAUAAUAUUUUUAUUUGAAUUAUUGGAUAUAAUUAAAAUAUAAUAACUUAUUAUAAAAAUAUAUAUUUCUUAAAUUAUUUUUUGUUAAUGACUUAAUGUUACAUAAUUCUAUAUAUAUAUAUACAUACAUAUAUGCAGGAAGUAAUAGAUGCUCAAUUAUCUGUCAAUAUGCAACCUUGAUUGGAUUUGUGUUUUUGUAUGUUUCAAAUAGUUUUUGUUGGCUUUGCUCUGUUUGAUGUUAUUUUCUUAUGGAAUUGGAUGUUUAAUGCUAGUUUGUUUACUUUCAGGGGAAACCUAAAGAAGCAUAUGAACAAUCAGAGGGGUUCCGAUAGGAGUUGAAAUUGAAGGUUCAAGAGUUGUUGAUAGAGUAGUAAUGGCGUCGGAGAAAAAUGGCGAUAAGUGUAUAUUGGAUACUGUUAAUAUCCCUUGCUUUAUUUACUUGUUCUCGCUCAAUGAAGGCUUACUAUUACUGUGAUGAGUUAAUCACCUCUUCUUAUUUCAUCUUCAGAUAUCAGAAGAAGAAGAAGAAGGUCAAUGAUGAAGAAGAGAAAAAAGAGAUGUGGAUGAUUAGGAUUACCUUUCUUUUGAUUUAUGGUAUCCUUGGAUUCUGUAUCCCUGUUUGGAGGUCUUUUUUAUUAAUGAAUUCAUCGACUUAGCAAAAGAAAAAGAAAACAUAUCCAGAACUUGCAUAAUAAAUACCUUAAAGAGGUCAAAUAACAUUGAGUGUAACAAGUAUGAAUUCUUGGGCAACCACAAGACUCCACCAAUGUGACAUAUAGAGAAGCUAAAAGCUAUCAAUCAAGAGAAAUUGUUUUAGGAGUAUUGGAAUCUAGAAAGAUGAAUUUAAUGGAAAAGUUACGCUGUUGGUUGUAAUUGUCCUGGACAUUGAACUACUAGGAUUGGUCUCCCAUGAUUGGAUCAUGUCAUCUAUUUCAGAUUCUUCAUCACCACAUUCUCCAAUAACAUUUCCACCAGAAGCUUUAAUAAACUCUAGCUCCAUUGCUACUUGUUUCAUGGUGGGUCUUUUCUUUCCAAUAAGAUUCAAGCAUCUUUUUGCUAGCAGAGCCACAACUAUAAUCUCCUGUUCUGGACCAUCCUUUACUACCACUGGAUCAAGAAUGUUAAACAAGGAAUUCUCCUGCAUUGAAUCCAAAAAAUAAGAUACCAAGCUUCUCACUGGCUCUGAUUGUUCCACGGAGAUAGGUUUUUGUCCUGUUAAAAGCUCAAUAAGAACAACUCCAAAGCUAUAAACAUCACUCUUCUCUGUAAAUUGACUUGAUCGAAAAUAUUCGGGAUCCAUGUAUCCAAAAGUUCCUUGGACCCGAGUGGUUAGAUGUGUUUGUUCAAGUGCAACUGAUCUUGAAGUUCCAAAAUCUGAAACUUUUGCCCUAUAUUUACCAUCCAAAAGUAUGUUACUAGAUUUGAUGUCUCGGUGAUAAAUAGGAGCAGAAGCAGCUGAAUGCAAAUAGAACAAGGCGUUGGCAAUUUCAAUCGCAAUUCGUAAACGCAUUUCCCAUGUCAAUGAUAAUUCUUCAUUUUGGUUAUGAAUGAGAUCGUAUAAUGUACCAUUUGGGAUGAACUCAUACACCAAUAGAGGAACUUCAGCUUCUAAACAACACCCUAAAAGCUUAACCACAUUCCUGUGAUUAAUUUGAGAUAAAAUUAUCACCUCAUUAAUGAACUGUUCAACCUUCUUUUCAUCAAAUUUCUUUCCUUCCACCAUUUUGGAUUUCUUAAUAGCCACAAUGCUUCCAUCUAUUAGCAUUCCUUUAUAAACAGUCCCUUGACCUCCUUGACCAAGAAUUCGGUUCUCAUUAUAAUAAUCCGUUGCCUUUUCCAUCUCUUUUGAGGUAAACAAUUUAAUUUUUUCAACAUUACCUUCAUUGCUAGACAAAUGUUGUUGCAGUAACAAACCUCCAUUCCUUUUGAAGUAUUUCUGCCUCAGCAUGAUUUUUUUGUUUUCUUUUGAGGGCUUUGUACAUACUCCAUGUUGCGAGUAAUAGAAAUAGUGUCCCAACACUAGUGCUGCAACCUAUAUAGAUAUAAGAAAAAUAGUUAAUGGCUAAAAUUGAAAAUUAAAAUACAUUUUAAAUAAAAAAUGAGAAAACCUU